ACUUUAAAUCUAGCCUCAUUAAAAUAUUUCUAGCAUCCCCGCCAGUUUUCAUAAUUUUCUGAGACUGUGCAUUUUCUGCUAAUUUAUCUGCCCCGUUUCUCACAGAAAAUCUAAAUCUUCUGUUUUCGCUCUGAAUUCAAGACGGGUCAUUCCAGACUUAUAUUUCACUUCUCUAAAUCUAAUAAAAAUAGUAUCUCAUACUAUUUUUAUUUAUUUCCCUUUUUAUAUUAAAAUCCGCAUAUUACAUCCCACCGUAACUUCAUAAUUUUAGAAGUUCGGUAUCCUACAUCGCCGAUCCUCGAUCGAUAGGAAUCCUCCAAUCGACCUCGCCGCAACUCCUCGCAGCGUCAACGCCUCAACUCCUCGAAGCGUCCACCGAAUCCUUGGCUACACGCGAGAUCCACGCGCCAAAUCUCCUUCCGGAGCUUGUAGAAUCGAAGAUGUGUGGUGAUUAAGCUUUAGAAUCCCAUAAGCUAUGAGGGUCCGUCUUCUAAUCAAACAUCAACUUAAUUCUCGAAUAAGAUCUCGAGUAAAAUCAAAGAACCAAGUCGAUUGUUGAUUUUUCGAAACUUGUUAUGUGAGUAGAAGCAUUAGAAUGGAAAAACAAGUUUCUAGGGUAUAGAAUCAGUAAAAAUUCAAAGCAUUCAUCUUUAAGAUGACCCCCAUAGAUAAAUGUUUAGAAGACUUAGAAGUAGACUAGGAUUGCAAAAAGUCCUUUUUAAAAACAUGUGUCGUCCUCAGAGACCGGUCCUCUCGAGGAGACCGGUCUGUGAAAGACCAGUCUCUCAAGUGAGAGACCGGUCCCUCGCUGCGUGACAAGAAUCACAACGUUCGGGAACCGGUCUCUCAAGCCAGAGACCAGUCCCUCGCUGCGCGACAAAAAUUCCAAUGUUCGGGAAUCGGUCUCUUAUCUCAGGGGACCGGUUGCCUCAACAUUCACGCAGUGAGGACCUUAAGGGAACCGGUCUCUUCAACUAAGGGACCAGUUCCAGAACACAUAAAAGUUCAGUAAAAGAGUUUUAAAGCAAUUUAAGCCUUCUGAACUUAUUACAAUUAAACAUCUUCACCAUAAAUCAUCUAUUCUUCAUACCUGAAGUGCCGAGCUUUCCGAAUGAGUUUUUGUUCUUCAAUUUGAAUCUUUUCUUCAAACUUCCGCGAUCAACUCUUCAAAACUCCAUUCAACUCUACGAAAUCCGCCAACCUAUAAAAUCCUUAACAAUCUCCCCCUUUGGCGAUUUGGUGACAAAAUAUACUACAAAGCUCGUACACAACUCGAAAACAAUAAAAAGAAGAUCAUCGCAAUCAACAAACGAUGAUCUCCUGCAUGAUCGAUCCAAUAAACAAAAAUUACAUUUUUCACAAUCUUAAUACAGACUCUAUGACUUAGACAUGGAGUCUUGAAGUCUUGAAUAAUUCCUGCAAAAAUAUUCUAAAAACACAAUCAAGAUUCAAGCAUACUUAUCAUAAAAGAUCAAACAUAAACGUCAAAGCAAUCAAAGCAACAAGUCAUAGUUCAUAGUUCAUCCAAGCAACUAUCUAAUCUAAAUUUACACAACUAAGCUAAAAGCAUCAAAAGACAUCAUCAUCAUCAUCAUCAUCAGACAUCAUCAUCAUCACAAAAGACAUCAUCAUCAUCAUGAGCCAACAUAUCAUCUCCUCCUUUUUGUCAGAAAGCGCCAAAAUGACAAAAGGAGGAACCCCGCACAGUCAGUCGGAGUCGUCACCCUGCGGCGGAAGAUCUGAGCUGCAACAUCCCAGUUUAUCAAAGAUGGCCUUCAUCAACCGCUUGAUUUUGCUCACAUCUUUCUGUAUCUGAGCUUGAUCCGCAGAAAGUUUUUGAAGCUCCUCAGAUAACCUUUGUUGCUCACGAUAUACUGACGAAACCGAGACAUCCUCCUCAGAAAUAUCCAUGGAAGGACGGGAAGAAGUAGGAGCAGCAGGAGGUGGAGCAGCAAAAGGUGAAGAAGCGCGCUGGGACGGAGUUCGAAGCUGCACGGAGGACUUCACGAACGUCUUUUCAUUGAUCCGCCCCAAGCUAUGCUCAUACGAUGUGCAACGAAUAUCCACCUCAUGGAGUCGCAGAAUCCUCAUGAUAAUUAGUGGAAAUGGCAAUCUUUCAUUCUGUCCUGAAGUCUUGAUACCUUCGCCAUUCUCCGCCAGAUCAAAAACGGGAUAUUCAUGUUGAUAUUCUUUGCACUUACAAUGUCUGGCCUAGCCAAGAGAUACAUGUACAGGAUGCGAUCCCAUCUCAAAAUCUUCGUGUUUGCGAGAGGCAAAAUGUUGUAGCAAACCACGAAGUUCAAAAACCUGUACUCCAUUUUGAAGUCCUUGGACAAAACCGUAAUACCGUUUGACUCUGUUCCCGGCAUGCAAAUAGAGUUCACGACACGGUUCCAAUCACGAAGUGAGUCAAACCCGGCCUGCAGAUACUCCACUCCCUCAGUUCUUACUUCCAUUCCUAGCACAGACGCUAUCGUAUCGGGAGUGAUUGAUAACUCAACACCACGUACGGAAGUGGUGAAUACGUACGGGCCACCGUCGGAGUCACUCAAGUGACAUGCUCUCAUAUAGAAUUCUCUAAUCAACUCUAAACAAAACCCAGUUUGUUCCGGAAAAUCACAAAUCUGAUGAAGAUUUUCUUUUUCAAAUAAAUCCUGAAUUUCCGGCACACAGUCAAUGAUACUGGCAACGCCAACAUCGCGCUCACCAAUACAAUAUUUCGACGAGUGCAUUGACCUUCGAGCAGACGGAACAUCCUGCAGACUGAGACGCUGAGGCUCAGAAUCUGGUUCUCUAAUCUAAACACCUCCAGAUUUCCGACGACCGGUAUAACCAGAUGCCUUUCCUUUUCCUUUAUCCAUGGCUUUGCCUUUCCCUUUAUCAAUGGCUUUUCCUUUGCUCUUUUCUUUUCUUGUAUCCUUAUCCUUAGCCAACACCUCUGGAGUAAAAGCCUCCCAGUCCGGCUCGUCCUUCUCAGAUUCGUCGCCAGGAGCAUACUCAUUCCCUUCAUCUUGCGGUUGUUGCUUAACCGGCCGUUUACCUGAAGAGCGCUGUCGUUUGCUUCCGCGACCACCCCCGGCCAUCAGGACCACAAGCACAAGUAAUCAUGAAUACAUUUUGAAGAAAUCCCCUGUUAAACAUAAUGUUUUUUAUAUAUGAAACAUAAGAACACUUAAUUUUGAUCCCAAAAAAAAUUUCAACAAAUUGAUAUAUAAAUGCUAGAUAAUCCUAGGGGCCACAAAACAUGAGAAGCAUGAACAACGUAUGCAACAAAAAUUAGUAAAACCACAUGAUUCCCAAAAAAUUUUGAAAAAGCUAGGUUUUGAAGAUGAAAACCUACAAAAAUGACCAAAAGGAUGAAGAAAUACAAGACAAUACGAAGAUAACAAAUCUAAUAACAAGAUCGAAACACUAAAUGCAAAAAAUCUGAAACAAAACUCAUUUUCGGAGUAUAUGAUAAAAAUGCAACAAAAUCCGAAAAUCAUACCUAAAAUCAGUGCAAAUCCACAAGGAACGUGAGUAAACCUACUCUGGAGACAAGGGAGGAGCAAGGAGAACGCAGGGAAAGAAGAAAACAAAAUUUUGAAAGCAGUACAUAACACAUCAUGCGAAAAACCCUUUAUCAGGUCUGGCGGAUGGACCGGUCUCUCCUGCCUGGGACCGGUCCCAGAGCCUGAAAUUUCGAAAAAUUUUAAAUUAAGCCCAAAAUAUUCUAGAAAAAAUAUAAGUUUUUCCACAAUGUUCAAUCAUCAAAAUAACCAAUUUCCAUUCUCAACAACUUCAAAUAAAAUUUCAUAAAUAAUUUUUGAAAAGUCAAUUUCAAGGAUAUUCAAAUGUCAAAAUUGUUGACCCGAAAAUCAAUUAAAAUUCUAGAUACAUAUAAAAUAAAAUCCCAUAUAUCAUGCAAGAUCUAGAAAUUUAUUGUAUUGUUUUAUCAUCAUAUUUGUUAAAGAAAAUGUAUAAAUAAUUCUCAGAAUCGUGAAAUUAAAAUAAUAUGUUCAAAUUGAGUUAUGCACAAUAUUCGAGACAGGAGUGGCUCUUUGAGCAUCUUUUUUAUUAACAUUCCACCUUAUAUCACCUAUGAGAUGUAUAGAUCUUUGAGCAUUUUUCUUUUUAUCUCUGAAAGGUACUUUCCUUUUGUCUUAUAGAGAUACGUUAAUCAACAUGUGGUAGCUGCACACACUGACCGGACGACCGGGGUGGUAGCUCUUUCCUCCAUGUGGUGGUAGUUUUCACAUUCCCAGCAGGGAUGUAACUCUUUCCACAUCUUAAAUUUCAGAAACUUUCAUAACCAAAAUCGGAAAGACUCCCCCUAAAAUAGUGCAACCCUAAAGUCAAAAAUAUUAUUGCAAUUUCAAAAACAGAGAUAGUGUUAUUCUUCUCAUAAUUAAUAAUCAAACAAACAAUUGCAACAUUCAAAGUUCGAAGCAUGAGGUGUUGAAUUUGAUUCAGUAUGCUAAACAGAAUUUUAAUGAUUUGAUCGUUCAAAAAUUAUGACAAUAGAGAACAACCUUGACAGUGAACAAUCAAAAACUAAAUAUGAAACAAUUAAAGUCAAACAAUUGAGCUAACACUGACCAAAUCAUCUCCCAAAAACAGCAACAUUUUUCAAGAAAGUCAAUCGUCUCUCAAGCAUAAUCAGGAAAUACUGGAAACCAUGCACAAAAACAAAAUGCAACAUGCACAUGAUCUAUGGCCCAAUAGAAUAUAUCUAGAUUGAAGGAUUCAUACCAAUCGCCUUUCUUAAAUGCAGAAAACGUUUUUGAUCCAAAGGUUUGGUUAAAAUAUCUGCAAGUUGAUUUUCAGUCGAAAUAUAUUCAAGCUGUAGAAUGUUUGAUUCAACCAGUUCUCUUAAAAAGUGAUAUCUUAGUUCAAUAUGUUUUGUUCGUGAAUGUAAAACAGGGUUUUUAGAAAUAUUUAUUGCACUUGUGUUGUCACACAGAAUAGUAAGGGAGGAGGAAGGUAUUCGAUAGUCGCUCAGUAAACUUUUCAUCCAAAUCAAUUGAGUAGAGCAACUCCCGACCGCAAUGUAUUCAGCUUCUGCAGUGGAAAGAGCAAUACAGUUUUGUUUCUUACUGUGCCAAGCAACCAGACAGUGACCAAUGUAGAAACAAGCUCCACUAGUACUUUUCCGAUCAUCUGCAGAGCCUGCCCAGUCAGCAUCUGAGUAGCCGAUUAGAUCAAGAGAUGUUCCCAUAGGAUACCAAAAGCCAUAUGCGGUUGUACCUUUAACGUACCGAAUGAUCCUUUUAACCGCUUUCAGAUGAACUUCCUUAGAAUUUGCUUGAUAGCGAGCACAAAUUCCAACACUGAAAGCAAUAUCUGGUCUGCUCGCAGUUAUGUACAAUAGGCUUCCAAUCAUGCUUCUGUAUUGUUUCUCAUCCACGCUCUGUCUUUCCGAAUUCACCCCAAGUCCUUUGUUACUUGUACCCAUCGGAGUGUCAAAAUCCUUUGCACUGUCCAAUCCAAAUUUCUUAACCAAAUCUUUCGCAUAUUUGGAUUGACACAAGUGAAUUCCAUCUUUAGUUUGUUUAACUUGAAGUCCAAGGAAAUAAUUAAGCUCCCCCAUCAUCGACAUCUCAAACUCGCUUGUCAUCAAUUUUGCAAAAUCAUUGGCAUCCUUAUCUUUAGUUGCCCCGAAGACUAUGUCAUCAACAUAAAUUUGUGCCACAAUGAAAUCAUUCUUUAAGUGUUUUACAAAGAGAGUUCUAUCCGCUCCCCCUCGGUUAUAGCCCUUUUCAAAAAGAUAUUUUGUCAAGCGCUCGUACCAUGCUCGCGGAGCCUGUUUUAGUCCAUAAAGUGCCUUUUUCAGUCGAAAAACGUGAUUUGGAAAUUUUGAGUCUAUAAAACCUUUCGCUUGUUCAACAUAAACUUCCUCUUUUAAAAAUCCGUUUAGAAAAGCACUUUUAACAUCCAUUUGAAAAAGAGUGAUUUUAAAAUGGCAGGCAAUCGUGAACAAGAUACGAAUUGAUUCAAGACGGGCAACCGGGGUGAAGGUUUCAUCAAAGUCUAUUCCCUCAAUUUGUGAGUACCCCUGAGCAACAAGUCUCGCUUUGUUCCGAACAAUAGUACUAUCCUCAUUUUUCUUAUUCUUAAAUAUCCAUUUGGUACCUAUUAUGUGUUGUUGCUCAGGACGUGGCACUAAUUCCCAUACAUCAUUGCGGACGAAUUGACCAAGUUCUUCUUGCAUGGCAUUUAUCCAAUAUUCAUCACGUAGAGCUUCAUCAAUAUUCUUUGGCUCAAUCAGAGAAACAUAACAUGCAAAUUCACAUUGUAGCUGACUUCUUGUUCGCACACAAACAUUAGGAUCCCCAAUGACAUUCGAUAAAGGCUGAUCUCUUGACUCCGUCAGGGGUGUAGUCUCAGGAGUUGUACUAGGGAUUUCAGAUGACGUGCUUUGAGGCUCAGAUGAAUCAUUUGAUACAACAUUUUCAGAAGAUGCAAUAGAAUUGUCAAGUGCAGAAACAUCAUCAUUCACAGGCAAUACAAACGGAGAAUCAUUAUCAUCAUCAUUCACCAAAAAAGUAGAAGAAUCAUUCACAGAAGAACUUACAGAAGAAGCUUCAUCUACUUUUAUAUUGAUAGAUUCUAUCACCGUCUUUGUAACACACUGGACCUUUGCAAAUUGCGAGGUUCGAGUGUUUGGAUGUAUUUCGAGCUUUUCCACACUUGGUGGAGGGUUGUAAAAUGUUUCCCGACCCGAAAAGUUCGAAAUCUGGAACCUUGGACAAGUCCUGAGAGUUUUUACUCUCGGGGACCGGUCCCUGGAAGGAGAGACCGGUUCUCCCAGUGAGCAGUGUUGAGGCAGCCUGAGGCAACCGGUCCCUGGCAGGCGAGACCGGUUCCCGAACGCGUCUUCGCGGUAAGAGACCGGUCCCGCGCAGGGAGAGACCGGUUCCCGAACGCUGGUUUUUCGGGUUCGCAGCGAGAGACCGGUCCCUGCUGGGGAGAGACCGGUCCCUCUGGGCGAAAACUGCCCAGUCCGGGCUGACGUAUUUUUGGAUUUUUGAGGGACCUCCUGGGAUUUUGUUACUUUGGAUGGCCUAAAUAGCCCUUCCACCCUCUCUCUUUCUCAUUUCUCUCCUCACACUCCCUCCAUACCUUUGUUAGAGAGAGAAGAAGGAGGAGAAGAAGAAGGAGAAGGAGGGAAGAAGAAGUUUGGAGCCACUAGUGGACUUGGAGCACCUUCCUCACCCUCUCAUCUUCCUUGGUGCUAGAAGGCUUGGGCUUGGAGCUUGCAUAGGAGGAGACCUUCACCCUUGGAGCUAGGAUUGGAGCUUCUAAGGAGGUUUGUUGCCCAUUUCCCUCCUCUAGACCUUGUUUUGAUGGUUUUUGUAGUUGGAACCCUAGAAAUGAGAUUUAGGGUUGAUUUUUGGGGCUUCUUGAUCUAGGGCUUUUGGGGUUAAAUUGAUUGGUUUAGAACCUUCCUUGGGCUUGGAUUGGAAGGGUUCUAGCUCUCUUUUGGAGCUUUGGGAGAGAUUUCUACUCUUGAGGUUAGUUUUGGCCCUAUUUGUUUCUAGAUUGAUGUUUGAUCCUAUGGUUGGUCGUAAUGCUCUCGUAUCUCUUCGCUGAUCACUUUUAGGAUAUCUUGAGGCUCGUGGACAACUUUGUUCGGCGAAUCGAGACCCUACGUGACGGUUCGGUGGGUUUGACCUAGCCACACAAUGAGAAAUUCUCAUUUGUGCUUAACUUUGUGUCGUUAAAUGAAAAAGCAUGCAUAUUCUUGUUAUAUGUAUUUAUUAUGAAUUUUAGAAUGCUUAACAUGCAUAGGUUAUGUGUAGUAAAUUUUGGGACCUCUAUAUGGUAAAGAGCAUGCAUGUGUGGCCCAGCAUUCUAGUUGCGAUUUGAAAUUGUAAUCCCUAUUAUGAAAACGAACCUUGCUUUCAUGCAUUCAAACCAUAUACCAGAUGUGACAUUAGGGAUUUUUGAAAGCCUAGAGAGGCUUAGGGACUUAGAUGAUAUGUGAGAUUGGGCCAAUGUCAUGAAGAGGCAUUGGGGCCCGGGGCAUAGUGAGCAUUAAUGUUAAUGUCUUAAUUGGAACAUGAUUAGUUGUGGAGCUUAAGUGUCAUAAAGAGGCACUAAGCAAGUGUGUGUUGGGACUUCACUUUAUGACUUGAGCUAGAUCUUUGGGAUACUAGUGACUAUACCAUGUUAGAGACAUGAGGAUUGGGUACUUGAGACCGUGACCUCGCUUGUUUGCCAUUUGUGCUCAUUCGCACAUGCUUGUGAGGGUCGCUCCCCACAAGCCGGCACUCCGGAGUUGGCCUAUGCGAUUUUUGUUCGCUCGUGCGAUAUUGAGAAGCCUACGGGGUCGAGUGGGACAGACACAUUCCAAGAGUAGGGAUGUUGGGCUACCACAGGCACUUAGGCGGCACAAGCUGGACUACCUUUGGUAGGUCCUUAAUUGGAAAUGAAAAUCGAUACGGUGUUGAGAAUGAACAAUCACUACUAGAUAGGCUUAGUGGUUGGAUUACAUUUACAUGCAUAUAUCAUAGGGUUGAGACAUGUAGUAUACCUUACAGUUACCUAUUUCAUCACAGCAUACUUGGUUGCCACAAUAGAGCUUAUACAUCAUGGUUGAAUAAAAGGGUUGUAACAGUAAACUAUUGCCAUUGGUUACUUUUCCUUAUGAUAAAAUAGAUGUACAACACCUUGACAUCGUGCUUAUGAGGAAUAUAGUAGUGUAGCAUUCUGCUUAUGCAUUCUCUUUCAGCAGUCAUUUACAUACUCCUUUUUUUUUAUUGCUUAUGGCUUUUAGCAUUACUUACCCUUGUUUUUGGGGCCUAGUGGAGCAGGAGCUGAGGUCAGUAAUUGCCCACUGGGAACUAUAAAUUAUAGUUCUCAUGCCCUCUUUUCUCGUUGUUUUUCAGAGCCUUCCACACAGGGUGAGGCCAGGGAUCGCGGAAAGGGUAUCGCCUCGGGCUAGCGCGCUUACCGAGGGAUCGUUCGAUAGGUGGUCUACCUCUCGUGUUUUUCUUUUUGUGAGAGGUUGAGAGUUGUACCCGUAUAUGUAUAGAGACCACCAUCUUUGUACUAGAGACAGUUAUUGUACUACUUAUGGCUAUCUUUGUUUGACUAGCUUUAUUUCUUUACUUUGGUGUAGAUGAUAGAACUUUACUUGCUCUGAUAUCAUUAGUUGCUAGUUAUUUCACUACUUUUAUUUGUUCUAUCUCUUGCCUUCACUUCCGCUUUUCUUCUAGACGCCUUAUAUGUGUAGACAUAUGGCGGGUCUGGGCACGCUACCGGGAGGGCCUCCGCCGGUCCCGGGGCGUGACAGUCGUAGAUCGUAGAUUGUACGCACGAUAAGCACGACUUGUAGUAGAAUAACUAAGAAAAAUCCCUUCGUCACUUCGAGAGUCAAAUUUUUCAAGAUUUUCACAAUCCCGAAGGAUAAAACAUUUACUCCCGAAGACACGAAAGUAUUUAAUAUUAGGUUUCCUACCAAGCCAAAGUUCAUACGGAGUAUUCAAAGUACCCGGGCACACAUAAAUCCGAUUAAUAACGUAGAUAGCCGUGUUAACUGCUUCGGCCCAAAAGUGUAAAGCGAUUUUCUUACUAUGAAGCAUAACACGAGCCAUCUCCUGUACAACCCGAUUCUUGCGUUCAACCACUCCGUUUUGUUGGGGUGUAUAAGGAGCCGAGAAUUCAUGUUUUAUGCCAUUUGAAACACAAAAAUCAACAAAUUUUGAAUUUAUGAAUUCUUCCCCUUGAUCACUUCGAAUACGUACAAUUUUAUCAUUCCGUUCAGUCAUAAGACGAAGACAGAUUUCAGAAAAAGAAUCAAAAGUAUCAGCUUUUUCUCGUAAGAAGGCACUACAUACAAAACGAGUAAAAUCAUCAACAAUAAGCAAGAUAUAUCGUUUUCUACCCAAACUUUGAAUCCUAGAUGGUCCCAUUAAUUCCAUGUGAAGUAACUAUAAGGGCUUAGAUGUCCCUAAGUGGUUCAAAUUCUUAUGUGCGGAUCUAGUUUGUUUUCCUAAUUGACAACCCCCACACACAGCGUUUUCUUUGAAGUCUAUCUUAGGUACACCUCUAACAACCUCCUUCUUUGUUAUCUUGGAUAGCUCCUUAAAAUUUAUGUGACCUAGUCGUUCAUGCCAUAAAGUUUCAGUCUCUGAUGACGCUAGGUUACAAUAUUCAAUCGAAGAACUAGGAACUACAAAACAGUUAUUCUGAGAUCUAAUUGUCACGCCCCGCCCCGAAACCACCACCAAUUUGGCACGGUUCGGCCGCGGCGGCGGGCCACCGAACGGACAGCACCUCCCCUAUCUGCCCAAGGCUCAACACAGGAAUGUGUACAAGAAUUUACCCAGAAAAUUAAAUUCUAAACAUACACACUCACAAGGGCACAACCAGUGCCAAAAACACAAAGAGCAAACAAAUCCACAAGAUGCACAUGUGAAAUAAAGAGAGUACUUUACUAACUAUUACAUUAAUUCCAACCUUCUCAUUUACAUCAUUUUUUUUAAAUGAAUACAUUUGUCAUCCAAAAAUACAUAGCUCUCCAAAUCCUCACCUACAAUGAAUCUCUCUCAAUAUACAUAGGUGUACUAAUGCAAAAGGAAAGCUACUAUACUACCAUGGUCUCACUGAUCGGGCGCGAUGCCCUUGCCGCGGUCCUCUCUCUGCAGCCCUGAACCUACCACUGGAAAUAGAGUGGGGUGAGAACUAUCUUCCAUAGUUCCCAGUGGGCUCGGCCGCCGACUCUGCCGAUCUCCCCGCUAGGUCCAAGUGGGCACAAGCAACAAUAGAUAGAUAGAUAGAUAGAUAUGUAUCGGGAAGCUGUAAAUGCAAUAGUAGGAAAAACUAUGCUACUAUGCCCAUAAUCAUGAAUAUGAAUACAUGCAUCAUAUAAUAAAGGUUUGCUAUCAUGCUAACAAAUUCGAUCCAUGUUCGAAUAGCAAUGUUCAAUGACAUUAAUAAACCUUUGACCUUUCCAUUUACCCAAUCUGUGGCGAUGCCCUAGGGCUUGCCCAUGACUCACCUUUCAAUCCUAAAGUGGGGAAGGAGCUCCAAGUGCACCCAAGCCCGGGACCGUCUGCGGACCUCCAUGUGGUCCGGACCUCCAAGUGGUCCUAGUCGCACGACACUCCGGAGUACUCGACGACCAUCCCCUCCAUGUGGGGAUUGGAUGGCUAUACCAUCCCAAACGCAGACUGUGAGCUAGAUCUAUCAUCUCCAAGUAAGGAUACUCUACAACUAGAGUCAACAACUCAAUCAAGUCCUCUCCAAGUGAGGAUGCUAUCAACUAGAGUCAAUACCCAAUCGAGUCCUCUCCAAGUGAGGAAACACUAUCACUAGGGUCCACAACCCAAUCAAAUCCUCUCCAAGUGAGGAUGCCCCACCACUAGGGUCAAUGUCUCAAUCGACUCAUCAACAACCUCUCCAUGUGAGGCUACUUAGNUGCUAGUUAUUUCACUACUUUUAUUUGUUCUAUCUCUUGCCUUCACUUCCGCUUUUCUUCUAGACGCCUUAUAUGUGUAGACAUAUGGCGGGUCUGGGCACGCUACCGGGAGGGCCUCCGCCGGUCCCGGGGCGUGACACGUACAUGUGGGUACUUCGAUCCGAAGUCGGUACAGUGGUGCACGCUCGGUGACAUCUUCUUACCCUUGACUUUGAUUAUAAUAAUAAUGAUGAUGGUUCUUUUUUCCUUGUUGUCUUUUAUUAAGAAUGAAGAAUGAUCACAAUGUUACCUUGCAUAUAUAUAUAUAUAUAUAUAUAUAUAUAUAUAUAUAUAUAUAUAUAUAUAUAUAUAUAGAGAGAGUNGAUCACUAGGCAAAUGAUAUCGAAAAAUAAUAAAAUUUAUUUUCUAGGUACUCCAAAUACUCUAGAUCAAGUUUAACAGAGCCGAUCGACGAUUCGAAAGUCGCAACAUUGAAAACGAGCUGGAAGCACGGAAGGCUCCGUGCUUCCGAUAGCAUAGUAACCUCACUCUAUAUAUAUAUAUAUAUAUAUAGUGUUGAGCCUAGCACCCAUGUUGUUCCUGUUUUACUCUACUUGGUUGUUUUCAUGUCUAAUAUCAUGAGUAGGAGUAGAGCAGAUUUGUGAUUUCAUGUGAGAUCGGUGACCUAGUUGGUCGGUUCUUGUAUUCCGUAUUUGUGAUCUAUUCGGUCGGUUUAUUGCAUUUGUCAUCGUGACCUAGUUGGUCUGUUCUUGUAUCCCUUAUCUGUGACCUGUUCGGUCAGUUUACUGCAUUUGUUAUCGUGACCUAGUUGGUCGGUUCUUGUAUCCCGUAUUUGUUACCUAUUCGGUUGGUUUACUGCAUCUGUUAUUGUGACCUACUUUGUCGGUUGGACUACUUGAUGACCUAUGAGGUCAGUGUACCCUGAGGGGUAGGAUUGUCGGCUAGUGGCUGACGACUAGUUCUGGAUUAUACCGUUGCAUGACAUGACAUUCUUGUGACCUAUUGGCCGGUUCUUGUGCAUAUAUGUUAGUUGACAUUGAGUGGUCGAUACUUGCACACUUUAGGAAGGAUGUUAAGUUGUUCUAUCCUAGUUGACCUGAGUGGUCGGUAUUGUUUUCCCUACGGUUUGAUGACCUAUUGGUUGGUGUGCCCCGAGGGGUGGUGAUUGUCGGCUAGUUGCCGACGGUUGGCUAUUGAGCAUAUCAGCAUCGAUCGCCACAUACUCGUUCGCAUUUUACGAACACCAGCGGUCUGAUCCACCGCGGCCGGGUGUUUUUUUUCAAAAAAGUGGUUGGAUGUGCUAGCCCGUGAGCCUAGCCGUCAGAACUAGGUUAUAUACAGCCCGUGAGCCCAGCCGUCAGAACUUGGUUAUAUACAGGUAGAGUGGCAGUGGCGUUGGCUUGAGGUCUGCGGACCGUCAUGCCAGAUUUCUUAUCGGGUAUUUUUUGGACUGAUUGUCCGGUUGAUGCAUAUUUAUACUUUGAUCUGUAUUACAGUAGCGGCUAGUCAUAUUCCUAUAUAUUGUUGUUUACCCAUGCAUCAUUACUACUGUAAUUAUGAUAUCCAUAUAUGCAUUCUGUUCCAUUUUACAGUAGCGGUAGUUACAUGCUUUAUUACUGUUCCCUUUCCUUCAGACAUUAUAACUACUGUAGCUAUGAUAUCUACCUAUGACAUUGUUGAUCUCUUUCUGCCGGUGAGUACACCUUGCCUUCAUCAGCUUGCGGUACCCACUGGGAGGGGAGACAUGUGUACAUGUUCUGACCCCCGACCCCCCUUUCAGGUGACAUUGCUUGUCCGAGUCGGGACGGUUCGUGAGGUGCGUGUCUUAGCGAGCGAUAGAGCUAUCGGCUCGCCGUUUUGGUUAAACUUUUCAAACUUUUCUUUUAAUAAUUGAAUUAGUAUUUAUGGUUCAGUUGGUUUUCAGUUAUACGGGCAAAUGUGGUUUUGUGAAAUGAAUAAAGUACUAUGAUUUUCUUAUGAGAUGAAAACGAUUUUCUACCCCUCGUGGUAGCGCAUUUCUAAAGAAAAAGGGUUUCCGUGUGGGAAACAAUUUUAAAAAGAGUUUUCCUGAUUUUCAUGAUUCUUAGUGUUUCAAAAUGAGUUUCCGAGUAGGAAACGUUUUAAACUAAUAGAUGUGGAUUUAUGGUAAACUUGUGAUGGAAUAAAUGUAAUAUAGUACACUGAACUUGGCAAAUUGCGCAGUUCGAGUGUGGGAAUGACAUUUGGAACCCUUCUACAUCUUUUAAAGGGUGAUAGAGAAGUUUUCGGCAAGUUAGUGAAGUGAUCGAACGGCCGGAAAAGCGUAUUACAAAAUGUCAAAAUUGCAUUCUGCAUUGAGUACCGGUACCAAUGUGAUGGGGUACCAGUACCAGCACAAGCUGCUACGUGGCUGUGAGGAGAAUUCAAUCAUUUCACUUCUAAAACUUAUCUACAACCCCUAAGCUCGACCCCAGCAGCUCAACCCGCCGUCGCGCCGUUCUCGUGUGAACCUGAAACCCCAAAACCACGUGGGGUGAGAACUAUAUAAAUAUAGCUCUCAGUGGGUACGGUCACCCAAGGGAAGAGCUCGACCCACCAGGUCCAAAGGAGGCACUGCAAACAUAUUAGUCCAACAAAUAUCCACAUAUAUAUAUAUAUAUAAUUUAUGCAACUAACAAUUAUCAUUUUCAUGCCUCACAAUAUGCAAUAUGCGAAUCAUGAAAGUAGUUCACUUGAUUCUAUUCUUUACCAUUUGUCAUUCUUCAUUAUUAUUCGUUCUUGAUUACUAGCCAUUCUUUAUCGCUAGCCGUUCUCUAACGCUAGCCAUUUCUUAUUACUAGCCGUUCUUGAUUCUUAGCCAUUCUUUAUUAUUGCUAUACUUUAACAUUAGCCGUUCUUUAUUCUUUAUUCUUUAUUCUUUACUAAGGGUACUCACAACUUAGCCAUAUUAUACACAUUUGCCAUUCUUUCCUAAGGUUAUUUUACCUUAGCCAACUAUACCACUCGACUCGGUCUUGAGUCAAUCAACUGUGGAUAAUUCGCGCUCUAUCAGGCUCGAGGUGAAUGAACUAUCACAUACACCUCAGCCACCAAUCCACAAACCACAUAGCCCAAUGGGUAGCUUAGAACAGCGCACACCCGCGGUCAGGAAUCUUCCCGGUGGGAGGGGAGUAUACCACAUGCACCAUAGCAAUCCAAAAUUCUUCCGGUGGGAGGGGNUAUUAUUAGUCAUUCUUUAACACUAGCCGUUCGUUAACGCUAGCCAUUCCUUAUCUUUAGCCAUUCUUGAUUCUUAACCAUUCUUUAUUACUUGCAAUUCUUUAUUCUUUGUCACACUAUGGUCAUUUGCCAUUCUUUAUUAAGGUUAUUUUACCUUAGCCAACUAUGCUACUCGACUCGGUCUUGAGUCAAUCAACUGCGAAUAGUCCACGCUCAGUCAGGCUCGAGGCGAAGGACGUCUCACAUGCACCUCAGCCUUGAAUCCUCUCAACUGUAGGUCUUCUCAUAGGGUGAGGAAAUACCAUCAAACCCUGAACCACCGGUCACUCAACGGAUCUACGGGCGAGGAGAACCACACAUACCCGUUGAAUUACUGCCGGGCGAGGAGAACCACACAUACCCGCAGUUAUAAUUCACUUGCGCUUGAUCGCAAGUCUCAUCCGCUGCACUAGCAGCCGUUGCACUAGCAUCCUUCAUUCCUAGGGAUUCUGGAAUCCACAUUCAUGUCUCUAGGGUUGGUCUUAUACCCUACAGUGUCGACCUAUCGAGGUCCAAGCCAUUACUCAACCUAAGUUUAAUACAUUAGGUCCAAUGUCACUAUGUUCAUAGCCUAGGUUCUAUAAUACUAGGUCCGAUGUUCUUUACUACCUAGGUUCAUUUGACUCUAGGUUCAAUUCUCUACUUAUGUUCAAUGCCACUAGGUUCAAUGCCACUCAUGAUUUACCUAUGUUCAAUACACUAGGUUUCAAUACCACUCAUGAUACUUGUUAUCCUAAUUAUCCACACUUAGGAUUCUUUACAUGCCACACUUGUCAAGUUCUUUAUUCUUUCUCAAGUUCAUCGUCCACGAUUCAACAUUCACAUCUAGGCAUACAUAUCCUAUAUGCUUACUCAUGCCGAUGUCUUUAUCAUUCAAGGGUAAACAAUAUACCUCAUGCAUUCUUGACUAGCAUAUAUCAUAUGCAUUCAUGAUUAGCAUCUCUAUUAUGCAUUCUCAUUCAUAACUAGCAUCUCUAUCAUGCAUUCAUUAUUAGCAUACGUCUUAUGCAUUCAUUAGCAUCUAGCUCAUGCAUUCUCUCAACAUAUACUCUAUGCAUUCUUUAUUAGCAUCUCAAUCAUGCAUUCUCAUUCAUAACUAGCAUCUCUAUCAUGCAUUCAUUAUUAGCAUACGUCUUAUGCAUUCAUUAGCAUCUAGCUCAUGCAUUCUCUCAACAUAUACUCUAUGCAUUCUUUAUUAGCAUCUCAAUCAUGCAUUCUCAUUCAUAACUAGCAUCUCUAUCAUGCAUUCAUUAUUAGCAUACGUCUUAUGCAUUCAUUAGCAUCUAGCUCAUGCAUUCUCUCAACAUAUACUCUAUGCAUUCUUUAUUAGCAUCUCAAUCAUGCAUUCUCAUUCAUAACUAGCAUCUCUAUCAUGCAUUCAUUAUUAGCAUACGUCUUAUGCAUUCAUUAGCAUCUAGCUCAUGCAUUCUCUCAACAUAUACUCUAUGCAUUCUUUAUUAGCAUCUCAAUCAUGCAUUCUCAUUCAUAACUAGCAUCUCUAUCAUGCAUUUAUAUAACAUCUAUCUCAUGCAUACUAGAUUAGCAUACGAUACAUUCAUUUAGCAUUUAGCUCUUGCAUUCACUUAGCAUCCAACUCAUGUAUUCAUGUAGCAUUUAGCUCAUACAUUCACUUAGCAUAACUUAUGCAUUUUUUAUUAGCAUCUCAAUCAUGCAUUUAUAUCUAAAUUAUGCAUUUAUAUAACAUCUAUCUCAUGCAUUCGUUUAGCAUCUAGCUCAUGAAUCUAGCUCAUGUUAUUUAGCAUAUGACUCAUGCAUUCAUUCACUUGGCAAUUAACUACCAUUUCAUGCAUCAAUAAUGUAACACACUUCACUUUGGCAUGGAAGCGACCUAAUCGCUUCGGUAGAGCACAACCCACCUAAUAUUGCUCUCCGAUUGCUUGUAGUCACUUGUAACCAGCCUCCCGCGGCACACGUGUCCGGUUUGGCUCGCACUCGCCUCGCAAACGAUCACCGAACACUUGUCGAUUCUCAACUUAGAGUUGUUAGGAGCUCAUCUCUAGCCUUCAAUUAGAGAAAUACGGGGUUAUUAUAGAUCAAAACCCUUAAACCCCAAAACACUCAUUUCUAGCCCUAACUUUUCAUUUCUCCCAAAUAGCCUAAGUAUUCAUGGAGAAAACAUGCUAGAAACAUUCUAAGGGUUAUUAAAACACUAAGCAUUAAGGAUCAAACCAAAUUCCAAAAGCUUAACAAAAUGUGAACGCCAAGACAGAAGCACGCCACUCAACCAGGUGCACAAAGACCCGAUCCGACGCACCCAACGCGUUCCAAAGCUCGCUCUCCGCCAACACCGCGAAUUGAGAGAAAGACUAGAGAAAGGAGAGAGAUAUCUAGAGAGAGAAUGGGAGGGUUUCUCUCUCCCUCACCAUGCAUGUGUGUGUGUGUGGUGUGUACGGUUGAGAAGGGAAGAAGAAGCCCCACUACAUAAAGCCCUCCACCAACAUUACACAAUUUUAGUUUAGCAGCUUAGAAUCUGUUCCUUUUCGCCGGAGGCCUUCUGAAUGUCCGUUUAUGCUCAAAUUUGACAGUCAGGCUCGGUUUAAGCUAAUAAAAAGAAAUAUAUCUUAACUUUUCAUUUGGACCAUUUUUGGUCACCGAAAGCUCUACUGAACUGAAAUCUCUAGCAGAUAACAGUCGGAUUUUAUUUUUCACUUUCCGGGUGUCGGAAUGACAUGAAACAUUAAAUUUAGCCUCAUGAAAAUAAUUCCGACAUAUUUCCAAGUUUUCAUAAUUUUCUGACACUGUGAAUUUUCUGCUAAAAUAUCAGCUCCGUUUCUCACAGAAAAUUCUAAAUUCUCUGUUUCCGUUUCGAUUUCAGCACAAGUCGUUUCCGACUUAUAUUUUACUUCUUAAAUCCAAUAAAAAUAGUAUCUCACACUAUUUUUAUUUAUAUUUACUUUUAUAUUAAAAUUCGGUACAUUACACCUAUGCUUUCAUCAUCCAAUGGUAGUCAAUACAUAGCAUCUAUCUCAUGCAUUCACAAUUGCAAUUAAACUACCAUUACAUGCAUCAAUAAUACAACCAACUUCACUCUUUGGCAUGGAAGUGACAUAAUCAUUUCGGUGAAGCACAACUCACCUAAUGAUACUUUCCGAUUGCUUGUCGACACUUGCAAUCGGGCUCCCGUGACACACGUCGCCCGGUUCGGCUCGAACUCGCAAUCGAUCAUCGAACGCUCAUCGAAUUCCAACCUAGAGUUAUCAGGGGCUCUCUUUUAACCUUCAAUUAGAGAAUUAGGAGAUCAAUUAGGUUCAAAACCCUAAAACCUCAAAACCCCCAAUUCCAAACCCUAAUUUCUCAUAUUCUCCAAAUACCCCAAAAAUUCAUAGAGCAACAUGCUUAGAAUUAUCUAGGAUCUCUAGAAUACCAUUCAUAAAGGAUUUAAUCAAAAUCCUCAACUCUCAACAAAAUGCGAACCUCAAGUCGAAGGCACGCCAUACUACCAAGCGCUCAAAGACUCGAUCCAUCGCUCCCCAUGCGUUCCCGAGCUCGCUCUCCACCAAAACCCUAAGUUUUGGAGAGAGAUUUAGAGAGGAGAUGAGAGAAAACUAGAGAGAAAAAGGAGAGCUUCUCUCUCUCUCUCAAGUGUGUGUGUGUGUGUUUUGCGUUGGCUGGGGAAGAAGGAGAAGGAAGGGUUCUCCUUUAUAAGCCUAUGCCUUCAAUUUACCAAAAUGCCCCCUUUCUGGGCAACCCGCGUGUACGGGGUUUGGACCUUGCACUCAGGGUCCGGACCCCGAGAGCACUUCCAGCUUGAAAUGACCUGGAGUUGGCGGCCGUAGUCUUUGCAUUGAAGCUAUGGCGCCAUUACUUUUAUGGCGAGUGGUGUGAAGUGUAUACGGAUCACAAGAGCUUAAAAUACUUAUUCACUCAAAAGGAGUUGAACUUGAGGUAGCGCAGAUGGUUGGAGCUCCUCAAGGAUUAUGAUUUGACAAUCCUUUACCACCCAGGCAAAGCUAACGUGGUGGUGGAUGCGCUAAGUCGGAAAUUGACGGAAAACUUAGCGAUGCUUGUGGUUACUGAACCGCCCUUGAUCGAGCAGAUGAAGCGGUUGGAGUUAGAGGUGGUGGCUCCUGAUAUUCCUUUGAGGUUGAUGGCUUUGGUGAUGUAACCUAACCUUUUGGAUAAAAUCAAAGAAAAGCAAGCUCACGAUGUGGAGUUGCAAAGGCUUAGAACUAAGAUGGUUGAGGGUUGCACCGGUGACUUUACUGUGGACGGUGUUGGAUUGAUGCGUUUCCGCGGUUGUGUGUACCGGCGGAUUUGAAUAUUAAAGAGGACAUUCUUCAAGAAGCACACCGUGCACCCUAUGCGAUACAUCCGGGAGGCAUCAAGAUGUAUAAGGACUUGGAGUUGCUUUAUUGGUGGCCCGGGAUGAAAAAGAACGUUGGUGAGUUUGUUGCUAGAUGUUUAACUUGCCAACAGGUGAAAGCUGAGCAUCGAGUCCAUGCGGAAAAAUUACAGAGCUUACCGAUUCUAGUAUGGAAAUAGAAGAAAAUCACCAUGGACUUCGUGAUAGGAUUGCCUCGCUCACAGGUCGGGCAUGAUGUUAUUUGGGUGAUCGUGGAUAGGUUGACGAAAUCGGCUCAUUUCAUACCUAUUCACACUACUUGGACUGGUGAGAGACUCGCACAGGUAUAUCUUGAUGAGAUUGUUCGAUUACACGGGGUACCUACUUCUAUAGUUUCGGAUCGAGAUUCCCGUUUUGUAUCUCAUUUUUGGAGGAACUUAUAGGAUGCCUUGGGCACGCGCUUAUAUUUCAGUACAGCUUUCCACCCCCAGAGUGACGGGCAGUCGGAGCGCACUAUACAGACUCUUGAGGAUAUGCUUCGAGCCAGUGAUCGACUUCCAGGGAGGAUGGUCGCGGCAUCUACCGAUAGCAGAAUUUUUUUAUAACAAUAGUUAUUAAGCAAGCAUCAAUAUGGCACCCUUCGAGACACUUUAUGGGCGAAUGUGUAGAUCGCCACUUCAUUAGAGUGAAGUUGGUAAGAGAUUGGCUUUAGGCCCCGAUGUGCUCCAGGAAGUAGAAGACAAGGUUCGUAUUGCUCGGGAGCGACUGUUGACAGCCCAGAGUAGGCAGAAGAGUUAUGCUGAUAAGCAUCGACGAGACUUGGAGUUUCAGAUUGGAGAUCAUGUCUUCUUGAAAGUCUCGCCGACCAGGAAAAUUAGAAGAUUUGGGAUCCGGGGUAAGUUGAGCCCCCGAUUUAUUAGACCGUAUAAGGUUUUGGAGCGUGUAGGCCCGAUAGCGUAUCGACUUGCUCUACCACCGAAUCUAUCGAGUGUACACAAUGUAUUUGAUGUAUCGGUCCUUCGGAAAUACAUCCAUGAUUCGGCUCAUGUUUUAGAUGCUACACCAUUGGAGCUGAGGAAUGAUUUAAGCUUUGAAGAGCAACCUUUGAGGAUUUUGGCUCGCGAGGUGAAGAGGCUACGGAACCGUGAGAUUCCCUAUGUGAAGGUGCUUUGGAGUAACCACGAUGAAUGCGAGGCCACUUGGGAGUUGUAGAGCGCACUGCAGGAGCGCUAUCCCCAUCUUUUUCAGAUGGAGACUUGAGGUAUUUUGCUUCUUGAGUUUCGUAGAUGAAACUCCUAUUUAGGAGGGGUGAAUGUAACACAUUGGACCUUUACAAAUUGCGAGGUUCGAGUGUUUGAUUAGUGUUCUGAGUUUUUCUAGAUUUUCUGGUGGGUCGUUGACAGUGUUCCGACCUAUGGCUCGUAUCCCGAGAAUUGAUAUAUUUAAAGUAGUGCUAAGGUCACCAAAGAGGAGGACUUAGGCUGCUCUCGGGUUGCCUUCUGCAGGAUUGUGUACUGGUACAUCUUGAUGGUUGUACCGGUACAGAAAGUGUACCGGUGACAACUCGAUAGUUGUACCAGUUCAGAUGUGGUUUAUGGCCAAUCCGAGCCUUGAGUUUGCGCAUUCGUGGGAUUUGUACCGGUAUACUUUCUCGUGUACCGGUACACUUUGCCAGAUUGCAAACUGGCAGCUUUUGAGGGGUGUAUUUGCUAUUGUUGCUUCUCUAUACAUACCCCACGGCCUUUAGAGGGUUCCCUGAGCUGGGAAACAGUGGAGACAAGGUAGGGGACCUCCUCUCUUUCCCUCUUUGGAUUUGAUCUCCAUUUUGCAUGGAUUUUGGUGGAUUAAUCCCUUCUUUUUCUUCUUGGUGCAAAUUCCACCUUGGGAGAAGCUUGGACUUCGAGUUUGGAGCUUGAUAGGAGAGAGAUCUUCAAACCUAGUGGACUUUGAUCCUUGUUUGAAGCUUCUAAAGAGGUUAGUUACAUACUUCUCCUCUCUAGAUCAUGAUUUGGUGGAUUUUAUGUGUGAAAACCCUAGAAAUGGAAACUUAGGGUUUAUUUGGGUAUUUUGGACUUAGGGCUUUUGGAGCUUAAUUCCUUGGAUUAGAACAUUCCUCUAGGUUGGAUUGGAAGGGUUCUAGCUCCCUUUUGAAGAUCGAGAGAGACUAUCACCGUCAUAGGUGAGUUUUUGCCCCUUUGCUAGAAAUGCUUAAUGAUUGAGUUUAGGGUUGUUCGUAACGUUCGUGUAUCUCUUCUCUUGUUACCUUUAGGGUGCUAGAAGAAUAGUGAGCAACUCUGUUCGGCGAAACGAAGGAGUUUUAGCGGAGCUUCGGUGGGUUUGACCUCACCAAAGAAUGAGAAAAUCUCAUUUUUGUUGAUUUAAGUAUCGUAAAAUGGAAAAUGAUGCAUUUUCAUGUUAGAUAUAUUAUUUAUGAAUUUUAGAAUGCUUAAAAUGCUUAUGUUGUAUACAAUGCAUUUUUGGACCUUUAUGUAGUAGAGAGCUUGCAUGUGAGACUUAUGCAUGAGUUUAGCAUUCGCAUUCGGGACUUAGAAUCAUGUUUCGUAUAGUGAAAAUGACAAUGUUAUAUGCCCUUGGACAUAUGAGAAUACAUUAGGCCAUGAAGUGGCUUGGGACUUGGAUAUCAUGUGAAUUAAUGAGCUAAUGUCAUAAAGUAACAUUGAGCUUGAUUUAUGUAUGAACCUAGUAAAUAAUGUCAUAAAGAGGCAUUAGAUUAGAGUGAUAUGUGAAUUAGGGAGCUAAUGUCAUAAAGAAACAUUGGGCUCGGAAAUGGGACUUAGCAAGCUAAUGUCAUAAAGAGACAUUGGGCUCGGAAUUGGUAUAGUAAGCUAGUGUCACAAAACGGCAUUGGGUUUGGACUAGAUAUGGACUUAGCAAGCUAAUGUCAUAAAGGGGCAUUAGGCUUGGAAUAUGCGCGGACUUAGUAAACCGAAUGUCAUGAAGUGGCAUUAAUGUUGGAACAAGAUUUGGGCGUAGUGAAAUAUAAUGCCAUAAAGGGGCAUUGGACAUAAUGAAUGGUUAAACCUUCACUUGGGAUAUUGGACUAGACCUAUGGGUUGCUAGCGAUCAUUUCCAUGGUUGAGCCAUGAUGACCGGAUCGUUGUGACGAUGACAAUGCUUGCUUACUUGCCAUUUGUGCUUAUUUGCACAUGCUUGUGAGGGUCGCUCCCUACAAGCCGGUACUUCGAAGUUGGCCUACGCGACUUAUGCUCGCUCGUGCGGUAUCGAGAAACCUACGGGGUCGGGAGGUAUAGACUCAUUCCUAUAGUAGGAAUGUUGGAACUACCACCGACAUUUAGGUGGAACAAGCUGGACUACACUUGUGUAAGUCCCCAAAACAAAAUUGAACAAUGACAUCAAUCCAUAAAUGAUAAUUACUACUAAAUAGGGUGUAGUAGUUGGAUCACCUUGCCAUGUACAUAGCAUAGCUGUGAGCAUUUGAGAUAUGUAGUAUACUUGGUAAUAUCGCUCAUUGCAUUAUAGUAUACUUGCUUGCCAUGUGGGAUCAUACUAGAUAUGUGUUGGACAUGCUUGAUCAUGAUAGAAUGAAUGUAUAAUAUAUUGUCAUCAUAUUACUUAUGGCCUAGUAGUUUAGCAUUCAAUACAUGCUUUCAUAUCUGCAGUUUAUUUUCAGUUGUUUAUCAUAUCUACUUUACUCGUUUGGGCCUAGUGGAGCAUUGUGCUGAGGUCAGUAAUUGCCCACUGGGAACUAUAAAUUAUAGUUCUCACGCCCCCUAUUUCUUGUUUCCUUUCAGAGCCUUCCACACCGGGUGAGGCUAGGGACCGCGGAAAGGGUAUCGUCUCGAGCUAGCUUGUUGGCGAGGGACUUAUCGAUAGGUGGUCUACAUCUCAUUGGUUUUAUUUUGGAGAGGUCGAGAGUUGUAUCUAUGUAUAGUGACAACCCCUUUUGUAUCUCGAGACAGUUGAUGUAUUUACUUUAUAUUAUAUAUUAGUGGAUUAGUUUUCUUUCUCUCUACUUGUUAUUAGAAUUUAGCUGUUGUUGCCCUGAUAUCUCUAGUUGUCUUACUUCUACUUGCUUUCAUAUCUCUAUUAUUGUAGACGCCUUACAUGUGCAGGCAUAUGGUGGGUCUAGGAUAUGUGCAGGCAUAUGGCGGGUCUGGGCACGCAUCGGGCGGGCCUACGCCGGGUCCCGCGGCGUGACAUCUAUUAUGCUCUAAUAGUGUAAAUUUGCAAUGAAUGCAUGUUCACACUCAAAUGAACAAAAAUUGAAAUCUCAUAAGAUUGUUCUAUUAUGUCUUAAAAGUGUAAAUUUAUAAUGAAUAUAUAUUCAAAUUUAAACAAACAAAAAUUAAAAUCUCAUAAUACUGUUCUAUUAUAUGCUAAGAGCGUAAAUUUGUAAUGAAUAUGUGUUUACAUUAAAAUGGACAAAAAUUAAAACCUCAUAAGACUGUUCUAUUAUGCCUUAACAGUAUAAAUUUGCAAUGAAUACAUGUUCACAUUUAAAUAAAUAAAAAUUAAAACGUAAUAAGAUUUCUAUUAUACUCUAAGAGUGCAAAUUUGCAACGAAUAUAUAUUCACAUUCAAAUGAACAAAUAUUAAAACCUCAUAAGACUGCUCUAUUAUGACCGAAGAGUGUAAAUUUACAACGAAUACAUAUUCACAUUCAAACAAAUAAAAUUUAAUCAUAUACGUGAUCUAUAAACCAUAUAUGUGUGUGAAAGAGACUGUACUAUACAAGUAGCAAUUUCUAAACCCUAACCCUAAAUUAUGAAUUCUACAAAUACAUAUAAAAUAAUCAUUCAUAGAAGUAUCCUAGUAUGUUUUGUUUUAAGCAGUAUAGCAAGGUAACUCCUAAAUAUCUCAUAACAUCGUUCUACAAAUCCAUAGGAGUAUAUAUUUGCAAUGAAUACAUAUGUCUUAUUAAACGAACAAAACUUAAUCAUAUGCGUCAUCUAUAAACCAUAUGUAUGUGUGUAUGAUUGUGGUAUACAAGUGAAAAUUUAUAAACCCUAAUCCUAAAUUAUGAAUUAUAUGGAUAUAAACAAAAAUAUAGGCACCAGUAAAUUUGUAUAGCACUAUUCUACCAAUCCCUAAAUUAUAUAUUUGCAAUGAAUAUAUGUUCUACAUUCAAACGAACAAAAUUUAAAACCUCACAGCACUGUUCUAUUAUGUCGUAAUAAUACAUAUUUGUAAUGAAUACAUGUUAACUAUUCUAAACCGAACAAAAUUUAAUUAAAUGCGUGAUGUAUAAACAGUAUGUGUGUGUGUGUGACUGUGGUAUACAAGUAGCAAUAUCUAAACCCUAACCCUAAAUCCUAAAUUUAUAUAAAUACAACAAAAAAUAAUAUAUACCAGCACAAUUGAAUUUGAAUAGUUUUCUCAAAUUGAGUGAAUUUAAUAUCUCUCGAUUAUGAAGACAGCGGCACGACAAGGCGAAUGUGAUGAUGGUAACCAAACCCUAAAAAUAUGAAAUUUUAUGUUAAAUAAGAAAUAAAAGAAUAAAAUUAUAGGACUUAUAGAAGAUUAGAGGGUUGUGGCUGAAAAGUCGAAAAUUGCCCCCAAUUUUGGGUGCCUACGAGCGUAUGAACGAGUAGCAGGUCCUGCGAUGGAUAGGGGAGGAGAGCGGAGCGGAGUAUCCUACAAGCGACGAGAGGUGAGCUCCUACCGAUGGAGACAGGCGAGAGCGAGAGAGAUCUCUGAGAAGGUUGGAGUAGGGAUUCCUAGAUAGCACAAAAGAGAGCUUGGGAGAGAGCUUGGGAGAUAGCAACAUGGGAAUGUGUGGAACGAAAGAAAGGCGGCAUGAGAGGCGAGCUCCUGCCGAUGGAGAGAGACAAGAGCGAGAGAGAGCUCUGUCGAUGGAGAUAGAUGACAGCGAGAAAGAGCUCAGAGAGCGCGAGACAGAGCUUAGAGAGCGCCAGAGAGAGAGCUUGGGAGAGAGCAGGGGAAUGCGUGAAAUGAAAAUAAGGCGGCGUGAGAAUAUACACGCACUUAAUUCCUGUUUAAUCUCAACCAUCUUUGUUUGGGGUGUAAGAUAUAUACACCCCAAACAGGAGUGUGCAUGUAGACUUUUCCUUUUUUCAAAUGGUAAACUUCAAUUUAUCCCAUUGUAGUUUAGUAUGUGUUUUUUUUGUAACUUUGUACUUCAAGAAGUUAUCCUUAAUUAGGUAUUUUGUGGUUUAGCGAAUUUUCACUUCGUCAUCAUGUGGUUCAAAAAUUUAUACUAAAUUAUACUAUGAUUUUAUUUUGCUUCGCUAUAAAGAUCUAUCGUUAAGUAGGAUAACAUCUUAUAAUUUUUAAAACAUUUUAUUUUACUAUCCUGUUUGGUCGUAGAUUUUUCGAUUAAAUAAAGAUAAAAUUUUUAAAAAAUUAAAUAUAUUUUUUUAUAAAAAAUAAAAAAAUAAAAAAGCUAAACUGUAAAGAGAUAAAUUAAAGUUUAUUAAAAAAAAACCUAAACUUCGUGCGAUCAUGCUUUUGCCAAAGUCGCUGUGGCAUUCUAAAGCCCACAAAUCUCCACAUCAGCGUUUUUGGGCCCAAACGAUGUGCACUCCAAGCGACGGACGGUCACAAAACAGUUGAAAGAUCGUCCUCGCCCUAGUAACGACGAUACGCGCAUACCAAACAAAAGAAAACAAAACAAGAAAAAUCGUCUUUUCGCUGCUCCCUGUUAUCACCUCCCUCCCGUAGUAAGCAGAUUAUAGCGGAGUUGGGUAAUCCGGAGGAGCCAAUAGGAAGGCGAGCCGCAUCGUUCGCUAUCCCUACUCCUUACCCACGCCCCGGCCCCAUUCACGGGCUCAGAUAAGCCCCCAAAAUCCCCCUCUCGUCCUUGCCCCUGUGCUAAAACAGAACAAAUCACUCUUCUCGUUCCUAUCAUGGCCACGUGUCUUAGGUUCCACCACCAGCCUCUGCACUCCCACAGCCCUAAAUUCCCUCCACCGACAUACCGCUCGCUCUUUCCUCCUCACUCUUUAAUGGACUAUACAUACCCACCGUCCCUCCUCUUCCUAGUUUUAGCGGAAGAGAGAAGGGUACUGCCCCUUUCUCAACAGCAAUCAAAAAAGAGAAAAAGUAUAUGUAUAAAGAACAGAAUUGGAAGAGUGCUUAAAGAAAGCAAGAAAGAAAGGUUUUGAAGAAUGUCGUCCCUGGUCUCCACCCCCUUCACCCACCCCAGUUCGGCGAGAAUAGAGCUGCUCUCCUCUGCAUCCCAGAGGCACCACAUUUUUCUCCACUCGUUCCUCCCCAGGAGCAGCAGCAGCGGUAGCAGUAGCAGGUCGGUCCGCAAUGGCCGGACGGUGCGGUGCGCCGUACUAGGCAACGGGCUGUUCACGCAGACCAACCCCGAUGUGCGCCGCAUCGUGCCCCCGGACGCGGACCGGAGCCUCCCCAGGGUGAAGGUGGUCUACGUGGUCCUCGAGGCCCAGUACCAAUCCUCGCUCUCCGCGGCGGUGCGCGCCCUCAACGCCGAGCGCCGCUACGCCUCCUUCGAGGUCGUGGGCUACCUGGUGGAGGAGCUCCGCGACGAGAGCACGUACCGGACCUUCUGCGAGGACCUCGCGGACGCCAACGUGUUCAUCGGCUCUCUGAUCUUCGUCGAGGAGCUGGCGCUCAAGAUCAAGGCGGCCGUCGAGAAGGAGCGCGACCGGAUGGACGCCGUUCUCGUCUUCCCGUCCAUGCCGGAGGUAAUGCGGCUCAACAAGCUGGGCUCCUUCAGCAUGUCGCAGCUCGGGCAGUCCAAGAGCCCCUUCUUCCAGCUCUUCAAGCGGAAGAAGCAGUCCGCCGGGUUCGCCGAGAGCAUGCUGAAGCUGGUGCGCACGCUGCCCAAGGUGCUCAAGUACCUCCCCAGCGACAAGGCGCAGGACGCCCGGCUGUACAUCCUCAGCCUGCAGUUCUGGCUCGGCGGCUCCCCCGACAACCUCCGGAAUUUCCUUAAGAUGAUCGCCGGCUCCUACGUCCCGGCUCUCAGGGGCGCCAAGAUCGACUACGCCGACCCGGUGCUGUUCCUCGACAGCGGUAUUUGGCACCCGCUGGCCCCCUGCAUGUACGGCGACGUCAAGGAGUACUUGAAUUGGUACGGGACGCGGCGCGAUGCCGACGAGCGGCUCAAGGACCCGAACGCGCCGGUUGUCGGAUUGGUCCUGCAGAGGAGCCACAUCGUCACGGGCGACGACGGCCACUACGUCGCUGUGAUCAUGGAGCUGGAGGCGCGGGGGGCCAAGGUGAUACCCAUCUUCGCGGGCGGGCUCGACUUCUCAGGCCCGGCGGAGAGGUACCUGAUCGACCCCGUCACUGGCAAGCCAUUCGUCCACGCCGUGGUGUCGCUCACGGGGUUCGCGCUCGUGGGCGGCCCGGCUAGGCAGGACCACCCGCGGGCGAUCGAGGCGCUGAGCAAACUGGACGUGCCAUACAUUGUGGCUCUGCCGUUGGUGUUCCAGACCACCGAGGAGUGGCUGAACAGCACCUUGGGAUUGCAUCCAAUUCAGGUGGCGCUGCAGGUCGCUCUCCCGGAGCUCGAUGGUGGAAUGGAGCCCAUCGUGUUCUCCGGCCGCGACCCGAGAACAGGCAAGGCAUCACCUGCACACACGCGCGCGCGCGCACACACACACUCUCUCUCCUUCCUUUCAUUUCUUUUCUUUUCUAGUCCUCUUCUUUCUAAAACUAAGUAUGAUGUAUUGUAUUUUUAAAUAAAGGCUAACUAUCGGAUGUGGGUGUGUUUUGGGCCCAGGGAAGUCACAUGCGCUGCAUAAGAGGGUGGAGCAGCUGUGUACGAGAGCAAUCAGGUGGGCAGAGCUGAAGAGAAAAUCUAAGGUAUGUUUUUUGCUGUUUAGUUCUGCUUUUGUUUGUGUGGAACUUAUUUUACUACGGCGUUCAUUACUCUAAGCAUCUUUCCUUGAUAGUGGUUAGGGUUGGAUAAAAAUAGGCGUAACAGCACCUGCUAAUUAAUACAUAUAACGUGCUAGCAUGCCUUAUCCCUUUCUCUACCCUAAGUUCCAGCUAUGCUACUCUAGCCCCAUUACCUUAAAUCAAAACUUGCUCCAACGAUAUGAUCCAAUAUGCCUAUUAUCCUUUGGCUUGGAAAUUUUCACAUUCAUUGUGACAGCAACAAGUUAACUGAUUUGCCAAAAUCAAUACAUUCCAGAGAGUAAACUAGAAUGUUACCAAAGUAACUAUGCAUGAAUUUGAUGUAAUUGCUAUGUAAGAUGCCACACCAAAAGAAUACUUGUGUUGCGGAAAAUACAGUUGGUUACAUAGAAAUUUUGAUUUGUCCUUUCUUUCUAUUGUAACUUACAUGUAUUUUUCCUCUUGGCAUCAGGUAGUUUGUACUAAAACUUUUCUCAAUUGUUUCAACAUCAUUUUUGUGACUCACUGCAGGAAGAGAAGAAGUUGGCAAUCACUGUCUUUAGCUUUCCGCCUGACAAGGGCAACGUGGGCACAGCUGCCUACCUGAAUGUCUUCUCCUCCAUCUUUUCCGUCCUUCGAGACCUCAAGAAGGACGGCUACAAUGUGGAGGGCCUUCCUGACACACCUGAAGCGCUCAUCGAGGAUGUCAUCCAUGACAAGGAGGCCAAGUUCAGUAGCCCCAACCUCAACAUCGCUCACAAGAUGAGCGUGCGUGAGUACCAGCAGCUAACACCUUAUGCGUCCCUGUUGGAGGAGAACUGGGGCAAACCCCCUGGCAAUCUCAAUUCUGACGGCCAGCACCUCCUUGUUUAUGGAAAGCAGUACGGCAAUAUCUUCAUUGGGGUGCAGCCCACUUUUGGAUAUGAAGGCGACCCAAUGCGCCUCUUAUUCUCCAAGUCGGCUAGCCCUCACCACGGCUUUGCUGCAUACUACUCCUUUGUGGAGAAGAUCUUCAAGGCUGAUGCUGUUCUCCAUUUCGGCACUCAUGGUUCUCUUGAAUUCAUGCCUGGGAAGCAGGUUGGGAUGAGCGACGUAUGCUACCCUGACAGCCUCAUUGGAAACAUUCCCAACAUCUACUAUUAUGCAGCUAACAAUCCGUCGGAGGCCACCGUUGCCAAGCGAAGGAGCUAUGCAAACACUAUAAGCUACUUAACACCGCCGGCUGAGAACGCAGGGCUUUACAAGGGACUCAAGCAACUUGCAGAGCUCAUCUCGUCUUACCAAUCCCUCAAAGACACUGGUCGAGGGCCACAGAUUGUGAGCUCAAUCAUCAGCACUGCAAAGCAGUGCAACCUUGACAAAGAUGUGAGCCUGCCGGAAGAAGGGGAGGAGCUUUCCCCUGAGGAGAGAGACCUCGUGGUUGGAAAGGUGUACUCAAAGAUUAUGGAGAUCGAGUCCCGGCUUCUGCCUUGCGGGCUCCAUGUGAUUGGCGAGCCUCCCACUGCCAUGGAGGCUGUGGCAACGUUGGUGAACAUUGCUGCUCUCGACCGUCCUGAGGAUGGUAUUUACUCACUUCCAGGCAUACUGGCGGAGACUGUAGGCAGAAACAUUGAGGAUGUGUACAGAGGAAGUGACAAAGGUAUUCUGGCUGAUGUUGAGCUUCUUCGGCAAAUAACAGAGGCAUCGCGCGGUGCGAUAUUCACCUUUGUGGAUCGGACAACGAACAAGAGAGGGCAAGUUGUCGAUGUUGCUGAGAAGCUGACCUCGAUGCUUGGGUUCGGCCUCAGUGAGCCAUGGGUGCAGUACCUGUCCAAGACCAAGUUUCUCAGAGCAGACAGGGAGAAGCUCAGGACCUUGUUUGAGUUCUUGGGAGAGUGUUUGAAGCUGGUUGUGGCGGACAAUGAGCUUGCGAGUCUGAAACUGGCCCUCAAGGGCAGCUAUGUGGAGCCCGGCCCUGGCGGGGAUCCAAUCCGAAACCCGAAGGUGCUUCCCACUGGGAAGAACAUCCAUGCACUGGACCCUCAGGCAAUUCCAACUGCAGCUGCAAUGCAGAGUGCCAAAGUGGUGGUCGAUCGGCUGAUAGAACGGCAGAAGGCAGACAAUGGAGGGAAAUACCCUGAGACAGUCGCUCUUGUGCUCUGGGGUACCGAUAACAUCAAGACUUAUGGGGAGUCUCUGGCCCAAGUGCUGUGGAUGAUCGGUGUCAGGCCCAUUGCUGAUACCUUUGGCCGUGUGAACCGUGUGGAGCCUGUCAGCCUUGAAGAGCUCGGCCGGCCUAGGAUCGAUGUGGUUGUCAAUUGCUCUGGUGUUUUCAGGGAUCUCUUCAUCAACCAGGUAUGUUGAUUUUCAAACUGUCUAUAGAUCAUAUAAUGAUAUGCAAUCUCUUUCUAGUCAGCACCGAACCGAACUAUAUAUGUUUGAUACGGUGAUGCAGAUGAAUCUGCUUGACCGGGCAGUGAAGAUGGUUGCAGAACUGGACGAACCUGUGGAGCAAAACUAUGUCCGGAAGCACACCUUGCAGCAGGCGCAGGAGUUGGGCAUGUCGGUGCGUGAGGCAGCGACACGCGUCUUCUCGAAUGCAUCAGGCUCCUAUUCUUCCAACGUCAACCUGGCGGUGGAGAACUCGUCAUGGAACGAUGAGAAGCAACUGCAGGACAUGUACCUCAGCCGCAAGUCGUUCGCGUUUGACAGCGAUGCUCCUGGGGCGGGCAUGAUGGAGAAGCGCAAGGUGUUUGAGAUGGCGCUAGCGACGGCCGAUGCCACGUUCCAGAACCUGGACUCUUCGGAGAUCUCGCUGACUGAUGUGAGCCACUACUUUGACUCGGACCCGACGAACCUGGUGCAGUCACUGCGCAAAGAUGGCCGGAAGCCAAGCGCGUACAUUGCCGACACGACGACGGCAAAUGCACAGGUGCGGACGCUGGCUGAGACGGUGCGGCUGGACGCGAGGACGAAGCUUCUGAACCCGAAGUGGUACGAAGGGAUGAUGUCGAGCGGUUAUGAGGGAGUGCGGGAGAUCGAGAAGCGACUAACAAACACUGUGGGGUGGAGCGCGACGUCAGGGCAGGUGGACAACUGGGUGUAUGAGGAGGCCAACACGACGUUCAUCGAGGACGAGCAGAUGCGGAAGCGGCUUAUGCAGACCAACCCCAACUCCUUCCGGAAGCUUGUGCAGACAUUUCUUGAAGCUAGCGGCAGGGGCUACUGGGAGACAUCUGAGGAGAACCUUGAGAGGCUUAGGCAGCUCUACUCUGAAGUCGAGGACAAGAUCGAAGGGAUCGAGCGGUAGUUACCAAUCAGUCCGGUGUUGUUCAUCUGGUUCUUCUAUUUGUAAAACUUCAAAUUUAUAAAAUUUAAUGUGUAUGGUAUUUAUAAAUAUGUAACAUUUAAAGAAUUUCAUGAGAUUGUGAUUUAUGAAUGAGACUGAAGCUGUAAUCAUUCUAUGAAAUCGAGAGGAAAGGGCUCACCAAAAGAGUUUGAUGUGAAGAUGCUCAGGCUACAAUGCUAGUUUUAAAGCCGCGGCGAAUCUAGCAGCACUAUAGUGAGCCUAAUGAUGUGGCCUAAACUAUUUAAUCUUCUGAAGUAGAUAAGUCAAAGGCGUGUUCACAAAGUCCAUCUCAUCAUAUUCCACAUCAAACAAAGGGCACAGAAAUCGCCAUACUGUCGCUAAUUCAAUAAGUUCUUUUAUAUCCUGCCAGGAUGUUGAAUCUAAUAAUUUGAUGGUCUUGAGACAGCAAUGAUCUAAAUAACAAGAAGUAUAUUCGCAAAGAUGAUCUCAUAAUAGUCUCCAUGAGGAUAAGAUUCUCUCCAGGGGCACAAAGAUACCACACUACUGUUGUUCUUAUUGUCGACAUUUUAAUUCUUCAUCAAAUUGAACAAUCAUUCAUGUUUUCCAUACAUAAUACAUUUAAUAUCCAAACGAAUAACAUAUUCAUGAAUGAAAAUUCAAACUUACCCACAGCAAGUAUAACAACAAUCCUCUUAAAUGUCAGUGUAAGAUCUCUAGUUGGAUAAAGAGUCUACUCUGAUUGAGUUUGAAAGUUCCCUAGUUGUAUCAAGCAACAAAAUGAUUCUGUUCUACCGUUUCUGUCACUUGGAUAACAGAUAACUAGUAGUGUUUUUUUCUUUCACCCUAUAAGCAAAUGAAGGUAUAUAACGGCCAUAAGAUCUGAUUCUAAUGCACAGCAGUUCCUAACUUUUUGACUAUUUAUCGCGGGAGCUCUUUGAUUUAAGUUAGGGAUAGUGAAAUCAAAACUAACGAAAGAUUACUUAGCAAAAUCAAAACUAUCAAAAUUCAGUUAUCCCUUCUGAGUAUCGGUAUUCUUUUAUUUGCUAAUUUUUGCUUUGCAGUCUUUUCUUUAUCAUAUUUUCAUCUGCAGAGCAUAUGGUUAACAUAGCUUACAUUACAGCAAGUAAAAUAAAAUUAGAAAAUUUGAAACCUUCUGCUCUUAUAACAUCUAAAACAACCAACUACUCUAAAAUGUUAAAGUACGAGAGCAUGUAUUAAUAUUUUAUAUUCAAUACUUGUUAGAUAUAACUAUCAAUUACUACUAAUUGGUGCAUUGUGUGGAUUAAGGACUAAUAUAAAAGUGCAAUUUAAUGAAUACCUCAAUACAUUACUAAUUUUAUAAGGUUGGACUUUUCAGAUGUUUAGCUGGCUAAGUCAAAUUUUAAAUAGAAAGUACAAGUUAAUGAAUUACCUCAAUACAAUACUUCUUUCUUUCUUCUUCAAGAUCGCCAUGAAAGAAAAGCUAUCUAGACAUCCAUAUGGUGAAUCAAAAGCUUAUGAAUGGAUGUUAAUGCUAGGACUCGGAUAGUAGCUAUGAGAGCAAUAGGCGCAUAUGUGUCGAAGUAGUCAACAUCAGCUUUUUGUUGAAAAUCUUGAGCAACAAGUUGCGCCUCAUACUUUUCUACUGAUCUGUCAGCCCUAAGUUUCUUUUUAUAGAUCCACUAACAUCCUAAGGGUUGGUUUCCAUAAGGCAAAUCAGUGAGGAUCCAAGUGUUAUUGCUAAUAAUCGACUUGAUUUCACUGUUUAUAACAUCUUUCCAAAAAGAAGCUUAAGGAGAACUUAUAGCUUUCAUAUAUAAUAAAGGUGUACUUUCAACUAAGAAAGUAAAAAAACCUUUACCAAAGUCCUUCUCGAAAUAAGUUCUCUUGCUUCUCCUUAAUUCAGUUGGUGGGCUAGGUUCAAUAGGAUCUAUACUAUGAGGUAUAUCAGAUGCAGGUAUAUGAUCAGAAGAAGAAACAUGUUCAAAAGUAGGUUAAUAAUCAGGGGUUGAUCUAGAGAUGCGAUUUUUGAAAGGAAAGAUGUUUUCAUAGAAGGUUGUUCUUUAGAUUCAAUCAAAGUAUUGUUGAAAAUUUCAAAAAUCUCAGAGUUGGUCACUAGAAAUCUAUAUAUAUUGCUACCUAAGGAAUAUCCAAUGAAAAUGGCAUCUAUAAUUUUAGGUCCAAUCUUCUUUCUUGUGGGUUCAGGAAUAGGUACCUUAGCUAAGCACUCUCACAUUCAGAAAUAACUUAACCUAGACGCUCUUUCCUUCCAAUGUUAAUAAGGAGUUUGGGUUCUAUCCUUAAAGGAAAUCCUAUUAAGGAUAUAACAAGCUGAUAAAAGAGCCUCCCCCCCACAAGUUCUGAGGUACACCAGAACUUAAAAUCAUGGCAUUGACCAUAUUCGAUUCUUUCUUCCAUCUACACCAUUUGACUGUGGUGAGUAUGGAGCAGUAACUUCAUGAAUUAUUCUAUGUUCCUCACAAAACAGAUUUAAUUCAUUUAAAGUAUACUCGCCUCCUCUAUCUAACAUUAUAAUUUUAAUUCUCUUCUCUAAUUGAUUUUCAGCCUCUGCUUUAAAGACUUCAAAUUUAUUGAGGAUUUCAUCAUUGGUCUUCAAGAGAUAGGUGUAACAGUAUUUAAAGUAGUCAUCUAUAAAUGUCACAAAGUAAUGAAAAUUCCUCCAUGGGUAAGUCCUUUAUUAGAAUCUCAGACAUCACUAUAAAUCAGUUCAAGAAUCUUGGUAUCCCUAUAAGGAAGAGAUUUAAAAGGUUUCCCAGACUACUUAGCUUGAGUACAAAUCUCAUAUUUGGAUUUGAGAUCAAUCUUGAGUUUGGAUACAAAGUUAAGAUUGAUCAAUUUUAGUAUAAAUUUAAGGUUCGCAUGCCCUAAUCUACCAAGCCAUACAUCACAAGAUUCAAUAUUUAAAAUAUUAGUAGAAGUAGGAGCAAAAGAAGAAUUUUUAUUAUCAACAAAAGGAAUACAUUCAAUUUGAAUAAAUUUUCAGAUAUAGAACCUUUUCUAAUAAACAUUUUUACCUUAGAAAUUACAACUUUAUUGGAUUCUAAUGCAAUCUUAUAUCCUAAUUGAACUAAUAAAGAUCCACUAAUCAGGUUCCAUCGGAUCUCGAGAGAAUGCUGCACAUUAUGAAGGAUCAAACUCUUUCCAGAAGUUAACUUCAGCUUGAUUGAUCCGAUCCUCAACAUAUUGACAGCUUUUCCAUCUCCAACGGUCACACAUCCUCUACUUGUGCCCUGAUAAGACGAGAAUAAGAACCAAUUAGUACAAACAUAGACAUUAGUUCCUGAGUGUAACUACCAGUUUAAAUCAUGAUAGGUAAUGUUAACAUUGGGUACAAAAGAGACUGACCUAAAAGUAGAGGAAGAAAAUUCGCCCUCAAUCAUGUUGACCUGAGGCUUAGGAUAGUUAUUGCUAUUGUUUUGGCCCUGCUUGUAGACAGCCUUAUCUUUCUUUCAAUAAAAGCAUUUUAAAGCAAAAUGGUUGUCCUGGCCACAUACAUAACAGAAACUACCCUUUUUUUUGUUCGAUCCCACUAGAUUGGUUGGUAUUGGGUUUCUCGUAAUGGUUUCGGUUUCGGUUCGGGUUCCUACCCUUAAAGCCUUUACCCUUAAAUUUGAAAUUUUUAUGGAUUUAGGCUCAUGGCUCUAGUUCUGAAUCUCGGUUAGGUUUAUAUUUGAUCGAUUGUUGGAUAGUUUAAUCUCCUUAAGUCGGUAUUAGUCUUCUAUUCUAUAGCUUGGAUUACCGACCUAAGUUUAAGUUCUCUGGGUUCGUCUAAGCUCUUGGGCAAAUUUGGUUUAGGAAAGGAGUAAUUUGUCUAGUAGACAAGUAGCCAGAUAGGUUUCAUCUAAGGUUGAACCAUUCUUAUGAAUCUUUUGGACAAACUUCUGAAAUUGGUGGAUUUGAUCAUUUAUAAAAAUGUUGUCUACCAUUCUAAAAUUGUUAAAUUUAGUAAUGGUAAACCUAGCAAUGCCUUUAUUAUCACUAAUGUAGGUAUCUUCUAGGGCAUACCAUAAAUAUUUGGCAGUUUAAUAUUUUCUAUAAGUUUCACAAAGUUUGUUAGAUAGACAACUAAGUAUUCUAAACCUAUAGUGAAAUUCAAUUUCCUUGGGGGAUUUAUUAGAUUUAGGUUCUAUAGCUGAGGUAGUAGCAAAUUUAAAAGAAUUAGAUAGAGGAGUUAGCGGAGGAGGACCAAAAAAAAUUUUAGAAGUAGGAAAAGGAUGUGUUUUUUCAAUUACAGUUAUGAGGCCUAAGGUAAUAAGCCAAGCCUCUAACUGUUUUCGCCACCUCAAAAAGCCUACCCUUUUAAAUUUUUUUGGCUUAAGGCAAGAAGAAUCAUCAAAUGCCAUUCUAAAUAACCAAGUUGAGGGAAUAAAGAAACUAAGGAUAAUUAGAAUGAGCUACAAAAAAGGUUCAAAAAAUCUUUUAAGAAAAACAAUCAUAUUACCGACCGUCCCUAGAGCAAGUGGCAAAGGGCUUGGUGGUUGGUACCCGAGACCAAAGUUCGAAUCCUAGUUGAUUCACAUUUCUAGCUAAGUUUAUUUCUAAAUGAAAUAAACGAAGCGGGUAGCGUGCUACCUAUCUCUCUCUCAAAAAAAAAAAGAAAAAAGAAGAAAAACAAUCAUAUUUGUUAAGAUUUCUUGUAGUGUACUAAGUUCCGGUAAACUAUACUGAAGUUUGGCCAAAUUGCGCAAAGAACAGUUGAGAGAUGAUUUAGACAUGCUUGGAAACAAAUUUCGAGAGUUUUGGAACGAUUAGAAUUGAACUAGAGCUCUAAAGAGCGAAAAUAAAAAUUUUGAAAAAUGUGUUUUUGGACUUCUGGACUCUCGGGUCCGGAUCUUGACUUGAGGAUCCGGAUCUUGAUAUAGGCCAGAGUAUCAAAGUCUGAACCAUGACAAGAGGGUCCGGACCUUGCCUACGCAAAAUAGAAAACUAGUUAUGGGGUACAAACCUUGGCUCCAGGAUUUGGACUCUUCGCUUGCAGACAACCCAGAUCGGGGACAUUUCUGUAAUUUUGGUAAAAAGGGGGCUCAACCCCACACCUCCGUCCUCUCUCUCACUUUCUUCUUUUCUUUCUUGAAAUCUCCUCAAAACUUGGAGAUUUGGAGAGAUUGAUCUUAGAAAGGACUUGGAUGUCUGGAGCAAGCUUCUUGGAGUAAGAAGAUGCUUGGAAAAUUUGAGAUUGAGAUGAGUUCUUGGUGUUUUGAGUUAGGGUUUUGGGUUUGAUUCUUUGUUUAGAGAUUUUAGCAAUCUCUAACUAAAUCUAGACCGCACCAAAUGGUAGAGAUUUGCCAUGAGAUUUGGAGCUUUGCCAUUGUUUUGAAAAACCUUGGUUUAAAAUAGGGCUUUUGUUUUGAAUGAGUCAAAAAAUUAUUUGACUCUUUAAAACCCUAAUUAGAUGGUAGGAAAUCAUGUGGGAUAAUUUGAUUUCUUGAAAUAAAACUAUUUGAGAGUUCAAAAAUGGUAACGAACCAUUUUUCUUGUAUUAGGGUAAGGAAGCUUGGCAUAAGCUUGUAGCCCAGGGAAUUGGCCUAAUUGCAAGUACCUACAAGCAAUUAGGAGCAUUUUGAGGUGGGUUGUGCUUGACUAUAGGUUGUGCUUGACUAAAGAGAUUAGAUCACUUCCAUGUCUAAGUGAAAAAUAACUAUAUUAAGUUAUUUGUGGAAUGGAUACAUGAAUAUUGACAUAAGUAGUGGAAUGCAAACGUUAUGCACGUGGUUGCAUGUAGUGCACAUGAAUCAAGGGCAUCAUAUCUCAUGGAUUAAUGGAUGCAUGUAUGGUAUUCUUGCAUAUUAUGUUAUGACUCGUGAAUGAAUGCUUACAUGAUUAGUGGAAUGCAUAUGUUAUGGAUUAAAUGGUAGGUUGUGUGCACCGAAGUGACUUGGUCAUCUCACAUGUCUAGAGAGUAAUAGUGAAAACAAGUUAAUUUUUAUUGCAUGGUAAUUUGAAUGUUAGAUAUGCAUGUUAGAGGCACAUGCUACUUGGAUGAUUUUAGUUUACUACCUAUGUAUGAGUAAAUGUGCAUACAUCUAAUGUAUUAAAUUUAGAGUUACUAAUUUGCAUAAGAUAAAUGGAUGCAUGCAUCGUUAUUUUGUAUACCUAUGUUGUAGACUGAAUGAUAGGGUGACUUUCUUGAGGGUCAUUAGAUAACUCAAUACUUAAAUGUAGAAAACAUAGUGUCAUUGGAAUAUAAGUUGGAAACAUAGUGGGUAGAAUACCACUUGGACAUGAUGGCUUGAACCUAAAAAGGUUGACAAUAUAGAGUAAAGACAAUGGACCUUUGUGACCAUAGAAGAAGGAAUUUCGAAACUCCUAGCAACCUAUGGCCGGGAGUGCACAAAUUGCCACAUAAUGCCAAAGGAGUGACUCAAUACCUAUGAGCUUAUGGUCAGGGGUGUGUAGAAAUCCACCUAAUGCCAAGGUGAGAGGUGAGAUGAGUGAACUCGCUUAAAUUUGUAAUAGAAAUAGUUUACUUUAUAUCUUGUGAUACUCUCCUUAUACAACGUAUGUAUUCAUUUCUUGCUUGGAAUAUAUGGUGUAUACAUGCUUGUGACACCUUGGACGGAUAGGAAAAACUCUGUCCAUUCGGCGGGUCUAGUGCACGAGCCCUCUGUGUGGUUUUGUUGUGGUCUUGGGGCGUGACAUUUCUACCCUAGUCAGCCAAAAUAGUUUUGGAUUUAAUUUUUUAAAAUUAAUAUCUUAUCACUGCUCAUUUAGCAGCAAACGGAUGGCUCAAACAAUUUAAAAGUUUGAUUUCUAUUAGAUAUUUUUGAGUAAAUAAUAUAUGCAACUAAACAAUAUCUAUAUAGCAAACAGAGUAUAAACUGAAACAAUAAGAAAAGCAUAAAUUAAAAGUGGUGUUGUCGGUUACAAGAUGCUUGUUUGAAGUGCUGGAUUAUGUAAAGUCAUGUUCCCAGUCGAUAUGCAGAGAGUUUGUUUCUAAUUUGAUCUAAUCUUGUUCCAAAAGAUUAGGGAUAGUCCAGAAUCACUUUAAAGAGGAUUCUUAAGAGGAUAUCAACUGCUAGAUGUGAAUCAGACUCAGAUGGAAGGUGGAGAUUGUUUCCUACUAGAAUUGGGAUUUUAGAGUUAUAUAAACCCUUGCAAUUAAUCUUUUAGAUAUAAGCUUCAUUGUAGACACUCUAAUUGAGAGGAAAAUGUGGAGAGCUUCUGAGAGAGAGUUUCUUGUAAUCCAAUUUACUCCUUUAUACUUUUGUGCCGUGGAUUAAUCAAAGAAAGCAUUGAGGUGGUCUUGCCCGUGGAUGUAGGUCGACUCAUGAUUGGUCGAACCGCGUAAAUCUUGUGUUCUUGUGAUCUCUUAUUUUCUUUAUUGCUUUGUUAUCCUUAUGCUUAUUUUUCCUACGAUCAUUUUCAUCUCUUACGUCUACGAAAAAUCCUGUUUUCGGUGUGCUCGUGUGCUGUGCAGGUUUGAGGUGUGUUCGGUAACUCCACGGCCGGUCCCUUCAUGAAGGGUGUGUCGUUAGCAACUGUGUGUUCCAAUCCUACCUAAAGAAAAUUUUUUUAACUGUAAUAAAAUAGUAAAAAUUUACUGUAGCAAUUUUUCUUGUAGAAAAACGGUAAUUUUAUGAGCUACAGUAAAAUCAAUUUUUUUGGAGGAAAGUUUCAAAUACCACCCCUGUGGUUUCACACUUUCUCACUUUAGUAUCCUGUGGUUUAAAGUGUAUCAAUUUAGUGCCCUGUCACUACAGGAAAAAUCGCUGGUAGAGGCGGUUGUCAAGAGGCGGUUGUUAUAACCGCUUCUAUGUUUUACAUUAGAGACAUAUUAGAGGCGGUUUAACACAACCGCCUCUAUAUCUUGAAAAAAAAAAAAACUAAAAUUUUCAUUUUUUUUCAUUUUAUUAUUGAUUCUACUAAUUUUUUUCGUUAAAUCAGUGACAAAGUUAAAACUAAAGUGUACUAAAAUGAAUAUUCGAUCGAUAAAUUUAGCUAGGGUAUCUGAAGUUUUUUGUAUAUAAUUUAACAAAAUAUUAACGAAAAAGCUGAAGAAAAGAUAAAAAUGAAACCAUAGGACACUAAUUUGAUACACUUUAAACCACGAGGUACUAAAGUGAGAAUGUGUGAAACCAUAGGGGUGGUAUUUGAAGUUUACCCUUUUAUUUAAUUGCAAGAAAAGAGUAAUGUUUAACAAUAAUGUUUAAAGAAAUCAAAGCCCUUUUUUUUACUCACCAAAAUAAAAUAGUAAAUUUCAACAACUAGAAUAGACAAUAAAUUAGAUAAUAAUAUACAACUACACGUUCAAGUGCUAAUCCCGAAAAAUUUAUAUUUGAAUGCCAAUCAUACAAACAAGUUAACAAACAAAUUAUAUGCAUGACAAAAUUAAUUUAAUAUAGAUUAGCACUUGUUAAAUUGUGAAUCAAAACCAGAUAGGAUUACGCCUUAAAUUGUUAGAAAAAUCGUAUUGAAAAUUCGAUUGUGAUUAAUUAUCUAACUAAUUUUGUGAUAAAAUUAAUAAAUGAACUUACAAGCGAGCACUAAGUUCCCAAAAAAAUUGCCAAAGAAGGAAGCCGGAAAUAAUUGAGUCGGAAGCGUGUGUUGCACUGCCCUAAGAUGUAUUCUUGUCCUUUGUGCGGGAUCAACUGGAAACACCGCCCCAAGAUAUGACUGAAAUUCCUUCUACGAGCACGGACGUAGAAGAAGUUGACGCAGUAGCUUCCAACACCCAGCAACAAAGAGAUCGAAAUAAAAUGAAAAUUGAAGAUGAAAUAGAUCUUAAGCAAACUUUCUUUUCAAUAUAAUAAUUUUUCUCUCUACAAUGUUCAUUACCUAUGAACAGUAAAAAUCGAGUAUAAAUAGAGGUGAGAACUGUCACGCCCCGGGACCGAUACCAAUUUGGGUCGGCCGACCACGUCAAACAGACGCCGAACGGACAGAGUUUCCCUUGUUCGCCCAAGGCUCAUCACCUGUACAUUUUCAAGUAGAGAAAAGUACUAGUGGAAACAUACACAAAUGGCUUACACGAGGGUAAGCAAUAACCAUGAGUGAAAGAAAAGAAACUAAACAUCUACACAAGUACUAUGAUUCUUUUUUGAUCACAUACAUUGCAUUCAUAGUUCUUUACAUACUUUUCAUCAUUUCUUUUUACAUCACAUUCUCCUCAAGAUAAACAUUACAUUCUUUUUCUUUUACAUCUCAAUUCAUCAAAUACAAAAGAUGAAGUAAGGGAAUGCUACUACAAAAUGUAAACCCAACUCUGGUGGCUUCUGACUAAGGUGCGAUACCUUUACCGCGGUCGCUCGCCGGCUCGCUCGGUCCCGGCUCUGUGGAAUAGUGGGGUAAGAACUACAACAAAGUUCCCAGUGGGUUCGGCCCCAAUCUCACCGACUUUCCCGCUAGGACUAACUCAGGCAUAAUAGAAAGAAAAAGCAAAAUAGUAACCAAACUAUAAUCAUGAUGCUAAUAUGCCUGAACAAUAAGGCAAGAAAUAUGCUCAACGUAAAUCAUGCAAGUAUGCAAGUUCUUUGUUCUUUAAACUUUGUUCUUUGUUCUUUAAUCUCACGGCUAACCCGAGGGUUUCGCCACAUUAACUUGCCUACAUUAAGUCCAUUAUCGCGGGCCCUCAGCUUCCUCCCGCUAAGACCGUCCUCGGGUUUACUCCAACCCGUAAUGCAAAACUCUGGAGCGCAUCGCUCGAGGGGGAGCGACCGCCCUCGAGCACGGAACUCAUAGCAAGUAUGAUCGAUCCUUAACUCUAAGGAUAUAUGGUUCAAUCAUUGUCUUUACACUAACUCUAGUAUUCUUUACAUCAUUUUAUUUUGCUAACUCUAGCAAUCAUUGUUCUUUAACUUCACUCAUUCUUUAUGCCACUUUCUUUUUCUUUACUUGUCUCUAAUCAUUAUCAUUGUUCUUUGCGUCACAUUUCUCUUUGAUGCCACACACACUAACUCUAGUGUCAAUUUACUUUACAUUAUCGAAUGCCACUCGAUUUAUGUUUUAUUGUGUCACUUUGUUCUUUCAUCUCAUUGGGUGCUCACAUUAUAUCUCAUGCAUACAUAUAGGGUUGAAUAGGUUCUCAAACAUUUCAAAUAGCACGUGUACUCACAUCAUGCAACACUCACAUUUAUAACAUCACAUCUACCCUAUAAUGCAUGCAACAAUAUAAACAUAUGCUCAAUUGAAUGACACAUUAGGCAUAGAGGAAAUUCCAACAAGUUUGGAUAGCACCACCCACCUCGUAGGCGUACUAGGAUGCUACAAUGAUUUUCUUGUAAUUUUUAGACUCCUAGUUCAUCACCUGCGGCAAAAUGAAGCCAUAUUAGGCCAUUUUGCUCAUAUCUUUACAUAGGCUUUUCGUAACGUCAAUCCAAGCGCACCAACGCGUCGGAAAUACCCCCAAUUAGGUUUCUAGAGGGUCAAUUUCACUUUGAAGUCCUUCCGAGCAAAAGCCCCAAUUUGGGUGCCCUAGCUCCAACACAUACACAAAAUCUAGGAUUUGAUCUCAUUAGGAAACAAAAGAGAGUUUAAUCUACUCAAGAGAUCCCAUUAAAAUCCUUUUUAGCUCAAUCAAAAUCCUAGUUUGGAUUCUACCAUGAGAGAGGUUGAAGCUCACCUCACAAUUUCACUACAUAUACCCAAUCCAUGGCUGUGAUCUCAACAAGAAGCAAAAGAUAGCUCCAAAUACUCAAAAGGUUCUUUUAAAACCAUUUCUAGGUCAUUUGGUUCUCAUUCUAGGAUUUUACCAUGAAUAGGGUUCAAGCUUACCUCAAAGCUCUCCUUUCUUUGUGUUAGAGGUGAAGGAGAGGGAGUUACUUCACUCCUUCUUCUUCUUCUCGACCUUCCUUCUCUUUUCUUCUUCUUCUUUUCCUUUCUUUCCUUUCUUUUCUUCUUCUCCUUCUUGUCUUCUAAAGAGAGAAAGAGAGGAGAGAGUGUGUGAGAGGGAGAGAAUGAGAGAUAGGGCCCUCAUAACCCCUCAACAUAACCCAUGGGUUGCAAAAAUGCAGAUAGGCCCCUCAACUUUCACUCUAUUCACACUACCCAGACUGGGCAUUUUCGGGCUGGGGGGACCGGUCUCUCCUUCAGGGACCGGUUCCCAUAGCCCCUCCCCGUGGUCAGCAGGGCUCCCGCGCGCAAUGCGACCGGUCUCUCGAGGACCGGUCUCUCUAGCAGGGACCGGUUCCCGUGAACCUGAUCUUUGGGACUUAGCCGAUUUUCCCCUUUUCUCAUCUUUCAUGCGUACGGGGACCGAUCUCUCCUUCAGGGACCGAUUUCCGAGAGCACAAAACCUGCAGAAUGCAGAUUUUUGAUUCUUUAGCUCUCGAAAACCUCCCACAAUGCACUUUUGAUCCUUUUAACACCUUCGGACUUUUCGAAGUGUACCAUCCUCGCACUUUGGUCAAUUUGACUAAAGUUCGUUAUUUAUUUUUCGAAUUCUCGGUAUAUUACAUUCUCCACCCCUUAAAAUAAUUUCGUUCGCGAAAUUACACAUACCUUAACUUGUCAACUCAAAUAAAUGCGGAUAGUCUCUCCGCAUGGUCUCCUCAAGCUCCCAAGUGGCUUCUCGUGCUGCAUGGUUGCUCCAUUGGACCUUCACAUAUGAAAUUUUGCGACUCCGCAACUUCCUUUCUUCUCUUUCGAGGAUGCACACCGGGUACUCCUCAUAAGACAUAUACUCACGUAACUCCACGGGCUCCUACUCCAAUACAUAUGUCGAGUUUCGAAUAUACUUUCAGAGAUUUGACACAUGGAAAAUAUUGUGAACUCCAGCGAGUCUCGGUGGUAGUGCGAGCUUGUACGCUAUCGCACCCACACGCUCCAAUAUCUCGAAUGGUCCGACAUAACGGGGGCUUAGCUUCCCGCGGACCCCAAAUCGCUUUACUCCACGCAUCGGCGACACUCUCAAAAAUACGCGGUCUCCAACUGCGAACUCUAAGUCCUUUCUUCGCUUGUCGACAUAACUCUUCUGCCUUGACUGCGCUGUUGCUAACCGUUGACGGGCAAGGCAGACUUUUUCCUCCGCCUCCCGCACUACAUCCGGGCCAAGAGCCGUUCUCUCGCCCACGUCGCUCCAAUGAAUAGGAGAACGACACUUUCGACCAUAUAGUGCCUCAAAUGGCGCCAUCGCUAUGCUAUCUUGAUAACUGUUAUUAUAUGCAAAUUCCGCCAUCGGCAGAAAAUCAUGCCAUCCUCCUUUAUAAUCUAGUACACACACUCAAAGUAAAUCCUCAAGGAUCUGUAUUGUCCGCUCUGACUGUCCAUCACUCUGAGGAUAAAACGCUGUGCUAAAGUCGAGCCGUGUGCCUAGCGCGUCUUGCAAGCUCUUCCAAAAGUGGGAUGUGAAUCUGGGGUCUCGAUCCGAUACAAUUGAUACCCGAACCCCAUGAAGUCUCACAACCUCGUUGAGAUAAACUUGAGCUAACUUGUCUCCCGACCACGUAGUAUGUAUCGGCAAGAAGUGUGCCGACUUUGUUAAUUGAUCCACUAUCGCCCAUAUCACGUCUUGUCCGUCUUGUGAUCGAGGCAAACCGGUAAUAAAGUCCAUCGCUAUAUCUUCCCAUUUCCAAACAGGUAUUGAUAGAUUUUGUAGCUUUCCCGCCGAAAAUCGGCGCUCUGCUUUCACCUGUUGGCACGUUAGACAUUGUGCCACGAACUCCCCAAUGUCUCUUUUCAUAUUCGGCCACCAAUAAUGCUCUUUCAAGCCCUUGUACAUUUUAGUACCGCCCGGGUGUAUACUAUAAGGAGAUUGGUGCGCUUCUUGCAUGAUCGCUCUUCGAAUAUCACUAUCUUUGGGCACGCACCAACGAUUUUGAAAUCGGAGUGCGCCAUCGGCUCCAAUGCCAAAAUCCUCGGCACUACCGUUCUCAACUUCACCUCGUAUCUUCUGAAGAUAAGGAUCCAAAGCUUGAAGUUCUUUGAUCCUUUCCAAUAGGGUCGGUUGCACAACUAAUACGGCAAGUGUAGCCAGCACUCCCGGCGCUACCACUUUCAACCUAAGCCUUUGCAUCUCCUUUUGCAAUAGCGGUUGAGGCGUAAUUGCCAUCGCUAAGUUCUCCGCCGAUUUUCUUAGAGCAUCGGCCAUGACAUUGGCUUUUCCCGGGUGGUAUAGUAUAGUGACAUCGUAGUCCUUCAAAACUCCAACAACCGCCGCUGCCGUAUGUUCAACUCCUUCUGGGUGAACAAGUAUUUUAGACUUUUAUGAUCUGUGUAGACUUUACAAUACUCACCAUAUAAGUAAUGCCUCCAAAGCUUUAGCGCGAAGAUCACCGCGGCUAACUCGAGGUCAUGAAUCGGUUAGUUCUUCUCAUAACUCUUUAAUUAGCACGAUGCAUAUGCAAUGACCCGCCAAUUUUGCAUUAAUACACACCCGAGACCAACAUACGAGGCAUCACUAUACGCUACAAAGGUCUCCCCCGGAGUCGGGAAGGCAAGCACCGGGGUCGACGUCAACCUGCUCUUUAACUCCUCAAAGCUCCGAUCACAAUCGUCACUCGAGACAUACUUUACUCUUUUAUGGGUAAGGCGCGUUAGCGAAGUGGUUAUUUUAGCGAACCCCUCCACAAACCGCCGGUAAUAGCCCGCAAGUCCGAGAAAACUGCGGACCUCCGCUACACUUGUCGGGCGAGGCCAAUCCUUGAUCGCCUCCACCUUCUUCGGGUCUACCGACACUCCGUCGCCCGAUACCACAUGAACUAAGAAUGUGACCUCCUUUAGCCAAAAAUCACACUUCUUCAACUUUGUAUAGAGCUUCUCUUGUCUGAGUAUUUGCAACACAGCUCUCAAGUGCUCUUCGUGCUCCUCCUCACUCUUUGAGUAAACCAAUACGUCGUCUAUAAAUACCACGACGCAUCGAUCCAACAACGGCCUAAAGACUCGGUUCAUCAAGUCCAUGAAUGCUGCUAGGGCAUUAGUAAGCCCAAACGGCAUUACCGUGAACUCAUAAUGGCCAUACCGUGUACGGUACGCCAUUUUGUGCACAUCCUUCGGCCUAAUCUUUAGUUGAUGAUACCCCGAUUGGAGAUCAAUCUUCGAAUACACUUUGGGCCCUUGCAACUGAUCGAAUAAAUCGUAAAUCCUCGGCAACGGGUACUUGUUCUUUAUCGUCACUUUGGUGAACUCGCGAUAAUCUAUGCAGAGUCGAAGUGUACCAUCCUUUUUCUUCACAAAUAGCACCGGAGCUUCCCACGGUGACACGCUCGGCCUCACGAAGCCUUUAUCGAGCAAGUCUUGUAAUUGGCCUUUCAACUCCUUUAGCUCCACCGAUGCCAUUCUAUACGGAGCCUUCGAAACUGGUUCCGCCCGGGGAAUCAAGUCAAUGACGAACUUGACCUCCCGGUCCGGUGGCAGUCCCGGUAACUCCGCCGGAAAUACAUCCGGGUACUCGCACACUAUCCGAAUAUCCCCCAACUCUGGGUACUCCUUUCGAGCAUCGACCAUGGUUGCCAAAUAGGCCUUACACCCUCAUUUGAUAUCUUCUUCGCCCUUACAGACGAUAUGGUCGCCGUAAAGCGCCUACUUUUGCACGCUUGGUAUACCAGUUCUUCUUGAUUAGGCUCACGAAAAGUGAUCACCUUGCUUUCACAAUCUAUAACCGCAUAGUACUUGGAGAGCCAGUUGGUCCCCAAGAUAACAUCGAAUCCCCACAUCUGAUCUAGCACUAGCAGAUUAAUCGGCAUAAUCCAAUCGCCUAUUUGCACUGGACACGCCAAACACUCAUUGUGGACACUGAAUGAAUGUUCUGGGGCGUUCACCCACCAGUAGUCCUCGUUAUAUGCCAUUUUUAUGCCAUGAGUUUGAGCAAAUGAUGGGUUAAUGAAUGAAUGAGAUGCGCCUGUAUCAAAUACUGCUCUAUCUCUAGUGCCUUUAAUCACAAUUAUACCUGCCACGACGUCGUCGGGUGCUGCAGGUUGCUGCUCCUCCACCUGAGCGGCAAAGACUGGGCCGCUAGGCGCUCUCGAUCCCUCCGGCUAACGCGGUGAUGACGUGCGCCCAGCCGACAUCGCUGGUGGUAACCCCGCAAGCUGUCUUGGGGUAGACGGUGCUGAUGCCGCCAUCGGCGCAGACGACGUCCAGCUCGGGCACUCCCGGAUAAGAUAUCCCGGUUGGUCACACUUGAAACACUUGCCAUUGCGCUGCGAGCAAGCCGACACUCGGUGCUCUCCGCCACAAAUGACGCACCGAGGUGGUCUCCAGUUCCUCGUCUGCUGUCGGGGAUACCGAGGGGGCUUCUUAGCAUUUGGCCGGCCCCCGGCACCACCCGUCGUCCGCUUCUUGCCUUUUUCCUUGCUCUCGGCCAUAGCCUCCCAUUCCUCUCAAACGUAAGCACUACCGUGCUCCGCCCACAAAGCUCUAUCGAAGACCUCCGCAAAGGUCGACAACUUCAAGAUCUGCACCUUCUCGUAAAUUCUCGACUGGAGUCCUCGCAAGAACCAAUCAGCCCUAUCCCGAUCAUCUCUAACAACAUCGGGAACGCAGUCGAUAAUGUAGGAGAAUUCCUGUUCGUACUCCCCCACUGAUCGAUCGCCCUGUCACAACUUGCAGAACUUUUCUUGCAACCUCCGCUUCACCGUGUCGGGGAAGUAGUUCGCGAAGACUGCUCUCUUGAACUCCUCCCAAAGCAUAAGCGGAAGAUCGGCAGGUCGAUCCCACUUGACUCGCUUCCACCAUACUAUCGCCGCCUUCUCAAGACAAUGGGUGGCGAGGUACACUUUGUCCUUCUCCGAGGUAUUUAGGUCUCCGAAGAGCGUUUCCAUCGAGUCGAUCCACGACUCCACGACCGCUGGCUCCACCAAACUACCUUCAAAGACAGGUGGGUUGAACUUCUUAAACUGUAUGAGAGCCGCCAACGUGCGCUCCCGCUCCGCUUCUACCGCCACACUAUCGAAAUUUGAGGUUCCCGAUCCGGCCGAUACUACCGUAAUUGGAACAGCUGCUGCUGCCGCCGCUCCCUCGUCCACGUUCGGCACUGCCACAGGGGGCGCGACAUGCUCGACACCCGCCUGGGACGCCGCCUGCUGAUGCUCCAAGGCCUCCUGGAGCCGUUGAAUCUGCUCCCCUUGGCGUUGAACAGACUCCGCUUGUUGCCGCACUACGCCGAUAAGUGCGGCCAUCUGCUCCCUAAGCUCUCCGUUGCCACUCGCUCCAGAUCGCUCGAGCGCCGCAUUCGACCCCUCAGGCAUCGACCUUGUCUGCGGUCGACCACGAGGUGACAUUGCUUCCUGAAAAGAAGCAACUCGCAUUAGCUACUUGACCAACAUUAGCUGACCAUACCCAAUCUGGCGAAAGCAACAUGCACAUUCAUCCUUGCCUGAAGCGUCAUGUCGUCGGCCGCCCGACACAACACUAGAAGUAGAGGACAAACAAAAAUUAAACUUAACCUCUAAUCACAUUAGAGACGUCCCAACGUAACCCAAUCACAUGCUUUCGCUAUCUUUAAUUCCACGUCACUCACGUUUCCUAAAUCCUUAAGGUCUUCCAAUCCUAAGGGUUUCUAGGUCCAUUCCUAUUCUUUCACUCUAGGCUCUGAUACCACAAUAUCUGUCACGCCCCGGGACCGAUACCAAUUUGGGCCGGCCCGAGCACGUCAAACAGACGCCGAACGAACAUAAUUUUUCCUGUCCGCCCAAGGCUCAUUACCUGUAUAUUUUCAAGUAGAGAAAAGCACUAGCGGAAACAUACACAAACGGCUUACACGAGGGUAAACAAUAGCCAUGAGUGAAAAAAAGAAAAAUAAACAUCUACACAAGUACUAUGAUUCUCUUUUGAUCACAUACAUUGCAUUCAUAGUUCUUUACAUACUUUUCAUCAUUUCUUUUUACAUCACAUUCUCCUCGAGAUAAACAUUACAUUAUUUUUCUUUUACAUCUCAGUUCAUCAAAUACAAAAGAUGAAGUAAGGGAAUGCUACUACAAAAUGUAAAUCCAACUCUGGUGGCCUCUGACUAAGGUGCGAUACCUUUACCGCGGUCGCUCGCCGGCUCGCUCGGCCCCGGCUUUGUGGAAUAGUGGGGUGAGAACUACAACAAAGUUUCCAGUUGGUUCGGCCCCAAUCUCACCGACUUUCCCACUAGCACUAACUCACGCAUAAUAGAAAGGAUAAGCAGAAUAGUAACCAAACUAUAAUCAUGAUGCUACUAUGCUUGAACAAUAAGGCAAGAAAUAUGCUCAACGUAUAUCAUGCAAGUAUGCAAGUUCUUUGUUCUUUACACUUUGUUCUUUAAGCUUUGUUUUUUGUUCUUUAAUCUCACGGCUAACCCGAGGGUUUCGCCACAUUAACUUGCCCACAUUAAGUCCAUCAUCGCGGGCCCUCAGCUUCCUCCCGCUAAGACCGUCCUCGGGUUUACUCCAACCCGUGAUGCAAAACUCCGGAGCCUAUCGCUCGAGGGCGAGCAACCGCCCUCGAGCACGAAACUCAUAGCAAGUAUGAUCGAUCCUUAACUCUAAGGAUAUAUGGUUCAACCAUUGUCUUUACACUAACUCUAGUGUUCUUUACAUCACUUUAUUUUGCUAACUCUAGCAAUCAUUGUUCUUUAACUUCACUCAUUCUUUAUGCCACUUUCUUUUUCUUUACUUGUCUCUAAUCAUUAUCAUUGUUCUUUGCGUCACAUUUCUCUUUGAUGCUACACACACUAACUCUAGUAUCACUUUACUUUACAUUAUCGAAUGCCACUCGAUCUAUGUUUUGUUGUGUCACUUUGUUCUUUCAUCUCAUUGGGUGCUCACAUUAUAUAUAUAGGAUUGAAUAGGUUCUCAAACAUUUCAAAUAGCACGUGUACUCACAUCAUGCAACACUCACAUUUAUAACAUCACAUCUACCCUAUAAUGCAUGCAACAAUAUAAAUAUAUGCUCAAUUGAAUGACACAUUAGGCAUAGAAGGAAUUCCAAUAAGUUUGGAUAGCACCACCUACCUCGUAGGCGUACUAGGAUGCUACAAUGAUUUUCUUGGAAUUUUUAGACUCCUAGUUCGUUACCUGCGGCAAAACGAAGCCCUAUUAAGCCAUUUUGCUUAUAUCUUUACAUAGGUUUUUCGUAACGUCAAUCCGAGCGCACCAACGCGUCGGAAAUAUUCCCAAUUAGGUUUCUAGAGGGUAAUUUCACUAUGAAAUCCUCCCGAGCAAAAACCCCAAUUUGGGUGCCCUAGCUCCAAUACAUACACAAAACCUAGGGUUUGAUCUCAUUAGGAAAUAAAAGAGAGUUUAAUCUACUCAAGAGAUUCCAUUAAAAUUCUUUUUAGCUCAAUCAAAAUCCUAGUUUGGAUUCUACCAUGAGAGAGGUUGAAGCUUACCUCACAAUUUCACUACAUAUAUCCAAUCCAUAGCUUUGAUCUCAACAAGAAGCAAAAGAUAGCUCCAAAUACUCAAAAGGUUCUAUUAAAACCAUUUCUAGAUUAUUUGGUUCUCAUUCUAGGAUUUUACCAUGAAUAGGGUUCAAGCUUACCUCAAAGUUCUCCUUUCUUUGUGCUAGAGGUGAAGGAGAGGGAGUUACUUCACUCCUUCUUCUUCUUCUCGACCUUCCUUCUCUUUUUCUUCUUCUUCUUUUCCUUUCUUUCCUUUCUUUUCUUCUUCUCCUUCUUGUCUUCUAGAGAGAGAAAGAGAGGAGAGAGUGUGUGAGAGGGAGAGAAUGAGAGAUAGGGCCCUCAUAACCCCUCAACAUAACCCAUGGGUUGCAAAAAUGCAGAUAGGCCCCUCAACUUUCACUGCAUUCACACUGCCCAGACUGGGCAUUUUCGGGCUGGGGGGACCGGUCUCUCCUUUAGGGACCGGUUCCCGUAGCCCCUCCCCGUGGUCAGCAGGGCUCCCGCGCACAAUGCGACUAGUCUCUCUUUGGGGAACCGGUCUCUCUAGCAGGGACCGGUUCCCGAGAGCCUGAUCUCUAGGACUUAGCCGAUUUCCCUCUUUUCUCAUCUUUCACGCGUACGGGGACCGGUCUCUCCUUCAGGGACUGGUCCCCGAGAGCACAAAAUCUGUAGAAUGCAGAUUUUUGAUUUUUUAGCUCUCGAAAACCUCCCACAAUGCACUUUUGAUCCUUUUAACACCUUCGAACUUUCCGAAGUGUACCAUCCUCGCACUUUGAUCAAUUUGACUAAAGUUCGUUAUUUAUUUUCCGAAUUCUCGAUAUAUUACAAGAACAGAACGUUGCAUGGAAUCAACCCAACGUUCCACUCCAAGCCCUAGUUAGUAAAUUCGCAAAUUAUUCGCGAAUUAUUGAAAAUCCGAAUUAAAUGGUCCGUUUACGAAUUUUUUCAAAAAAAAGAGAAUUAUUCACGAAUUUUUGGGUCAGCCGAAUUAUUCGCGAAUAAUUUGCGAAUUAUUCGCGAAUUAUUACCAAAUUAUUGAAAAUAUGAAUAGAAAACUUAUAAUUUUAUUUUAAAAUAUAAAUUAUUUUAUAUUUUAUAUCUUAUAUUUUAUAUUUUAUACCGAAUCUGUUUUUUAAGCCGAAUUUUUUAAUGAAUUUAAAAAUUAGAAAACAAAUUUUGUACGUAUUAUAUCGGUACCGAAUUUUUGCCAAAUCCGAAUUAACUAACUAUGCUCCAAGCCAAUAAAUACCGUACAUUCCAUCAAAUUAAUUAAAAUAAAAUAAUAAUAAAUACUAAUAAAUGAGAACAAAAGAAUUAAUAAAUUAAAAAUAAAAAAUAAUAUUAAUAAUUGGGAAAUUUUAGAUUUUUCACCAACAAUAACUAUCUUGAGAAUCCUAUUAUUAUGUAUGUUUCAACUAUUAGUUAUAUUCAAUUUAUCAAUUUUUACCUGAUCUCUUAAAGACUUACAAGGUAAAGUUUUAGCCUGCGCAUUGCCUCAUUGUCCCAUGGUGGUCACACCUUCAUCCUAGUGAUGUACCUUCCCCACAACAUCACAUUCGGUGCUCCAACAUGUUGAUGAAAAUUCAAAAUCCUACAUCUUAUUUCAAUUAUUAAUUACUCCUUUUUUAUUUUUAAUUUUCUACAUUUUAAUUAUAAUUUUAUUUAUUAUAUUUUUUUAAUCCUUUAGCCCGCUACAUGGGCGGACGUUACGCGCGUCCGCGCUCUGUGCGCACCUUAUUCUCGGCGGACGUUUUGUCAUUUGUUAGAAACUAAUUAAAGGAAAAGUGAACGUUGGAGUUAAUAGGAUAGUAGCAGGACUCUAUAUAUAUGUAUAUGUAUAUAUAUAUAUAUAUGUAUAUGUAUAUAUAUAUGUAUAUAUAUGUAUAUACGUCUAUUGUUGUCAGGACAUAUAGAUAUAUUUCAUUUGCAUGAAGAAUAGUGAAAAGAAAUAAUUUUAUUUUGAGAUUCCUUUUCAUAAGUUAAUUCUCUUCUGUUUAUCGCUGGGUGUUGAAAGAAGCUCCGUCAACCCCUUCCGCGUUCGUGUCUGUAGGAGGAGAAAUUUCGGUCGUGUCUUGGGGCGGUGUUUUCGGUUAAUCCCGUACGAAGGAAGGGAAUACGCCUUAGGGCAGUGCCUCGCACGCUUUCGGAGCUAAUUAAUUUUGCAUUUCCUUUUUUGGGAUUUAGCGAAUAUCUGUAAGUUGAUUUUAUUAAUUUCAUCACGAAAUUAGUUAGACUUUAUCACAAUCGGAUUAUUCGUUGCGGCACUUUCCCAACAAUCUACGGCGUAAUCCCCUAUCUGAUUGUGAUUAAAUCUGACGGUGCUAAUCCAUUAAAAUAUAUAUAUAGUGCAUAUAAUUCUGUUUGACAAUUUGCUUGUAUACUUGUCAUUCAAAUUUAAAUAAAUUGGGAUUAACAUUUUCAAAUUCUAAUUGCAUAUAGUUUAUUUGCAAAUUAUUACUUCUCAUAUUUGCUUUGGGGUGUUUUUAAAUUUUAAAAAAAAAGGGAUUUUACUGUUCUACUAUAGUUUUUUUUUUUUUAAAAAAAAUUGCUACAGUGAUUUUUUAAGACUAGUACGCAUAUUUUAAAAUAAAAAAUUUUGCUACAGUAAGUUUUUAAAAAAAGGUUGCUACAGUAUUUUCCUUUGCACAGUUCGGAUUUUUUAAAACUAAAUUUUGAGGAAAAAAAGGGGGUUUUGUUACAGUAAAAAAUAAAUUUUCAUGCGUACCGUUUUUUGAGUUUGCUAUAGUAAAACUUUUUUGAAAAAAAAAAGGAAAACAAAAAAAAAAAACCUAUUUCGAGUAGGAAUUGAACCCUUCCUUAACUGGUUAGCUCCACUUAUAAAUAGACCCAACACUCUCUCCUCAUGCGCACCAACUGAGAAUACCCCCCGUUUUCCUCUCUUCUCAUCUCCCUCUCCUUCUCUCUCUAGAAUCUCCCAACAAAGGUGGAUUUGGUAGGGAUUGAAGGUGGAUUUGGAGCUUUUGAAAGAAAGGAGCUCUAGUGCAAGGUGGAACUUGAGGUCUAGAGGUGACCAAGGUAAGGGUUUGCAAGUUCUAAUCUAGGGUUUGUUUUGGUUGACCUAGAAUCCAUGUUUUUAGAGUUCUUGAGGUUUAGAAAUCUAGAGUGAUCCAUAGUUUCUCAUGGUGAAAGAUGCUUGACCAUGACAUGUGGAACCCUAGGGUUGAGAUUAGGGUUUUUGUAGAUAUGGGGUUUAUAGUAAAAUUGAUUCCUUAAUUCCUUAGUUGAAGAAUAAAUCGACCCAUAGGGAGGCUCAAGACGAAGUUCCUAUGAGCCUAUGGCACAUCGUUGAGGAAAAACACCGUUUUCCAUUCGUUACUUGACAUUAGUUGAUACGGAUGGAUAGAUCCCCGAGUAUUGUUGUCCCUAGUUGGUAGGGUAUCCUCGGGUUUAGAGGAUUGGAUUGUACUCACAUUGUCUGUUUAGCGUGGCGGUGGUCGCUCCAACCAAACAGUGGGCUCCGGAGUUGUCACAUAAUGGGUUAACGUAUCUACCGAACAGACGGUCCCGGGUGAGCGCAGCUGGGUGUCUCCUCACAUGUGGGAUUGGUUGUGAGUUGGGUUUAACCUUCGGGUUAGCUGGUGUGAUUGGGUUACAAGCAUAUGAAUGACAUGCAUCAUGAGCAUCAUGGUUACUUUAUUCAUAUCCUGUUGUUGAGGCAUAGUAGUAUAUUAGUAUUUCUUAUUUUUGUAUAUCUCUCUACUUAUGUCUGUUUAGACCUAAUAGAAAAAUCGGCAGGGUCAGCGGCCGAACCCACUGGAAACUUCUUUUAGUUCUCACCCCAUUGUUGUACAGAUCCCAGAGCGGCCGAGGGUCGUGGCAAGGGCAUAGCGCCCUAGAUAGCGGACAUCCCAUGCAUUAGCAUACCUUGUACUUGUAUCAUGUAAGAGAGAUGUCACAUUUUGGAGAGACAAUGUAGUGAGGAUAUAAUGUAUGAACUAAAGAAUUGUAUUUUGGUGAAUUGUAAAAGAAUGGUUAAACAAGUGAAUGAAUGUAAUAGUUUAGUUAAAUUUCUCUCUUGCUCUUGUUAUUUUUCUCGCGCAAAUCAUGUAUAUUAUUUGUUUUUAUUUGGGCAAAACUAGAUGUACAUGAUGUUGUUGAAACUUUGGCGGUACAUGGGAGACUUUGUCCGUUCGGCAUUCUGUGCACGAGUCUGAACCGACUAAAUUGGCGGUUGCGGGGCAUGACAAUAAAUAUUAUCUAAUAAAUUCUAGCAUUUUCUCGAAUAUUGUCCCCAAACCUAAUGGUACUCCUCCGAAUCAAAUAGCAGUCCAAAGAAUUAGUGAAUCAUCACCACGGGCUCAACGAGCAAUUGGUAGGGUUUUAACGAAAGAUUCACUAAUUAGUGGUAACAUACCAAAUCCCAAACACUAGUAAGUUAAAUCUCUCUCUCUCUCUCUCUCUCUCACACAUGCACACACUAGGUGAGUAAUCAUGCAUAAUCCAACCCUACUCUAUAUGUGAAGUGUCCAAUGACGAUACAGUCCAACAUAGUAAUCAUAAAUCUUAUGAAGAGAAAAAUAAUAAUAAACCGGACAUGUAGAGUAACUAAGCAUGUAAGAGAGUAAGUGAUAAUAAUUUGAUUAGAGCUACUCUACCAAUCAUGUAUUAUCUAAUUAUAAGUUAUAACAAUAACAAAAGUUGAAUCAUAGAGCAAAUAACACGAACAAUAUAUAAGGAUACAUGCAUAAGCAUAUGUACUCAACAAAUAAGAUAUAUGAUCGAAGCAUAACAGAAAAUAACUAAGUAGAACAUAACUUUACUGACAUCCAGAUUGAAGCACCUAUCUUUGCUCGAAUAAACCUGAGUUCGUGACUCCACCAUAGCCUCUAGGUGUCACAGGAACCUAGGCAUAAUGAUCGAGUGUCAUUUUCAGCCUCUGUGUCCAUAACACUAAUUAACUAAUAAACCUAAACCUCAAUGAAGUGUAUUACGACAUACUCGGAAUAUCAGUUUCGCAAUAUGACUUUCGGAACUAAACCAACGAACGGGCCAACUCUACAAGAGUCGAAAUGGCCCUCGAACAUCAAGCUAACAACAACCAAUGCAACUUAAUCACCAACAACACUAGCAAGUGUGAUCGGAACAUCGCAUUCUUUAACCGAUUUUCAAACAUCUCCAAAUUUGUUCCCUAACCUAUCGAGACCUCCAAUCAGACCAUGAAGCGUUGCGAGCUAUGUUAUAGGUCUGCUUAGACCACUUGCUGUCUCGAGACACACCAUGUGACGACUCAACAUAUCAUCUACUAUCCCAAAAGAUACCACUUUAGGUGUCGUGACAGUCGCAUCCCAUAAAGUGCAAUAAUGAGAUCCACUGCCUCGAACUUGGCUGUAUCGAGUUCCAAAAUACUGUUUUUGGCUUCGGAACAAACCUACAAUAUGCAUGCUGGCAACACAGGUUGGGGAGGGUGUGGCGUCUAUGGGUGAGGAGAGAAAGAGAGGAGAAAGGAAAAAGGAGAAAUAAUCUUAGUUUUCUCUUUUUUUUAUUAUAACAAUUGCAGAAUUUUCUACGCCAUCUUAAUUUGCUUUCCUAUAUACUGCUUCUUAGCCACCUUCGCAUAGAAGUCCUUCGUGUUGAAAAUUUUUUACUUUUCACACAUGAAAUGAGGACCUUUUCGAACACUGCCCUUUUUCUCCUAUGUUGUAAUAAAUGCUAUUUGGCCCUUCUAAAUCUCAAUUUCUUGCUCAAAACCACCUCACUUGUGCAUUUUGUACACAAUGCCUCCAACUACAAAGUCUCAUACAAGAAAGUAUAGAUUUAGUGGCAUAUAUAGAUGCUGCUAAAUGAGUAAGAAAUGUAACUAAAUUUUUUAGCAACACUUAACUUUUAGUGUUGCCUAUGCCCGUGUUGUUGAAUCUUUUAGCAACAUAUGGAGAGAGUGUUGCUAAUGCUGAAGAAUUAACAAUAAUUAACAAAUGUUGCUAAAUGAAAAUUUUAAAAAGGCAAUUAUUAAAUGGUGGUGCAUAUUGUUUAAUUAAUUCUUGUAUUAAUUUAGCUAUUAUUUUUUGAAUUAAAUAAAUUUUUUUUAUUAAUUAUAAAUUUUGAUGUUCAUUAAAUUAAAAUAUUAUUAAUUUUGAUUAAUUUUUUUAAUUAUAGUUAAUAAUAAUCAAAUAUUACUAAACAAUCACAUAUAAUAGUAUUUUGAACUAUUGGUAAAAAUAUUCAUUAUAUUAACAUUAAUUAGUUAUUAGUGUCUGCCGCGAACGAACCGGCCCCGCCGUAGGUUGUUUCUAAGGCGAGUGGUUAUUCAUGGUAGAGAUAAAAUUUGUUUAUGUUUUAUUUUGAAAUCAGGAUUAUACGUUCAUGGCUUCCAACAGACUCAAGAAUCUGUUGUUAAUUACCCCACACUUUCGGUGUUAAGGAACCCUCGAUUAAGAGACCAAAUAUAAAUGCUGAUAAUAAAAGAGACAAAACAGGCAAAUAAAAUUUUAUUGAUAUGAUUUGCCGUUUACAUGGCUUAAGCAGGGGCAUACCCCCACUGUACAUAAAUUGAAUCCUAAGUAUAUGUAUUAGGAUUCAGUUGGAUUUGAGAUUGACUAGGUCCUAAGUAUAUGUAUUAAAACCCAGUCAAUAUUAGACUCUGUGUAUUAGAGCCUAAUUGGCUCUAAGUAUAUGUCUUAGAGUCCGAUUAUGUCCACCUUGGUUAUAUGUUCCAAGAUAGAGAUGUGACCAGACCUCANAAAGAAAAAGCAUCAAAUUAAAAUAAUACCAAUGUAAUAACCACAAAUAUAAUAUCUAAAAGUAAAAUGUAAAAAAAAAAUUGAUGAAAGUUAAGAAAUAAAAAACCUCAUAGCAUACCAUAUAAUACAAAAAAUUAAUGUAACGAAGAAUCAAAAUGUUGAAGGGCAAUCCUAUUCUAGUCAUACUAAACCUUAUUAGUUAAGGAAAAAAAGAAAAGAAAAUUUCAAAUCUAUGAUUUUGAUUAGAAGUUAAUAUGAAAUUACUUUACCUUACAAGAAAGGAAUACUUACUUAUCUUUAGAAACAAAAGUGAUGAUCCGAUACUAAUUUUUUCCUCCAAUCUUACAAAAUAAAAAAAUUGGCGAGAAAGACUUCAUGGAAUUAAGGAAUAGAAGAGAAAACCACGAGAGUAAAAAAUCUUUUGAAGUUUAAAGUGAAGAAACAAAGAAAAGGGAGAGAGAUGGAAGAAAAAAUCACUAAAAGGAGAGAGAUGAAAUUUUAAAAAUUUGGAGGGCUUUUCAAAAUUUGGAAAACUCAUUGUCAUUUAUCACCAAAAAUACUGUUAAACAUUGCAACAUUUAAUACUUAGUGUUGGUGUUAUUUGUAUUUAGCAAUAUUUGUAUCUAAAUAUUGGUAAAUAAAUACAUUUAGCAACGUGAAUAAAUAAAUGUUGCUAAAUUUUAUAAUUUGUGUCACUUAGUUAAAUGUUGCUAGUUAAAUGUUGCUAAAAGUUAAACUUUUGCCACAUGAAAUAUCUCCUUUUUUGUAUCAAAGUUCAGUUUUGUUGGUUUUUCUCUCACUUGAUUUAUAUGCAAGCUUCAUUUUAUUGCUCGAAAAUGCACGACAGUUCCUCUCAUGGCCUAUAUUACUGUUAGACCUCAAAAGUGACAUAUUUCAUUGAAAAAAACUAUCUAAUUACAGAGUGGUCCCCCAACUUUACCGAGAAGUUUCGUCCUCGAAACUUAAUUACAAAUCUUACGUAGACAAAAGUGGGUACCGCUCUUGCAUUAUAGAGCUCCCAAGUGGCUUCACGCUCCUUGUGACUCUUCUAAUGAAACUUCAAAUAUGGAAUAGUCUAGUUAAGCAAUCAUUUUUCCUUGCAUGCCAAAAUCUACUUCUGAGCUUCAUGAAAGCUCAAACCCUUCUGAAACUGAAUCGACAUAUGGUUGAUCAUGUAGGAAGUAUCCAAUAUAUACUUUUGAAGCAUGGAGAUGUGGAAAAUACUAUAUAUGAACAUGGGCGAGACUCAAAGUAGGUCUUGAUCUAUAAGCCAUCAGACCAAUACACUCUAGGAUCUCAAACAAUCCAAUAAAACGCAAGCUUAACUUGCUUCGCAAUCCUAACCAUUUGAUUCCCUUCGUAAGCAACUUUGAGCAUCACAUUAUACAUUGAUGCUGGUCCGCAUUGCUUUUCUGCUCGCUCUGUGUAGUCAAGAUCGCUGCCUCGUGAUGUGAAUCUUGACCUCCAUGUCCUCUACCAAGUCUGGCUCAAUCACCUAGCAUUCGUUGAUGUCGAUCCAACAGAUCGAGAACCAAUAUCUAUGCCUAUAGGGGAUGGGCAGAGGAGCUCCAACAAGAUAGACUAGAAGAAAUAGUGUAAAGAAAAGUAUCUAUAGAGUAAUAUUCAGUAUCUUUAAUAGAACAGGGAUCGAGAAUGAAACGGUUACCAGUUGGGACCGGAAUGAGAAUGUAGGGGCCGAAUCCCUCUUUAUUUCCCUCGACCGAACCAAAGGCUUUGAUGUGUUCGGGGUUGCAGGCCGUUACAUUCAGCUUAAGUGAAAGAGUAUUUUUGGCGAAUGAAUAGGUGAUUUUCAAUAGAUGUUCCAUAACGGAGGCGAUCUUCGAUAAUUUUUUAUGAAGGGUUUUAUGACAAAGAUGAUUUUUGGUGUACAUCUCUGAUGGAGACUAGAGAUCAGAGACUUUUGGGGCCUAAGUAGAGAGAUAAAUUGUAGGAGAAAAUGACUGAAGUGAAUAGCCCACGACCUUUAAAUACUUUGACAGGGUCAAUAGUAGGAUGCCGCGUGUCAUGACAUGGAAGUUGAAGCGACAGCUGUGCUUGUGAGGCGUUAUUUCAUGAAUCAUUGGCCGAAACUUAAAGCUUAACCUUAUUUACAGCCAAUGAGAAGGACAAUUGUUGACAUCAAGUUUUGUUUGUUGAACCUAAAGAGUGGAGAAUGAUCUUGUUUGUUCAUAGCAUAACAGAAGAUGAUUACGAAUCAAAAGUGUAGAGCUUCAACUAUUGGAUAAAGUGGAACAAUCUCAAUCGUAUGCUAUAUGGCAGGUGAUAUCCGUUAGGAUUUGGUUAGAUUUGUAGUUGAAUCGUAGUUGGAUAAAUAUUAAUAUUUAAAUCUAUUGGAGAUAAUUAACAUUUAAAUAUUAAUUAGAAUAUAAAUCUAACUAGAUUAGGAUAAAUAUUUAAAUCUAUUGGAGAUAAAUCAAUUAAAAUUUAAAUAUUUAUUGGAGUAGGAAUCCUAAAUAUAUUAGGAUUGGGGUACGUUUUGUUGGAGCUUUAUAAAUAGCUCUUGAUGGGAUGCUUUUGGAGAGUGUAUGGUGAGAAAUCCCUUGGGUAGUGUCGUACCAGGAGAGAGAAACCUAUAUGCUUUGAGUGCACCUAGUGCACGGGUGCACGUAGAUAGUUGUCUUCUUUGUGGAUUUAUAGAAGACGAGAGAAGGGUAGAAGAGAUUCAGAAAGAGGGCUCGGGUUGUAACUACUCUAUUCAGAAAAGGAGUCAGGUGUAAUAUUCUCUUAUUUAAUGAAUCUUAUUUUACUCGCAUAUUUUCGGAUUUGGUUUUUUCUCUUUUUAUCUUCGCUACCAGCGACAUAUGAGCAUCUGGUGACCACGUUGCUUUAUGGCAAGGAGACCAUAAGUGUGGAGUCAGUCACGGCGGCAUUUCUCUCGAACGAUGACUCAGGAGUCUGGCACGCAAAGUCGGGAUAUUACUUUGGUAGUGAAAGCGAAGAAUGAGGCGGCAAUAUCAGCGAUCGAAGAUCAACAGAAGAAGUCGCUAUCCGAGCUGGAGUGCUUCUACUGUCAUAGGAAAGGACAUAUAAAGCGCAACUGUCAAAAGCUUCAGAAUGAUCUGAAGGAGUUAAAGCGACAAAAGGAGAAAACUGUCGUGAACCAAGAUGAGACGAUAUCAACGAAGGGGCAGGCGGCAGAAUCGGAGAUGAUCGAUUCUGAUGUGCUGUAUGCGGCGACCGAAGGUGCUAAAAUUUGGAUGACGCGUGGGUGCUCGAUUCGGCAUGUUCCUUUCACGUAUGCUCGGAGAAGGAGUCUUUUGCUACCUAUAAGGUAAAUAAGGAUGGAAAGGCUCUGAUGGGGAACGGGACGGCGUGCAAAGUUUUGGGAGUCGACACAGUGAAGAACCGAAUGCACGAUAGGGUCGUGAGGACGCUGACAGGUGUGCGACAUGUUCAUGGCUUGAAGCGAAAUUUGAUCUCGUUAGGGGUAUUGGACUCGAAAGGUUGCGAUUUUUCAGCUUCAGGUAGAGCUAUGAGAGUCCGAAAGCGAGAUCGGAUCAUGUGCGAGGCAAACAAGCAUGAGAACUUAUACGUUCUGAACGGAAGGACAGUCAGAACGGGAGCGAAGGCGAUUUGGGUUCUAAAAGUUUGCGGAUGUGCAGUCGCUCGAGGCCGAGCGGCGAAUGCGGUGACAUCGAGCGGAGGAGACAAGCUCAAGAUGGAGUUUGUAUGGUGAGCUCGAUGCAGCGGUUGAAGACUACAAAUCCAACUAAGGUGGAGAAUAUUAGGAUUUGGUUAGUUUGUGGUUAAAUCCUACUUGGAUAAGAAUUAAUAUUUAAAUUUAUUGGAGAUAAAUUAAGAUUUAAAUAUUAAUUAGAGUAUGAAUCUAACUAGAUUAUGAUAAAUAUUUAAAUUUAUUAGAAAUAAAUCAAUUAAGAUUUAAAUAUUUAUUGGAGUAGGGAUCCUAAAUAUAUUAGGAUUGGGGUACGUUUUUGGUGGAGCUUUAUAAAUAGCUCUUGAUGGAAUGUUUUUGGAGAGUGCACGACUGAGAAAUCCUUUCGGUAGUGUCGUACCGGGAGAGAGAAACCUAUAUGCUUUGAGUGCACCGAGUGCACGGGUGCACGUAGAGAGUUGUUUUCUUUGUGGGUUUAUAGAAGCGAGAGAAAGGUAUGAGAGAUUCAGAAAGAGGGCUCGGUUUGUAACUACUCUAUGCAGAAGAGGAAUCAGGUAUAAUAUUCUCUUAUUUAAUCAAUCUUAUUUUACCCGCAUAUUUUCGGAUUUGGUUUUUUCUCUAUUUUAUGAUUGUAUCAGCUUUUGCUGAGAAGACGAGUUUAUAAUAAAAACUCGAUUUGACACUUCCAUUGCGGAAUCCUAAUAAUCAGUACCGGAUCAACAGCAGCUGGUAUCGAAGCGGGUUGCGGAUUCACAAAAUUCGAUACUGACGUGAGUACCGAAAUUCCAACAUCCAUUUCCUUAAUAUCGGGAUUCUGCUGAGAAUUCUGCAGAGUUUGAGUGUGGAGGUUAUAACUAGCCCUAUGUAGAAGAGAAAAGUAUCCUUUUUCCAUACAAUUGAACUCUUGAGAAUAACUUGGAGCCGCAGUAAAUCAGUAAAAUAGUAUCUAGUAGCUAGUGGUGGAGCUAAGGGCUGGGCCCAGGUGGGCACGUGCCCACCAGUAAUUUGCUUUCCUACUUUUUUUUCUUGAUAAAAUUUAGAACAUGCACUAUGUGAACGCAUAAAAAAUUGCAUCUCUCCUUUUUUUUAUCUUAGAAAAUAUAAAAAUUUAAUUAUAAAAUAGAUAUUUAUUUGUUCAUAUAUUUAAAUAUUUAUAAUUUAUAAUUUUUUAAUUAGAGUGUUAUUACUCGAUAAAAUUUAUUUAUUUGGUUAUUUGUUAUACUAUUUUUAUCUUUCUGAUUAUAGAAUAGUUUGGCAGUAGCAAUAGUUCAGUAGCCUUUUGUAGUAGUACUUUCAGGCAAGGAUUCAAGUGCCGGCCGUGCCACACCGUGUCGGUGCUGCACGUACCGUGCCACCAAGAAAGGGGCACAGUAUAGCGGGGAGGACCCCCCUUCCCCCCCCCCCGUGUAAGAUCCUUGGUGUUUGGCGGUUGAGGCUUGACGACAGUUCUGGAGAGUGUCGGGACAAGUCUGAGUCACGUUGGCAUGAAACAGACGCAAAACGAACUCUGUGCGACGCGAGAGCAGCAUUUAGCAAGAAAAUCUGUAAAUAGCAGUUUCCUACUUGCUGUACCGGUACAGACAUCACGGUGUACCGGUACACUGCUCAGGGCUUCACGCAGCUUGCUCUCGGGUUGGCCACUGUACCGGUACACGGGCCCGUGUACCGGUACGCCAAGGUAGGUAGGAGGACUUUUUGGUCUUUUUCCACCUCGUUCGUAUUACCCUUUCUCUCUUACUGUAUUUAGGCUUGUGUAGAGCUGAGAGAGUGAGUUUUCCAUGUCCUUAUUCUCCUCUCUCUCUAGCUUGGACCGUGGGCAAGGAGGAGCUCGGGUGGAGUUCGAGUGUCGUCGACGUCGCGCCGCGGUGCCAUUCGAGUGUGUCUUCAUCGUCGUGGUGCUGCGAAGAGGCUGGGUGAGCGUGGUUUUUCGCCGUCUUCGACGUUGCGCCGAUUCUAGAGGGGUUUUCGAGGUGAGUGAUCCAUAGACAUCGCUUCAACUACUUUAAGCUCAAGGAUGUUGUUUUUGCAGAUUUCCUGCAUCGACCGUUGGCGUUUCGGCUCGUGUACGACGUAGGAGCGUCAGAUUGCAGUGAGACUUGGUUCGUUGGAUUCAGGACUUCGAGAGGAAUCCACGAAGCCCAAGAUUGCAGGAUUUGGUGAAGGUUAGCUUGGUCGAACCUUAUUUUACCCUGCUGUUGUUAUACAUGGACAGAAUUGAUGGAUUUCGAUUGUAGAGCUUGGAGUUAGCUCGAUUUCUAGACUUGGAGGACUUCGGUCGAUCCAGCAGGUUAUUCCACAGCUGAGGGAGUUCUUUGCUGCCAGGGAUUAGCAAUUAAAGUGGGUUUAUCAUCGGUUUUGCUCCUAAGUAUAUGUAUAGUAAACUUGUAUAGUUUCGACUUCGGAAUAUCCUGUUGUAGCUCAAAUUCAUCGGUUGGUUUAUUGUAUGAAAGCUGAAUUGAGAGCAUGAAUAGUAAUUAGUUGAAUAUACAUGUUGGACUUGAAAUUUGACUUAGAAGAAAACUAGCGAUUCGACCUGUCAUAUGAUUCUACUACCUGAUUUAGCUCUAGGAGCCGUGGUUUGAUUGUAUCACUGUUGUUUCAGCGCGGUGGAUAUCCGGGGUAGUUUAGAAUGCAUUUACGCUCGGACGGGAUGCCGAGCUUGGGUAAUAUUUAACUGUAGGUUCUACACUGUCUUUUCUGCUCCCUCCUUAAGCUUUUGUGCUUUGUAUUCCCGCUGUUAGUGCGCAAUUGAUACUCAGAUAGCUUCUGAAGCUGUUGUGCUUCGUAUCCCCGCAUGCGCAUUUGAUACUCAGAUAGCUUCGGGAGUUGUCGCGGAUAGUAUCCACACUGUUGUGUGCUUUUGAUACACUGAAAACUUAGGAGCUGUAGUAGAACUGUAUCACCGCAGUUUGUUGGUGCUGGAUACCCGAAAUAGUGUAGAAUAUAGUUACGCUCGGGCGGAGACGCAGAACUUAUUUUUACAGCAGUGUCUAGGCUGCUUCAGACUGUCGGGUGCCGUCAGGAUUGACGGUGGACCAGAUUGCGGGUUUUGCAUCAGCUUGUGCCGAGGGCACGUGAGUCUUGAUUGUUAGACCAGUUGAACCCUAUUUAAUUGAUUAUAGCCUGUAAGAGCCUGAUUGAGCUCAGUAGAGAUACGCUUGCAUACUCGGUUGGGUAGCGCCCACGAGUGCCACUCCGAAGUCGGGCUUUGUGCGUUUGCGUUGUAUAGUGUCCUGGUUGGACUUGCUCUCCACGGACUUGUUAGUGUGGAGGUAGCAUUUAGGAUUCGACAGGCGGGACGGGUGCGUUCACAGUCCCUGGGACGGGUGUUUUCACAGUCCCUAUGGAUUUGGGUCUGAGGCUGCAUUACUCGACAGAUAGUAGUAUUGGAUCAUGUUAGGAUAGUGGCAUAUAGCUGUAGAUUUGUUCUAGCUUCCUUUUCUAUCACUGAGCUUAGAUCUGUAGACUUAGUGGGCCGACCGAUGAUAUUGAGGGCGGCACCCACUGAGGACUACUUGUUUUACAGUAGUUCUCGUGCCCUGUUUUUAUCCCGUUUUUGUAGAGCUAUCGUCUUCGGCUGCUGCUGUUGUAUCUUGGAUUUGGCGUAUGUAUAUGGAACUCGGUUUGUUUUUAUUACUGGUUCUUCUAGCAGCUCUAUACUACUGUUUGUAGUAUUGUAUGAUUUACAGGUACAGCUAUGCUUCGUAUACAGGAAAAAAAUUUUUGUAUACGACGGAUUUGUCGGCGUGCUCGGGGAACGUGUAAUCCGGGGCGUGACACACCGUACCGCGGUAUGUGGGGUCGUGCCGCACGAGACAGAGCGGCACGACGAUGCGUGUCGCGGCACAGUGUCGUGCCGGCACUGUGCAUUUUUUUUUUAUGUUUUGUUUUAUUUUUGGGGUAGCCGAAGUAUUCUGGAUACCCUACAACCCCCAAAAUAUAUUGCAAAUCGAAAAUCUAGGCAAGUCAAAAGAAUUAUAAUUUAAUUUUUUUGUUUAUCAAUAUAGGGCAAAUUUUUAAUUUACAUAUCCAAUCCCUCCGCUUCCAUCAUAGGCAUCCAUCUUUUCUUCACAAAUUAUUUUAUCAAAAUUUGUCGCAAAGUGAAACUUUUACCAAAUUGGGGAAACAAAAUCGAACUCAAUAAACAAAUUUUAAGGCACAUCAAAUAUAAAAUUUUAUUUUUGCGUUAUAAAAUUGAAAAUACUGAUAAAAUUAAAAGUUAAAUUAAAUUAAUUGAUACUUAAAUUAUUUAAUUUAUUUGAAAAAUUAUUUUUUUGUAUUUUAUAAAAGAAAGACAGUAAUAUAGUCAAAAGAAAAAAGAAAAAAAAAAGAUGUCUUUACAUUUUAAAAAUUUUAAUCUGCAAAAUUUCUAUUUUGCAUCAGAUAUAGUUGUACUUUAUAUUUAAAAAAGUUUACAACUAUGUUAAUUAAUGAGUAUAGUAAGCUAUACAUAGCAAAUAUUCAUAAUUAUUUUAUUAAAUCUUUCAAAAUAAUAUUAUAAGAGUUUAUUGAAAUAAAAAAAAUAAAAUAAGUCCAUGCCAAAGCGUACCAGUAGGAGGUCAUGCGUAUCCAUUGGCACGCAAGCGUACCAUGUGUCACGCCCCACAAUCGCCUAUUUGGCCGACUUGGGUACGCCGAACAGACACCGAACGGGCAGAGUUUUUCCUGUCCGCCCAAGGCUCAACAAUGAUCAUGUACAUCUAGUUGCCCAGGAAUAACAUCACCAAUAUACAUGAUACCACGCUAGUAAUCAUACAAGCGAGCAAGAGAGAAAAUCUAACUAUUACAUUUGACAUUCAACCAUUUUUACAAGUUUCCACCAAUGAACAUAAGUUGUUUUACUACUUGCAUCCAAAAUGAUACAUAAGGUUUACGACUCCUCAUAAUACAUGAAUAUCUCUAGCAACCUCACCAAAAUACAUAAAUCUCUCAAAAGGAAACUCCCAAAAUGGUGCCUAACUCUAAUGCAUAUAGGUGGUCGCUAGCUAAUUAGGGCGCUAUGUCCUUAUCGCGGUCCUCAACCUGUCCACCUAAACUCAGCCCUGCAACAAAGUGGGAUGAGAACUAAUAAAUAGCUCCCAGUGAGUUCGGCUACCAACGCCGCCGAUUUUUUCACUAGGUCUAAGCAGGCAAAAGUAGAAGGGUUAGCCAAUUAAUAAUAUUCCUAUCAUGCUACUAUGCCUUUACAAUAUGAACAAUAAGCAAGUAAGGUAAAUAAUAGUAGCAACUACUAUGCUCAUGAUGCAUGACAUUUACCUUUGUUUUCAUAACCCAAUCAAUCCGGCUUACCCGAAGGUUAAGCCUCGACUCACAACCAAAUCCCUACUAAUCGUGAGAAGCAACCAUACACUCACCCGGGACCGUCUGCGGGACAGCUACGUUAGUCCCUACUGUGAAGUACUUCGAAGACCACGCUUGGGUGGAGUGACCACCGCCAAGCAAAACAGACGAAUGUGAGUAUAAUCCAAUCCUCUAAACCGAGGAUACCCUACCAACUAGUGGUAAUCAAAUCCGGGAACACCAAUCCCAAUACUUAUAACUUGAGUAGUCACAUUGUUUCUAGCCAAAUGUCACAAGACUACAAUGUCUCUAACUAAUGCCACAAUGUUACCUUUGUCUCUAGCUAAUGCCACAAGGUUACAUUUGUUUCUAGCUAAUGCCACAAUGUUAUGUUUACAUUUCAUGUCAAGGUCGCUUCUAAUGCCCCAAUGUUCAAGUCCUUAUUCAUGUCAAUAUAGAGUUUCUUUGUUUUCGACCCAAUUCUCAUACUCUUAGCCACUAUGAAUCAUAUCAUGCUUCCACAUAUACCAUAAGAGAAUGCAAGAAUUGAAAAUAACAAGCAUCUACUCUACAAUGCAUGUAUAGUAUAUAUGAACAAAUGCAUGGCAAUGAAGGAACUUAGACAUAAAGAGAAAUCCGGAUGUUCCGGAUAGCACCCCCCAGCUCUAAAUGAUGUUGAGGUGCUUGGAUUCUAAUUUCGUGAUUUGUGGACAUCGCCUCGGCCUUCCAGGUGGAAACGAAGCAAAAACGGUCCUUUUCUUCGAUUACCCGUCACCCGAGUCGUAGGAACUUCGAUUUGAGUUGCCCACAACAUUAACUUUACUUUCAAUUAGGUUUACAAAGGGUCAAUUUAACAAUAAACCCUAAUUCCACAAAAAUCCUAAUUUCAACCCUAGAGUUCAAUGUCAAAAGCACCAUGGUUCCAACAGGGGAUUCUAGGGUUAUAUAGGUCUCUAAUCUUGCAAGAGACUCAAAACAAAGAGAUUUAGGGCAUAAAACCAAGCCCUAGCAAGGAUCUUGCAAGAAACCUCACCUUACCCAACUAGCUAUCCAAGCUCCACAUUGUAGGAGAGCUCUAGAUCUUCCAAACUCCAAGAAUCUCCUUUAAUGUCCUCCAAAUCUCCUCCAAAUCACCUUGGGGGAGAGCUCCUAGAGACAGAGAGGAAGAAAAAUGGUGUUGGAGGUGUUCUCUUGGCUGUGAACAAGAGAUGAGGAAUGGGGUUUUUUUAUAAGCCUCCACAAUUGCAAAAUAGCCCUCCAACUCCCUAUAUUUGCAGCAGCCUACAAACUGCUGUCGUAGUGCAGUGUACCGGUGACACGGGCUGGUGUCACCGGUACGCCAUUCAGCAACAGCCAAACCCGAGAGCUGCUGUUCUCGGGUUGCAGCAGGGUAACCUAAUGCCGCGAAGCAGCGGCAGAUCUUUUUCUAAAAUUAAGAUUAUUCAAUACUUCACUAACCAAGACUGCCUUCACUUGGUACACGAGCUACCUGCUAAUUCUCUCCGAGACUAGGACGAAUUAAAGGAUAAAUUUCAUGAGCAAUUCUAUAGAACCGAGCCGGAGUUGUCGGUUGCAGAUUUGGCUCAAUUUAGACAAAAAACAGGAGAAUCGGUUGAUGAAUAUUUGAACCGGUUCAAGACGGCUCGAAGCCGAUGUUUUGUAAGGAUGCCGGAAUCAGAAUUUGCCAAAAUGGCAUUUAACGGCAUGCAUUUUAAAAUUAAAGAUCAUUUUGAGGAUAAGUUCUUUCCAAAUCUUUUUGAUUUAGGAGUUCGAGUUGCUCAAUACGAGCAAUUUCGAAAAGGGAAUAAUGAAGAUCGGCCUAGAUGGAGCCGAAACAAGGAUUGGGGUAAAGGGAAAGAGAAAAAUAUUUCUUUUUUUGAAGAAUCCUCGGCUCAUGAAGAGCCGAAUUCAUCUGAAGAGGCAGAAGAUUCGGCUGAUGAGGCCGAAAUCUGUGCUGCCGAGAUGGUGAGAAACAGUCAACCGUACAAAUGUGCUUUGCUGAAGCAUGCAAAAUCAAGAGAAGCAAAGGCACAAAUAUCAGCAUUUAGUUAUUCAUUUGACAUAACAAAGACCGAUCUUAUUUUCGAUCGGUUGUUAAAGGAUGGACGAAUUAAAUUACAGAAAGGUCAAACUAUACCUCCUGUAGAAGAACUGAAACGCAGAAGAUACUACAAAUGGCACCAUUCAUGGAGCUAUAAAACUAGCGAAUGUACUGCCUUUAAGAGGCAAAUUCAAAAAGAGAUAAAUGAGGAUCGGCUGAUCUUUGCCGACCAAGAAAAUAAAGAUAUGAAAAUUGAUAAGAAUCCUUUUACAUCACAGGUCAACGCCGUGAACAUAAAAAGGAAAGGAAAAGCGACUGCGAAAAGGCAGAUACAAGAAGAAAUAGAGGAGGGUCGGCUCAUAUUGGCCGACCAAGAAAACGAAAAUAAAAUAAUUAACAAAAGUUCAUUUCCAUUUCAGGUCAAUAUGGUGAAUAUUAAAGGAAAAAAAGUUUUGGACAAGGAGACCGCUGACAACGUGGCCCAUGCCAAGAAACACCUUUGGCUAUGCAUCAGGUGCAAGGCCGAAAUGACGAAAAAAGACUGGGAAGCCAUUGUGAAUGCCAAGAAAAAGGGGAACGAAUGGAAUGAGCUGAUGGCGUUCCCUGAGGAUUGGGAUGACAUUCCUGAUGGCAAAGACCAAGAAGAAGAAUGCUCGGAUGUAGCCUCUAAUGAUACUGAACCGGAAGUAGAUUCGGUUCAACGCAAAAAAGAUAUACUCAUGUAGAAGAUUCUGCAUGAUUACUACAACAACAGGUGUGGAGAACGUCAUGGCCGAUGGGACUACCAGGAUAGACCAUUCAACUCCAAGCAAAGGUUCCCUGGAUAUCGGCCAGACUGGCAACAGCAAGCCAGGCCGAGACCAGAACCGGAAUUUGAAGGAAUGACCGAGGGGGACAUAGAAUUCCUCGGUCGGAGGCUAGUCAACGAACUCGACAUUCAGCCUUGGCCGAGACCAUGGGAAAGAAGAAAAAUUCUAAAAAAUCAUUUAAGAAUAGUAAAAGUACCGGCAAACGUGCCAGUGGACGAAUGGCACGAAGUCGAAGUUAAACCAUCAGCCAGAUGGCAGGGGCCGAUGUUAACAAAAACCCAAAAGCAUCGGCAGCAGAGGGUGCAAGCCGAGGCACGUCAACAUUAUGAAGAGGCGAAAGGGAUGAGGCUCAAUGUAUGGAGACGCCUGGAUGAGCAGCCACACCCUUUUCGUCCGAUGAGGAAUGACCAUGAGGCAGGCGGCUCAUCGCCUGCCCUACAGUUGAAGUCAAGAAUAAAACGGCCAACUGAGGCCGAGUUAAAAGAGAAAAUGACCAGGAGGGAGUUGGAAGAUAAAAUAGCUUCCCUCGAGACAAUGAUAAAGAGAGAAAGGUGGCCUCCUAAAGAGAGGGAGGUCCGUAUGGAAAGCGACUCCUCAGCCGAAACGGCCAAGGAGUCAGAAGAGAAGAAACAGAGAGUCAAAGGAAAAUCGGCUGACGAAUCACCGGCCGAGGUGAAUAUGGUAGACGCUCUGCCUCAAUCCUUCAAAGCAGAAUUUGUUGAGUACGAGGAAUUCAGAGAAGAAGAAGAAAAUGGGAUUACCGUAGCCCAAUUGCAGCUAGAGGAUGUUCGACAGGCCGAUGCUGUGGUUUUUGGGAAACCAUCGGCCAUGCAGAAGAGGUUCAUCAGGCCUCUCUUUAUAAAAGCUUUAAUAGAAGGCCGGCCGGUAGGCCGAGUUAUGGUAGACGGCGGCGCUAUGGUCAAUGUGAUGCCUACUUCUUUUUUCAGGAAGUUGGGCAAAGAUGAAGACGAAUUGAAGCCCACCGAUUCAAUUAUGACCGAUUUUACAGGAAACGGUCAACAAGCUCGAGGAGUGCUCACCACCGAACUCACGGUAGGUUCAAAAACUCUAAAAACUGCGUUUUUCGUAGUGGAUGCAGAUAGCCACUACAAUUUGCUUUUGGGAAGAAAUUGGAUACACUCAAAUGAGUGUGUACCCUCUACACUCCACGAAAAAUUGUUCCAGUGGAUAGGAGAUAAGGUGGAAGAAGUCGGGGCCGAAGGACGACCUCAAAUGAUAGAUGUCAACAUGGAGGACAUCGGCAACACCAAUUGGACCGAUGCUGAUUCGGAUCAGAUUUCGUUUGUGAGAGUGACGGAGGAGGGGAUUCAAUUAAUUCUCUCCAAAGACAUCAAUGCUAUGGUGGCUGAUGAGAAGCCACCUAAAUAGUUAAAAUGGAGUCCCAAAAAUCGAGAAUAGAGGCUGGGCAUAAGCCUCUACAAGACGAGCCGAUCAACAAGAUCGGCUAUGGAGAUGAUUCGGCUGCUAUAGCCGAUGUGAUAGCACCCGACAAUUCGGCCAAUAAGGCCGAAGAAGCCAUAAAGGAUUCGGCUCAUAAAGCCGAGGAAGAAAGCCAAAUGAAAUCGGUCUUUGAGACUAAUGAAUCAUAUGAGAUGAAUAGGCAAACAACGAAAAUGAAGCUAGAAGAAUCGCCUAUUAAAGCCGGCGAAAAAAAGCUGGAGACCCAGGAUUUGUUGAUAGAAGUAAACCUAGGGUCCUAUGAAGAUAACAGGCCGACGUUUAUAAGUUCCAAGCUGUCGGCUCAGCAACAGGAAGAAUUGAAGAAACUGUUGAAGGAAUACAAGGACUGCUUCGUCUAGAGCUAUGAAGAAAUGUUAGGUCUAAGCCGAGAGAUCGUAGAACAUCGGCUGCCCAUCAAAAAAGGGUUCAAGCCUUUUAGACAACCGGCUCGUAGGUUUGAGCCGAGUAUUGUACUUCAAAUUAAAAAUGAAAUUGAAAAUCUUUUAAAGGCCGGAUUUAUUAGAGCGGCCCGUUAUGUUGAUUGGGUGUCUAAUAUAGUUCCAGUGCGUAAAAAGAAUGGCAAACUUAGAGUUUGUAUUGAUUUUAGGAAUUUGAAUUUAGCUACACCUAAAGACGAAUAUCUAAUGCCAAUAGCCGAUAUGUUAGUAGAUUCGGCUGCAGGUAAUGAGAUACUGUCCUUUAUGGAUGGACAUGCUGGUUAUAACCAAAUUUACAUUGCUGAGGGAGACAUGGCUAAAACGGCUUUUAGAUGCCCCGGUUCAAUUGGAACCUUUGAAUGGGUUGUUAUGCCGUUCGGCUUAAAAAAUGCCGGAGCUACUUACCAGAGAGCAAUGAAUUUUAUUUUUCAUGAUUUAAUCGGCAAAAAGUUGGAAGUAUAUAUCGAUGAUAUAGUUGUAAAAUCCCAAUCACAAGCCGAGCAUUGGAGCGAUUUGAAACUCGCCUUUGAGAGAAUGAGAAAAUAUAAUUUAAAAAUGAACCCUUUGAAAUGCGCUUUUGAAGUUUCUGCAGGAAACUUUUUGGGAUUUUUAGUGCAGAAAAAAGGGAUCGAAAUUGAUAAAAAUAAGGCGAGAGCAAUACUAGAAUUACCGCCACCCAAGUGCAAAAGGAGCUACAAAGUUUGCUGGGAAAGAUUAAUUAUCUUCGGCGGUUUAUAUCUAACUUAGCUGGAAAGAUCGAGGUUUUUACUCCAUUACUUCGGCUGAAAGAUAAAGAAGAAUUCAUUUGGACAGAGGAACAGCAGGAGGCAUUCGAAAAUAUAAAAAGAUACUUAUCAAAUCCUCCAGUAUUGGUACCUCCGAAGACAAAUCAGCCGAUGAAAUUAUAUAUAUCGGCUGCAGAAGAAAAUUUGGGAUGCUUAUUAGCUCAAGAAAAUGAAGAAAAUGAAGAACAAGCCAUUUAUUAUUUAAGCUGACGUCUUUUAGAUACUGAAAAAAGGUAUUCGGCUAUUGAAAAGCUAUGUUUGGCUUUAUAUUAUUCAUGUGCGAAGUUAAGAUAUUAUAUUUUACCAACUGAAGUAUCGGUAAUAUGUAAAACCGACUUGGUAAAAUAUAUGUUAUCUAAACCAGUAUUAAGGGGGCGAAUCGGAAAGUGGAUAUUAGCUUUAUCCGAGUUUUCUCUUAAUUAUGUUCCCGCCAAAGCUGUUAAAGGUCAGGCUAUAGCCGACUUUCUGGCUGAUCACCCAUGUGUAGAGAUUGUGGAGCCGAAACAGAGUUUAAUCGGCUGUCAGCCUUGGGUGUUGUAUUUUGAUGGUUCAAAAACAACCAAAUCUGCAGGAGCAGGGAUAGUAAUACAAUCUCCUGAAGGUUAUGUUUCUCAAUUUGCAUUUGAAUUAGAUUUCGGCUGUUCUAACAACCAAGCCGAAUAUGAGAUCUUGAUAAUCGGCCUCGAAAUAUUGCAAGAAUUGAAAGCAAAAUCAAUCAAAGUCAUCGGUGAUUCACAGUUGGUGAUCAAGCAGGUUAAUGGAGAAUACCGAUGUGAGAAUCCAAAUUUGCAAAAUUACUUGAAGAAGACAAUAGAACUAUUAUGCAAUUUCGGAGAAGCCGAAUUUGAACAUUUGAGCAGAUAUGAAAAUGAAAAGGCAAAUGAAUUGGCCCAAUCGGCUUCAGGAUACAUAGAGCCGAAGUCAAAGUUAAUAGUAAUACAGAGGAGAUUACUACCUUCGGUUCAUAGACGAGAACCGAUUAUAGCUCCUAUAGGAGUGAAAGAAGAUUGGAGAAAGCCAUUAAUCAAAUAUUUAGAGGAUCCUAAUAUAAGGGUCGAUUAUAAUAUUCGAAGAAGAGCUCUCGGCUAUUGUUUGUUGGAUGGUCAACUUUACAAAAGAACAGCCGAAGAAGUUCUAUUAAAAUGCUUAGGGCCCGAAGAAGCUCUAUUAGUGAUGGGAGAAACACAUGAAGGAAUAUGUGGAACCCAUCUAGCAGGAAAAAAGUUAAGAUGGACAAUUCGGCAUCUAGGAUAUUAUUGGCCGACUAUGCAUCAAGAUUGCAUAGAGUAUGCUAAGGGUUGCCAAGAAUGUCAAUUUCAUGGCUCGAUACAGAGGGUUCCUGCCUCUGAGAUGUACGCCAUAAUUAAACCAUGGCCUUUUCGGGGUUGGGCCAUAGAUUUAAUUGGAGAAAUUCAGCCGAAUUCUUCGGUUGGUCACAAAUUUCUAAUAGUAGCCAUCGAUUAUUUUACUAAGUGGGUGGAAGCCAAACCUACUCGGUUGGUUACUCAAAAAGAAAUUGUCGAUUUUGUAGAAGACCAUAUAAUUUAUCGCUUUGGAAUUCCCGAGACAGUCACAACCGAUCAAGGGACAAUGUUCACAGGAGGACAGUUCGUUCGGUUCAUCGAGUCUCGAAAGAUAAAGUUGCUUCAUUCUUCGCCUUAUUAUGCCCAGGCAAAUGGACAAGUAGAAGCAGCAAAUAAAAUAAUUAUCAACCUUAUGAAGCGACAUAUCGGAAAACACCCGAGAAAGUGGAAUGAAAAACUUUCCGAAGUAUUAUGGGCAUGCCGAACUUCAGUGAAAACGGCAACAGGGAUGACACCGUUUCAGUUAGUUUACGGUCAUGAGGCCGUAAUUCCAGCCGAAAUAACAGUUCCUUCUUUGAGGAUAGAAAAACAAAAAGAUUUGUCGGCUGAUGAAUAUAGUAGUUUAAUGAUGGACAAAGCAGAAGAAGUAUGUGAUACUCGGCUGAUAGCUUUAGACAAUAUACAAGCAUACCAAAGCCGAGUGCGUAGCGCAUACAAUAAGAAAGUUCGAUCAAAGACAUUUGUCGUCGGUGAUUUAGUACUUCGGCUGAUUUUUCCAAUCGGUCAAAAAGAUCGAAUGUAUGGAAAAUGGUCCCCAAAUUGGGAAGGACCAUUUCAGAUUAGCCGAAUCACAAGAGGAAACGCAUAUUAUUUACAAAGCAGAGAUGGGUCAGAAAAUGAAAAACCAAUUAACGGAAAAUAUUUAAAGAGAUAUUACCCAUCCAUGUGGGAGAAUAAUUAAAAUCAGAGUUAGAAUAUUACAAGCCGAAUCAGGACAAUAAGUCUUUGAGUUGAUUCCAUUCGGCUAUGAGAUUGGCUUGGGCGGUCUCAGCAGCUUUCCUUCGGCGCUUCAUCAAAGGAUGGACUUUGUAAAGUUGAGAAAGCUCCUCUUUAAGCCUUAUCCCUUCUUCCUUUUUGGACUUCAGUAGAUCUUUUAGUUGAAGUCGGCGCUCAGAGGUUUGUGCGAGAGUAGAUUCGGCUGCGGCUAACUCUUCUUUAAGAGUAGAAAUCCGUUGUUGUAGAGCCGAUUCUUGAUCAGCCAAUUCCUUAUCCUCUUGAUGCACUUCAGUAGGCGGAGCUGCUAUAUCAGGGAUAUUCUUUUUAAAAUGAUCAACACGAUGAAAAAGUUGAUCUAAAGCUACAAGUUCGGCGCCCAAAGAUCGCUGUCGAGCCAAAAAAGAUGAAAGUUAAAGUGAUAAGGUUGCUACAAAAUAUUUUAUGCCGGGAGUAAUAUCUAAUUGAUUGGCCAAAUCAAGUAAAAGGGCAUAUAGCUGGUCAAAUUGUUCUGGAUUCUGAGCUAGACCAGAAAUACCAAUGCUAUACAUUUUAAGGCAUUCAUCGAACUUAUUCUGGGUGUCUGAUGAAAUGGUAAUGGUCGAAGAAUCAUCCUCUUCAUUGGAGCUGGGGCUUGAAAUAAAAAGAGAAUGAAGAAUCGCAGAUAAAGGAUCAUCAGCAAUAGGGGAAGAAGCUCCCUGGGGUGAGCGGGGAGGAAUAGUGCUUGUGUCUUCAGAAGUUCGCCCGAGAGGUAUGUUUAUCUGUUCAUCCCCUGUAGUUGAUGUCGGGGCAGGAGCAGAAAAAGAUGAUGCAAUCUCACUGGGUAACGGCGUCGUGCUCGCUGUUUCAACAGAUUUCUUCUUCUUUUCCAUUCCUUUCUUUUUCUCGAGACGGGCUUCCCUGCGAAGCUGCCGUUCCAUCUGCAUCUUCGAAUAAUGAGCAAAAUGGGCUCGUUCAGGAGAAGACUGUAGUUUAAAAGAAAGUAAUAAAUAAUUAAGAAAUAUUCUUUUCGUACAACCAGUUAAUUUGGUUUACCCUGACAUCAAUCGUUUCGGUUGGAACAGCGGUAGCCAAAGAGGGUGUAGUAGCUUCUUUGGAUGGAAUGUCAGUCGAAGGAAUAUCCUCGGCUCUGUCUUUAGUGGUAUCAGCCGAAGGGGUACUUUCGGCCUGUUGGAAUUUUCUUUUAACCACUGACUUACGCCGUUUGGAAGACGACGGGGGAGUGACUUGAACAACUUCAAUCGGUCUUUUGUCUGAAGCUGAGAUCGAUGGAGAAGCAGGAAUCGACUGAAAACAGAAAUAAACAAAAAUGGUGAGCAAAAAAAAAUAAUUAUGAUUAAGAUGAGUGGAAAAAUGAUAUUUUACAGAGGAAGAAGGCGGGGCAUCAGAAAUAGUGUCUAGUGGAGACUCAAUCUCGGUUAGAGAAUCUCUGCUCGGAGUGGUGGCUGUGUAUAAAAUAAAAGAUAAGUUACAGCCAUAUUAGAAGGAAAUUAUAAACAAAAAUUAGAUGACUGACCAAAUGGAUGGAUGAUUUUACGGAGUGCUCGAGGCAGAGAAAGAUCAUAGGAGCGGUCAGUAAACUGAUCCCACAUGGUAGCAUAACCGGCGAGGGCUACCCCUGUAUAGUUCGGACGGAAGCUUGCCAGCUAGAAGAAGGGUCUGAGACGAUUCCCCAUAGCCGAAAGCUUGUCAGCUUCAAAUAUGCUCUUGGUGGGAGGACGAUGAUCGGCUGUGUUGGCCGUAAAAAAUUUAGAAGGGGCCGGGAUCGGCUAAACGAACCCAAAUUGCCGUGCCACAUACUGAGGAGAAUAAACCUCAGUACUCGGCAGUAGUUUCGAACGUGAUUUAAGCCCCACAUGAAGGUCCCGAGGGGCUAGAUACGAAUACCAUACAUCUGAAUGUUCACCGGCGCGAGAAGAAGAUAACUCGCCCUGAAUGGCUUCAAACCGAGCCAGAAACCAAGAGAGGCCGGUGAGACGAUCAACAAAUGGAGCCCAAAAAAUAGCUGAAUCAGAGGCUGGCUCAUAAAAAGCCUUAAAAUAAGUAAGAAAAUCAGAGGAUUGACCAGAGGUCAUCGGCUGCGGACAACCGAGGGCUAGCCCAUAAGAAUCAAAUUGGGCAGCUGAAGUCGGAUUGAAAGAGGAUUGGCAUAAAGCAGGAAUAUAGAAUUGAAGAAACAUUUGCAGAAACCAAAAAACGCCACACCGAGAGCUGAUGGCAAUGCCAUCACCGGAAGGUAGUGGCUUAAUAGAAUCAAAAACUUUCCUGUAAACGAAAGCAAGGAAAUAUGGCCCCAAGGCCAAUUUAUCGCCGUUAGCUAAACCAACGGCGAUUGGAACAAAAUCUCGGUUAAUUUUCUGCGAAUGAGUGCAGAAAAGAUUGUGGCAUAACCAGUAUAGAAGGAACGUCGUGUGUUCCUUCCUGGUGACCGGGGCAGGGGAUUUACCUGCAAAUUUUUGAAAAAAUUUAGAAUAAGCCAAAUCAUUUAGAUCAAGGUGUGCCUCAAAAUCAGACACACCGUCAGGAUUGUAGGCCAUAGAGAGAGUAAUGCCAUGAGGGCGUAAGCCAACAAUGGCGGCCACAUCAAAAAGAGUGAGGGUAAGAGGCCCCCUUUUGAAAAGAAAAACAUUAGAAACAGAGGAUCAGAAACAAAGAGCAGCGGCUAGAAGAAGAUUAUCGGCUAUAGGAGGGUGCCGAGAUAAUUGAAUUGCUUCAUAAAUGCCGAUUUCUCGCCAGAAGGCGCAAAAAACGGAUUCUACUCUAUCUAACCAGGCCAAAUAUGCUUCAGAAACACUUGGCCAGGUUCUGAGACUCUUUCCUGUUGAAGCUGAUGAGUACCAAGAAUGGAGAUGAAUAAUCCUUUUCCAAGGAAGUCCCUCAUCAGAGAAAGGGGAGUCAGUAGAAGAUGGUGCAUCUACAAGAGAAGGACCUAGUAUGAAUCUAGAUGGAUCUAAAUCAAUGAAAGGUUUGAGUAUAGUGUAGUCAAGAGAUGGAUGAGAAGGAAGAGGAGGAACCAAAGACAUUGUUCAAAAGAAGAGAAGAGCCGAAAGAAUCGGUUACGAAAUGAGAAGAAGGAUGAAGGAGACAAAGAAGAGGUUUUAGUGAAGGAUAUGAGGAAAAGAAAUAAGAAUUGGAUGAGACAAAAAAAAUGGGAAGCUUGAGGAAGAAGAAAAGGCCGUCAUAUUGAACUGUCGCUUCGAUUACGAGUCCCAAGGUCGGCUGUAAUGAUGAAUAGACAGCGGCAAUUAAGAUGAGUUAAUUAAUGCCGCACAUGAGACAAAAGUAGAGAAUGCGAUCGGGGCCGUAAAGAAGAGAAUAAACGACUUAGAUUAAACCGUACAGAAGAUCGUAGUGCAGAAUACGUCAGAGAAUUUGAAUUUGAUUGGACCGAGAAAUAUGCCUCGGAUCAAGUCCGCUUUCGGCAACAGAAAUUGUUUGAGACGAAAAAAGUAACGCCAGCUACCGAAGCAUCGCUUCGAAAACUGGCGAGGGGACAAUUGUUGACCAGUUAGGCGCGAACAAUUGGCACGCCGGGUCCAUAUCCGUAAGACGGCUAAAACGGUAGACCUAGAGUACACCGGACGCAUACGAGCCGCACUGGACCGAGGAGUUAUAACAACGACAAGCAGUUACGAGCGGUUCCGAUCGGCCGAAGGUGGUCCUACGAAUCAGGAGAUAGUGGCUGAUCGUGCAAGAGCAAUAACUGAUGCAAAGGCGGUUCUAUAAAUAGGCAUACGAUACUCUGAAAAAGGGUCUUCGCCCCUGCGCACAAAAGACCACCUUUAUUUUUCUACAUCUUUCUAUUCUCGCAUUUACUGCUUUCCUUAGGAGUAGUUUCAGUAAUUUAACAUACUCGGAGUCUGUCUGCCGUACGGGCAUCACUCCCCUGUUUCCAUACUUGGAGUCUGUCUGCCCUACGGGCAUCACUCCUCUAUUUGUGUACUUUUUCUUUUGCUAUUCAUCUUCGGCUCUUCCUGCCGAUCAGAUCACAAGUUGUUUGGCCAUUCGGCUCGUUUCUUAGUCGAAUUCUAGGCUUCCCCUCUCCAUUCGGCUCAUCCUGCCGAAGCGAAUUUACUGCGGAGGUUUUCGAACCCGGCUGAUUCUAUCCCUCAUCGGCCUAAUCGCUUGAUCCUCUGUGGGCGCAUACUUCGAGGGUCAUAAUCCGCAGCCGUCUCGCAUCCCGAUGAUCUUUCCGAGAAAAAUUAUUGACCGGGUCAAGGGUCUGGAUAUUCGGCACGCAACAAUUUGUAUGCCUUAGGGACCAAUAAAAGUUUUAUUUUUCUCACAAACAGAAACGAAAGAAAGAAAAGGGGUCAUCUGACCCAGCUCGUUCCAUAUAUGGCGUCACUUAUUCUCGCUGGAGAAGCAAAAGAAAUAGGGUUUGCAUGAUCCGUGGGCAUUCCGUGCAUGCUAUUACUGUUUCUCAUUUAUAAAAUUAGGAAAAAAAACAACACGUAAAAAAUAAAAUAACUAAUAUGUAAAAGUACAAAGGGUAACUUGCACCUUUGGGGCUCAAACUAUAAAGUAAAAUAUUUUGAUCCUCAAAUUUUAAUUUAUAGUAAAUUUUAAUUUAAAUUUUUAAAAUUAUCGUAAUUAAGUUUAACAAUCUAAUUUAGUUAUUUAAAUAUUAACAUAUUAUUAAUAUAAAAAUAUUAUAAUAUUUUAAUUAUUAUUACAUUAUCAAUCACGUAUUUUCACAUCAAUUUUAGUUAAUAAUUUAUCAAUAUUUUACUAACUAAACUAUUUAUGAAAUUUAAUGAUACUAAUUUUAAAAAAUUUUGAUCAAAUAAUUAUAAUAAACUAAAAUUUAAAAAUUAAGGUUUCACGUGACUAAUAGCUUUGAGAACCAAAUGUGCAAUUUAUCCAAAUAUUAAUAAAGUAAAAUAUUUGUAAGAAAAAUAUCUAGUUGGGAAAGCAUUAGGCCUUUCCGAUUUGGCAUUAGUGUUCAGAUCUUUCUUAAAGCGUGAGAUGGGUUCUUUGUCCUAUAUAUGAUGACUUGCAUUAAGACAGGCUAGACUAAUAAAUUACCAAUCUCUCUCUCUCUCUCUCUCUCUCUCUCUCUCUCUCUCGGUAUGUGAUUAUGUGAGUUGCAUAACUUGCAUUGAAUACUUUGUUUGGGGAUUUUUUUUGCAAAUAGCCUCCUUACAAAUUUUUUUUUGUAAAUUGGGCUUGUCAAAAAUUUAUUUGCAAAAAUAGUUCUGGCCCCGCCACGCAAGCGCCACGUCAGCGCCACGCGGGCGGGGCUGUGCCAAAUGGUUAAGUUGAAAACGGUGAAUCAUUCACCGUGUUCAAUACAAAGUUUUUGUAUUGGACACGGUGAAUGAUGAAUAAUUCAUCGUGUCCAAUACAAAAUAGCUAAGAUCGAAAUAUUUGUAUUGGACACGGUGAAUGGUUCACCGUGUCUAAUACAAAUACUUCCAACUUAGCCAUUGUUGGGGUAUUUGUAUUGGACACGGUGAACCAUUCACCGUGUCUAAUACAAAAAUCUUGUAUUAACACGGUGAAUGGUUUACCGUGUUUAACUUAAACAUCUGGGCCCGUCCUGCCCGCGUGGCGCUGACGUGGCGCUGACGUGGUAGGGACAGGACUAUUUUUGUAAAUAAUUUUUGGACGAAAUUAUUUUUACAAAUAAAAUUUGUCAAGACGCUAUUUGAAAAAAAAAAAAAAAAAAAAAAAAAAAAGCCCUUACUUUGGUAAUUAGGAAUCUCUCUCUCUUGGCUAGCCAUGUGACCCAUUUCCCACUGCCAACCGUACACAUCAAACCUCGCUCCAUCACCAACUCCCAACCCAAUAUAUUAUUGAAAAUCUCACUCCUCUCUGCCGCCCGUCCCAGUAUUUUUUUCCCUCUUACAUAUCUCUCUCCAAACUCUCAAACCUUUCCUCUUGACUGUCUUCGUCAUCUUCGACGCAGUUGCAGUGAGACACGCACAGAGAGAGGGGAGAGAGAUGGGGAGGUCAAGAGGAGGCAGCGGCGACGGACUUCGAGUUCGCGGUGUCGCUGUCGCCGACGUCGAGGCGGCCGCUGGCGUUGUCGUCGCAGCAGCUGUGCCCGGCGGACGAGCUGUUCUACAAGGGGCAGCUGCUGCCGCUCCAGCUGUCCCCCCGCAUCACCAUGGUGCGCGCCCUCCUCCUCGCCUCCUCCUCGUCCUCCGCAUCCUCCGACACCACCACCGCCACCACCGCCUCCCGCGACUCCAACGGCAGCACCUCCUCCUCCUUCUCCGCCGAGCUCUCCGCCGCCGACUCCUCCGCCCGUCCCAGCUCCGCCACUGACGACGCCCCUCCCGCCGCACCCGCCGAAGCGCGGCCCCAAAUACCUCUCCUCCUUCGCCUCCCGCUUCUCCUCCGUCUUCCUCCACCGCGGCGGCAGCAAGAAGGACCACCACCUCGCCGACCUCCACGACAUCCCCCUUUCCUCCUCCUCCUCCUCCAGAUCCGCCAAUUAUUCCUCCUCUUCCUCCUCGUCCACAAAAGAAGUGAUCAAGAAGUACGUCAAGAAGGUGAAGCCGCUGCUCUACGAGAAGCUGUCAUCGCUGCAGCAGAUCAGGCAGCAGCAGAAUCAGCAUGAUCAGCAGAAUCGAAACAAGAAAUCCUUCACAUUCUCCAUCAGAAAGGAUAAGUCCGCUGCCAAACGGGCCAACGGCGAUCGUGGCAGCGACGGAAUCUCCGACGGCAGCGGUCGGAGAUCGAAAAUCAUCUACAUGCACUCCAACUCGUUCUCCGGCAACCUCAAGUUCCCAAGAAAGAAGUCCAGCGCUGCCAGCUGCCCCUCUUCGAUGCGCUCGUCGCCAACGCACUCCGGACUCCUCUCCAUAGGCGGCGGGGUCAGCGGUGGCUUCCCAGAUCUCAAUCGAGCUCUUUCGUCGUCGGCGAGCUCGUCGUCCAUGGAGGAGCUGCAGAGCGCCAUACAGGGCGCCAUCGCGCACUGCAAGAGCUCCAUGAUUCAAACAGCUAAUCUUCAGAAGAAGUCGGCGUCCGCUGCAGUAAACAACGACGACUAAUUUAUAAGAUCCGCGGAUCCUAAUGAAUUGACGACGAUCAUCAAAAAAAAGUUUCAGUUUUUACUCCUUUUGUACGUGUUUAGCUUGGGAAAAUUAGAGGUAAUUGAAACUUGUAGUUAGUGGUGGAUCUAUGUUAAGUGUUGAUUCGCUUCUGAUAUUUGCUCGAUUGGUUCGUGUACUUUGCUGUCAAUUUUGUGUGGGAUCAUACAUCUUUGAAAGAUCAAUGAAAUUAUCUUGCAAAUUAUUUAAGCAGGUUCAAUCAGAUUAAGGUGCUUAAUUUUCUCAUAACAGCACUUGCCACAAUUAAAUUUUCUCAUAACAGCACUUGCCGCAAUUAAUUUUUCUCAUAACAGCACUUGCCGCAAUUAAUUUUUCUCAUAACAGCACUUGCCACAAGCCAAAUUAAUUAAGGAAGGCGAUCCAAUCUUGGUCUGGCUCUGUUCGCAGAAAGGGCAUCUGCAUCUGCACUCUGCAGAUGGGUGACGCCGGUGGUAGACAGACAGGAGGCCAGCAGCGGCACGAGGCAUGCCAGGGGGGGACAGUGCCGAGCUGGCUACACUGGUUAUCUGUUAUUUAUUAAUCAUUACUAACCCUCGUCACAGGAAAAAAUUCUAGAAUACAACGAAUAUAUUAGUGACGUGGCGUAACAAAUCAAUCAAAUAUCUCUUUUUAUGAGUAUAUGUUCCAUCAUGAUUGUAAAAAAAUAUUUUUAUUGUACUUUUAUUUGAAAAAAAGGAAUGUGAUUGACUUGUUAUUAAUGACGUGGUGCAAGUGUGACAGUGUAGAUUUCCUCCGUCACAUAGUACAAUACUGUGGAGAGAAAUAAUCAUAAUUUUAGAAAAAAUAUUAUAUUUUAAAUAUUUUUGUUAUGAAAAAAUUGGAAAUUUUAGUUUGUCCAAUACAAAAAAUCAAUGACGAAGAAAGCCAAAAAAUAAAAUCUAAGCGAAAUGCACUCUUCCAUGCUACUUUGUGCCAAUACAGGACGGCAAGCAAAAUCAGAUUAGCAAAAUUAGAUUAUAUAUAUUGGGAUAAUAUCCUAUAUACUCCUCACACGUUUGAAAAUAUUAAUUUACUCCUCUUUUUUUUUUCUUUUUAGAAUACCCCUCAUAUGUUCCACCGUUAUUACAAAAUACUCCCGCAGUUAUCUCCUGUUAAGUUAACUUGGGUUAAGCGUGAGUUAAAUAUCUACCACAGUUAAAAAAAAUUAAAAUAUCAAUUUUACCCUUAACUUAAGGGCAAAUAAGAAAUGUUGGUGACGGUAGAGGGUUAUAUUGGAAAAAACUAAAAGUCAAAAUACUUUUUGUGCCAUUAACUUUAAGGGCAAAUAAGAAAGACAGUGAAGGUGGAAGGGUACAUUUGAAAAGGCAAAAUAGUAAUUUUACAGAAAUAACAGAGUUAAUUAACAGAUUUUAACUCUAGGGGUAUAUUAGAAAUAGGUUGGAACGUAGGAAGGGUAUUUUCAAUAUUAGGCUUCUAAGAGAGGUAAAUCGGAAAGUCGGGAACUUUACAGGGGUAUAUAAGCAAUUGCCCCAUAUAUAUUUAUAUAGAGUUCGGUUGCUUGCUUCUGGUAACACAGAAUUUGCUGCUACAAUUUUUUUCACUAUUAGGGAUAGUCUCCAAAACAGAGUAAUUAUCCAAUUUACAGUUUAUUUUUUAUAGCUCUUGAAACAUUACAAGAGACAUGUUUGUAUAAGUUUUGAAAUUGUAAAAAAAAUAGCAAAAUAAGCUCAAAAUAGAAUUUCUUUGGUGGAAAAAAUAGUAAAAAUCACUUUUUUUUUUUCCCCCAAAGAACGCAUCCAACCUCUUUCCUCUUACCCUUUACAUCCUCCACCACCACCUCCUUCUAGACUCCGCCGUUGAUACUCACGAGCUCUUCCACUCCGUCAACCGCGCGCCCCUCCACCACCCGACUCUCUACCGCUAGCAUCGCGGCCAUCCGCCGCCACCACCCUCUACUUCCGCCACCGCCCCCCAACCUCCUACUCUUCUUCUUCUACCUCUACUACCUUCUCCUCCUCGAGAUUGUGGUGUUUUUCCUCGUCGUCAGUUGCCGCCUCCAUCGCCGCCACCAUCUACCUCCGCCGCCGCCGCCCCCCAACCUCCUACUCUUCUUCUUCUACCUCUGCUACGUCCUCGAGAUUGUGAAGUUUUUCCUCACCGUUGGUUGUUGUCGCCGCCAACAAGCGUUCCCGCUCCAAGAUAGGGCAUCGAUGAAUUUUUCGUACUAGGUUGUCACAGCAGAGGGUGAUGACAAAGGUGGGAGGGAUGGGGAGAUUGUGGGUUUGAGUAAGAAGGUGAAGGUGGUAGGGUUGGAUUUGAGCAAGGAGAAGGUGGUGGUAGUGGAUUUUUUUUUUUCACAUCACAUUAUUUUUUGGGGAUUUGAACCAAACACUAAAAAACAGUGUAAAAAAAUUAUAGAGUUUUAAAAUUUUUGUACCAACAUAUUACAGCAAAAUAUAAAACUUUAUUUUAAAUUCCUAUAAUUGCCAAACAAACCCUUAGAUUUAAUACUUGGAUCAUUUCUACAUCUACGACCAUGGUAUUCCAUCAACCACCACUAAAUCUAAUGGGACCAUUAUCACCCUAACUCCACAACCCUUUGAUUCAAGGGCCAAAAAUUCACAAGCACGGAUGAGUUGGUGCUAUUAGAAGCAUUCCUGCCUAGUUCUAUAUAUUGCUCGGCUGGAGUGCUUCUAAUAGCACCAAACAUUUAUUGUUAUAAACUUUUCCAUCAUUAGAUUUAGGCUAAAUUAUAGAAACCUUUCUGUCAAUACCCACUUUUUUACUUUUUCUCACCGACUAUUAGAAAUCUAUAUUUUACCCCCUUAAAAAAAUAUAUAUAUUCACUUCGGAUGCCACUGUCAGUGUUCCGUUAGGGUUUCGUCUAUAUCCUAUUACUAUAUUUUUAUACCCAAAAUACCCUUGUAUCCCUUCUCUUCGCAGCGUUGUCUCUCUUCUCGCCGAUGACAUCCUCGGCCAUGCCCCCUCGCCCUCUUCUGCCGUCUCGCCCUUGCCCAUCCCUCCAUCCAUGUCCAAUCCAAUGCACUCGCCUUCCUCUGCCGUCUCACCCUUGCCCACCCCUCCAUUUGUGCCUACCCUGACCUUAUCCCCAUCGUCACCAAAUAGAGGGGCGGUUGGAUUGUAGGAAGAGCAGAGAGAGCUAGCGGAGCAAGCAAAGUCGAAGUUGGGGUUGAGGGAGGUGCGAAGGACGGAGGAGGAAAGGCUACAAAUAAAGUAGGAUUGGGUAGGACAUGAAGAGGGAGAGGGCAAUUUAGUCAUUUUGUCAUCAUAGUUAACACUGUACCCCUAUAUGAACAUUUUUUAUUUUUUAAGUGGCUAAAAUAUAGGGUUUUAAAAGUCAAGGCGGAAAAUAAAAAAAUGAGUAUUGGUAGGGAUUUUAUGUAAUUUAGCCUUAAAUUUACUCGAUCAUUUCUAUUCAUUGGAUCAUGUUAUUCCGCCAACCACUAUUUAAUUUAAGUGGACCUUUAUCAUCCUAACCCAAAACCUUUUGAUGCAAAAGCCAAAAAUUUACAAGCACUAAUGACUUAGUGCUAUUAGAGGCACUUCACUUUCAAUACAUAAAGUUCAGCUGGGUACUUCUAACAGUACCAAACAAUUGAUAUUACCAAUUUUUUUUACCAUUAAAUCUAUCACUUUGAUCAUUUCUAUUCUUUGGAUCAUGCUAUUCCACCAAGUAUCACUGAAUCCAAGUAUGUCAUUGUCAUCCUAAUUCCAUAACCCUUUGAUUCAAGGGCCAAGAAGUCACAAGCAUCAAAGACUCGGUGCUAUUAAAAACACCCCAGCCAAACUCUAUAUAUAGAGAUAGGUUGUAAUGCUUCUAAUAGCACGAAGCAUUUGGUGCUACCAACUUUUCCACCAUUAGAUCUAUCUCUUUGAUUAUUUUUACCCCUUGAAUCAUAUUAUUCCACCAAUCACCACAAACUCAAGUAGAUUACUAUCAUCCUAAUCCUACAACCCUUUAAUCCAAGGGCGAAAAUGUUAUAUACCGAACUUCUAUAGUUAUAAAGUUUUGGUGGAUGUUAGAAGCUAUUGGAAUUGUCCCGGUGAAGUUCGGGAGCAUUCGAGUGUUUUCGGUGCGCGUUGGACAUGGAAACAGAACCCGAAUAGCUAUGUUGGACUUUGGCCGAGAUCCGGCAAAGCGUGGAUGAAAAGAUGGUCUAAAUGUGCUCGAAAACAUGUUUUGGGGGUCUCGGUACGAUUAGAGACGAAUCGGAGGCCCAACGAGCGAAAACGAAGCAAAACGGAGAAAAGGCUGAAAUUGCUGAAAAUUUGACUAAGUCCUGAAAUUUCGGGGCUGGAGGUACCUACGGGGUCUGGACCCUCUAGCCAAGGUCCAGAACCCGAGCCCGAAAACUGCCCAGUGAGAGUGGCGUACUUGUAAAUAUUGGUCGGGGUUUGACUUUAAAAAGAGGCUACACCCCUUUCUUCUUCCUCCCUCAGCCCAAACACACACACCACACACACUAAGGUAGAGAGAGAAGCUCUUCUCUCUCUCUCUAGAAUACUCCCUUCCCUCUCUAGAUCUCUCUCCCAAAGUUGGGGUUUUGGAGGAGAAGGAGCUUGGGAACGCGAUGGAGGCGACGGUUCGAGUCCUCGUGCACCCGGUUGAGCGGCGUGCUUUCGACUCGGCGUUCGCAUUUUGGUGAGUAUUUGGGACUUGGUUAAAUCCUUCAUGAAUGAUAUUCUAGUAGUCUUUAGGGUAUUCUAAGUAUGUUACUCCACAUAUUUUUGGGGUAUUUAGAGGAUGCAAUCUGAGAGCAAUACUAGGUGGGUUGUGCUUCACCGAAGCGAUUAGGUCGCUUCCGUGCCAAAGUGGAGUAUAGUUGUAUUGUUGAUGCAUAUAAUGGUAGUUAAUUGCAAAGUAAAUAAUGGCAUGAGCUAGAUGCUAAAUAAAUGCAUGAGAUGUAUGCUAAUGAAUGCAUAAGAUAUGUGCUAAGUGAAUGCAAGAGCUAAAUACUAAAUGAAUGUAUAUGAUAUAUGCUAAUAAGGAAUGCAUGUGAUAGAUGCUAAUGAAUGCAUGAGAUUUAUGCUAAUCAAGAAUGCAUGUGGUAAAUGUUAAAGAAUGUAUGAGAUGCUAAGUAUUGACUACCAUUGGAUGAUAAAGUAUAUGCAUGUUGACAUUGUGAGAGUAUGCUAGAUUCAUAUGAAUGUGAACUAAGAUCGAUAAACUCUAAGAAAAGUAAAGAACUCGACAAGUGUGGCAUGUAAAGAAUCCUAAGUGUGGAUAACUAAGAUAACAAGUAUCAUGAGUGGCAUUGAAAUCUAGUGUUACUGAACAUAGGUGAAUCAUGAGUGGCAUUGAACCUAGUGUCAUUGGGCAUAGAUUGAGAAUGAAAUCUAGAGUUAAAUAAACCUAGGUGAGCGGCAUGAAACCUAGUGUCAUUGAACAUAGGUUGAGAAUUGAACCUAGAGUCAAGUAAACCUAGAUUAUGAGCAUAUGGGCAUUGAAACCUAGUGUUGUUGAACAUAGGUGAAUGAUGAGUGGCAUUGAACCUAGAGUUGAGUGGACCUAGGAUGGAAAUGACAUUAGACCUAAUAUAUUAAACUUAGGUUGAGUAAUUGCUUGAACCUAGAAAGGUUGAUAUAGGGUCAGACCAACCCUUGAGACAUGAAAAGUGGAUUCCAGAAUCCCUAUGAAUGAAGGCUGCGAGUGCAGCAGCUGCUAGUGCAGCAGAUGAGACUUGCGACUGAGCGCAAGUGAAUCGUAACUGCGGGUAUGUUGGUUCUCCUUGCCCGACAGUGAUUCAACCGGUAUGUUGGUUCUCCUCGCCCGGUAUGAAAUUGAGCGCUAGGGUGUAUGUGGCAUGUUCCUCUCCCUAUCGGGGGUUUUGGGCCACUGGUGCGUGUGGUAUAUUCCCCUCCCACCGAGAAGAUUCCUGACCACGGGUAUACGCAACUCUGGGCGACCCGUUGGGCGAUGUGGCUUGUGGAUUGAAUGCUAAGGUAUAUGUAAGAGUUCCUUUACCUCGAGCCGGACAGAGCGUGGAUUAUUCGCAGAUGAUUGACUCAAGAUCGAGUCGAGUGGCAUAGUUGGCUAAGGUAAAAGUAACCUUAGGAAAGAAUGGCAAAUGGGCAUAGAACAACUAAUAAUGAAGUAUAGUAAAUAUUAAAGAACGACCAAUAAUAAAGAAUAUCAAGGAAUAAUGAACGGCUAAUGACAAGGAAUAGCAAAUAGUAAAGAAUAAAGAAUGGCAAGUGAUAGAGAGUAGAAUUAAUUAAUCUACUUGCAUGAGUUGCAUAAUUUUGCAUUAUCUUAAUUGUGAGGCAAGAGCAUGAUAGCAAGUAGUUGCAUGAGUAUAUAUAUAUGAUGAUAUCUAUCUAUUGAACUAACUUGCUUUGUUGCCUUCUUUGGACCUGGUGGGUCGAGCUCUUCCCUUGGGUGGCCGUAUCCACUGGGAACUAUGACAAUAGUUCUCACCCCACAUGGUUUUGGGGGUUUUCAGGUUCGCACGCGAGCGGUGCGGUGACUCGAGGUAAGGGCGUAGCUCCGUAGAUAGCACCCUACCACAGAGACCAGAGAUAGCAAUACCCCAAGUCGGCUUAGCUAGGGAUGUAGAAAAGAAAAGACAAGAAUGUAAUAAAGUGUAAAAUGUGGAUUGUAUUUGGAAACAAGAAUCAAAAUGUAAUAUGUAAAUUAAAUGUGGAGAAUGCUUGUAAUAGUAUAGUUGUAUUUAUGUUUUUGAUACCUUCCUUUUACAAUCUGUGUAUGAAUGUUGUUCCUGGUUGGAACCUCGCACAUUGUAUGGAUUGUGACGCCUUUAACGUACAGAGGAAACUCUGUCCGAGGUACAAGAAAAACUCUGCCCGUUCGGCGGUUUGUUGGCGUGCCCGAAUCCGACCAAAUUGGCGGGUCUCGGGGCGUGACAGAAAAAUUCAUAAGCACCAGUAAUUUAGCUCUAUUACAUGCAUUUUAGCGUAGUUAUAUCGACAACUAUCCUUUUAGGAGAACAAAGGGCCGUUGUCCUGUUAAGUCAUUUUUGAUGAUAGCGAUUCUAAAUUUGAUGAUCAGAAAUGUUAAAAUUAAUCUAGAUUAUUUGAAGUGUCUACAAAUCAAUUUCAUAAUUUUUUAAAUUUAUUUACAUAGUAAUAAAAUGAUCAUAAAACCGACAGUUUUUGACAGUCUAUAUGAGCCGUUUGCUUAUUUGAUGGUAUAGAGCAAUCAAAAUGGCUUGAUUUUAUAAAAAAAUUCUUAUUAUUUAAAUAAUAUUUGAUAACUCCAAUAAUGAAUUAAGAAUGUCUAACCUCAAUUUUUAUAUAAGGUUAUUCGUUUUUCAUCUAUUCGAUAGGCUUGAUAAUGAUUUAUUAAAAAUUACGAAACUUGGUUUCUAAAUAUUUCUAAUAGUGUAGAUCAAUUUCAAAGUUGUCGAUUAUCAAUUUGGAGUCCCAAUCAUCUAAAAUGACUUAAUAGGAUAAAAACCUUCAUCCUUUUAAGAGAAUAAUAGUUGGACUACAGAUAUACAUAAAGCCCGGCUUGGGUACUUCUAAUAGCACCAAGCACUUGGUGCUGCCAAGUUUUUCACUAUUAAAUUUACUACUUUAACCAUUUCAAUCCAUUAGGUCAUACUUCAACCAACCACCCACUCAACCCUAGAGAAUCACUAUCAUACUAACCGCACAUCCCUUCAUUCAAUUGCCGAAAAUCUAAUAGCACCAAUAAUUUGAUGCUUUUAAAAUUAUUCAAGCCUAAUUUUAUAUAUAUUUAUAGACUUCGACUAUUAUACUAUCAAUAGUAUAGUGUGUGUGCGCUCACAAGCGUACGGAAAAUCUUACAAUGACAAACAUAAUAAAAAAAAAAUAAAAGAAUAUUCUCUUGAUAUUUAAUCUCGGUAUUUAAUGAAAAAAAGCCUAAUUUAAGGAUAAGAUUAAAUAACCGUGCUUAAAAGAAUAUUCCGUUGGUAUUUAAUCUCGAUAUUUAAUAAAAAAAAUUCAUUUCCAAAUUUAAAUAUGUGUAACUAAACGUAUCAAAAUUUUAAUUCACCUAAAAUUUAAUUGAUUUACUUUAAUUGAAAUUUUUAAUUAUUCAUUCAAAUUUGAUAUCCAAAAUUAAAUUUAUAUCAUGAUUUAAGGACAAUUUUUAAUUUUAAUUUUAAUUUUAAUUUUUAUAUUUAAAUUUAAAUCGUAUAAUUUAAUUUCAAGUAUCAAUUUAACAUGAAAUAAAAAUUUAAAAUUAAAUAAGAUUAAAAUUUAAAAAUAUAUUUGAAAGUAAAUUUGAAUUUGAUUGUUGAAUAAAUAUAAUGUACAAAUUUAUAUUAAUUUGAAUAAAUUAAAAUAAUUAUUAUGUGAAUUUGCACGGUACUUCUUAAAACACCGUGGCUCAACUUUCUCACUACUAUUAAAAGAAUCAGUUAAAAAAAAUGUCUGUCAAUGUUAACCGUUUUUACCUUCAUAAAAAUCAACUUUUCUCUUUAUAUCCUCCAAUAAUUAUCUAACUCUAUCAUUUCAUUAACUUCCCCCAGUAAAGAAUAUCUCUCGUGUUAAAUUUGGUUUAAAUUUAUAGUUAUCUAAAUUGAGAUUAAAUCCUAAUAUAAUUAGGAUUAGAUAUAAUUUAGAUUUAAUUUGGUAUAUAUAGAUUAUAAGUAGAAGUGUAAUUCUAAUUGAAUUAGGAUUCGACUCUAGUUAGGAGACAUGUAUUAUAUAUACAUGCUACGGCCAAAUUAAAGAAGCACGACAACUCUAAUAAAGCCAUACAAAUUAAAGCCAGAUCUCUAUAGUGAAGCCAUGCCUAAUUAAGCUCUUAAUUAAGUCCAAGCCACCUGUGCUUCUUUGGGGCUGGUAGUCACGUUGCGGCGGUGCGAUGCGCAUUGCAUAGAGAGCAGGCUUAGCCAUCUCUUUCGGAGAUCUAAUUAAAGGGGAGACCAUGCAAAUUAAUUAAGCCUUUUUGUGGUCCAUCCGUACGGUUGAGGAGCCGUGCUGUUUUUUUUUUGGAGUCGCAUGUGCGGAUGCGGAUUUCGGCGUUUCUGAUCUAAAAUAGAGUUCGGGUUCUUUGAGAGAUUUUCUAUGUACUCCGUCUUUUGACAUUAAUUAAAUAUUUGCUCCAUCCUUGUCCGUGGACGUAGGCCGUUGGCCGAACCAUGUAAAUAUCGGUGUGCUCUUUUCUCUUUUCUUUUCUUUUUUGUAUUAAGGGAUUUUCUGGAUUUAUUUUUUGUCGUUUCGAUUUUAACAUCUCACCCAAAAUCUCUCAAUAUGAUAACUUUGCCAACCACCCCCCAAAACUCCUCCUAUAACAAAUGCAUUGCAAAAAUUAUGGUCUUGAAGCGUGUAAGUUCACUUUUUUAAGGUGAUAUUUGCCCCCACUGAAUGUAUGCUGUCAGGUUACCAGCAAAUCACUUUCAGAAUACAGUAAGACCACCGAAAGACUGCAAACAAUACUUUUAAAGACUUUUCCUUAAAAACUUCUCUAUUAUUAAUCGGUAUGAAAACUUAGAAAGGAGAAAGAAUUGAUUAUGCUGCUCUUGAAGCCAUCAUACAUCUCCUAUUUAUAGGAGAUGAGUAGUUACGAUAAAAGGACAUAAUUUUUAAAGUUAUAUUUUUUUCACAAAAGGAUACUUCCUUUCACAAAUAGUGAAAAGAUAUAUUUUUUCACAAAAGGAUUCAUCUCUCUGUAAAGAAACAUAUUUUUUUGUAAAGAAACACAUCUUUGCAUCAAAUGAAAAGACAUUUUUUUAUUUGAAUUACUAAUUCACCAAAGAGAUACAACCAUUCAUUUAAUUUUAAUUUUAAUUCCUCAAGUUAUUUUGCAUCCAUUAUUAUAAUCUAUGUUAACAAUCCCCCAUUAGAUUGUAAUGUUGAUUUAGAAAUAGCAAGAAGGUGUUUUUCGAUUAAACCUUCAAUUAGUGUAAUUAUCUCAAAGUUCCAAUAAAUCAAUGGUGGCCAAAGCUUAAACCAGGAGUCUUUAUAUUAUAACCAAAAAUAACACAUACACUAAAUAGGUUUAGUUUCUUUAUGGCCAUGUGCUCUACCUCCUGAUUUCAUGAACAAACCAAGCCCUAAACUGCUAGAAGUGGCACCACUUCUUAUGCUCAUAUAGGUGAAGCUCCUUUUCUACUGCCUUUAUUAUGAUAGGCAUCAAAUAAACUUGAACUUCACUAAGAGUAUUUAUCACUCAUCCUCGAAUUCUGUAAUAAUAUACACUUAAUAUUUUGUAAUAAUAUUUAAACGACAUUUCUAGUAUAUUGAUAGUCACUUAUCAAUAACUUGUUUUUACCUAUUAAAUCUUUUCACUGGUGAUGUAACUAGAUAAAGGUUGGGUUUCCAUUAUUGGUGACUUUUAAAAAAAAGGCUUCAAACCCAAUCCAACUGAUAUAGAUUUUACUAUAUCUCUCGAAUGUUCUUUUGUAAAAGGGUCUGUUAAAUUACCACAUGAUCUCACAUAUAUAAUAUAUAAUAGUAAUUAGUCCUUCUUUUAUUAAUUCUUUAGCAUAGUCAUGUCUUAAACUUAUAUGUCUAGACUUGUCAUUACACACCUGUCUAAGUGCCAGAGACAUUGAUGCUUGACUAUCGCAAUGCAAAGUGAUGGGCAGCAUCGAUUGUGGCCACAACUUUAUAUCAAACAACAAAUUUUUCAAUCGCUCCAUUUAUUUGCCUGUAGUUGCUAACGCUAUAAAUUCAGAUUUCAUUGUAGAAUAUGUUAUACACCUAUGUUUCUUUGAAGCCCUUCAGCUCUAUUGGGCAAAAGACACUUUUAGAAGUAGGAAAUCAAGUGAGUAGAUAUAGAUAUCGCGAAUAGGCUAGAGAGCAUUGAGCUGCUAGAAAACUAGAAGCUCCAAUUCAAAGGCUAGGUCUAUUAUGGGAACAUAUGCCUGCUCUCGAUCCAAAUCUCAUAGGAGAUUAUAUGCUCUCUCUGCAAACAUAAAUUCAUUCUCUUGACAAUGCAGAGAGGGUGCAAAAGACAAGAAUUAAUAGUUCAAGCUGUCACCCACGGCCACCUUGGAGACUAGAAGACUCCGUCGACUCUUUCUAGAAGAUUCAAAUAAGUAGUCCGUCGAUACAAACUAGUGUGAAAUAAUGUAUUGCUUUCUUUCACUUUGUUUGGUGAAGAUCUACUCCUAACGCUUACUAGACCAGGAGAUUGCUCUACUUUCUAAAAUAAAUACCCAUCUAGACGUAGAGUUAUUAUCACUUAAGCUAGUUAUCCAACUAGCAUCAAUAAAACCUUCUAGCAUUGAAUAAUUCUAGAUUUUUAGUUCUUUUAAGAUAUCCAAAAUCUCCACUUGUAGCCUUCCAAUGAUCAGUACUAGGACUACUUGUAUAUCUAAAAAGUUUGCAAACUGCAAAUACGAUAUCUGGUGCACUGUGUUGCACACAUCAAACCUGCUUAUUGCACUUGCAUAUUCUAUUUGAACAAUUGCUCUUCCAGAAUUUUUGACUAAUUUAACAGAAACAUCAUAUUGGGUACUUACUCCUUUGAUUCCUAAAUGAUUAUAUUUUAAAAUCAUUUUCUUGAUAUAGUGCACCUGAGAUUAAACAUAACCUCCGCUGUGUUUCUUCAUUUUUAUUCCUAAAAUAGUAUCUAUUUUAUUUAAAUCUUUUAUUUUGAAUAUAGAAGUUAGAUAUUUCUUAGUUUUAUUUAUCUCAUUCAUAUUUUUCCCAAUUAUAAGUAUGCCAUUGACAUAUAGAUAUAUUGCCACACUAUAUUCUUCUAUGAAUUUAGAAUAAAUGCACUUAUUCACAUUAUUGUUUUUAAAUCCAUGGGACAAUAUUACAGAAUCAAACUUUUCAUGCCAUUAUUUUGGCGCUUGCUUCAACCAUAUAAUAACUUAAUUAAUUUACAAUUUUUUUUUUCAUUUCCAGAUACUACAAACCCUUCAGAUUAAUGUAAUGCAUGUUAAACAAACAAGUGAUCUAUGUAUGCGAAGUCAUUUCAUAAUUUUCCCCUACUACAUAGAGGUUUCCUUUUAUCCGAUAUACUAUGCAGAUUUAUGCGUGCACCAAUCCAUUCAAAUAUACAUAUAUUCACACGAACAUGUAACAAUUUCACUUUCAUAAUGUCAAGAAGACAAAGAGGGAAUUCACCCAUUUCAGUAAGGUCAAACCCACCAAAUCGCUGUCGACUCUCAUUAAUUCCGCAAACGAAGGUAAUACAAAGCCUCCAAGCACCCUAGCAAUGAUUCUAAAGUCAGCUAGAAGCUUAACUCAAAUCUCUACAUAUAAACCUCACAUAAUCACAUAGUUUAGGCUAGAAUCUCACCUAGUAUAAUAUCAAGGCUUAAAUCCUCACUUCGGUUCAGGUUGGAACACCAAAACCAAUCUUUGAAAGCUCCCAAAUCUCAGCCAAAAGAGAUCUAAUACCCUGCUAUGAACCAUCACACAUAAACUCCAUCAAUACUCUACCAACACAUCCAAACUAGCAAGAAGUUAGGUUGCUCACCUUGCACAGCUCCAACUCAGGUUGAAGCACACCAAAACCAAUCUACAAGGGUCACUAAAACUCAGCCAAGGUGGUUCACAAACCUGCUGUGAACAUACAUCAAAACAGCAUCACUACUAUCACCAAUAUAACUAGUAUAGCCUCAAAAUAGAGAGAGUAGUUAGCUAAUCACCUUCCCAAAGCUUCAAUUCAGCUUUCCUCUAGUUUAGGAUUGGAGAAUUACAGCCAAAACACCUUCUCUACAGCUGCUACAAGCUUCCCCAACUCAGCUGGCAGCAAGGAAGCAAAACAUAAUCUCAAACCCACAACUAUAGCAUCAAACUAGAGAGAAAAGUUGGCUAGUCACCUUGUACAGCUUCAACUCAGUUUCUACUGAAUUAAGGUUGAAGAAACACAGUAAAAUCUUGUUGUAACAUUUUUAUUAUUUAAUGUGAAUCUUAAUUCUCAUAACCUAUGCUAGUGGAGUUACAACUUCACUAAACUAGCAUUCAUCGUGAAUUAGUUCCUACAACCUAUACAUACUUGGAAUCACAACCGAAUUGUGAUUUAAAGUAUAAUAAACUCCUAUCGUUAUUCCUUCAAUUUAUGAACUACACUAAAUGUCAUAUAACUUCUAUCCUAUGAGCCUAUCAAUAGAGGACUUCUCUAUUCACUUGGAUAUAACUCAAAAAAACAACAAAGUUAUUUUAAUUAUACUUGAGAGAGAGAAGGUCAAAGAAAGGUGUUUCUUUUGGUGGAACUUUGGGCUCAUCUACUUGUGCAGAGUUGAUGAAGCCACAUGACGAGGGUCGAGCCGUUGUAUCUUGGAGGGGACAAGUCAGUGCUCUACUGCAUCGGUUCAAAGGCUUUGCCAACCGUAGAGGGCUUGAAUCUCCUUAAAGAGAGCGAGAUAUCCGUGCCUCGGCUUGAUCGACUCGUUGACACUUUUUAAAUUAUUUUGUAACUAACCUCUAUUUUUUGAAUAUAUACACCAAUAAUUUUAAGGAGAGUUCAAGAAUGGGGGCUACACGUGAAAAGUUCAACAAUACUGCCGGAGAUCUCAACAAGCCCUUUCGCUUCAACAGAAGUCACUUCAAGAGGUGGAAAGGAAAAAUGUUAUUCUACCUCAAUUUACUUAAAGUUGCAUAUGUUCUCACGGGGAAGAACCCAAAGAAAAUGAAUACCGACGAUAUGAAUGAAGAAGAACUUCUCAAACACUACGAGAAAAUUGAAAAUAUGAGAAGGAUGAGUAUAACUGUCGGUAUUAUCUUCUUAACUGCCUUUCAGAUCAGUUUUAUGAUUAUUAUGAAAAUACUUACUCCUCUGCAAAGAAGAUUUGGAAGGCAUUGUAGCUAAAGUAUGACACAGAACAAGCUGGUGCAAAGAAGUAUACUGCUAGCCACUUCUUUCGCUACCAAAUGGUCGAAGGAAAAUCUGUGGUGGAGCAAGUUCAAGAUUUUCAGAUGAUCGCUCAUGAAGUUCAAUCUGAAGGAGUCAAGUUUGGAGAUAACUUGAUCGUACUGGGGAUCAUCGACAAGCUACCACCAUCAUGGAGGGAAUUCCAAAAGACCCUUCGACAUAAGCAAAAGGAGAUGUCUCUCGAGACAUUAAUUGCACGCAUUCGCGUGGAAGAAGAAGCAAAAGGCCAAGAUGCACUUAAAGCAAAAGAGAAUGAUGCUAGCGCCACUAAGGUAAACUUAGUAUCUUCUAAUACUUUACCUAAUAACAAUCGUUCUAGAAAUACAUACUUGAAGCCUAAGAAGAAAAUUAAAAAGAACAGUGAUAGACCUCAAUUUAAGAAAAAUGACCAAGGACCUCCUUCAAAUGUGAAAAAUUCUAUAAUUUGCUAUGUCUGUGGCAAAAGUGAGCAUAUUGCUCGAAUUUGCAAAUUCCGGAAACAUAAAGCUUUACCUCAAGCUAAUGUUACCGAGGAGCCACUUGUGGCGAUGAUAACAGAAAUAUGCUUAGUGGAGAAUACUGAAGGAUGGUGGGCAAACUCUGGUGCCAAUAAGCAUGUCUGUCAUGAUGAAGCUUGGUUUAAAAAGUAUACUCCCUAUAAACAACCAAGAAGUAUAAUGCUUGGUGAUUCGCAUACUUCUGAAGUUUUAGGGAGUGGUGAGGUCGAGUUAAAAUUUUCUUCUGGAAGGGUCCUUAUCUUGAAAGAUGUGUUGUAUACACCCUCGAUUAGGAAGAACUUGAUGUCAAGUUUUCUUCUUAAUAAAGCUAGCUUCAAACAGACCAUCGAGUUUGAUCAGUAUGUGAUUUUAAAGAAUGGAAAGUUUGCAGGUAAAGGUUAUGCAUGCGACGGAAUGUUUAAACUAAAUAUUGAGAAUAAAGUAUCAUCUACUUAUGCUUACAUGCUUUCUUCUGUGAAUUUUUGGCAUGCUCGUUUGUAUCAUAUUAAUAGCAGAUAUGUUAGCAUGAUGACUAGUUUAGGAUUAAUUCUCAGACUGAAUAGUGAUUUUGACAAAUGUGAAAUAUGUAGUAAGUCAAAAAUCACUAAACGACCUCAUAAGAGUAUUGAAAGAAGUACCGAAUUACUUGAGCUAAUUCACAGUGAUAUUUGUGAAUUUGAAGGUAAUCUAACUCGUGGAGGAAAUAGAUAUUUUAUCACUUUUAUCGAUGAUUUUUCUAAAUAUACUUAUGUUUAUUUAUUAAAAAAUAAAAGUGAUGCUUUUGACAAAUUUAAAGAUUUCCUCCAUGAAGUAGAAAAUCAAUUCGGUAAAAAGAUAAAGACAAUUAGAAGUGAUCGAGGUCGUGAGUAUGAAUCUAUAGGAUUCAACACUUUUGUUCAGUCUUUAGGAAUUAUCCAUGAGACUACUGCUCCAUAUUCACCUGCCUCAAAUGGAGUAGCUAAGAGAAAAAAAUAGAACACUUAUUGAUCUAACAAAUGCUAUGAUAGUUGAUGCUGGUGUACCCCUAAACCUUUGGGGUGAAGCCAUUUUAACUGCAUAUUAUGUCUUGAAUCGUGUGCCACAUAAGAAGUCUAAGAUGACACCCUUUGAAUUGUGGAAAGGGUAUAAGCCAAAUUUGGGAUAUCUUAAAUUGUGGGGUUGUCUAGCAUAUGUGUGGCUACCAGACCCCAAAAGACCCAAAUUGGGUGUUAAAGCCGCCGCUUGUGUUUUUCUUGGAUAUGCUUUGAACAGUACAGCCUAUAGAUUUUUAGACAUUGAAAAUAAUGUGAUCUUUGAAUCAAGAGAUGCUAUUUUUCAUGAAGAAAAGUUUCCUUAUAAAUCGAAAAAUAGUGGGGGUCAAGAUUUUAAAAGUGUUUCAAAUAAACCGAGUUCUUCAAACUCUUUUUUGCAAAAUCAAGAAGAAAAUAUUUUUGAACCAAAAAGAAGCAAACGGAACAUAAUAGAAAAAGAUUUUGGCCCUAAUUAUGUUGUUAUGAAUAUUGAAGAAAAUUCACUUUCUUUACAAGAAGCUUUAUCUUCAAAUGAUGCAAUGUUUUGGAAAGAGGCUGUAUCUGAUGAGAUGGAAUCCCUAAUAUCUAAUGAAACAUGAAAAUUAGUGGAUUUACCACCUAGCUGUACAACAAUUGGUUGUAAAUGGGUCCUCAGAAAGAAAUUGAAACCGGAUGGGAGUGUAGAUAAGUAUAAAGCUAGACUUGUUACAAAAGGUUAUAAACAAAAAGAAGAUCUAGACUUCUUUGAUACCUUUUCUCCGGUGACAAGAGUGACAUCCAUCAGAGUUCUGAUUGCUAUUGCUGCAAUUCAUGACUUACAGAUUCAUCAGAUAGAUGUAAAAACUGCCUUUCUGAAUGAUGACCUAGAUGAGAAAAUUUAUAUGGAUCAACCUGAGGGGUUCAUUGAGCUUGGAUAAGAAAAUAAAGUGUGCAAGCUAAAUAAAUCCCUUUAUGGCUUAAGGCAGGCACCUAGACAGUGGAAUGAAAAUUUUGAUUCUUGCAUGAUUGAGAAUAGCUUUAAAUUAAACGAGUGUGAUAAGUACAUCUAUUACAAAACUUUUGAAAAGUUGCAUGUUAUUAUUAGCCUUUAUGUGGAUGAUUUGCUAAUUUUUGGCUCUAAUUUAAAUGUUAUAAAUGAGACAAAAAUUAUGCUAAGUCAUUAUUUUGAAAUGAAAGAUCUUGGUGAGGCUAAUUAUAUUUUCGAUAUAAAAAUUACCAAAACAUCAGAUGGGAUCAUUCUUGAUCAGUCGCAUUAUGUUGAGAAAAUUUUAAAAAAGUAUAACUUUCUUAAUUGCAAGCAUGUGACUACACCUUUUGAUUCGAGUGUUCACUUGUUUUCUAUUAAAAGUGAAAAUGAAAUUUUAAAUCAUAAGGAAUAUGCUAGUAUGAUUGGCAACUUGCGGUUUAUGACUGAUUGUACAAGACCUGAUAUAGCGUAUGCAGUAGGGAUACUUAGUAGAUUUACAAGCAAACCGGGUACAGAGCAUUGGCAUGCCAUGGAACGUGUGAUGAGCUAUCUCGUUGGUACCAAAACUUAUGGCUUGUUUUAUAGGAAGUAUCCUGCUGUGAUUGAGGGUUACAGUGAUGCUGACUGGAAUACCCUAUCAGGUGAUUCUCUCUCUACCACUGGUUAUAUUUUUACUUUAGCAGGUGAUGCUAUAUGUUGGAGAUCUAAAAAGCAAACUAUUAUUGAUAACUCAACUAUGGAAGCCGAGCUAAUUGCCUUAGCUUCAGCUAGCGAGGAAGCUAGUUGGUUGAGAGACUUAUUGUCUGAGAUUUUAUUUGUGGAAAAACCAGUUCCAUCCGUGUUAAUACACUGUGAUAGCACUGCUGCUAUUGGUAGAGUAAGAAACUGUUAUUAUAACGGUAAAUCCAGAUCCGUGAGAAGAAAACACAGUACUGUGAGAUCAUAUAUGAACAAUGGUAUUAUCAGUGUUGAUUAUAUUAAAUCUACUGAUAAUCUGGCAGAUCUAUUAACCAAGGCCUUGGGAAGAGAAAAGAUCUGGAGCACAUCGAGGGGGAUAGGGUUGAAGCCCAUAACAUCAUGAACCACGUAUGAGGAUACCCAACCCGAUGAUCAGAGGUCCUGAAAAUUGGGUUCAAUGGAAAAAACGAAUCAUAUGAUGGUCGUAAAGAAUGCACAAUAUAUAGAUCUAUAUGAUCGCAUCUUGUCACGCCCCAAGCUCCGCCUAUUUGGUCGGAUUCGGGCACGUCAACAGACGCUGAACGGACAGCACCUCCCCUGUCCGCCCAAGGCUCCAACAACAAGUAUAAUCAUGCAAUCAAACAACGAGAUUUGCAAUUAUACAAGGCUUGCACGAGGGCAAACAACAACAAGUAGUGAAAGCGCUAAGCUACUACAUACAACCAUAUAUAUAAUAUUUGAUUACAUUUUAACCAAAUACAAGUAAACUAAAUUAUUACAUUCAUUUUCUUUGCAUUCAUGAUUCUUUACAUCACAUAGUCAUUCACCCAAAAUAUAUGAUUUACACAUCUUUUACAUCACUUCUUCAACAAAAUAAAAGUUUAUACAUGACACAAAAAGGAAUGACUAUAUAUAUACUCUGGUGGCCACUAGCUAUGGCGUUAUACCCUUGCCUCGAUCCUCCGCCCCCCCCACUUGCGCUCGGAUCUGUAGGGUUAGUGGUGUGAGAACUACAACGAAAUUUCCAGUGGGUUCGGCCGCCGACAUCGCCGACUUACCCACUAGGUCUAUUCAGGGAUAAGUAUUUCAAAGAAAGAAAAUAGCAAAUCAUACUAAUGCUAAUACUAUGCCUGCAAAAAAACUGUUAACAGAUAGAUAAUCAUAUGUAUGAUGAAUAUGCAUGCAUGCUUUUCCACAUUUACUUUGGCUUAUACCCAAUUAAACCGGUUAACAUUUGUUAACCCCAACAACUCACAACCCAAAAUUCCUAUCAUUCGGGGAGGCUCUAAGCACUACCACCCGAGGGACCGUCUUCGGGGACCGCGCUCCCCGUGGUGACAAUUCCGGAAUGCACCGCUUGAGAGGGAGCUACCACCCUUAAGCCAAGACUCAAUGUGAGUAUCGAUCCAAUCCUCAAUUUGAGGACGUAUAGCCACUAGCCACAAUGUCAAUAUCACAACAGGUUUCUAUCUUGUCAUUUAUGCCACUCUCUAGGCUACUCUUGCCAUAAUGCCACAAUUGGUUAAACUUUGUUUAACAAUUCAUUUCUCAAUACCAAUCUCGUCACUAAUGUCAAUGUCACCUUUGUUUACUAUUAUCAUAGUCCAAGUCUCACAAUCAUACAAGUAUAGGGUCCAACAUACAUGUCACAUAUGGCUCUAUAUCAAUCACUAUGUUUAUCUACGUUAGAAGCAUAAUAUUGAAUGCCAACCAUUAUUCUCAUAACAACUACCCUAUCAUGCAUGAAUGUCACUAUUCACAUAUAUGUUCAAUAAAAAGGCAACAUAGAUAUAGAAGGGAAUUCAGAAAUUCCGGAUAGCACCCCCCACCACGUAUGGUAGCAAAGGUGUUGCGGUUCGAAUUUGAUAAUUUUUUAGCGCCUAUUCUCUCGCCUGCGGCAAAACGAAGCCAAAUUAGGCUUUUUCCCCCCUAAUCUAAUGUAGACUCGUCGGAUCACCGAACCGAGUUUAUUUCUAGUUAUAAAUACCCCCAAUUUGGUUUCUACAAGGUCAAUUUGCUCCAAAACCAUCCUAGAGCAAAAGCCCUAAUUUUGGUGCCCUAACAAUAUUAUUUUGCAAUUUUCUUGAAUUGAUCUUAGAGCUAAGCAAAAACUAGUUUAAAACCAUCUAAGAACUUCUCUAAAACCAUUUCUAGGUCAUUCAAACCAUUCCUAGGGCAUCUAACAUGAACCCUAGAAAUCUACCAUGAGAGCUCAUGAAGAAAAACAUGGACUUUCAUGUGUUUAUGGCCUUAAUAAGGUUUCUAGCCUUGCAAGAAGAUCAAAACCAAAAGAUUUGGGGUCUAAAUCCAAGCCCUAGCAUCUAUCUUGCAUAAAACCUUAUCUUAGCCCACUAGCUCUCCAAUGUCCACCUUGUAGGAGAGACCUAGACCUUCUAAUCCUCCAAAUCUCCUCCAAAAUCCCCAAGUUCUCCUCCAAAUCCAUCUUGGGAGAGAGCUUCUAGAGAGAGAGAGGGAGAGAAGUGAGUGGGAGGAGUGUUCUCAACUGCUGUGAACAAGAGAGGGGUGUUGGGGUCUUAUAUAAGCUGCUAUAUUUGCAAAAAGGCCCCCCCAAUCUUCAUAUUUGCAGCAGACAUCAACCUACUGCGAAGUGCACUGCGUACCGGUACACGGGAUCCUGUCACCGGUUUAACAGCCUUUUUUUCUCAAACCCGAGAACUGCUUCUCUCUGUCUGCCAUAUGGUACCGGUACAAGGUCAAUGCAUUACCGGUGACAAAAGCUCCAGACUUGAGUUUUGCACCUUUUCCACUUCAAUUCGCGCCGAGCAAUGCUAAAACCUUUCUAACUCCUUUGGAACUCAACUUUAACCCUUCCAACGUUGUUGGAAUGUUAAAUGAAAUUUGUCCAACUAUUCUCUCGGACACUUUGGUCAAUUUGACUAAAGUUCGAUAUAGGCUACCGAGGUUUCGAUAUAUUACACAUCUUUACCUAUCCCUAUGGUGAGGGUGCAUUCAUUCUGUAAUGAAAAGAGGGUUGAGUUUUUGCUCUUAAUGAAAUAUGUGGUUCUUAUGAGCAGGGUGUCAGAAUUACAGGAGCACCCUUGACGGAUUUCACCUAUGUGAGCAUGGAAGUGGGGCCGCUUCCUAUGAGAAUGGGCAUAUUCUCAAAAAUGCUCAUGAAAAUCAGGAUCAGCACAAGGCCGUAACGUGCUAGCUAUUAAAGCUCAUGUCAACACCUGAAUUGUUAUAUGUGAGCAAUAACUUUCUAUUUUUCCUAAGCAGCCAAAGUUCAAGUCUGAGACCACUCUGGCUCUGGAGUAGAGAUUACUAUUUCACUAAGUGAAAGUUCAAUGCAGAGCACACCUUCAUUAUGUAUAAUGGUCCCUCUUUGACCAUCAAACUCUCAUAUAUUUUUAAUAAUACAUACUUGGAAUCACAACCGAAAUGUGAUUUAAAGUAUAAUAAACUCCUAUCGUUAUUCCUUCAAUUUAUGAACUACACUAAAUGUCAUAUAACUUCUAUCCUACGAGCCUAUAAAUAGAGGACUUCUCUAUUCACUUGGAUAUAACUCAAAAAAACAACAAAGUUAUUUUAAUUAUACUUGAGAGAGAGAAGGUCAAAGAAAGGUGUUUCUUUUGGUAGAGCUUUGGGCUCAUCUACUUGUGCAGAGUUGGUGAAGCCACACGACGAGAGUCGAGCAGUUGUAUCUUGGAGGAGACAAGUCAGUGUGCUGCUGCAUCGGUUCAAAGGCUUUGCCAACCGCAGAGGGCUUGAAUCUCCUUAAAGAAAGCGAGAUAUCCGUGCCUCGGCUUGAUCGACUCGUUGACACUUUUUAAAUUAUUUUGUUGCUAACCUCUAUUUUUUGAACAUAUACACCAACAAACCUCACUUCCCACACUUCCAUAGCUGGCCCCCAAGUCUUCAAACCAGCUAGCAACAAGAGAAGAAAAGAAACCAUGCUCAAAUCACUAGUUUUCCACUUCAAAAUGGAAAACCUAGAGGGAGAAAGAAAGAGAAAGGCUCACCCCUGUUCUCUGAGCUCCAACAUAAUAAGAACAAGCUGAGGGGUCAAGCUGGACUGAUAAGGAUAAGGCUGGAGAAGGAAAUGACCAAAACAACCUCAGCCACGCAACUGCUGUGCUGGGUACCGGUACUCAGUGCAAAGUGCAGAUUUCGCAUUUUGCAAUGCACUUUCGCUCUUCCGGCCGCUUAAUCACUCCAGUAACUUGCCGAAAACUUCUCGACAACCUCUAAAAAGAUGUGGAAUAGUUUCAAUUACUAUUCCAACACUCGAACUUCGCAAUUUACCAAAGUUCAGUGUACUACAAUAGCAAUAAUCCAAGAGUAGAAAAAUUGAUAAUAAACACUAUUUAUAUAGUAUCAAUAGUAUACUAGGUGAACUCUAUGCAUGUGUAUAUUUUUAUUAUUAUUAGCAAAUAGGUUUGAUGGUUUUGUCUCACGCCUUCUCUUUGUCAGUAAGUAUGUAUAAUUAUAAUUAUACUCUUUGUUUCAUUAAUUGUAAAGUUAUUGAACUUGAGAUUAAAAUUUGAAUGCAUAUUAUAAAUUAUUCAAUUAAUCAUUAAAAGAAUUAGCCAAUAUUAAAUUUUCAAAUGUAUUGUGGUUUCAAAUUUCUAAUUUGCUUCAAAUUAAUUUGAACUUAAAAAUUGAACUCACGUUUUAAUUGCACUAUCAAUUGUAAAUUAUUUGUGAUAUAGAAAUUCUAAAAGACAUUCAAUAUGAAUUCGUUAAAAGUGCUACGUGUCAAAUCAAAAUUCUUACUUCCAAAUUGAAUUUUAAUUAAAAUUUAUAUACAGAUUAUAGAUUGUUCAAUCAAUUUAAAUAAUCAUCCAAUAUUAAUUUAAUUUCCAGAUAUGCGGCAGUUUUAUUGAAUUUGGUCUUAAAAAUCAAACUUAAAUUUAAAAUUGUGCCCUCAAUUAUAAAUUUUCUGGUAAAUUUCAAAUUGCCGCUAAUUAGUUCAGCUCCUUUUUACUUUGCCACAUGUAGUUCAAAAACUUUACAUGAAACCCCUGUGGUUUAAUUUUUAUUUUACCAAUUAAAUUAGGAUGGCGAAUUAAAACUAUUUAAUGAAUCACAGGGUGAUAAAGUGUAAAAAUAUGCUAAACCACAUGAGAGGCAACGUGUUAUUUUUUGAAUCAUGGGAUAACAAGUGAAAUGAGCUAAACCAUAGGAAGACAUAGUUAAAGUUUUUGAACCACAGGUCACAAACCGAGUGCAACUUGAAGCUUUAAAUUUUUUUGGUAUAACAAAUUCUAAAAGAUGUGUAAUAUAAAUUUUUUACAAAUGUCGCAGUUUCAAAUUUAUAUCAUAAACCAUAAUUUUACCUUUAACUUAAAAAAUUUUAAAAAUUGAGUUUGAUUGUCGAAUUCAAAGUAUUUUCAGUGGUUAUUUCGAUGUAAGAACAUUUUGAAUUAAAAGGACUCGAUCUCAGUUUCACAAUUUGGAUGUAAAAUUUUAUUUAGUAAUAUAAAUUUAAAUUGAAUUGAAGAUACCAACUUACAUUUUGAUUUUAAGCUUCUUCUAAUUUUUUUAUUUUAUCAAAAAAGUGUAAAACCAAAUUAAAUCCAAAAUUUCAUUGAAUUUUCAAUUUUGGAAAUUGAACCCAUAUUUUUAAUUCAACUUUGAGAUGAAAUUAUAAAUUCAAAUUUGAAUUUAGCAAAUUUAAAUUUUAUUAAGAAUUUGAAUUAUGAAUUCAUAUUUCAAUUUUCAGUUUGACAUAAAAUUUGAUUCCAAAUUUUUCCUUAAAUUUUUAAAAUAAAUUUAAAUUUAUUUUGAGAAUACGAAUUCAAAUCUUCUAAUUGUAUUAUCAAAACAUUGGUCCUCAUGGCUGAUUAAAAUUAAACUUAAAAGUGCUUUUUGAAUGGAUGAUAUUGCGAAAUGACCAGUUUCGGUGCAUCGUUGCAUCUACACGCUGUUUUUAAAAUUUGAUAUCCUUAAAAUUUAAUUUAACAGAUAUUAUCUCAAAAAAAUGGAGAUUUUUAUACAGAUUUGUGUACAAUUUCUAAAAUAUUAUAAUUUUGGAAAUAUAAUUCUUACGGACGAAGCAUGUGCCAAAAUCAGCCGCGUUAACUUUUAAAGUUCAUUAUACUAUAUAAAAAAAAUUAUAAUUUUUAUAGUUAAAUAUUUUAAUGGUGUAGAAUACAGUGGUUUGGAUUUAAAUUUCAAAAUAUUUAAUAUUCAAUUAAAAAGCUUAUAGUGUGUUUGCAUAAGCUCUUUUGAGCACUUUUUUUUUUUUAUGCACAACAUAAGAAUUCUUAGCCUUUAAGUAAUAUAAAAAAUGAAAAUGAAAAGCCACCUAUUCUCCUGCAAGUGAAGAGUUAAAAAAAAAAAAAAUCAGUUAAUAGAAAAAUUAAUAAAUUUAUUAUUUUUUUUAUAAAAAAUUCUUUCAUUUUUUGCUCUAAAUAAUAUAAAAAUAAAUUCUAUAUUAUUGGUUUCCCUUCAUCUCCACUACCAUAUAUAAUUUUUUUUAAUCAUUUGGAUUUUACUAUUGAUAAAUUAAUGGAGCACAUGUGGGUACGUAGAGUAAGCCUUCAUGUUUGCGGCGUUGACAACUCGGGUGCCGUGGAGGCUGUUCACGGAGUGGCACUGACACGUAUGAGACGUACAACGCCUUUUGUGUUUCACCUGUGAUGUCUCCUCGCAAUCCUUAGCCUUCAAUUAUUGCACAUGCUGUGUGUUUGUAGUUUGUGAGAAGCUCCCUUACAGAGUUGGUACUGAUGGAAAUAAUUUAAAAAAACAAAUUAUUACCUCGAUCUGGGCUACAAUGUUAUUUUGUUGGACCAGAAUUACCAGAUCGUAGUGACAAAUUUUACCUGAAAUUAUUGGGUCAACACAAACUGAUCUCUUUUUGAGAUCAAUUUUCAAAUUUUACCUGAAAUUAUUGGGUCAACACAAACUGAUCUCUUUUUGAGAUCAAUUUUCGUUCACCUAUUCUAUAGUCUGUUAGUAGUUUGGGUCAUCGCAACCUCCACCUGAAUUAUUCCUGGGACGAUUUCAAUCUAGCUAUUGAUUUGUUUGGGUUAUCAACGCAUCAAUUUAGGAUGGAUGCGUUGCGAUGGAGUUACUUAUGUUGAAAAAAUCUCUCUAAUCUUUUAACGAAAAUUAUAAUUUUUUUAAAUAUUUUAAAACGCAAAAUUUAAACAAGUAUUUAAAAACACAUGCAAAAAUUAAUAACUAAAUAUUAUAUGAAAAUGAAGAUCAAAUGAGGUCUGUGAGUCGAGACGUGCUAAGCACUAUCCUAGAAAUGAGAUUGCCCCUUUACGUAUAAGACUCCGACAAUCACUCCUAGUAAUGCAACUCGAUCUCAAUGAGCAAAAGAACAAAAGAAAAAAGAAGUAAGUCUCAGUUAACCCCAGCCAAAGAUAGGGUCCAACGGACCGGCUCUGUUUCGGAUAAGCCGUUGAAUCUUAUUGAGAUAUAAGAUUUGGGGCCUUACCGAUCUCAAUGAGCAAAAGAACAAGAGAAAAAAGAAGUAAAUCUCAAUUAACCCCAACCAAAGGUAGGGUCCAAUGGACCGGCUCUGUUUCGGAUAAGCCGUUGAAUCUUAUCGAGAUAUAAGAUUUGGGGCCUUACCGAGGUAAGAUAAGAUCUGUGUAUGUUUUGUGAAAAGCAUCACUAUCAUUAUCUCCCAAACAACUAAUCUAAGAAUGAUGGAGUAUAAAUGGUGCAAUAACUAAACUUUUGUUCCCAAUAUGGGACUAACCUCGCAUGUAAAAACUUAAGCACGAUGUCACGGCCUUAGCGGUUCUGUUCGCAAAGUCCGUGCGGCGCCCGCCUUCCUGCUCGAAGAUGGGCAAGCCUUCGUCCCUAUUGCUAGCCCGGACCUUCGCGUCCUAUGACUAAGUAUGCAAAGGGAAAUGACAGAGAGAGAGAGAGAGGCAGAAGUUCACUUAAAAAACUAAGUACUACACUACUUAGAAAAGAGAUUACAACCCACACAUACACACACCCUCUCUUGUGUGUCAUGGCCUUAGCCAAACCCCAUUACUUAUAGGCUUCUAGAUACAAUGAACCUAGACACACACUAACUCUCUCAUUAUGAGACACAUUAACUCACCCUCAUAAUGAGCCCUCAUAAUGACCAAAAGCUCAAGAGUCACCCAUAACUCAUGGGAGUUUCAUAACCCUUGAGUUUCCAUCAUUGAUGAAGGAGUUACAAAACCCUUUGUCUCCCCACAGCGGGUUGGGUUUGAGUCUCCUUGACAACCCGAUUCAACCCAUUUUCAACCCGUUUCGCUAGCAGAUUUGGGCCACUGUCAAGGAGAAGUUAACGGAAAACAUUUUGUCCAUGACAUUCUCUCCCACCUAACGCGCAGACGCCCUCGUCGCGCGCCGAGUUGCUCCCGGUCCACAUAACCUUCCGCGCGGUCCGUCGUGCCUUCACGCGCGAUCGGCCCCAUGCCUUGCUCCCAAUGUCCGCACUUGUCCCCGCACCAGCACCUAGUGUCUUGCCCCUCUGAGCAAGUGCACCAGCAAGCCUGCUGUGCGAAGAGUUCGCCGGAUGUGCAUGUCCUCCGUGACACGCACGCGCACUCUGCCAAGCUGCUGAACGCCCCAAGUGUGCAUGUCCUCCGCGACACGCACGCGUACUCCGCCAAGCUGCGGAACGCCUUUUGGUCCUCACAGGCUCCUUGGCAGAAUGACUUGCACUUUGCUUCGACGCUGGCCACUUCAGCGCCAUAUGAGACUCGAUAGUUUCGCCGCCGCUCAGGCCCUCCUCCUCGAGGUCCUCGGCCUUCCCACGCUUCACCUCCUCGCAAAGCUGCAAGGCUGUCAGAGUUGAACUCUCGUUGCACCCUUUUGCGUCCCCUGGAUCGCGGUGCUCUCCCCCACCUUUGGCCUUGCUCGCCUUUGAUGGUUCACCUCGAUCGCCCUCGGUUCGCUCCCGCUCGGGCACAACGUCAACGACGACAGCUUCCGACAAAGACAUGGUUCCUUCUCGAACCGGCUCUGAUACCAACUGUCACGGCCUUAGCGGUUCUGUUCGCAAAGUCCGUGCGGCGCCCGCCUUCCUGCUCGAAGAUAGGCAAGCCUUCGUCCCUAUUGCUAGCCCGGACCUUCGCGUCCUAUGACUAAGUAUGCAAAGGGAAAUGACAAAGAGAGAGAGGCAGAGGUUCUCUCAAAAGACUAAGUACUACACUACUUAGAAAAGAGAUUACUACCCACACAUACACACACCCUCUCUUGUGUGUCAUGGCCUUAGCCAAACCCCACUACUUAUAGGCUCCUAGAUACAACGAACCUAGACACACACUAACUCUCUCAUUAUGAGACACAUUAACUCACCCUCAUAAUGAGCCCUCAUAAUGACCAAAAGCUCAAGAGUCACCCAUAACUCAUAGGAGUUUCAUAACCCUUGAGUUUCCAUCAUUGAUGAGGGAGUUACAAAACCCUUUGUCUCCCCACAGCGGGUUGGGUUUGAGUCUCCUUGACAACUCGAUUCAACCCAUUUUCAACCCGUUUCGCUAGCAGAUUUGGGCCACUGUCAAGGAGAAGUUAACGGAAAACAUUUUGUCCGUGACAACGAGCUCCCAAACAAGCCCACAGAACGUUGGGUUGCUUAGAAAGCCCAUGAACUAAAAUAAAAUUUUAAAUCACUAAAAUCAAAUUAAUACUAACAAUUUAUAGGACGGAUUAAGUUGAUUGGGUUUGGUUGACGGGCUGGUCUAUAGUGUUGGAUUGGAUUGAGCGAUUGGGUUUUAUCCAAUUCAUAAAGUUUAGUUAGUUAAUGGAUCAAGUCCGUUUUAAUUAGGCUGCCCCUAACCCAAAAUUUUUACAUUCAUUUGUGUUCAAUUUUAGUGACCCCUUACGCGAAAUGGAUGGCUUCAGAUUCAGAUUCAGGUUUAUCCAUAAGUUAAAUUUUAAGGCGUAUUCUUAAAUGAAGUCUCUUAUAUCAACUCCGAACAAAACUCCACUCGUUCAACGUAAUUAACUUUUUGUUUAGUUUAUUAUAGGCUACCAAUAUAUGAAUCCCCAAUAUUUUGCUGACAUGGCGUCACCUCCUUAGUUUAGAAUUUUUUUAUUUUUUUAAUAAUAGUAUAUUCUCUUUCUUCUCUCUCUUCUACCACCGCAUAUUCUCUCAUUUACUGUUCGCGCCCCCCAUCUCCCCCAAACCGCACGUCCGCUCAUCGAUCUCCCCCCCUCCCGAAAUCUCUCUUCUCUCCCUCCUCUCCGCUCCCCUCUCCUCCCUCCCCAUCCCUUCCGUCACCCUCCACCUCUCUCAUCCUCCCCGACCUUGCCGACGCGCACCCUUCUCCCCUCUCCUCUCCUCCUUCCUCAGCCGCCACUCCAGGGACCCCACAAAGGGUUUUUUGGUUUUGGAAUUUUUUUUCGCAGUGACGUGAAUAGGGUGUUUUUGAUUCGUACAUUAGGUAUGCUCUCAGAUUUGGUGUUGAGUUUGGUUUAGUUUGAUCUAAUUUCGAUUAAUUUUAAGAGAAAAAAGGGCGUUUUUUUAAGGGUCUUUUAGGAUCUUUUUGGGUUUUAUGUAAUUACAGGAUCAGUGCGAUGGAAAAAGAUGAUGACGGCCGUUGUUUCUUUCCUCUCACCAAUUUGCAAAUCAGGUGUGUAUGGCCGAUUUCAUUUUUUAAUUCCGUUGGUGGAUUCAAGUUAAUAAUUUGGAUUUAAAGAUUUAAUUUUUUAGUAAUUUUUUGAAUUUGAGUACAGUAAUUUUUCAGUAGUGUAUAAUUUUCAACUUAAUUGGGUAUAAUCUAUGAGAAAGAGAGGAAAGAAGACAUAGGAAAACUAAUUUAGUCUCCAUACUAUGACAUAGGUGCAAAUGUUUUCCAAUUUUAGUGCAGUUUCUUUGAAAUGGCCUUAUCCAUACAAAUACAUAAUUUGAUGAUUUUGAGGAUACACGCAGCAAAAUUUUAUGUCUCCACGUCCAUAGAAUUAGAAUCCGCUCCUCCUUUCUUUUCUUCUCCUUUCAUCUCUUCUCUCUCCUCCAACUCAUACCAAAUCUUUACGACAAAUACAUAAUUUGACAAUUUUUUAAGACAUACGUGGCGAUUUUUCGUGCUUCCACGUCAUGCUCAAUUUUUCCUGUGCCCUUCUUGGCUCCUUCCCAAGAACCUUGGCUCCUUCCCGAGGUUGGACCAGGUUGGACCAAAAUAUUCGAGAUUUUCCAAGACAACUUCUUAUUCCCGAGGUUUAGCCCCUUCCUCCCCUCUCUCUCUCUCUCUCUUUCUCUCUCUCUCUCUCUCAUCCAGCUGGCUCCAUGUUUCUCUCUCUUUCCUUCUCUCACAUACUCUCUCUCUCUCUUCCCUUCUCCUCUCUAUCUUAACCCCCUUCUCUCUCUCGCCGCCACCUGGGGCCAGCAAAGGAGAGCGCAGCGACAGCAGCAGUAGCCGCGGGGGCCACGGCGAGGGCCGCGGGGGUGUUGAGGGCGGAUAUGUCAGCCACCGAGGGAAGGGCAGGCGCGCGGGUGGAGAGCGAGUGGCGGCCGGCGGGGAGAGGGCUAAUGAAAGGAUGGAGGUUGGGGCUGCGGUGGUGGUAGCGGUGGCGGCGGCGGUGGUGGUGGCGGCCCGGAGCAAACUUGCCACCUUUGGAGAUGAGCUUUUGGGAUCCGGUGAGGGGCUGGGUGGUGGAGAUGGUGUCUGCGGCAAUGGAGAAAGGAGAUUGAAGAGAGAGAAAGAGGAAGAAGAAGAAGAAGAAGAAGAAGAAGAAGAGAAAGGAGAGAAGAGAGAGAGGGAGAGUGGAGGAGUACGUAGAGAGUUUUUGGAGGAAAUACCAUGGGACUAUGGGAGAGAGUGUGUUUUGGCAUGCAGAGAGAGAGAGAGAGAUAUGGGAGAAGGUUAGGGAGAAGUAAUUAAUUGGGUAAAUAUACUCACAAUAUUGUUGAGCUCUAAUUAAUAUAAGGUUCAUCGUAUAGCUUUUAUUUAAUUAAAAUUUUAAAUACACUAAUUUUUUUCCUCUAAUGAGUUGAAUUUUUUCAAUUUUUUUAAAAUAAAUUUUAAAUUUUAAUUAAUUUUUAAUAUUGAGUUUGUAAAUAUCUUGAUAUUGAAAAAUUAACGAUUUUUAUUAUGUUUUUAAUUUUUUAAAAUAAAUUUUAUAUUUCAAAUUUUAAAUUUUAAAUAAUUAUAUAUUAAUUAAUUAAAAUUUUAUUUAUCCGCAGCGAAGCGCGGGUUUUAACGAAUCUUCCCUAGGAAAGAUAAUAAAUCUUCCCAAAUCAAUCUUGGGAAAUCCGGGAUCACAGAUUUCUUCAAGAUCUGAAGAAAUCUUCAGUCUUGAGCUCUAUAAAAGGCUGGAGAGAGGAGCUCGAAGGGGGACUGAUCGCACAGGACCAGAGAGAUGGGUGGGUGGAGCUAUGCGAGUAGAGGUCGUCCACAUCCGGUGCACACACUUCACAGGUUGCACACAUAAAAAAAAAGUUAAGAGAAGAUAAAAAAAACGAGAGAAGGUCACUAAAAAAAAAAGAACAAACAAAAAGAUUUAAAAAAUAAAAUAAAAAAAAAAAACUGUGCUUCUUCCCUUAUUCUGUUUGCUGCUGUCGUACCGCCGCCGACGCCACCGACGUUGCCCCAACACCCACGCCGUCCGCUGUUGUGCCCACUACCGAUGUCGCCCAAAUCCGCACGGAGUCACCCCAAUCCGGCACUGUAACAUACCGAAACUUCGGUAGAAUGUUGGACUCUAGCCAAAUUGGCCAAAGAGCCCAAGAGAAAUGGUGGGACGAAGUCUAUUUAACACUCCAACAGUGUUGGAAGGGUUAAAAGUGAGUUCCAAUGAGGUUAGAAAGGUUUUAGCAUUGAUCGGCACGAAUAGGAGUCAAAACAAUGCGAGAUUGAGGUUCGGGAGCAUUCGGGCGUUUUCGGUGCACGUAGGCAUGAAAACGGGACCCGAAAGGCUAUGUUGGACCAUGAGCUAAAUCCGGCAUUAGCGUGGAUAAAAAGUUGAUGAAAUCGUGCUUGAAAACAUGUUUUGGGGAUCUCAGUGCGAUUUGAAAUAAAUCGGAGGCCUAACGAGCGAAAACAAGCGAAAACGGAAAAAAAAAAAAAAAAAAAAAAAAAGUUGAAAAAUUGGGUAAGUCCUGAAAAAUGGCCGUGUACCGGUGACACCCCUAGUGUGUACCGGUACGCAGUGUAAAAUCCUAGAAGAAGGCUCUCGGGUUUGGCUAUUGCGCGAUCGUGUAACCGGUGACACCAGCCCGUCUACCGGUACGCUGUAGUAGAACAGCACAAAAUUGGUCUAUUGCAAAUAUGAUUAUUUGGAGGGCUUAGUUGCAAUUGUUGCACACUAUUAAUAAACCCAAACCCUCCUUCCUCUCACAGCAGCCCCUCUCCUCCUCUCUUCUCCCAUUUCUUCUCUCUCUCUCUCUAAAAGCUCUCCAUCAAGCUCAAGGAGAAGGAGAAAAAGAUUAUUAGAGGACAUUUUGGAGCUUUGGGGAGAUCUUGGAGCUCUCCUACAAAGAGAACUUGGUAGAGCUUGGGACUUGAGGUGAGUUCUUGCAAGAUUUCAUCUAGGGUUUAGAUUUUAUCCAAAGAUCUAGUGUUUUGGACUUUCUUGCAAGCUUAGAAGCAUUGUUGGGCCAUGAACACCAUGAAAACCCAUGUGAGCUUCAUGUGCUCUAAUGGUAGAAUGUUAGGGUUCCAAGUAGAAACCCUAAGAAUGGUUCAAAUGGUUUAGAAAUGAGAUUAUAGAGCUUCUUGGGUGGUUCUAAGCUUGAUUAUGCUUAGUUACAAGAUCAAUCCCAAGAAAUUUGAUUAUGACAUUGUUAGGACACCAAAAUUUAGAGCUUUUGCCUCUGGAUGUUUCUAGGGCAAAUUGGCCUUGUAGAAACCUAAUUGGGGACCAAACAAACGCGAUGGAACGCUCGGUUCAACAAUCCGACGAGUAUACGCGAAGUUAUUGACGAAAUAACAUUGUUUCGUACAGAUAGCCGCAGCACGCGGAAUAAACGUCUAAAAAUCAUGAGAUCGGAUCCGAAGCAUCGUGGUGUCGAGGGAUAAACUCCAGAAUUUUCAAAUCGCGGAUUGGUGGCCGUUCGGGUGGUCGUGCGAGAGUUCGGGCCGAACCGGGUCACGGGUGCCGCGGGAGGCCGAUUGUAAGUGACUACAAGUAAUCGGAGAGCAAUUUAAGGCGGGUUGUGCUUACCGAAGCGACUAGGUCGCCCUUUAUGUCUAAGAAACAUACGAAUUCAUAUUGAUGCAUAUUAAUAAAAUGACAUAGCUAAUGCAUGUGGACAAUAUGAUGCAAAAUGCUAAGUAGAUUGCAUAUGAUGUAGUAUAGAAAUGCUAAAAUACAUGUAUGAAUGAUGCUAGUUAAAAGCAUGAGAUAAAUGACAUUUGCAUGUUAACAUAAAGUAGAGAACAUGCUAGUUGUAAUGUAUAAUGGUAAGUUGUAAAGAAUGCUAGUUUGGAUAAGCAUGUUAAUUAUCUAAAGUAAGAUGCUAAGAGAUUGUACAUGAAGUGACAUAAUGUUAAUGUUAGAUGAUGCAAGCUAACAUAUAGAGGUUUAUGUUAAUGGAAAUGUGCAUAUGGACAAUCUAUAUAUAUUAGAUCGAGUGGCAUUAAACCUAGCGUCUUGAACAUAGGUUGAACAUGAAUGAUAUGAACCUAGUGUUAGUAAACCUAGGUCAGACAUGAAGGACAUAUGAACCUAGUGCAAAAUAACAUAGGUUGGACAUCAAGUGGCAUGUAACCUAGUGUUAGUAAACAUAGGUUGAACAAGUGUGGCAUGUAACCUAGUGUUAGUAAACAUAGGUUGGACAAGAGUGGAAAUGAACCUAGGGUUAAAAAGAACAUAGGUUGAGAACUAAACCUAGAGUCAAGUGAACCUAGGUUGUGUGAUAAAGAAAUUGAACCUAGAGUCAAGUAUACCUAGGAUGGAAAGGACAUUGGAUCUAGAUAGGUCGACACUAUAGGGUUUAGACCAACCCUUGAGUUAUGUGAAAUGGAUUUCGGAAUCCUAGAGCUUAUGGAACACCGAGAGUGGUGUUGGGCAUGUGCGACGAUUUCACCGCCUGGGGCUAAAGAACCAUUGACGUGGCGUGUGCGACGAUUUCGCCGCCGGAUGGUUAGCCAGUUUGAGGAUUAUACUGCCAGUGGACUGAACCAUCGACGUGGCGUGUGCGACGAUUUCGCCGCCGGGUGGCUAAGUCAUAACCUAGGCUGUUGUUGGGUGAGGUGCGAUGCGUUCGCCGCCAGACGGCUAGGUCACUAAGCGCGGUGAGCUGUGGUUGGCUGAGGUGCAUGUGAGAGUUCCUUCACCUCGAGCUAGACAGUGCGCGGACUAUCCGCGAUUGAUUGACUCAAGACCGAGUCGGGUGGCAUAGAGAACUAAGAUAAGAGUAACCUUAGAAAAGAAUGGCCGAUGAAUAAAUUGGAACUAAGAAUAAAGAAUAGCUAAGAAUAAAGAGAGAAUUACAAGUAGUAAAGAAUGGCUAGUAUAAAGAAUGUAAAUGAUAGAAAGUAAAAUCAUCUACUUUACUUGCAUAGUUGCAUACAUUUCAUAUUAUAUAUCGCGAGGCAUGACAUGUAGUUCAAUAUCGAGUAAAAGCAUAAAUAUCUUUUGUAUAUUAUUGGACUAACUUGUUGCAGUGCCUCAUUGGACCUAUUGGUCGAGCUUUUCGCUUGGGUGGCCAUACCCACUGGGAACCAUGAAGUUGGUUCUCACCCCACGUUGUUUUGGGGUAUUACAGGUACACACGUGAGCGGCGCAGCGGCGCGAGGUAAGGGCGUAGCUCCGUAGAUAGCCCCCUAUCCCAGAGACCUGAGGUAGUAGUACCCGAGUUGGUGGUCUAGCUUGGGGGGUUUAAAGACAAAGUACAAACUUGUAAUAAAUUGUAAAAAUUGUGAUUGUAUUUGGAAGUUGAAUAUAAAGUGUAAAAUGUAAAUGUGUUGUAAAAUGUAUCUAAGUUGAAUGUUGUAAUAACUUAGUAGUUUUAUGUUUAUGAUACUUCCUUAUGCAAUCUAUGAGUAAAUACUGUUUCUGGUUGGAACCUCUCGUAUUGUAUUGAUUGCGACGCCUUGGACGUACAGUGGAGACUCUGUCCGUUCGGUGGUCUGUCGGCGGCUCCACGAUCCGGCCAAAUAGGCGAGUGGUCGCGGGUUGUGACAGGCACUGUCCGCUGUCGUGUCCGACGCCCACGUCGCCAACGCCACCCAAGCCACCGCCACUGCCAUACCCGUCGACGUCACCCCAACGCCGCCGCAGCUGUCGCUGUACCUGUUCAUAGGCAACGCCCAAGCUGCCGGGUCCGCCAUCUCCACGGACGGCAUCGCUAUUACCGCGUCCGAGGUGGUUGCCGUCCAAGCCUCUGACGUCGUUAAAGCUAAGGUUGAAGCCAACAACUUCAUUGCUUCACGAGUAAGGAGGAAAUUAAUUAAAGGGGUGGAGUGGUCCUUUUCUUCUAUUUUUUAUUUGCUGUUUGUUGUUGCUAAUAUGUAACCCAUAAUAUGCCUUGGGUAAUAAACUAUCAUGUUAACUCCGUUUCUUAACUUAUGAGUCCAUCAACAUUAAUAUCGAUCGAUGGCAAAGGCGAACGGAGAGGGAGCAAGACGGAUGCAGGCAAGGUUUCGGGGAAUUGGAUGAGGGGAUGCCGGAAGGACGGGAGUGAGGGCGACCGCCGAAGAUGGGGUCUGGACGGGAGUGCGCAGACUAAGCUAACUACCUGGCGUGUAAAGGAGCCCCCCUCCUCGCCAGCUCAGAGGUGCUUGCGCUCACAAGAGGUGACACCUUUCGAACCAGAGGUGGAGGCUAGGUUCCUUUGGCUCAAGGCUACGUUGAAGGACUCUGAUGGUAUUGUUCAUGUAGAGGGAAAGUGUGAAAAGGUCGCCAUACGAUCUCGGUCCUACAGGGAGGCGAGUGGUGCUGGGGCACUGGGAGGUAAGAUUCUUGCUCAUUAUGUCGGGUCCACAUCACGCCUCGAGGUGGGACGCCCUGUCCCUAUCUCGGACAAGGGUAUCCUGGAUGAUGGAUCUGGCGGGAAGGCAGUGUGGAAACCCGAGGUCUUUGACCAAGCUCAGAGGGUAGGAGGUGGUGUAAAAACCUAUCUGCAGGCCCUUCUUAAGCAACCAACCUCCCUCUCACAAAUGGAUCAUCAAACUUGCAAGCUCUCAGCAGGGAGGAGGGAGGGUUCCAGAGAUGAGAAGUUUUCUUCUUUAAAGGGAAGGUGUUUUAGAUGUUUGGCCCGCGACCAUCGAGUGUCUUCUUGUCGUGAACCUCUUAGGUGUUUCCGCUGCUUCAAAUUUGGCCACCCUUCUUGGCUGUGCAGGGGUAAAAGUAAGAGCAGACCUCAAGGAAGUGUAGAGAAAAUGUUCAGAGGGAGGAACACGUACAGAGGUAGAGCUAUCCGAGGGAGGAGGACCACCUUUCCUGUUUUUGUUCCUUUCUCUGAGGAAUACUUCAAACACAGCGAGGAGAGGCGGAACGCUGUGCUAGCUGAUGUUCUCCCUCCUGCCGAGCUUGGACACUACCCGCAAGCAACGAUCGCCGAUGGUCUAGCUAGGCAUUUUGUAGGGUACCCAACGGAUUUUCAUGUCGCACUCUACCAGGAGCGGGACGUUGUCAUCUUUCUCCCAGAAUGGGUCCCUGCUGAAGAUGUCACCCGUCGAGAAUUCAUACCCCUCGACAAGUGUCGUAUCCGUUGUUACGACUGGGCCCCGUAUCAUGAGGCCGCCAGCCAUGACCUCUCUUUUAAGGCGUGGAUUAGGCUGGUGUCCCUCCCUUAUGAGUGUUGGUCUCCAGCUCGGGUCGCUGCCAUGGUUUGUGGGUUUGGCAGGUUUUUACGGGCGGAUGAAGCGUCGACGUCUUAGGUAGUGCGAUAGUCUCCCCCAUGAGGAAACCAAGAAAGUCCUAACUCUCAAUCAGUGACAAUACUUGUGUUUCCCAGAGCAGAUAGUUGUUGUCAUUGAGCUUCAAUGUGACGAAAUUUGCCACAUUAAUGGUGGAGAGAAAGGGAAAUUUCGAGUUAGAUAACGAUGCCAUUUUUUUAAAAUCUUUGGUUCCUUAGCGUGUCUCUAAUACCAUAAGGAAAUUAGUAGACCACACACUUCAUUAAUGUCCUAUUGAGAAGUUUAUACAACUAAAGGAGUACUUCUCACUCUUAUUGUGAAGGAGGUUACUCCUAUAUUGUGGAGGAGGUUACAACCAUACAAUCUUAAGAAUAGGAAACGAAUUUACAAAUUCUAAAACUAUCAAGUUGUGUUUGGUGUGGUUGGAUCGUUUGGUGUGGUUGGGUUGUCCUCUUGAUUCCGAAUUGAUUUUGAUUUAGUAAGUUGGUUGAACUGGCUCAAUGUGGUUUGAUUUGAUGCUUCAAUAAAAGGUUCCAUACAGUACAACAAGAAAAGAAAGAGAAUCCAUUUGCAAAAUACAAACUUGUGAAUAAAAAAAAUAAUAUAGAAGCACAUUUGUUAUUUCAAGAGAAAAGGAAUUCACAGAGAGAGAGAGAGAGAGAGAGAGAGAGAGAGAGAGAGAGAGAGAGAGAGAGAGAGAUUACAUUCUAAUCAAGUAUGGUGACAUCCUUGCUUUUCUCAUUAGUUCGCCCUUUAAAAUGUUUCAGAACAUGAGCAGUUGGGGGAAAUGCUUUCAUAUUAGAACCACGAGGACCAUCUGGAAUUGUCCAAAUUCUUGCCGUUGAGUCCCCAAACCGGCCCAAAAUGACUCAAUUGCUUCUUGUAACUGGAGCAAAUAUAUAAAACAUAUGCACAAAGAAGCAAAUUAGCAUUUUAAGUGCAAAAUUUGUGCUUGAAGAUUCUGGGAGGAAAGCUAUUACCAGCUUAAUUGAAGCUCUUGGUGCUUAAUGUCUGAACUUGAAUAUGUCAACCAGUGCAUAUUAGGGUUGGUUUGCCAAAAGUGAUCAAUGUAUUAUGAAAAUCCCUCCUAGAAAUCCCUCAAAACCCCUCUUUGAUCUCAAAUUUGCUGCAAAAUUGACUCAAUUCUCAACAUCGCCUAUCUUUUAUACCCAAAUUUACAAUGUUUAAGAGUAUAUCCUUUAUAUAAAAUGCAAAUUGUUUCAAGAAAUCCCAACAAAAGCAUACAGUUACUACUCUAAAUACAAUUUUUCUCAAGUUUGUGCAUUACAUAUGCGAUUCAAAAGAGUUCACAAAAGAGUUCACCAAUUUAGACAACUUAACAAUCAUACUGUUCUAGCACAACAUAAUGAGGUAUAGAGUGGAUGUAUUGGACUGAUCUUUAUUAAUAAAAUCGCAUUAGUUAUGAUUGCGGCUCUAAGUUGAGUAUUAAGAGAACAGGGACUGUAAAGCAAAAGCAUGCAUUGCCCGAAAAAAAGGAAAUCAAUCAACAAUCAAUAAAUUAGCUAAUAAAUGAAACAGUAAGCAUCUAUCUAUAUAGAAUAUAGAAUCGACAAUUCGGUCACAUCAUAAAUGUGGCUCCCGGAGGAGCCACGUCUCCAUUGUAGCCCUUAGCCAAUAAAAACAUGCCAUAUAUUCAAUAGAAAUUUUCAACGUGCGCCAAUUGCGCUGUAGACCGGAUAUAAAAUAUGAAUAAAAAGUAAAUUUCUAUAAUAAAAUAAAUUAUUAAAAUAUUUCAUAUUUUAUAUUAUAUUACACUAUAUUAUAUUUUAUUUUAUAAUACUAACUAUUAGGUAUUUUAUCAAUCAUCUAAUAUACUUACGAUGUAUUAAAUAUUAGUAUAUAUCGGUAAGGAAGGAAAAAUUUCUCUCUUUUUGAAUUAUAAGUACAUUCUAUUAUAUAUUCUUUAUACCAAUUAUAUAUUUGUAUAUACACCACAUAUCUNAAUCAUCUAAUAUACUUACGAUAUAUGAAAUAUUAGUAUAUAUCAGGUACAAGCAAAAUUUCUCAUCUUUUUCUUAGAACUAUGAAAAGGAGCUUUUCAAAGAGCAUGAUCCAUAGUUAAGUAUUCUCUACAUUGAAUGUAUAUAAUUACAUACAACAUAUGCUUUAAAUCUCUAAUAGUGAUUUAAAAUUUAAUUCAGCAAAUAUAUUUAAAUUAUUAGAGUUCAUAGCUUAGAUAUAUUUAAUUACAUUUUGAUAUUAGAAAUUAGUUCUCUAAUAUAAAUCGCGGUAUAUGGUGUGUUAAUAUACACCAUGUGCAAAUAAUAACAUCUUUUUUCAAUAAAUUUUAGUAAGGUAUAGAUGAGGGCUAUUUUUCCAAAUGGCCCCCUGAAAAAAUUUUAUUUUAAAACUAGCCCCAAUAAAUUUAUAAUUGCAAAAAUAGCCUUACUCCUGCCACGCAAGCGCCCCGUGGGCGGGCUGGGAGCCUAAUUGGCAAGUUGAAUACGGCGAAUCAUUCACCGUGGUGUUCAAACACACUGAAUGAUUCCCCGUGUUUCAUAUUUAUAUUCCUUUUCUUCUCUUUUAGGGAUGUCAACGAGUCGGGUUUGAAUUGGGUUUUCAAAAACCCGAACCCGAAUCCAAAAAUCACAUUAAAACCCGAACCCGAAUUUGAAAAUCAAAUUAAAACCCGAACCCGAAUCCGAAUCCGGCGGGUUUUAAAAAUCCAUACCCAUAUAACUUUAAUAUAUGGAUAUGGGUAUGGAUUUUUAAAACCCACCGGGUUCAGAUUUGUGUUCGUAUUUUAAUUUGAUUUUCGGAUUCGAUUUUCGAUUUUUGAAAACCCGAUCCAAACUCGACCCGUUGAAAUCCCUAAAAGAGAAAAAAAGGAAAAUAAAUAUGAAACACGGUGAACACGGUAAAUGAUUCAUAGUGUUCAACUUGCCAACCGGCCUCCCAGUCCGCCCACGUGGCGCUUGCGUGACGCCUGUGUAGCAGGAGUAGGGUCAUUUUUGUAAUUAUAAAUUUAUUGGGGCUAGUUUUAAAAUAAAAUUUUUUUAGGGGGCCAUUUGCAAAAAAAGCGCUAUAGAUGAUCUUAUGUAUUUGGCAAUUUAGAAUAAUUUCUCCUAUUUUAACUCUUAAAUUAAAAUUUUAUUUAUAAAAUAGCUACUAAAACUAUUAAGUUUGAUUGAAUUUUUGAAUAAAGUUAUUAGAAUACUUUAACUCUACAAAUAUUAAAAGUUAAAAAUAUUAAUAAAAAAAUAGCUUUUAUUAUAUAUAAAAGGAUAUAUAAGUUUGUUUUGUAUUUUUCAUUAUAAAUUUUUUUAGUUUUAAAAUUUUAAAAAUUAUGUAUAUUAAUUUACUGAAAUAUUAUCUACCCGCCAUGAAGCGCGGGUCCUAUACUAGUUAUAUAAAUAGGGGAAUUUAUUAAGUAGUGUUUAAUAAGGUUUCAGUAUUCAUAUUCUGAUUCUAGAGUGAUUCAAAUGAUGACAUAUUUUCUUGAAGGGUCCAUUUAAAAAAAUCGUGUCACAAGCUUAGGCUCCUACAUAUGAGAACAAAGGUAUAAUUAAUGUUGUAAUUAUAUAAUAUCAAAAUCUGAGCAAGUAGAUGAGGGGCGGGCAAACCAGGGGCGGAGAAGAGUGUAGAACAAAGGUAUAAUUAAUGUUGUAAUUAUAUAAUAUCAGAACCUGAGCAAGUAGAUGAGGGGCGGCCAGACCAGGGGUGGCCAGACGAAGGUCAGAGAUUGAGAGGGGAAGAAGUACCUCUGGAGGCAGGGGAGUGGUGUGAGCGGGGACGGGAGGCGCGUGUUGGCGUCCCAGACGAGGCGGGGACNGUUAGAGACUGGAAGAGUGGGGGGCGGACCAGGGGCGGAGUAGACAAGGGGGGCGGGCGAACCAAGGGCGGAGCUCAUGGGGGACGGAGUCAGACGCCGCCCCGAAGGGAGGGGGGAAGGGGGACGGGGUGUGUGUCUUGGGGGGCGGACAAGGGGUUGGGCGAAGCCGGGGGUGGAGCAGAACCAGGGGCGGAGAGGGUAAGGGGAGAGGGGCGGGCGCAGGAGUAGAUGCAGCGCCGAUGUGGGGGGGGGAUAGGGUUUUUUGGUGGUGGCAGUGUGGGGAAGGGGGGAGGACAUCUUUUUUGGGGGGGGGAAUUAGGGUUUUUUAUGAGAGAGUUGGCGGGAAAGAGAAAUUUGAGAGGGAACUAGAGUUUUUUAAAGAGAGUUGGGGGAAAGAGAAAAAAAUUGAAUUUUUUUUUUACAGAUAUUAGAGGCAGUUUUGAAAAACUACCUCUAAUCUGCCUGUAAUAUUAUAGCUUAGAGGCAGUUAUAACAACCGCCUUUUUACAAUCGUCUCUACGAGCGUUUUUUUUGUAUAGCCUCUUUGGGAAGUGCUUCAUUUUCACAAAUUGCUAAAAUUGCAAUAUAACCCUCCAAAUUCAAAGUUUCUUACUGAGAACUCACCAGUGCAUGUAUUUUCGCACAGUUGCAUUUUUUUCUGGAGUUUCAUGCAAUUUGGCAUAUGAAAGGUUGUGCCUUUUCUAUAAAAAAAUUCAAUCUUUUCAAAAUGACCACUUUUUUUUUUCACUUAAUACAGCACUUUAAUUAGCCUCAUCGAAUUUGAAAACGGGUUUCAUCAUGACCUUCAGCACUGCCAAACCAUUAGAGUGGUGAUUUCGUUUCAUUAGAAACGGGUCCAAGUAGCAAAAAUACUUUAUCCUCAUUUAUGUUUUCCUAUUGAACUUGGAUUCCAAAUUAAUAUUUAAACUUAAAAUUUGAAAUAUUAAUUUUUCCAAAUUUGAAAUUUUGGUUUCCUACAAAUACACAAAAAUAGAGGUUUGGUUACAAAAGAAUAUGUAAGGUGUCGACGAGUAAAUCAAGUCUAAGCAAAAAAUCUCGUACUUUUUAAGAAGAUUUAAGUCCUCUACAGUUGGCACAGCCAUCAAACAAAUGUAGCAGAAUACCGACUUGUCCCCUCGAGGAUACAAUGGCUAAACUCUCGUCGUGUGGUUUCACCAACUCUGCACAAGUAAAUGAGCCCGAAAUUCUAUAAAAAAAAAACACAUUUUUUCGACCUCUCUCUUAAGUAGAAUAGAGAUAGUAAAAGUAGAUUUAUAAGUUUUUGUUGCAUGUUCAAAGAGUAAAGAAGCUCACUAUAUAUAGGCUUCACAAGCCUAUAGGUUACAAGAUAUUAACUUGCUAAUAAGUUACAAAAAUUAAGGUGUGAAAGUUAUAGGAAUGAAUGUACAUAGGUUAUGUCUCCUUUAGCUGCAAAUUCAAAGCCACAAUUGAAAUACAUAGGUCUUUUUUUUUCUUUUUUUUCUUUUUUUUGAGAAAUAGAUUGCAUGCUACCCACUUCGUUUAUUUCAUUUAGAAAUAAAUUUAACUGGAAAUGUAAAUCAACUAGGAUUCGAACUUGGGUCUCGGGUACCAACCACCAAGCCCUUUGCCACUUGCUGUAGGGACGGUCGGUUUAAAAUAAAUAGGUUAGAGACUGAAACAUAUAGGUUAAUUACAAGCAAUCAUCUUCAAUCCAUACGUUAUCAAAAUUAAAUUUUUCAUAUUUAAUAAUAAAAUAUUACAACAAAUUCUAACCUUCAUCCACAAAAUAAAUUUUUCAUGUCAUGCGUGCAAGUUAUUACUAGAUAAAAUUGUUCGGAAGCUUGAUAGCUCACGCUGCAACGUGGUGCAUGAGGAACAAACAUUGUGUUUGCGGAAGCAUUUUAUGAGAUGCUUAUUGUAUCACAAAGUGCAUGCAAAACAGAGAAAACAUUAUGCAUAAUCAGUAAGCUAGUAAUUAAUCAACUGGUUGACACGAUAGUUAGAAUAGAAUUGUCAGGUUUCACCAAACUUCUAAUCUUGCAAACGAAACAAGCCUCGAUGAAACAAACACGCGCUGCACUCAUCCAUCCCAUCCUUCUAGUGAUGUAAUGUGGGCAGAGCCAGGCUGGCAAGGUGGCAUGGCACACAUAAGCUUGGCGAUUCUGGCCAACUUGGUUGAAGACUUGGGUUGGGCGACACCAGCCCGCUUUCAAAGAGCAAGGCCUGGCCUGGCCCCUCCAACCUGCCCAGCAUGGGCCGGGCCGGGCCGGUCCGGUCCGGACCAGCUUUGUGCCAGCCGAGUAAUAGGCAAAAUUUUCACUUAUUUUAUUUUUUGAAAAGGAGGCAUCUAGCCCUUAAAUUAUCAUUUUUUGACUUUAUACGAACAAUAAAUUUAACUUUUUAAUAUUAUCAAUUUGUAGUAUCAUAUAGAAUUUAAAACUAAAGAUCAAUCAUUUUAACUUUUUAUUAUUAUAUAGAGUUUUAAUAUAAUUUUUUUAAUUUACUUUUUUUUUGGUCCAACAUCCAACUUUAAUAUAAAAUUAAUAUUAAUUUUUUAAUAACUUUCUAAUAUUAUUUGAAGAGAUAUUGAUAUUCUAUAAAAAGGAUGAUGAUAAAAAAAAUAUAUAAAUUUUGAAUUAAUCAUAUUACAAAAUUACAUUGGAAGAAAAAAAAAUCUAUGAAAAAAGUGAGACGGGCUAGACCGGGCCGCGUUGGGCCGACGGGCCCUGGGAGCGAGGGCGGGCCCAAAGAGCCUGGCUAGGCUGGCUGUACCCGUGCCAGGCCACAGCCCAGCCCAGAGUCAUGCCCUGCCCGUCAACCCACGGGCCUCCCGGCUCGUUUCACAUCGCGACAUCCUGCCAUACAGAACCUUCCAACACUUGCUGCUUGCCUGCUUGUUACAAUUUGGUUAAAUUCAUAAUUCAAUUUUGGAUAAAUUAAAAUAAAUAUUUAAAUUUAUUUAAGACAAAUCGAGUAAAAUUUAAUUUAAAUUAGAAUAAAAAUUCUAAUGAUAGUAAAUUUGGGGUACGAUUUCAUAGAUGCAUUAUGUAAUGCAUAAAAUGCUAAUUAGUUGUUCAGGGUGGUGCGGCUGAGAGGUGUGUGCCCUGAUGAUCCAUCCCGGGUGGAAUUAAGAGAAAAACUUGGCCGGUUUGCAUGCACCCAGUGCUGGGAUGUAAAUGAAAGAGAGAGAGGAUAGUCUCCUCCCCCGGGCCCCUUAGGUUCAACAGCUAUGUAGCAAAAUUACGAAUUUGAUCCUAUUUGGAGUCAUAUUUCAAACCAAACGGAAAAUGCUUCUUGCACACCCAAAGAAAGAAUGUAGAUCUUACAUUCUCCAUCCUAGAAUUAAUAAAAAUUCAAAUAAUUUUUAGUAAAAAUAAAAAUAUUGAUGUGACAAAUAGAGCGUUAAUAGUUUUGUAAUGGAAUUGGUGUAAAAUAUAUACCCUAUUUUGGAGUAUAUUUGUAGCAUUGCUUUAUUCCAAAUUUUGCCCGGUAAAAGUACCCUCUCCAACCAUAACUCUUACUGCCAAAAGGGAAUGUCCAAAAUCAUGACGACCUGAAGGUAUGACGGAUCAUCCAUCCAAAACUAGAUACAAAAGGAAGCAUCAAUUAAGGGCAACUAUAAAGGUUAAUACUCUUUGAAAAGAAAUGUUAGUGAUGUUUGUAUGGUUAGCCAUUACUAUAUAUUAUAUGCUCAUAGGUUUAGUGCAGUUGUUAGUGUUCUAGUAGUUUUUUCUUUCUAUGUAGGAUAGUUAGUGGGGUAUGGAUAGUUACUAGCAGUAUGAAUGUUUUAAGUUGUAUUUAUUUGAACCUCGUGAUAGAAAAAUAUUAUCUAUGUUCUCUUAUCCAACAAAUACUAUUGUAUCUUGUUAACAAUGGAGGAAGGUUCUCCCUCGAAGAAGACCAUCAACUUGCAAGAGUUGAUUAAAGCUUGAAUCUCUCAAUUUAUCUUGCAAUUCUUUCAAACAACAACCACGGGAAAGAACAAGAAGAAGUCAUCAGAUUUUUGGCUAGUUAAGCCAUCAUCGGACUUGCCUGAGUCAAUUCCAUCAGAAGCUACUCGAAGGGUUACAAGAUCCCAAUCCGUCCGUAACAUAUUGGUAUCAGAGCCAGGUUUGUCGGGGCAUGAUAAAGAUUCACGAAUCAACCAGUUAGAAGCCGAGGUAGGCCGACUAUCCGAAAAUUUGGACAAAAUCUUUGCAGCCAUUAAUGCAAGAUUUGAUAGUUUGGAGACUCGACAAAGAGAGAGAGUUGAGUCCUCAAACAAUCAGAUGGGAAAUAGAGGCUCUAGAUUCACGAGGUGUCUACAAGAUCUCUAAUCCCAAAGUCUGUUAAAAUAAAUUUUCCUCGAUUCAAGGGCACUGAGGAUCCAACUAGUUGGUUAUGUAGAGCAGAAAAUUUUUUCGAGAUACAUGGCAUGCUUGAAGAAGAGAAAGUGCAGAUUGCUUCUAUCAAUAUGGAAGGGGAUGCACAACUUUGGUACUAAUUAUUCAAAAAGGAGCAAGGUCUGGUCACUUGGGAGUCAUUCAAAGAAGGAUUGAAUAUUCGUUAUGGUCUGAUGCAAUAUCAAGAUUUCUUUGGAGAUCUGACCAAGCUUAAGCAAAUGGGAUCAGUAAGAGAUUAUCAAACCCAAUUUGAGAGAUUGCUUAUUCAGGCAGGCACGCUAACAGCAAUACAACGAGUUGGAUGUUUUGUAAGUGGGUUGAAAGAGAGCAUUCGUACAGAUGUGCAAGCUUGUAAGCCGUCUACCCUUUCAGCGGCUAUAGGUUUAGCACGGUUAUAUGAGUCUCGUGAACAGGCAUCUCGACGCUCUAUCCCUUCUACAACUGAUCUGAAGCGCACGCCAACUGAAAAGGAGCAAAACCAAAGUCGUUCAAUAUUACCGGUCAAAAAGCUAACACCCGCCGAGUUAAAAGAACGUAGAGAAAAGGGGCUUUGUUUUAAUUGUAAUGAGAAGUUUGGACCUGGCCAUCGAUGCCGUAAAUUAUUUUUGAUAGAAGGAAGUUGGACAGAUGAUGAAGAAGAUGAUGUCAUUGAUAAAGCAGAAUCACAAUUGCUUAAAGAAAAAACAGAGAUGCCGGAGAUUUCUCUUCAUGCAAUAUAUGGAGCACAAAUGCCACAAACUAUGCGAGUCCGAGAAAGAAUUGAUCAGCAACGCAUCACAAUUUUAAAAGACUCAGGUAGCACUCAUAAUUUUCUUGAUGAUUGCAUGGCUAAAAAUUUGGGCCUUUAUCCUCAUCAUAAAGGAAAAUUUGAAGUCACUGUUGCUAAUGGAGAAAAAUUAUGUAGCAGUGGUAGGUGUAGAGACGUUUGCAUAUUAUUGAAUGGCCUUUCUAUUGUUGUUGAUCUAUAUCUUGUUACCUUUAGAGGGUUGUGAUGUUGUAUUGGGUGCUCAAUGGCUUUAUACACUUGGCCUAUUAUAUGGGAUUUCUCAAAACUUCAAAUGAAAUUUAAUUUGGAUGGAAGAGAAGUGGCAUUACAAGGAGUUUCAUCACCUGAUGAUAAAGUUGUUGGAGAAGCCAAAAUAGCAAAAGAAGUGCAAAAGCAAAAGGAGGGGAUUUUGCUACAAAUAAAUUCUCUUUCAUUACAGGAUCCAUUCGAUAUUGCUCCAUUUCUAAAUCAACUCAUCAUUAAUCCAGAUUUAGAACAAUUAAUGCAAGAAUUCACUGAUGUAUUUAGUGAACCCCAUGGAUUACCACCACCUCGUGCGCAUGAUCAUCGAAUACCAUUGAUUUCCGGAAGUGGAACACUAUGUGUGUGGCCUUAUAGAUAUCCACAAUUAUUGAAGAAUGAAAUUGAGAGGCUUGUGACUGAUUUGCUUGUUAAUGGGGUUAUACGCCCUAGUAAUAGCCCCUAUUCCUCACCGGUAUUACUUGUCAAGAAGUCCGAUGGUUCAUGGCGUUUAUGCAUCGAUUACCGUGCACUAAACAAAAUUACAAUUAAGGAUAAGUUUCCAAUUCCGGUGAUAGAUGAGCUUCUUGAUGAGUUGUAUGGUGUGAAAUUCUUCACUAAAUUGGAUCUCCGUUCCGGCUACCAUCAGAUCCGAAUGAAUCCGGAUGACAUAUCCAAAACUGCAUUCCGCACACAUCAGGGGCAUUAUGAAUUCUUAGUUAUGCCCUUCGGCCUCACAAAUGCACCGUCAACCUUUCAAUCAUUGAUGAAUGAAAUAUUCAAAGAACAUCUCCGUAAGUUUAUUCUAGUCUUUUUUGAUGAUAUAUUAAUUUAUAGCAAGACUUGGUUGGAGCAUCUUGAACAUUUGAAAAUCACUCUACUUAUUUUACGUGCUCAUCAAUUAUAUGCAAAGAAAGAAAAGUGCAGUUUUGGGCAAAAAGAAGUCAAGUAUCUUGGUCAUAUAAUCUCUCACAAUGGUGUAGCAGUUGAUCCAGAAAAAAUUUCAGCAAUGAUAGAAUGGCCAAAACCAUUAACCAUCCAAGCACUUCGUGGAUUCUUAGGCCUAAUAGGAUAUUACCGGAAAUUUAUUCAAAACUAUGGCAAGAUAGCGGCUCCUCUCACUAAUAUGCUCAAGAAGGAUGCUUUCCAAUGGGAUUCACGAGCAGAGGCGGCUUUCGACAAAUUAAAACAUGCAAUGACGGAUGCUCCGGUACUCUCUUUACCAGAUUUUUCUAAGCCUUUUAUAGUUGAAUGUGAUGCUUCUGGUAUAGGUAUUGGAGCAGUUUUAAUGCAAGAAAAUAGGCCCAUUGCGUUCUUUAGUCAUGCUUUAAAGGAAAAAAAUUUGUUACUAUCAACUUAUGAAAAAGAAAUACUUGCACUUGUAUUAGCUGUGCAAAAAUGGAGGCCAUAUUUAUUGGGUCGAUUCUUCAUUGUACGUACAGACCAGAGGAGCUUAAAAUUUUUAUGGGAGCAAAAGAUAACAACUGCGAUGCAACAAAGGUGUUGGCAAAAUUAAUGGGUUAUGACUUUAUCAUUGAAUAUAAAAGAGGAGUGGAAAAUAAAGUUGCAGAUGCUUUAUCUCGUAGAGAUAAAGAAUCAAAUUUAUAUGCAAUCUCUAGGCCUAUUCCAAAUUGGCUUGAACCCAUCAGAGAAGACAUCCAAACUAUACCAGAGCUUCAAGCAUUAGUUGAGAAGUGCAAAAAAGAUGAAGCUUUGGGUCCAUGGGAGUACAUCGAUGGAAUUCUUUUCUUCAAAAAUCGGAUCUAUUUGCACCCUAAAUCUUCAUUAAAAAAUACCAUUCUUGCUGAAUUACAUGGGAGUACUCAUGAAGGGUAUCAUAAAACAUUGCAUCGAGUUCGAUCAAUGUUUUACUGGCAAGGAAUGCGGAAAAACAUCAAAGAGCAUAUUAAGACUUGUGAUACUUGUCAACGGAACAAAGGGGAAAAUACAUCUCCAGCUGGAUUAUUACAACCACUUCCUAUUCCCUCUAAGGUAUGGAGUGACAUUUCUAUGGAUUUCAUUGAUAGCCUUCCAAAUUCAAAGGGCAAAAGUGUUAUAUUUGUAGUUGUGGAUCGACUUUCUAAAUAUUCACAUUUUAUUCCAAUCUCUCACCCAUACAUAGCGACCAUUGUGGCUCAAGUCUUCUUUGAAAAUAUUUCAAAUUAUAUGGAAUGCCGGAAACUAUUGUAUGUGAUAGAGAUAAAGUAUUUACAAGUUUGUUUUGGAAGGAAUUAUUCCGUUUACAGGGAACUCAUUUUAAUUUUAGCUCUUCAUACCACCCUCAAACGGAUGGGCAAACUGAAGUAGUUAAUCGAACUUUGGAGAUGUAUCUACGUUGUUUCACGAGUAACAAGCCAAGAGAAUGGGUGAAAUGGAUCCCAUGGGCUGAAUAUUGUUACAAUACAAGCAAACACUCAUCAACAAAAAGAACACCAUAUGAGGUGUUAUAUGGCCGAGAACCACCUACUCUUUUGUCGUACGUAAGCGGCACAACAAAAAUUGCAGCAGUUGAUAUGUUAUUAAAGGAAAGAGAAUAUAUCAUGAAGGAUCUAGAACAUGCAGAAGCACAGAAUCGUAUGAAAAAAAUCUAUGAUGCACAUCACACUGAUCGAGAGUUCCAAGUGGGUGAUUUUGUUUAUCUAAGGCUUCAACCUUAUCGGCAAGUUUCGCUCUCUCUUCGCAAAAAUUUAAAGCUUUCACCGAAAUUUUAUGGGCCAUAUGAAGUGCUCAAACGUAUAGGGGCAGUUGCAUAUGAGCUUAAGCUACCACCUGAGUCGAAACUCCAUCCGGUAUUUCAUGUUUCAUGCCUGAAGAAGAAACUUGGUGAUCAUCAAUUGGCUCAAGAUACCCUUCCUAUUGUUCCAACAACAGAAGAUUCAAUUGUACCAUUACCUCAAGCUAUUCUAGAUCAACGAAUCCGUAAGGGUAAGAAGGAAGUCUUAAUCCAUUGGCAAGGGCUCUCACCAGUUGAUGCAACAUGGGAAAAUUUAGACGAGAUGAAAAUUCGAUUUUCUGAAUCAGUCCUUGAGGACAAGGACACUUUUUAGGGGGAAGAAAUGUUAGUGAUGUUUGUAUGGUUAGCCAUUACUAUAUAUUAUAUACUCAUAGGUUUAGUGCAGUUGUUAGUGUUCUAGUAGUUUUUUCUUUCUAUGUAGGAUAGUGGGGUAUGGGUAGUUACUAGCAGUAUGAAACUGUUUUUAAGUUGUAUUUAUUGGAACCUUAUGAUAGUAAAAUAUUAUCUAUGUUCUCUUAUCCAACAAAUACUAUUGUAUCUUGUUAACAAUGGAGGAAGGUUCUCCCUCGAAGAAGACCAUCAACUUGCAAGAGUUGAUUAAAGCUUGAGUCUCUCAAUUUGUCUUGCAAUUCUUUCAAACAACAACCACGGGAAAGAAUAAGAAGAAGUCGUCAAAUUUUUGGCUAGUUAAGCCAUCAUCGGACUUGCCGGAGUCAAUUCCAUCAGAAGCUACUCGAAGGGCUACAAGAUCCCAAUCCGUCCGUAACCAAAGUACAAGCGAAAACAAGAUAAUUCAGGAUAUAUGUAUUGUCAUAUAUUUUUUUUUUUUUUGAGAGAUAGGUAGCACGCUACCCGCUUCGUUUAUUUCAUUUGGAAAUAAACUCAGCUGGAAAUGUGAAUCAACUAUGAUUCGAACUUGAGUCUCGGGUACCAACCACCAAACCCUUUGCCACUUGCUCUAGGGACGAUCGGUAUGUAUUGUCAUAUAUUAAUAAGGAUAAUUCUAGGGCAUGUUUGGUUUAUUGUUUUCUCAUUCUGAAAUCGAAAUCGGAGUGGACGAAUCCGUUUGUCCGUAUUUGGUAUGCGGAAUUUUUAUUUCAAUCUCGAUUUUCGGGUGAACGAGAAUCCCCCAAUUACCUAUUUUUCUAAUCCGGCCUAGGAGGACGAAUUGGAAAUUGAAUCUGGGCGGAAUGGAUUUGUUCGGAUUAAAUUUAACUUCUUUAAGCUUAUUUUUUAAUUAAAACAUAAGUUUAAGUUUAAAAAUUAUAUUUAUAAAUUUUAAUUUUAAUUUGAAAUUAAAUUAAAAAUUAAAAUUCAAUCAAGAAUUUUAAAUCUAAUUUACAAAUUUGAUUUUAAAUUUAAAUUAAAUUUCAAAUCUAAAGUUUUAUUCAAAAUUUAUUUAAAAUUUAAAUUAAAUUUAUGGAUUCAAAUUGAAAUUUAAAUCAUAAUUUUAAGUUUGAAUUUGAAUAAAUUGAAAUUUAAUUUUAUAAUUUGAAUUAUCCAUUCAAUUUCAAAUUUUAAUUUUUUAAAAAAUAUAUAUAUUUAAAAUUUUUGACAUCAUUUUAAAAUUUUGACCUAUAUUUUUAAUAUUUAAUUUUUCAAUUUGAAUUUAAAUUAAUAUAUUAUAAAGAUAAAAUUUACAUAUUAAUUUGAUUACGUUUCUGAUAUCUAUCUAAACCAAUCGUCGACAAUGGGAAUGAUUCAUUCCGAUUCCGAUUGAGUUGACGAACCAAACAGAAUGAAGUAAUGAAUCAUUCUGAUUCCGUUUCCAGCUUAUUCUCAUUCCAAUUCUGAUACCGAUUCCGACUUCGAACCAAACACACUUCUAUAGUGUCUCUCCACCCAGCAAUUACACAACCCAAAACAACAGAAUAUUUUCAACAACCAAAAAGAUGAGCACCUAGUAUUGAUAGUACUAAUCCCAAGUGUGGCUCCCACCAGUACUCUCAACUAGAGGUGGCAAUCCAGCCGGCUAUUCACAAGCCAGCUCAUGUUCAGCUCGCAAUGAGCUCGAAAUCGAAUCGCUCGUUUAGUAAAUAAGCCGAACAUGAACUAAAUUUUUCAGCUCGUUUAAUAAACGAGCUAAACACGGGCUAAGAUCAGCUCACUCGUGUUCGACUCAAUAACAGCUCGAAUAUAUAUAUUUUAUAUUUAUAUAAUUUAUAUUUAUAUAUAUAAUACAGAUUUUUAUUAUUUUAUUUUUAGUCCAAUCUAAAUAUAAAAUCCAACUAAAUUAUAAAAAGGCUCAGUUAUAUGUAAAGUUUCAACCAUUAGAUCAAAGUCUAAUGGGGAAGAUCUCACAAAUUUAUUUUCUAUACAUACCCUUUCUAAUCUUUUUAACUUGUUGUUCGUGAGCUAGUUCGUGUUCGGCUCAUUAAUAAACGAGCCAAAUACGAGCUAAACUUUUCAACUCAAUACUUUAAUGAGCUAGCUCGUGUUCGGCUUAUCAUUCGAAAAUGAUUGUAUCUUGAAAAUGAUUGUACUCUCGAUCGGAAUGACCAUUCAAGAUAUCACAGAUCAAUUGAUGGCCAGUAAAACGUCUGGUACAACAUUGUCGUUUAUUAGAUGUAUUACUAUAUGUCAAAUAUCCUUGGUCAAUGAGCAAUACGAAUACGUGAUCCCAAUAGUCAUCAUCUUCAUCUAAUAUUGUCAUCAGAUUGCUUAUCACUGGUGAAGAAAACACAAUGGAAUAUAACGACUAACCCAUCACUGCUGUAAGGAUUUCAUAUUCAUCACCACAAUAUUAGAAUCAUUUAUACAAUUUCAUUGCAUGACAUGUAUUCACAAUACAUGUUGAAAAAAAUAUAUAAAUCACACAAUUAACAUGUAGUAAUAAAGUAAAUAAAACAUAAUAUAUGAACAUGAGCAUUCCUUACCAAUGCAAUCUACCUCAGUCAUCAUAGUAUGCGAAAGAUAAGCAUUACAUGGAAGUAAAGUCACGUACGAUUACAUACACAGUACUAAAUUAAAACAUAAUAUAGAUACAAAGAUUAAUGCUGAAAUAAGUAAACAUAAAUAGUAAGCACCGUCCACCAACAUUUCAGCCUUGUUCUACAAGCCAGGAAAAUAUUAUUUGUAUAAAAUAUUUUGAGCUGCAACUUGCCGGUCGACCCACAUGCAUGCUAGCUCAUCAUAAUAGUCAUAAAAACUUGACGAUUCUUGUUGUCUCUUAACGCAUCAUCCGCUACCAAAAUUCGCUCAUUUGUCAUCCGAGGGAGAUUAUACAUUCUUAUCAUGCAUGUUUCGAUUGUAGGGAUGCUUGCUCGAUUGCAGACCUCAGUAUGGUAAAUUUGUCGUACUAGAUCUAGUUUUUGUUUAUCAAGUUCUACCAUCUCUACUACCGCGUCACUCGUGGUAUUAUUUUUUUUGCGUCGUCCUCCAGAUGAUGAUGCUUGUUUCCGUGGAGGAUUGCAGGCUGUGGGGAACGAGGCUUUUUCCUACCAGAGGAGUGGCCAGAGCCACUAGCACUUGCUCGUGCAAUGGUGGGAAUAGCGGUAGGGCUAGGGGACCGUGAGAUAUCACUGCUUCUGAGAUUAACAUUGGAAGCCGAGCUAGAUGACCCUGCUUCGAAGGGUGUAGGUUCGAGAUUGAAUGCAAACACUCUCUCCAAUCAUACUUUCAUCCUCACCAGGAGACGAUAAGGAUGAGCUAUCUAUCGAAGGGGUUGCUAGCAUUCCUGACGAAAAAUCAUAUCUUCCUGUAGCCGUUGUCUUUGCAGUAAGGAACGCAAUGUCCUCAUAAGCUGGAAAGGGUUUAUCCCUACACUUUACAUACACUAGAUUCUCCUGAAUACAAGUUAUUAUAGUUAUGAAAAUAUAAGUAUGAUUCUUGUGUAAUAAUAAGUUGAAAUGAAAGUCGUUAAAUUGUACCGCUAUUAUUGCAUCCCAGUCACUUGGAUCACCAACCAUAGGAAUGUUCUGGACAUAAUCCCAUCCCCACCCGCUCUUAUCUGCAUGAUAGUUGUACAAUAUAAAAGUUCUCUUUAAAACUUUAAGCCGAUUCUUUAUUUGCUCCCUGGUCAAGUUUAUAUUGGUCCUACAGUUGAAAUCAGUUAUUAUCCUAGUCUACGCAACGUUUGUGAAUGACCCAUUGGUGUAGUUUCCUAAAGCGUGUUCUUCUAUCAACAGACUUAGCAUGCUUGCAUCCAUACUGUCGGUUCAAUUUGGAGUUCGCUUUCAUGAUUGGUUAUACAAUCUGCUACUACCAUCAAUCUGUAUAUUUUCCAUUGGUGUGGUUUCAAUCACCACACCUUUCUUAUGAGCAGACUUAGAUGGUUUCUUGACAUGAGGCAUCUGUGGUUCAAGCAAAUAGCAGUUCACCAAAACCAUUCAUGUGGAUUGACACAAUCAAGCAUGUGUACGCGGCAAGCUCACAACAUCAGACAUACAUUACAGCCAAGAAGCUAAUAAAGAUGGCGAGGGAACUGUACAUAAUGUAGCAGCUAAGCAUAUAUAUGUUUGAGUAUGUCCAAACACUUGCACGACUAUUUCCAAAACUGAAGUAUUAGCAACUUAUUACAAUGAAAUACAAGUGUGUCUGCCGCGAACGAACCGGCCCCGCCGUAGGGUGUUUCUAGGACGAGUGGUCAUGCAUGGUAGAAGUUAAGUUUGUUUAUGUUUUAUUUUGAAAUCAGGAUUAUAGGUUCAUGGCUUCCAACAGACUCAAGAAUCUGCUAUUAAUUACCACACACUUUCGGUGUUAAGGAACUCUCGAUUAAGAGACCAAAUAUAAAUGCUGAUAACAAAGGAGACAAAACAGGCAAAUAAAAUUUUAUUCAUAUAAUUUGCCGUAUACAUUGCUUAAGCAGGGGCAUACCCCCACUGUACAUGAAUUGAAUCCUAAGUAUAUGUAUUAGGAUUCAGUUGGAUUUGAGAUUGACUAGGUCCUAAGUAUAUGUGUUAAGACCUAGUCAAUAUUAGACUCUAUGUAUUAGAGUCUAAUUGGCUCUAAGUAUAUGUUUUAGAGUCCGAUUAUAUUCACCUUAGUUGUAUGUUCCAAGUUAGAGAUGUGACCAGACCUCAAGUAUAUGCAUUGAAGUGGGUCAAAUUACUCGAAAAUAGAGAGUGGCUAAUUCUUGAGUAUAUGUAUCAGGAUUAACCGAGUUUAAUAUAUUUUCACUCUAGUUAUAUGUGCUAGAAUGAAGAUCUGACUAUGCCCUAAGUAUAUGUAUUAGGGGUAGUCGGAUUUGAUUUGUAUGAGCUCCAAGUAUAUGUAUUAGAGCUCGAUCAGGUAUGAAUUUCACUCUAAGUAUAUGUGCUAGAGCAAAAGGCUGACUAGACCCUAAGUAUAUGGGUUAGGACUAGUCAAGCACGGUUUGACUUCCAUUCUAGGUAUAUGUGCUAGAGCAAAAUAUUGACUAGACCCUAAGGAUAUGUGUCAGGAUUAGUCGGAUGAACUCUAAGUAUAUGUAUUAGAGUUCGAAUGAACUUGACAUCAUUUGACUGAAUUCUAAGUAUAUGACUUAAAACUCUAUCCAUUUAGAGAUAUUUUCCCUUAGUUAUAUGUACUAAGGUGAUUGACUUAGCCCUAAGUAUAUAUAUUAGGAGUAGUCGAUAUUUAAUUUUCACUCUAACUAUAUGUGCUAGAGUAAAAAAGGUUCAUGAUGAACUUAGAUUUAGUUUAACGACGUUUCGGUCGUUUGGAUUUGGGUUUAGUUUGACAACGUUUCGGUCGUUGGGUUUGGGUUUAGUUUAACGACGUUUCGGUCGUUUGGGUUUGGGUUUAGUUUAACGACGUUUCGGUCAUUUGAAUUUGGGUUUAGUUUAGCGACGUUUCGGUCGUUUGAGUUUGGGUUAUUUAGUUUAACGACUUUGCGGUCGUUUGAAUUUGGGUUUAGUUUAGCGACAUUUCGGUCGUUUGAUUUUGGGUUGUUUAGUUUAACGACUUUGCGGUCGUUUGAAUUUGGAUUUAGUUUAACGACGUUUCAGUCGUUUGAGUUUGGGUUUAGCUUAAUGACGUUUUGAUUGUUUGAAUCGAGAUGUUCAUGAAACUGAUUCAUGAAAUUAAUUCAUGCUAGGAGCCCGUUUGUAAAGUCCAUUGAAUUGAUGAAAUUAAUUCAUGAUAGGGGCCAUUUGGAGAACCCAUUGAAUUAAUUUAUGAUAAGGAGCCAUUUGGAGGGCCCAUUAAUUCAUAAAAUUAAUCUAUGACAAGGAGGGCCCAUGAAAUUAAUUCAUAGAAUUAAUCCGUGAUAAAGGGCCUCUUUGGCAAACCCAUGAAAUUAAUUUGUCAAAUUAAUUCAUGAUAGGGGCCUUUGGAAAGCCCAGGAAAUUGAUUCAUAGAAUUAAUUCAUAAUAAAGGGCCCAUUUAGAUAGCCCAUGAAUUCGGUUUGGGUUGGAGAUAUUUGGAUGACAUAAAUUUAGUUGGAUUUUAUUUAUGGACUUUGGAUCUUGGAUCUUUGGGUUUUGGGUUUUGGGUUUUGGACUUUAUUUGUGGACUUUGGGUUUUGGGAUUUUAUUUGUGGACUUUGGGUUUAGGAUUUUAUUUGUGGACUUUGGAUUUUGGAAUUUUGUUUGUGAACUUUGGGUUUUGGGUUAAGAAAUGAAUUUUUAUUUAUUCUGGGCCCACAUCUACAUAUGGGUUGAGAUGUGCUGCGGGCUUUACAUGUUCUGGGCCCGAACCUGUAUGUGGGCUGGACUUUUAUUGAUUUUGAAUUUAAAUCUGCACAUGGACUGGAUUUCGGGCUUUACAUGUCUUGGGCUUUGAACCCGAAUCUGCAUGUGGACUGAAAUCAGUCUUGGACUUUACAUGGUCUGGGCCCAAAUCUGCAUGUGGGCUGAGACGAAUUUCGUGCUUUAAUGCUCUGGACCUUAGACCCGGAUAUGUACGUGGGCUGGAUUUCGGGCUCUACAGGUUAUGGGCCUGAAUUUGCAUGUGGGUUUGAUGCUUUAUUAUUAUUUUUUUUUUUACUGCUUAUCGAGUUUUUUCAUUGGGCCCAUGAUUAAGUAAUGAAUUGGAUCAUUUUCAAAUUAAAUAGCCCAAAUCCAUUCCCUCAACAACUCUGUAUUUUUUUUUUUUAUUUCUUUUCUUUUCUUUUCUUUCUUUUUUUUUUUGUUGACUAUAAGAGAGAGAGAGAGAGAGAUCCAACCAUAGUUAGUUCAUUCGGAUUCGGCAAAAAUUCGGUACAGGUAUAAUUCGGAUAAAAUUCGUCUUCGAAUUUUUAAAUUCGUUGAAAAAUACGGCUAAAAAACGGAUUUAUCAAUUAUUCGGAUACGUGAUUUAUACGGAUAUUAUACGUUUACUAAUUAAAAAUUCGGGAUAAAAAAUUCGGCUAUUAAAUUAAAUUUUUUUCUCUCAAGAUUUAUGCUAUUAGCAUAAAUAUUCAUAUCUUUUAAAAAUANUAGGUGCAAUGUAGAUAUCAGCAACAUGGUUAGACCGGUUAAAUUGGAUAACCCCUAAAUUGGACCAUUUUUUGUGUUUGUGUGUUUUGCUGUUUUCUUCUCUUUUUUUUUGGUCCAAAUAAACGAAGUUGAUCACGUCGAGCCAUACAAUCGGAUCGAACAAAGAUGGCGAAUCGAAACAGAACCUGUCCAUUUUUUUUAUUAUUAUUUAUUUUAUCACGUUUUGUUCAAGUGUGCGGGAUUUAAUCAUGUCGAACCUAUCACGAAGAUGGCCGCUUGAUUAAUUUUUUUGACCAUGUCGAGCCUAUCACGAAGAUGGCCGCACGAUUUUCGUAGCAAAAUAUCCGAUAUUCGAUUGAUAAUUUCGACCAUGUCGAGCCUAUCGCGAAGAUGGCCGCACGAUUUCGUAGCAAAAUAUCCGAUGUUCGAUUAAUAAUUUCGACCAUGUCGAGCCUAUCGCGAAGAUGGCCACACGGUUUAGAUAAUAAAAUAUCCGGUGCUUGUUCGACCAUGUCGAGCCUAUCACGAAGAUGGCCGCACGGUUUAGAGAUUAGCGAUGCAUACAUAAGACGGAAGCGACGAUUUGAUGUCAGAUUUGAUCGGUUCGAAACCUAUCACGAAGAUGGUCGGAUUGAUCAAACCAACAAAAACCGCACUUACGCUUUUCAUAUACAUGCACAUCUCUUGUUGUCGUAGAAGUCAUUGCAGUUGUCGUUGUCGCGGAAGUCCUUUUUUUUGUGGUACGGACGAAAAGUGGAGGGGUGCAAAUGGCACCCCUCCUCUGCCAGCAAGACCAAAAGGGGCUCCUCCCUUGGUACUUGCACACGAGAGAGAGAGAGAGAGAGAGAGCAGACCCAUAGUGCCCUCCUAGCUCGGGUAAGAGCCACAUUCAUGCGUCGUAUAUCAGCAACAAAUCCCACUCCAUGGUUUGAGGCACGAACGCACGACAUAAUGAUGACAUCACGUUCCUGGCCUUGGAAAGCAUCAACAGUGUUUAUGUAAAUAUCCUUCCCCUCCUCUGAAUUCAAAACAUCCUCAAACUCUCGCUGAAGACACUUUAGUUGCAGUUUGUAUGGUGUAAUAAUGCCAACAGACACUUUUUUCCCACCAUUGGCUUUUAAAAACUUCUGGAGGUGCUCGUACAACCGCAAAGUGAACUGUGCUUCAUGAAUAUUCUGGUAUGAGACUGAUCCCCCUCUGUGGGAUUCCCGACCAUGUACAACGUCAUAAAAUACAUAAGGCUUCAAUAAAGCAUCUCUAUAGUAGGCUUCCUCUGGCGAGUUGGCAACACUUUCGCUAUCCGUAAGGCGACCUUGAUAGAAAUAUCUNGUGUCUUCUCCCUUUUUUUUUUUUUAACUCCAACAAAGUGAAGCCAUAUGACAACUAUAACUGAUUACAUAUGAAAGAUGCACCUGAAAGAGAUUAUAAUGAAGCAGAACUCUUCAUCUUAUAGUGUGAUUUUGGAUCAUGCGGCUCAAAGUGGUUUUCAAGGAGCAUGGGGUUGUGUUGAUUUCUAGAUCCAUGCCAUCCAUCUAAUGCUUUUGAAAACCGUCAUCAUCGUCAAAAUCAUCUUUCGCAUCGUUCAUUGCCAUACAAAAUACUGUGUUCAAUUCCUCUCUAUAUCUUACUUUCCGGCAAUCAUAUACAUCAUAGUUAAAAUCCAAGGUUCACAAUAUUAGGGACGACAUAGAGUCAUCAUGAAUGAAGAUCAGAUAUGGUGCCAUAGAAUAUUGUCAUGCAAAUCAGUAUGUAAUAUAUCCUCCAAACAUAAAAGGUUAGAGAUGUAAUAUAUCCUCCAAACAUAAAAGGUUAGAGCAAACUCGGAUGUAAGAGUAAUGAAACCUGGGUAAAACCAACCCUUAUAGCGGAUUGGGAACACCUUAAACAGGGAGGCUGUCUGCGACCACGAAUAAUGCACCUUGCACGGUUAAUCUUAUUUAGAUUUCCCGUGGAGUAGUAUUCAUGAUUCAGAUUAAUAUUUAAGUAUAUAUGGUUAUCAAGUAUUGUAGACUUAUAGCUUCCAAUAAACGCAAGCGUCUAUUAUUAAUUACCCCUAUAAAAUGUUAGGACACCUUGGAUUAAGAGACUUCUGAAAUAUCAAAAUAGACUGAAAUUGAAUAAAAGAUGAAUUUUAUAAUACAACCCGUUGUAUAGUUACAUAGCUUAACCAGAGGCAUACCCCCAGCAUACAUGAAUAUACUAUAACAUAAAAGAGAAAAUGACGAUCGAUUGAAAUUUGGAUUACACCUUAGUUAUAUAUUUGACUGGGCUCUGAAUAUAUAUUUUAGAGCUCAAUAUAACCACCCUAAGGUGCAGAAUUAACUAAAUCCCAACUGUAUGUAUUAUGACUUAGUCGGAUUUGAAUCGACUAGGCUCUAAUUAUAUUUAUAUAUUAGAGUCCAAUCAGGUUUAAAUUCACCCUAAGAUGAAGUAUGGCUAAAUUCUAAAUGUAUGUAUUAGGCUUAGCUGAAUUUGAUUUAGAUCGACUCUAAUUUUACAUAUUAGAGUCUAAUUGAUUUAGUUGAACUCUAAGUACGUGUAUUAGAGUCCAAUCAUAUUUGAGUUCACCUAAGGUGGAGGAUUGCUAAAUCCUAAAUGUAUAUGUAUUAGGAUUUAGCCAGUUUUGAUUUAGAUUAAAUUCUAAUUAUACAUAUUAGAGUCUAAUUGAUUUAAUUAAACUCUAAGUACGUGUAUUAGAGUCCAAUCAAAUUAUUUUGCUUUAGUGGAAUUUAAUUUAUUAUUCUCUUAUCUUAGUCAAAUGUACUAAGAAAAAGGAUAGUUUGAUUAAUUCAUAUAUGUUAGACUUCAAUUGAGGUUUAAUGCAAUGGCGAUGUGACUCUAGUUUCAUUUGUUAGAGAAUUGGGUUGAAAUAAUUUGUUUCUAAGUACCUGAUGGAAGAAGAGGUUGCAUUAGGUUGUGCAACAUUUGAAUUGGGUUAAACUGGAAUUUUGAUUUGAUUUGGGUUUGAGGUUAGGUUUGGGCUUUGAAUUGGUUAUUAUGGUGUAGGUUUCAUAUAAGGCCUGUCAAAUUUGGAGUGGAUUGGAAUUACUUUUCCCAUUCAAUGGCUUUAAAACUUUAUUACAAUAUUAGAGAAAACAAGGUUACUAUAUACUUGUAUCAGAAAGCUCGAGCAUUCUCCAACACAUCCAAUUUCAAUUGUUUCACGCUAUCCAACAAUUAAAUGCCUCAUAUAAACAUAAAAAUAACACAUCAAUUGGAAGCAGUUUGUUCUAAUUUGAGUGCAAAUCAAGUAAAAGUCCAGUGAAUCAUCUACUGAAAAUAAUCACAAAUGGCAUCAUCUAGAAUAUUUAGUAAAUCAAACAAAAUUCACCAAUCGUGAAGCUGGCCUCUUUGUUCGUUUAGCAACAUGACAAAUUUGAAAGAACAUUUAAACAAAUUUCUAAUAUCCACAAAUUAAAUCUUCAAACUUGAUGCAUGCUCUGUAUCUGUGAAUACAACACAUGCAUACUUUGCAUUAACAAUCUUGGAAAUCACACGGCUGAAUAAAAUUAUCUGAUUGCUCUCCUUUGCUUUUAACUGUGAACUAUUUAAGUGGAGAUGUAAUUCAUGGUAUGAAUAUUACAACAAAGAUCAACAACAGAUCAAAAAAUAACACGAGACAAAAAAAAAAAAAAAAAAAAAAAAAAAAAAAAGGGUUACAGAGCAAACAUUUUCACCCUGCGGCAAAGUAAUUACUACACUACUCACAGGAGCAUAUAACUACAAUCCCACCUGUAACUCAUACCAAUUCCAUCAGAAGGGGGUCUCCAGAAGCCAUGACUCUAAUUAGCUUUAUGAAAUCCAACUCAUUCUGCACCUUUACGGGAUACACUGCGGGCGCUUGAGCUGUAUAAAUAGCUGAGAAAGACUCAUUAGCCAGCAAAUUUGUCCUAUAAACUGCCUUUGCCAAAGCAUCAGAGUCGAUAUUUUGAUCCGAAUCCAUUGCCAGAAAAAACAUUGGAACUGCAAUCUUGUGAUGAAUGUCGACAUCCCCAACUAGACCGACAAGGUCAGAGAAGUCACCAACGAAUCUUCGAGGAAUGUAGAAAAGUUCGCUGCUGCAAUAUAUGAGCUUAUCUUCGCCCAUGGUUUCUUUGUAACUGACCUGGAAGUGUACGGGGAAGUUGCCCACGACUUUCUUUACGAGGUCCCCUUGCUUUGCAAACCAAUCAGAUCUGUCACUGCCAUUUAGUGGAACAGUAAUCCAAGAUUGCGUGACCUGGAGAAAAAGGAUAAUUAGAUGAUGGCGUAUUGUACCAGGAAUAAAGAAAAUUUUUAAGUAGAAGAAAUAAAAUGUAAGUUACAAUACUAUGAUGCAUACCUUCUUGGUUAUCCACAGCUUAUUCUUGUCAGCUUGUAGAAGAUUCCAAUAGUUUAUGAUUAUAUCAUCUUGAAGGAACAAGAAUCCUUCUGCGCCAGUGAAUUGAUCAAACACCUUGGGCAGGAACCUUUAAUACAAACAUAGCAGGUUUUAGUUGUAGUGAAGCAGAUCUCAACACAGAACGUAAUUAUGUAUCAAUUACAACAGUUUAGCUGUAAAACAAUUUCUUUUAUUCUUGGUCCAUCAGAAGCUAGAUUAAAAAAAAUUAAAAAUAUUUAGAAUGAUUACUGAUAGAUCACAUUUAGAAAACAACAAAUACGUAUACAUCUUUUGCAAUAUCAUGCCAGAAACAUAUGAUCUUUGACAUCAAAAUUAUCAAAUGACACAUGACAAGCGAUCAACCGACUUAUCCUAAGACCAAAAACAAGAGGAACGUCAAGCAUUAUUGGCUGAAUCAAAAAACAAAGUAGGGGAAAACUUCUGAAUCCCAAAAUUGAAAAGUCAACCAGAACUUUUGUUCCACUGACAUUGCAGAGAAUGGUAACUAAAAAUUAACAAGAUUUGCAUACAUCCUAGCCAAUAUGAGCACCUAAUUUGACCCAUUGACUGUCAAUUUGAACGGAUAUUCAGCCCAAUAUGAAUGACCUUCUCAUGAUGUAUCAGUCAUCCAUAUUAUUAGAAGCAGCAGUGAAGUAGGCCUAAAGUAGCUGUAAUGUAGUCAACAAACUUUAUAUUGCGUUUAAAUGUUAUCCGUCGGACCAUCACAUUUCAUCUUCACCGAAACCACCCAAUUGAACAGCUCAUCGUUUUGCUUCGUAGUUGUCAUCCACCAGCUGAUCUAAAUGCAUAUUGGUCAGAAGCAAAAAGAGAACACUUAUUGGUUCAAGUUCCUUCACCAACUUCACCUGAAUGCUAUAUAGCCCGCUUAUAGGGACAUCUACAGGAAUUUUUAGCUUCGGGAACAUGAAUGCCAGCUAAUCUGAUAUUCUGCCUAUUAUAUUGUACUUUGAAGCUUGCAUGGCAAUCAAGGUUGUAAAUAGCGGAUAGCGGGUACAUAGCGUUUGGAGAGUCUCAUAGCGGAAAGCGGAUAGCGGGUGCUACAGCAGGCGCUAUGAAUCCAUAGCGGGUUUCAUAAAAGCAAAUUUAAUAUGUUUAUACUCCUUAUAAAAAUACAUAUAAUUUUGAAGAAAAGACAACUAAUUAUUCUCUUUUUUUUUCCGUAUUGCAAGCCUACAUAUAUUUAAUAUCAUUAUCUAUUAAGAAUUUAAGAUUAACUUUAUUUAGCAAACCAAAAAGACAAAAUUUGAAAAUUUAUAAUCCAUUAACAAUCUAAACAAUUUGUAGAUGGAUGUCAAAAAGGAUAUCUUAGGUAAAUAGUUAUCUUCCAAACCCUUAGAAACAGGGUUUGAUAUUUAUAUUUCAUUUAAGAAUCCAACCCGAUAAGCUAUUUUAACUCGUUUGCACUUUUUAAAAGUUUGGGCUCACAGCGCCUCGCUUUCCAACCGCUUUAUAGCGGCUGCUUUAGCGGGCCCUCUGCCGCUAAAGCGGCCGCUAUGAACCCGAUCUGCUAUAUACCGCUUUACAUAUUUUAGCAUAGCGGUAGCACAUAAAAUCCGCUAUAGCGGCCGCUAUCCGCUAUAGCGGCCGCUAUGGCAGGCAUAGCAGCCGCUAUUUAAAACACUGAUGGCAACAGCUUUUCCCCGAACUGUUUUGCAGAUCUAUACUCAAUAGUAUUCUAAAAAGGAUUUGGGGCAACCACAAAGUGGUUGGCCACUUGAUCAACCAUAAUACUUUGCCUUUGGAGCUAUCUAAGAAAUCAGUCAACUAGUCAAUCCAACUGAUAAAGAUGUUUCUGCUAAUAGUGUUUUUGGCAUGUUUCAAAGAAAAGAGCCUAGAAGUUAACUUAAGAUUCUACACUUCAUUUGUCCAUAUUGUAUGGCAAAACCUCAACCCAAGUCUUACGAAGAUAGUCAAGGCUAGACUUUCUAACCCUCGAAGAAGAUCAUCAAAAAACUAGAUGGAUUAGAACAGACGAGUAUAAGAACUUCCUCUCGAAUCCUGAAUGCCUAGAGUGCCCUCAUACUAAGAAGGAAAGGGCAUCCCAAAGCUCUAGAUAUUAGUUGAUCACCGAAGAUAACGACCUUCUAAUUGUUCAAAAGUUUAUUCUACCAGUGCAUGCAGUUAUCAUCAUAAGAAUAUGACAUGUCAAAGUGCAACUGAUUAUCCUUUCAGAUCAAACUUCUUGAUCCUAUAAUUGUUUAUUAGUUAUUCUAAGUCAAAUAUCAAAAGGUGUGGCGAAAAAUCCAAAAAAUCCAUGACCAAACCAGAAUAGUAAGAAGAAAUCUAAUAUUACAUAAGGACUAGAAGGAAAUUAAUUUAGCUGAACUUUUUCAUUUGGAUUCUCUCUUUUGAUGGUUUAAGUACGUCAAAUAGUGAACUAUGACGGCUUAUCUGUUUAUGCAAAAUUUAGUGAAAAUGGAGUUAUCAUAUCAAUUCCAGAAUGUUAAAGACCAGCUCAUAGACUUGACAAAGGAGUGAAGUAGAAGAAGCCAGGAGAAGACAUUGUGAAGCACUGGGUUGCGCUGAGGAAUUGGAAGAUAGCAUCUCAUCUGAUUCAUAGAAGAAAAAAAGGAAAGUGAACAAGAAGGGAUAGUAAAUCUUCAAUAUGUCAUGCUUUGCCCUCAAGAAUCCAAUUGAACUAAAGUAGGCAUAUUUUAACAACCCAAAGAAGUAACAUUAAAGUCAGACGACAUGUUUGCCACUUGCAAGUAGGAAUGCAAACAUUCAAACAAAUAGGCUACCUAAUAAUGUCACACUUUUCGGAAUGAAGGACAAUCCUUCAGAAGUCCUAAUAAAUGUAAAAACAUCGUGACAAAAUUUUUGAGAUGCAGAUGCGUCAAUCAAGCCAAUAUGCAUGAAGCUCUGAGAUCUGAUUUUAAGGGAAGAAAACAAAUGUGAAAGGAAAUACAUAGAAAAACCAUAAUGCCUAGAAAAGUAUGCAAGUAGCCUCAUGAAUCUGUAUAGUAUAACAUACAAUAUGCAAACAUCAAUGCUGAGUAUUGAUCUAAACUUAAAUUUUUGGUUGCAAUUAGUAGAAGGCAUGACAGAGGACCUGCUAAGGCAUUAAUUGCGGAUCAAAAUUUAUGUGAGCUGAAGCUGCAGCAUGGCAUUGAUAAUAUGUCUCACAAAAAUAUCAAAGAUUCACUUACGAUCACGAUCACACUUGAAAAUAUUUACAUGAAAAUCUAAACUGAUCUCUGAAAGGUUUGUUAGAAGAAACUGUCAGCUGAAAAUAAAUCUUAGAAAAACUAUAAGAGACUGCACAGUGAAUAAUGCUGUAGCAUACCACUGUAGCAGUACUCUUCAAAGUAUUGGAUCUAGGAUCCUCAUAUAGCUGAGACCUUACCCUUCCUGGCAGCUCACGCAUAAGGAAAGAUGAAUGCACCUUGCCUUACAUCCAAACAGAACACAUCAGCAGGUAUAGCUAUACGUGGGACUUCAGUCCUUAAGUAACCUAACUUUGGCAAUUCAUCGUUUGGUAAGUUCCUAAAUUACCCAAAAUAUGAAACCAGCCCCUGAUUGUUAUAAUUUGGUCAAACUCAACUGAGCUUGACUGAACACUCCGCAAAACUAGAAAACAAAUCCCAAGUGACUGAAGUAAUAUUGAAAUAUCCUGGUCUAUCAAUUAUGCUCAUCCAAUUAAAUCCAUAAGCUCUAUUGUCGCUGACGUCAGCCUUCUAUGUUUAGGUACAAUCCAAAAGAAAAUUUUGUAAUGCAAAAUAGAUAAGCCUUAUCCAACUAUAAGAUCCAAUCUGAAGGACACCUAACAAAACCAAAACCAUCAUAAAGCCCAAAAGAAAUCAUGCCAAAAGAAAGAAAAUUAAUCCAAGUCCAUAUAUACAAAAGACAAAUCAUGAAAUUAUAGUUCAAUGAAUUACUCAAAAUGUAUAUCUUUAAGCUAAACCAACAACAUCAAGAAAUUUAAGAAGACAUUCAAAGAACUAGUGAGUUCACAAAUAAGCAUUAAAGUCACUAUGAGGUGAAAAAACCAUAUGUGAUGUAUUUACAGUGGAACCAGUUUCCCUACUGGGUCCUCUCGACGUAUAUAAGUAUAUAACAAACCUCCUGCAAAUGAUAUACUAUAGCUCUCCACAGGUUUCACAGGUUCCUACUUACAUGUACUUUCUAGUCCCAGCCUUUCGCUCAUCGAUCCAAGUUCUACUAACGUACAGAUCACCCUUGUUAACAACCAUGUGAAUGCUGAAAACAUCCUCAACUUUAAUGGAUCUCUGAAUACAGACACGAGUUGCACAAAAUGGUCUUUCAAUAGAGAAGAAUCACUAAGGAGAAUUCACUAAGUGAUAGCAGUAAUUUCAGUAUCUCUAUGUGCAUCCAAUUUCAUGAUGAAUAAAUAGACAAUGCAGUAGAUAAUGUGGAACUUAAAAUUAAUCAGAAGCGUCAAAUCAUUGAAUCUGCAAAGUUUGGUGAUUACAAUUUUAAUCUAAUGAAAUAAACAUUGAUAUCAUGUAGUUGCAAGCAGCAAUUUGUGACUGUUAAAAAGUACCAUAUUGCAAACAGAGACGUCUAAUUAGAAAAGUAACUCACUUGUAUGCUUGUGCUAAGUGGCCAUAUUCCACAGCAAGAUCUGAAUUGCUCUGUUCUGCCAUAAUGACCACCGUCUUGAAGAUCCGGCCGUAGAGCAACCUCCACUCAAGCGCAGUCCGAUCCACAGGCCCACUGCAAUGCAUGAUCAGCACGACGUUUCCGAAGUGCUUCCUCCACCUAAUCAGAUUCCCAAUCUCAUAGUUCACCGUUCCAGUCUCCUCCACGCCAAGAUGGACCGAGGGCAACUUCUUGGGGACAAACUCCCUCCGAUCUCCGUGCCCGAUGGUCGCCCUCGGCCGAUCAAUCUCCAACGACAUCAGCCUCGGCUGCCGAUAUCCAACCGAGAGCAGGUCCUGCAGCCAAGCCGCCGUGAACUUCACAUCCUGCUCCCCCCAGAAGCCCUCCUCCGCCAUCGCAUAGCUUAGAUGAAGUAUCCGCUCAAACAGCGUCUGCUUGUUGGAUCUCCACGAGAUGAGGAACUUGAUAAGACGGCCGACAUUGACAUGGAGGUCCUUCUCCUCUGCGAAGGGGUAGGACUCCGUCUUAUCCAUUCGGUGGAUUGUUGGAGGAUAAACAGCAACGAAGCCGCCGAUCUCCCACAGGAUCCUCUGCGCCCAGUAGCCUCUGAUCACGUCGGACGCCAUGGAGCUGACGGAGACAGGGAGCAUGAGGCCCCAGAAGGCCUGCGUGUGGAAGAUCGUAUUGAACGAAUUCACGGGAACCAUGAGGCCCUGGGGCAGGGCAACCUUGGGCGCAUCCUCAUCGAACCGGAUGUCGAAGCCCUCCAGCCCAGAGGACUUUCGGGUGAAGUAGAAUACGGAGUCGAUAUCGGGCAGGCCGUUGGACAGGCCCUGCUGGAUGAACUGCCGGCCGCUGAACACCUCGGUGUAGAACUCCUCGUGGGCAACCUCGCCGACGUUCUCAAGCGGCAGGCCGCGGGGCCACACGGAGCGCUGGCCGAAGUGGAUGUACGGGUUGACGACGGUGCGGUUGGGAUUGGCGUGGCUGUACUGGAGCAGAACGGGGUGCCUGGCGGCGGUGGCCUCGCCGACGAGGUCGACGUCGAAGUGCUUACCGAGGUCGUCGCUCAGGACCUCGGCGCGGGCGUCGGCGUCGAAUAUGAUCUUGGCGCCGUGCUGGAUGGCGAAGAGGUAGCCGGCGGUCUUGCGAGCGAGGGGGGAGGAGUAGGGCAGGAAGUCGAGGGAUCGGAAGCCGAGCAGGGCCUGCCGGUCGAGGGAGAGGAAGAUGGCGCCCUUGAGGGACCAGCCGGCGGGGGUGCGGGAGUCGCCGACGGCGAGGAGCUGCCAGCCCUUGGUGCGGGCGAGGGCGCGGAGGGCGCCGGUCGGCCGGGACGACGAGGCGGCAACGACGAUCCAGCGCUCGGAGCGGAAGGAGGCGUAGCGAUCGGAACCGCCGAGGGGCCGGACGGGCGGGACGGCGGCCCAGUCGAUCCGGGGGUAGGGGGCGCGGCUGCCGGCGGUUCGCGAAGCGGAGAGGGUCUUGUCGAGGCAGAGCAGCGCAGCGGUGUCGCCGGCGCUGCGGAGGAAGAAGAGGGCGGCGACGGUGGCUGCGAGGACCAGGACAGCCAGGAUCUUGUAGAAGUUCUCCGAGGCCCAGGUGGAGAAAUCCAGGUUCUUCGCGAAGCGCUGGUGAUGCCGAGGAGAAGCUGGAGAUGCAGGCGACGAGGGCUUGGGAGCGGCCCGAUCUUGGACCAGCAUUUCUAGAUUUAUUCUAAAUCUAGGGCGAUCCAAAGAAAAUGGAGCACUCCGCGAUCAAGAGUGGCGGUGUUGUUGUUGUUGUUGUUGUUGUUGUUGUUGUUGUUUUCCUUUGUUAACAAGCUCGCUCUCACCUUCUGUCGGUGUGGGUAAUAAUUCUUGGUAUUAAGGAGGAAGGAGGAGGAGGAGGUGUGAGUGUAGCGGUUGGUGGGAAGGCCCCUCUUUCUUUCAGUUGAGGUUUCGCUUUCUUUCUUUAUCCCCCUCUCUCUUGGCGGUAUGCUAUGUGUUCAUUGUGGGUUACUCCAAGUCCAACUCCUCCGUUUGCAGCAACAGCUCCUCCCUCUCCAGCGGCCAGAUGAGGAAACAGAGAGCAUGAAGAAUUAGAUUCGAUAUUUUCUGAUUUAUAUAAAAAAAAAAAAAAAUUCUCUUAUUUGUGUUCCUAAUUUACAGAGCAUGUGCGCUCUAUUUGCGGGUGUUGAGAAGAAGGGCAGAGCACUGCUGCAGCUCAGCAAGUCAACUGCAAGCCGCUUCGAGAAGUGUCGGUGUGGCGAUCUCAAUCGUGUGGGUGCGGAAGUAUCGGUUAUCGGGUCGGAUUCACAUCUAGAAUCGAUGGGCUGGGAAGAAAUAUAUCUUUUUUUGGGAUUGCCAAGAGUGUGCACUGUGUAUGGUAGAAAAACGCGCAGUAAAAAAAAUUUUAGACUACAGUAAAAACUUUUUUUGUCCUUUCACGUGUCUCAAUUACCAAUAUUAAAGUAUAUAUAUUAUGUCGUAGCCGAUAUAACUGGAGUGGUGAUACAAUAGCUUCAUCAGAUCUUAAAAUAGCUUCUCCUCUCUUGUGUCGCUGCAACACCUAACAUCCUAACCCAUGAUUCACCAUCCAAUAAGGUACACCAUAUGAUGAGUGCGGUAACAUUGCAUCUUCUUUGCACCACGAUGAUAAAGAAAUUGCGGGCUAAUCCCACUUUAUUUUGCUAACUAUAAUGUACUGAAAUUCAGUAUAAUAUACCAAACUUUAACCAAAUUAGAAAUGUGAAGAUUAAAAUCAUAUUAAACAUGAUUAAAAUAGGUUUGGAGAAAUUUGGGCCGUGUUUGAAACGAGUUAGAAUCAAUUCAUCAAAACGGAGCUUUGAAAGAAGUAAAAAUUUGACGCCCGAAAAAGUAUUUCGCAUAGCCAAAAUCUUUCGAAUCAUCCGACCAAGUGCCCGAUUCUAGCAAAUGCUCUACCGCAAGCAAGGGUUUUGUCACGCCCCGGGACUAGACGGAGGCCCGCCCGGUGCGUGUCCAGACCCGCCAUAUGUCUGCACAUAUAAGGCGUCUACAAUAAGGCGAUAUAAAUAAUAAUAAUAAGCAAAUAUCUAGAGAUAUCAGAGUAAGUAGCAGCUAAAUUCUAACAACAAGUAGAAUGAAAGAACACUAAACCAGUAUGAUAAAACAUAGAGUGAUACAUCGUAAUGUCUCUGUUGAGCGAAUUAGGUGCGGACAGGUGGUACGCCGGUAUUCCCUUCAAAGGCAUCAAUCUGGCCGUGCACCAGGAGCACCGGAAAAGUUUUAAAGUAAACCGUCGCGCCAAUUGAAGGAAGUUACAAUAACUGCAUGCGGUUCCGAUUGGCUGGAGGUGGUCCUGGAUAUUAGGAGAUAGUUGGCGAUCGUGUAAGAGCAAUAAUUGAUCACGGGGCGAUCUAUAAAUAGAUCAACAACGCCCUAAAAAAGGGUCUUUUCUCCUGUGAACAAAAGGCCACCCUUAAUUCCUCGCAAUUUUUUGCAUUUUCUAGGAGUAGUCUACUUGUAACUUUUCUCUUCCAGUAUUUACUGUUCUUUCUAGGAGUAGUCCGCAAAGUAGAUCAACCGAGUUGCAUGCCAUCCGGCACACUCGACCCAUGUACUUCCUUCCACUCAAUAUAAAGGCAUUUCGGCUCUUGAAGCCGAUCCAUUCCUUUGUUCUCUAAUCAUUCGGCUCCUCGGCCGACUUCGGUUCUUGUUCGGUCCGUACACUCGGCUCAUCCCGCUGAACCAAAUUUACUGUAGAAGUUUCGAACCCGGCUGAUUUGAUCCCUCAUCAGCCUAAUCGUUUGAUCAUUCGAAUGGCGCAAACUUCGAGGGUCAAUACCAUAAGCCGUUUCAAUCCCGACACGCUUUCGAGAAAGGUCUUUGAUCGGGACAAGGACCGGGGAUUGUGGCUACCAACAAUUUUUGGCACGCCCAGUGGGACACAUUUGAGGUAACUUUUAUUUUUAUUAAUAUAAUGACUGACGAUAAUGCCAUGAACUUACGUAAUAAGGCCGUUCCUAGAAAUUCUGGGAGUGAACAGCCCAUCAAUUCAGAAAAUAUUGCCGAACGCCAAGCGGUUUUGCCUGCUGAAGGUGAAACUAGCGGCCAAUCCGGCCAGCAAGAGCCUAGUUUGGCUCAGGCGCUUGGGCAAAUGACUCGAGUCCUGCAAGUUCUAGAUCAAAAUAGUCAUGCUAGUACUGCAGAGCUAGACGCAGUAUUGGUCGCAAUCACGGCCUCUAAUGAGAAUAUUGCUCGAAUAGAGAAAUUAUUAACUCAUAAUGAACAACCGAUAGCAGGUUUACAAGCGCAUGUGAUUACACCAGUGUUACAAAAUCCCGUAACACCGGUAAAUGGACAGCCCCAAUACAAGGGGGCACCUUACCAAGCAGCUUAUAGACCGGCUGUCGUUAAUGCUGAUCAACAGCCAGAGAUAGCAUGGGGGUUAUCGCCUCCUCCACCAGUAGCAGUAUAUCAGCCCCAAAAUGUAGGGGCUAGGGGGCAGGCUCCAAAUGUACAAGGGGUUAACGCUGUGGUACAAAAUUUCGGUCUGCCGCAAGGACCGAAUCAAGCACAAGCGCAAGUCCCCUUACAGGGGAUUAAUAAUGAAAUAUAUGCACAGAUCGAGGAAGCCAUCCGAAAUACCUUCGGAGAAGGCGCAAGGCCGGCAAUGCGGCUUGUAUUCAGAUCACCUUACCCUGCGAAUAUAGACGCAAAACACCUAUACCCGACAAAUUGGAAAAUGCCAAAGUUCGACAAGUUUUCUGGGGAUGAGACCGAAAAUACGGUCGAGCACGUAGCGCGGUUUACAGCACAAUGCCGAGAAGCCGCAGCAGACCUAUUUUUGAAGUUAAGAUUAUUCAAUACCUCGCUGACCAAAACGGCUUUCACUUGGUAUACAAGUUUGCCGGCUAAUUCUAUCCGAGAUUGGGACGAAUUAGAAGAAAAAUUUCAUGAACAAUUUUAUAGAAUGGAACUGAAAUUAUCGGUUGCCGAUUUGGCUCAGUUCAAACAGAGAACGGGCGAAUCGGUUGAAGAAUAUUUGAAUAGGUUCAAAACGGCUAGGAGCUGCUGCUUUGUGAGAAUGCCAGAGUCAGAAUUUGCUAAAAUGGCAUUUAAUGGCCUGCAUUUCAAAAUUAAAGAUCAUUUCGAAGACAAAUACUUUCCAAAUCUUUUCGAUUUGGGAGUUCGGGUUGAUCAAUGAGAGUAAUUCCGAAAGGUAAUAAUGAAGAUCGGCCCAGAUGGAGUUGAAAUAAAGAGUGGAACAAAGAGAAUGAGAAAAUUAUCUCAUUCCUUGAAGAGUCUUGGGCCCAUGAAGAGCCGAAUUUAUCUGAAGAGACUGAAGAUUCAGCUGAUGAAGCCGAAAUAUAUGCAGCCGAGAUUGUAAAAAGUCGACAGCCAUACAAAUGUGCUUUGUUGAAGCCCGCUAAAUCAAGCGAGGCAAAAGCACAUGUUUCGGCUUACACAUAUUCUUUCGAUGUAUUGAAAACCGAUCUAAUUUUUGAUCGACUGUUGAAAGAUGGUCGAAUUCAACUACAAGAGGGUCAAACAAUACCCCUUGUAGAAGAAUUAAAGCGUAGACGAUAUUACAAAUGGCACCACUCAUGGAGCCAUAAGACGAAUGAAUGUACUGCCUUUAAGAGGCAGAUUCAAAAAGAGAUAAAUGAGGGUCGGCUCAUAUUUACCGACCAAGAAAAUAAAAGUAUGAAAAUUGAUACGAAUCCUUUUCCAUCCCAGGUCAACAUGGUGAAUAUGAAAGGAAAAGAAAAGACGACUGCAAAAAGGCAGAUCCAAGAAGAAAUAGACGAGGGUCGACUCAUUUUAGCCAAUCAAGAAAAUGAGGAUUGACAAAAAUUUGUUUCCUUUACAGGUUAACAUGGUGAAUGCUAAAGGAAAGGAGAUUGCGGACAAGACGACCUUAGAAAAUAUUGCACACGCCAAAAGAAAUCUUUGGCUUUGCAUAAGAUGUAAAGUCGAAAUGACAAAGAAAGAUUGGGAAGCCAUCGUCAACGACAAGAAAAAAGGCAACGAAUGGAAUGAAUUGAUAGUAUUCCCCGAGGAAUAGGAUGACAUUCCUGAAGGAGAUGAUCAAGAAGAAGAUGGCUCAGAUGAAGCCUCCAACGAGACGGAACCGCAAGUCGAUUCGGUUCAACACAAAAAAGACUUAUUGAUGCAGAAAGUUCUGCAUGACUACUAUCACAACCGACAAGGUGAACGUCAUAGCCGAUAGAAUUAUCCAGAAAAACCAUUCGGCUCAAAGCAAAGGUUUCCUGGGUAUCAGCCGCACUGGCAGCAUCAAGCCAGGCCGAGACCAGAACCGGAGUUCGAAGGAAUGACUAACGGAGACAUAGAAUUCCUUGGUCAAAGAUUGGUUAAUGAGCUCGGCAUUCAGCCCUGGCCGAGACCUUAGGAGAUGAGAGAAAUCUUAAAAAAUCAUUUAAGAAUGGUGAAGGUACCGGCAAAUGUGCCGGUAGACAAAUGGCACAAAGUCGAAGUAAAACCAUCGGCCAGAUGGCAAGGGCCGAUGUUAAUAAAAACUCAAAAACGUCGGCAGCAAAGGAUGUAAGCCGAGGCGAUGCAACAGUACGACGAAGCGAAAGGGAUAAGACUGAAUGUGUGCGAACCACCACACCCUUUUCGCCCGAUGCGAAACGACCAUGAAGCAGGUGGCUCAUCGCCUGUCCCUUGGUUAAAAUCAAAGAUCGAACGGCCGGUCUCGGCCGAACUGGAGGAGAAGAUGACCAGGAGGGAGUUAGAGGACAAGAUAGCCUCCCUCGAGACAAUCAUUAAACGAGAGAGAUGGCCUUCUAAGAAGAGGGAGGUACGGUUGGAAAGCGAUUCCUCGGCCGAGACGGCUAAGGAGUCCGAAGAAAAGAAACAAAGGAUUCAAGAAAAAUCGUCUGAUGAAGGACCAGCCAAUGUCAACAUGGUUUAUACGCUGCCACAGUCCUUUAAAGCAGAGUAUACUGAGUAUGAGGAGAUGGGGGAAGAAGUUGGGCUCAAUGUGGCCCAAUUACAACUAGAGGAUGCCAAACCGGCCGAUGCAGUGGUUUUCGAGUAACCAUCAGCCAUAUAGACGAGGUUCAUGAGGCCUUUGUUAUUCAAGCCGCCCGAAGCAGAGCGAGAUCAAAAAUACGAUCAGUAAACUGAUCCCAAAUUGUGGCAUAGCCUUCGAGAGCUACACCUGUGUAAUUUGGCCUGAAGCUUACUAACUUGAAGAACCGUCGAAGACGAUUCCCCAUAGUUGAGAUAUUGUCAGCUUCGGCUAUACCUUUGGUAGGAGGUCGAUAAUCGGCCGUAUUGGCCGUAAAGAAUUUAGACGGAGCUGGAAUCGACUGAACAAAUCCAAAUUGGCGGGCCACAUAUUGAGGGGAAUAAACGUCAGUAUUGGGUAAUAACUUUGAACGCAAUUUGAGCCCCAUAUGAAGAUCCCUGGAAGCCAAAUAAGAAUACCAUACUUCUGAGUACUCACUCGUGUGAGAAGAAGCUAGUUUGCCUUGAAUAGCCUCAAACCGAGCAAGGAACCACGAGAGGCCAGUAAGACGAUCAACAAAAGGAGCCCAGGAAAUAGCUGAGUCAGGAUUCGGCUCAUAAAAAGUUUUGAAAUAAGUAAGAAAAUCAGAAGGUUGACCCGAAGUCAUCGGCUGUGGACAGCCGAGAGCUAGCCCAUAAGAAUCAAAUUGGGCAGCUGAAAUCAAAUUAAAAGGAGAUUGACAAAGAGCAGGAAUAUAAAACUGCAGAAACAUUUGCAAAAAUCAGAAAACGUCGCAACCAGAGCUGAUGGCAAUACCAUCUCCAGAAGGCAGCAGUUUGAUGAAAUCAAAAAUUUCUCUAUAAACAAAGGCAAGAAAAUAAGGCCCUAGAGCUAAUCUAUCGCCGUUAGACAGUCCAACGGCGAUUGGAACAAAAUCACAAUUGAUCUUCUGCGAACGAGUGCAGAAAAGAUUAUGACACAAUCAAUAUAGGAGGAACGCUGUAUGUUCUUUCCUAGUGACAGGAGCAGGGGAUUCACCUGCAAACUUGUAGAUAAACUUGGAAUAGGCCAAGUCAUUGGGUCUAGAUAAGCCUCAAAAUUAGAUACGCCGUCAGGAUUAUAAAAAGUGGAGACAGCAACUCCAUGAGGGCGUAAGCCGAUAAUGACAGCAACAUCAAAAAGUGUGGGAGUGAGAGGCCCUCUUCUGAAAAGAAAAAUAUUAGAAGCAGGGGACCAAAAACAGAGAGCGGCGGCUAGAAGAAGGUUAUCGGCUAUAAGAGGGUGCCUAGACAAUUCAAUCGCUUCAUAAAUACCUACUUCCCACCAAAAAUCACCAAAGGCGGCUUCUACCCUAUCUAACCAGGCCAAAUAUGGCUCUGAGAUGCUUGGCCAGGUUCGAAGACUCUUUCCUGUCGAAGCUGAUGAGUACCAAUACUGAAGAUAAGUGGCUUUUCUCAGGGGAAGUCCAUCACUAGUAAAAUGGAAGUCAGCAGGGAAUGGCUCGUCUGUAAGAGAAGGACCUAAAAUAAACCGAGAUGGGUCUAAAUCAACGAAAGAUUUUAGUAUAGUAUAAUCUAGAGACGAGUGAGAAGGAAGAGGGGCAACCAAAGCCAUUAGUUAGAAAAGAAGAAGAGAAUGAGCAGAAGCUAUGAACGAAGGAUGGAGAACAGAGAAGUCAAAGAAGAAAUAAAGAGAAGCGAAAGAGAAGUUUCGUCGGAGAAGACGAGAAAGAAACAAAAAAGGAACAGAAAAGACAAAAGGAAUGAGAAGCUUGGUGAAGAAGAAAAGGCUGUCGCGUCGAACUGUCGCAUCGAAGCGAGUUCCGAGAGCGACUAUAAUGAUGAAUAGACGGCGGUAAUUAAGAUGACCUAAUUAAUGCCGCAUAUAAGACAAAACUAGAGGGCGAGAUCGGGGCCGCAAAAAAGAAAAUGGACAGCCAAGAUUAAACCGUGCAUAAGAUCACGCCUCGGAUUACGUCAGUGACUCGUACAGAGAAUUUGAAUUUAAUUGGAUCGAGAACCACGCCUCGGAUCGCUUUUGUUAUUGAAGCGAUGGCAGGAUUUCGGCAGGCGAAAAAGUGGACGGUUAAGACGAAACCGUACCAAGAGUUUGAAAAGUAAUCGCGCCUCGGAUCAUGCCAGCUACCGAAGCAUUACUUCAAAAGCUGCCGAGGGGGCAAUUGUUGAGCCAAUUAGGCGCGGACAGGUGGUACACUGGUAUUCCCUUCAAAGGCAUCAAUCUUGCCGUGCACCAGGAGCACCGGAAAAGUUUUAAAGUAAACCGUCGCACCAAUUAAAGGAAGUUACAGUAAUCGCAAGCAGUUGCAUGCGGUUCUGAUCGGCUGGAGGUGGCCCGGGAUAUUAGAAGAUAGUGGUGGAUCGUGUAAAAGCAAAAACUGAUCAAGGGGCGAUCUAUAAAUAGGUCAAUAACGCCCUAAAAAAGGGUCUUUUUCCCUGUGAACAAAAGACCACCCUUAAUUCCUCGCAAUUUUCUGCAUUUUCUAGGAAUAGUCUACUUGUAACUUUUCUCUUCCAGUAUUUACUGUUCUUUCUAGGAGUAGUCCGUAAAGUAGAACAACCGAGUCUGCAUGCUAUCUGACACACUCGACCCCUGUACUUCCUUCCACUCAAUAUAAAGGCAUUUCGGCUCUUCAAGCCGAUCCAUUCCUUUGUUCUCUAAUCAUUCGGCUCCUAAGAAAAAUUCUUAGAUAUUCAUAGAUAUUCUAAUUGGCACGCUAGACCAUGAAACAAACUCAAAAAGGGAAUUGAAGACGUAGGGGGGAGUUCACUAAUUUCGAUUAGGUCGAGCCCGUCAGAUAGUUGCUAAAAGUCGUCUGUUUCUCAGAUUAAAGUUUUCUUAUUUUCCUUUGGCCCUAAGAAAAAUUCUUAAUAGGUCAUAACCACUUAAAAACCUCUCCACGAAAUUCACCAAAAAUCACAUAAAAAAUAAAUAAAAAAUAUCUCAAAGCAAUAAAUCCUUGCUAAUCCUCCAAAUCAAGUCAAUGGGGCUUCAAUUUCAACAUACAUAUUCUAAAUGCAUCAAUUUUAUCCCAAAAGCCCUCAUUUGAAAAUUCCCAAAAUAAACCCUACUUUCAUCAAAACUAGAAAUAGGCUGUAACAAAAUACCCAUAAGUCCUCUAAAUUUCAAAAAUUAUAAGCUGUGCGGAAACAUAUUCUGCAACAUUAAGUACCAUUACUCGAAGCUGGGUAUUUGUACACGACCACUGUGUUCUGAUACUAAGUGUCAGUUCUGCAAAACUCAAACCCUGUACAUAGUUGGUUUCUACUGCAUAUGGGUACUCCAAACAUUAAUAUCGGUACUCCCAAACAUCAAUACAGCUACUCUUAGUUUCACAAAAUUCUAGAGUUUACCAACCAGCUUUCUACUAUGUACUAGUACACCACUCCCACUAUCGAUACGCUAUACCGAAACUACAACCUUACAGAUUUUGGUCUUCGAAGUACUUUUCGCGUCGUUUUUGCACCAAAAAUGCUCGUAUGCUCUCCAAACUCGGUAAAAAAACCUGAAUAGUAUUAAAUCCUAUUUAUCUCACUAGAACUUUACAAUUUGCCCAAGUCUAGUAUGCUACACACUCUUUCUCUCUCUACUUUCUUUUUCUAAAGAGAAAAGAAAAUCCUAGACUCCUUUUUUGGAUCUCGGAGCUCCAUCUCCUAGCAAGGUUGGAGAAGGAUAAGAGCACUUGGAGGGAGCCCUAGAAAGGAGGAGACAAGCUUCCCACACUUCAUUUCCCUUGUUGAGAAUAGUAACGGUAAGUUGGUUUCAGAGUUUAAAUUAAAUGUUUUUGUCUUGCCUUGAACGGUGCUAGGAGUUUUUCUAAAUAAGGGUUUUAAAGAUUCUAGCUUGGUUAGAAUUUUCUUUUUAGGACUUUUUUUGGGAGCCACAAGAGCCCAAGGGAUAUUUUCCAGAGAGUUUACAAAUCGAAGUGUGGAACAUCACUAAAAUAGGCUUAAUAUCCCCUUCAUCUAAAGUAUUCCUAUUUCUAUGCAUAUAGCUUAAACUUUCAUGUUAUCUUAGUAGCAUUCUUCAUGAGCAAGUAGAACACUGAAUUACAUGGACAUUCGGACUUAGUUGACAUAGUGUGGCACUUAACAUAAAGGGGAAAUCCAUGGUGUUGAACAUAAUGAGAUAUAGACAAAUUAUAAGAAUUUGAUAGUAAAUGAUAUAUAUAUAAACAUGUGAAUGAAUUCAUAGGUUAACUCUAAUAUUAGUAGUGACCUUCGUCUUGAAAGUUUUGAGGAGAUCUAAAAGUUCAAAAGGAAGCUCUAGAAGGGUGAAGGCAAUCCUCUCAACACAUUUUCCCCAUACUAGGAGGUGGAGAGGUAAGUUGGUAUUUUUAGAAUCUUAUUUUUGAGAAUUUUUCCCAAAUAAUGGAUUUGUGAGGUUUUAACUUUGUUAGAACUAUUUUUAGGAUUUUCUUGAUAUUCUUAAGAGGUCAAGAAAUAUCCCUUCUUGAAAAAUAAAGAGAAUGUAAAGAAUAUCACUGAAAUGGGUCCUUUUUCCUCCUCCUCCUUCUCCUCCUCCUCCUCCCCUCAGCGUGUGGUUGUAUGAGGCCACCAAGGCAACCUAUCCCAUUCGCCUUCCUCUCGGCAAUUGCCUACAAAUAAGUCUGCAUCCAUGCAGAGAGGCUGCAACUUGCUUGCCCCCGUUUUAAAAGGUCUAUUUCGACUAAUAAGAAGUCAUGAAAAAAAAAUUGUAUUACCAUAUUUCUUUAAUAGAUGGGAACCAAUUAACGCCUUUGUUUUCCAUGUGCUGCUAGGUCUUCCUCUAAGGUUCCCACCACUUUACCUGUGCCCGCCCUUUUGUUUUCUCAUUGUUUUCGGUUGGUGGUGCCUGAACUGGUAGCCUUUUCGGCUGGUGACACCUAAGCUUGUUGCUUACGGUUCAAAGGUUGGCUUAAAAAAAAACUCCGCCCUGUGCCUGCUCUCCUAUACCCUCAUUACUUUUGGUGAGUUGGGCGGCACUAUGCUCGCUCUAAAUUAUGAUGUUUUUUUUUUUUUUCCCCCCUAUUUACUUUGGCGGUUUGCCUGGGCUUCUUGAGACUACCGAAUUUGAUAUUUGAAAAGGCACCUCCUCAAAUUCUUAUACUUAGCAAGUUAAAAAAAAAAAACAGGGACACUAAGCCUUUAUACUUAACACAAUAAAAAAGGAAAACAUGCGGGGGUCCUCUUUGGGCCUACAAGCUCUAAUGUUUUUAAACGUGCCUUCUCAAAACCUUAUGCUUAACAAAUAUAAAUUAUGGCAAAAAGACAAGCAUCCAUGCAUCACACUAGGAAUGUCCCUUCUAUUACUUUCGCUAAUGCUCAAUAAAAUGUCCCCACUAUUACUUUCACUUAACAUACUCUGCAGCUGGCUGAGAGCAUGUUUGACAUUUGUGAAUACUUGUGCUUAACAAAUCUUUAUUUUGAAGAAAAAAAGUAGGGAUUCCUUUCAUUAUGUAGCUAUAUGUAUUUUCCUUUGUAUUGAUUGUUUUUUCCUCCAAUUUGCAUCUUGGUGACAAUUACUGAGAUGUCGGUUAUUCAGCUUUCAUAUACUAGACUAGAUUAUUUGAUGAAAUUGCUGGGAAGCUGGGCAUUGAAACGCCCGAGUGCAUUGUAACUAUUGCUACAGAAGGUUGGUUUCUAGCAUAUAUAGACCUUCCAAUUGCGCGUAGUGGGACCGUUAUUGAAAUUGUGCGCAAUUGGGGUCUCCAUCUUUUGAUUACAUAGCGGCAAAGAAAGAUGCAGCCUGUGUAGCUAUUCAAAGGAUGAAAGAUGAGCUCGGUUUGCAAAAAUAGGAUGCAAACUAUGAUGAUUUUAUAUUGUACAAGAGUUUGUAUUCAUAAUAGUGAUUUGCUUGGGCAGUUCACGAAUCUUAGGCGGGAGCACAAUCUUUUGAAAGAUUGUUAUGCUACUGCUGUUUCCGAAAAAGCUGACGCUAUAGCUGAGCAGGUGAAAAUGCAUCGUGAAAUCAACGAUUGUCAUGCGACCAUUAACUGUCUACGUGCUGGCCGAGCUGCUACGGCGGGUGGCCCCUCCGAAGCAGGAUCUACUUUUUAGCUCUAUACUCCGUACCCUUUAGUAUUAGAAUGUUCAACCGCCUUCUUUUGUCCUAUAGAGCCGGUACUCAUGCCUCAACAUAUUUGGUGCUUUUGUCGAUAUGUAAAAUUCGGCAUGUAUGAUUUAGCUUUAAAAAAACUCACGGCUCGCCCAAAAUAGAAAAAAGUAAAAAAAAAAAAAAACCUUUAGUCCGAGUCGUAACGUUCGCUUCCCUCCCCGGACUUUUUUUACAAAAUAACCAUCUAAAAUUUUAUAAUUUGCGAAAUAACUCUAUCAAAUUUCUAUUUGGCAAAUUAACACUUAAAACGCGGUGAAUCAUUCACCGCAUUAUGAAAAGUCUAAGAUCUUUUAAAAGCGGUGAAUCAUUCACCGUCUUCUUCAUGAUUUUUUGGAAUAGAGAAAACAAUGAGGUUGUUAAAAUUAUACGUAGAUUAUACGGGAAAUAAAAAAGGGAAAUAAAAAAAGUGAGGUUGUUAGGAUUGUGUGUGGAAUAUUAGAAUUUUUGUUUGAUUGUUAGAAUUGUAUGGAUAGAUUAUUAAAAAUUUAUUGAUUGUUAGAAUUAUAUGGAUAUAUUAUUAGGAUUUUCAAAUGGUUAAGAUUAUAUAUGAUGUUUGAUUAUUACGAUUGUUUGGAUAUAUUAUUAGGGAGUUCGGCUAUGGUGCUUGUAAAAGUACCAAGCACUUGGUGCUUGUAAAUUUUUUACCGUUAGAUCUUUGCCUUUGAUCAUUUUUACCCGUUAGAUUAUACUAUUCAAUCAACCACCCACUCAACCCUACGGGGUCCACAUUACCCUAAUCGCACAUCCUUUAAUCCAAGGGCCAAAAACUUACAAGCACUAAUGACUUGGUACUUUUAAAAGCAUAGGAGCUCAAUUCUAUUAUUAGAAUUUUUUUGAUUGUUAAAAUUAUAUGGAUAAAUUAUUAGAAUUUUUAGAUUAUUAAAAUUAUAUGUGAUUUGUUGAAAUAUUUAUGUGGUUGUUAGGAUUAUAGAAAGAAAGAAACAAUAAAUAAGUGAAAGGUGGUAAAUGAUUCACCGUUUUUCUGAAAAAUUAAGAUCUUUAUAUAAGCGGUGAAUCAUUCACCAUUUUUAAGUGAUUAAUUUUUUUUAAAUAUAAUUUUGGCCAGGUUGUUUCACAAAUAAUAAACUUUUAAAAGGUUAUUUUAUAAAAAAAAAACCCUUCCCCUCAAAAAAAAAAAAAAAAAAAAAAAAAAAAAAAAAAAAAAAAAAAAAAAAAAAAAAAAAAAAAAUCACUCGGUCAAAAAGUUUUUACCCUAACUUCUCACCCCUGCGGCCCUGCCACCGACUCCAGCCCCCAUUCCUUCCCCUCCCCCUCUUCCCUUCCGGCCGUUCGCCGAACGCCAUCGGAAGCCCCCGCGGGGCCGCGUCGAAGAUCGGGUUCUUCACUCUUCAGAAAUCAGAACCCUCCUCGUCGCCUCUUCCUCUUCCGCUUCAGCUUCAGCUUCCGCUUCCGCUCUCCAACGAUGGAUCAGUAAUCGGGUGGUUCUUCACAAACUAGGUACGAAUCGUCUGAAUUUUUAUGCUUUAGUUUCUCUCUCUCUUUCCUUUAUUUCAUCUUCUCUUAAUUGCUGACUGUAUGGUUCUGAGUAACAAGACCAUGACUACAAAAUGUGGCAUCAUUGUGAACAUGCAUUUAUUAAGAUUCGUUACUUCUUUUUUAUCUUUAAUCUCUACAGCAUACAUGAAUAUUCUAAGAUACCAUAGAUAUUCUUAAAAAAGAAUAAUCAGCAAAUAAGGUUUUAAGACCUCAAAAGGUUGAUAUGCCCAGCAGGUUGUGAGUAAGGUUCGAAAGUCAGAAGCGUAUGCAUUGAUUAAAAACCAAGGGAGAUCUAGCAAACUUAACAAAGGCUAAAAAACAUGGGCGUUAACUGGCAAUACUGUGAAUUUCCGAUGAUUUUGGAGAAAUAGCAAUAUGGAGAUACAGGUUUGAGUUUUCAUUCUUCAAUAAGAAUAUACAAACAUUGUUGAUAAUAUGAUUACAGAAAAAUAAUCUGCAAAACAUAUCUAAAAAAAGAGAAAUCAUCUUACAUUUAUAUGUUACUAUAUAUGUACCUCACUGAAAAAUGAGAAGACCUGAGGAAUAAGAGUUUGAAGAUGUCUAACUUUAAGAUUUCCUGCUCCUAACAUUUGUCUUAGAUUGUGUCAAGCUCCCAAGUGGGAUCAGUAUAGGGAACCUCUCCAUUCCUAUUAAGUUCUUAGUAAACAUUUUUUAUUAAUCAAGAACUACAAAUCUCAUCUUUAGAUGAUUGGAAAACCUUUUUUCUCACUAUUUCUAGGAAAUAAUAAUGCACUGAAACAAAUCCAUGCUUGCCAUUCAGAUAUUAACCCUUGAUAUGUCAAGUUUCUUGAAGAACCUACCAGUCCAUUUAUUAGUUAAAAAUAAUAUAUACUAUAUAUAUAUAGUGUAGUCAAUUGUUAAUUAGUUUCGUAUUGGAUCUGAAUUUUCAAAGAUAGGGCGACUGAAUUUUGGUUUUCCUUGAAGAUGAGAAUUCUUGAUUAAUAUUAUGCAACAAUAAAUCUAUUUCCUCCUUUACAAUCUUAAGAAUUAUGAGUAUUUAUGCUAAUAGCAUAAAUCUUGAGAGAAAAAAAACUUAAUUUAAUAGCCGAAUUUUUGAUCCCGAAUUUUUAAUUGGUGAACGUAUAAUAUCCGUAUAAAUCACGUAUUCGAAUAAUUGGCGAAUCCGUUUUUUAGCCGUAUUUUCAACGAAUUUAAAAAUUAGGAGACGAAUUUUAUCCGAAUUAUACCCGUACCGAAUUUUUGCCGAAUUUGAAUUCUAAAUCUGUAGUUUAAGUUGUACGUAUCCCUGUAAGCUUACUCGACAUGGCAUGCAACGCUUUUCUCAUAAACCUUAAGUAUUAAAACCAAAUGAAAUGUAUUCCAAAUAUUUUUUACUACCUUCCAUUUAUUAAAUAUUUUCUUUACUCUUUUAAUUACUUUUCAAUUAUUUUAAUAUUGUCUUUUUGUUUUCAGCUGCGGUUUAAUAAGUUUUUCAAGAAUUUUAUAUUUUUUUCCCCUUUUUGACCAGGAUUUACAUUCAAAACGAUUAGUUGAAAUUAAGAAUUUGCAUGAAGAGAGAAUUGCAAUUUUGAAAAAGUUAGCAGAUUUUCAGGUUGUUUAUCUUUCUUACUAUCCAACAUUUUUAUUUAUUAUAAUACUUCUUUCUUGCUCAUAAGGAUUUACUGUACACAAUAUAUGAUUACCAGAAUACUUUGAUGGAUCUCAAGAGUAUAGCUUCAUCCAAAGCUUUCCAGCUAUUGAAUGCUCAAUUGCAAAAGUCGAAAGCUAAAAUGGACCAAUAUCAGCCAUUAUUGGAGAAAUUACAUAUUGAAGUUGUCUUUGCAUAUAAAUAGAAUCUUAUAAAGCUUCAAAAUUCCUGGGGGUGCUAUAGCUAAAAACAUUGUUGGCAGUAGAAAAAUGUGGAGCCAAAGAGCUUCAAUGCAUCUAUGACAAUAAUUUGAAGCUCCAGAAACCACAUAUCCCAUAUACCAUAGCUUUGGGACUAGCAAUAUUAAAAUAUUUUAGGAAAAAAUAUUCGAAGACUCCCUCAACUGUAGUCAAUUCGGAAAUAGACCAUCAAAUUUCAUUAUAAGAUCCUUUCAACCUUUUUUUUACUGCGAGGAAUGCAAGCAUUGAGUAAUAGCUGAUGUUUUAAUUGCAGCUUUGAAAGAGGUGAAAAAUUCUCUCGCUGUGCCGAUAUCAAGGAAUGGAUUAAAAGCAGGUAAUAUCACACUAAUAUUUGGAUCCGUUAUUGUUAUUAUACUCUUUCUCAUGAAGAGUUCCUGUGUUUAACUUAUUGAGAAUACUAUCUUUGAGUAAUCAAUUUAUAUUUCUUACGACAUAUUCAUUCUUUUUUAAUGCAUUUUUUAACAUUUCCUUUUAUAGGAUAUUGGACAUUUUCUACCAGCAUUUCCCAAUAAAGUGAAGUUGAGUAUCCCGUACUCUGUUCCUAGCUUUACUCUUGGCAGUUUUGGUGUAAUCACUCAGUUAAGCUACUUUAUUGGUAUUGUAGUUUAGCUCAAUUUACAUUUAUUAGUUUAAUUAGUGAUAUUUCUACGGUUGUUCCCAUCAAGGGAGUAACUUUUACCACACUAGGCUACUGCUUUUUAUUUCUAUUUGACCCAAGUCUUCUUGAUUCUCCAAGCCAUAACUCUACAAUUUUAGGAUGUGUAUGUGUAAUCAUCACCGCAAUGCUUUGGAAUUUUCACUUUAUUAAUCAUAACUUUAUAGUUCUAUAAGGCUGGAAGUUGGAAAAUGAUUUUUAUCUUCCUGUAGAUGCUUUUCUCAAUGCUAGGAAAAUGCCAAAUGUUCUUUCAUUUUUUUUCCUAUUUGCUCAGUAUAUUACUUAUCUUUAGCUCUACAAUAAUAUCUAUCUGCUGUGUAGAGCAAGUAGCGACGCUAUAUUAACUAAAUUUGAAUAGAUUAUAUCUCUAACCCUAAUUUUUUUUUUCGUAGUAUUAAAUAUUCCAAUCCUUAUCCACAAGGUUUAAAGUGCCGUGGCACGGGGGCGUGCUGUUAUGUCCCUGGCACGGUACGGCACAGGCACGCUUGCGUGCCGACACGUGGCACGCUUGCGUGCCGAUAGAUACGCAUGACCUUCUACUGGCACGGACUUCAAAAUAUAAGCUAAUGACUUAAUUUAAUAUAUUUAUAGUAGUGAGUAUUGCAUAAAGCAUACUAACUAAAUUUGUAAUGAUAAACAAUGCAUUCAAAUUUUAAAGUCAAAAUGUUGUUGACUGGCGCAAAUUAAACAUAUUGAGAUGUUAGGUAGUAAAAUCAAAAUUUAGAAAGGUUGGAUAGCUAAUUUAAAAUAAUCCAUAAUUCAAAUAAGUUCCGUACGUUUUUAUGAAAAAAAUGAGAUUAUUGGAUAAAUAUUUCACCUAAAGUUUUUCCCGUAGUUCUCUUAAGUUUUGGUGUGUUGAUUAUACUUGAUAUUAUGCCUCCGUGUUGCAAAUGGAGUGCAAUAGUCUAUUUGCAUUAAAGGUGGGUCAUAUUCGUUGAGCUUCACAAGAAUAACAAUUUGCAGUUAAUAAGUAUGUAUAUAUAAAAAAAGCAAUGAUGAUAGAAAAUUUAAAGUCAACCAGUCUGAUGGUCUAAGGGCAACUCUUGCUUUUAUUAAUUGUUCACAAGCUAUCGAUUUGCAAAAAGGAAAAGGGUGUAUUUUGUGCAAAAAUACUGAUGAAAAUCUAACUAUUUGAGCUCAAGUCACUAAAUCUUUUUUGAUCUCUUUGCUUUUGCUUGCUGCUCAGCUGGCAGUUGUGUAGUAGCUCUGUUCUUGCUUCGUGCUUUUUUCCGUCGUUGAAUUUUUGCUCUAUCAACUAUUCAGUGGAUUAGAUAUAUUUCAUCGCACAACAUCAUGAUGAUAAGUGCAUUUGCAAUUAUUCUAUUCUUAAGUAAUUUAUAUUUUCUAUUUAAAUUUUAAAUUAUUUCAACCUAAAUUAUUUCAGUUUUAGUGCGUUAAGAGCUAUGAUACAUUGAGAAAGACUUCUGACUACACAAGACAAUUAAUGAAAUCCCUCUACACAUUUGAAGAAAGGAAAUUAAAGUUGUAGGAUUUGCGAAAGUUUGUAAAUUAUAACGUACAGGAAUUAGUAAGUUAAUUCUAAGCCUUUUUGUAUUGAUAGAUCAUAUAUUCUCUCAUAGCUAUGACAAAUAUAUUUUUAGACCACAUAUCUAACUAACAUAGAGUAGAGUUUUCCACUAUCAUUUUAUGCAUUGGAAGAGUGGAUUUUGUAAGUGCUUUUAGAUGUUCUGUGUAUUCUAACAAAUGAAAGGUGAUUAUAUAUCAAGGAUUUAAGUGCUGUGGCACGCGGUCGUGCCGGAAACUUGUUGGCACGGUACGGCAUGGUGCGUGCAGAGCCGUGCCGAUGGGUGCCGGUCAAAAAAAUUCUUGUGUGCCGACACAUAAUAGCAUAAAAUAUUUAUUUUCUUUAGCAAUAAAAUAUUCUAACUAUUUAUUAUAUUUUUUUAUCACAUCUUUUGAACUUUGUUGAUAAAAUUACUUACUAAUUUAAAGAAUAGAGGGUUUUGAGCUGUGCCAUCGGUACGGGGUCUGUAUCGUGCCGGUAUCUUGUUGGCACGGUACGGCACGGUAGAUACGGCCCGUGCCGACGGGCACUUAAAACCUUGUUAUAUAUUAUAUAUAUUGAUUAACUUCUAUAAAAUUGAUCCGCCGCAACGCGUGGGUGCCUACACUAGUAUGAUUUUAAAGUCUUUGAUGUCAUUUAACAAUUGUUUGAAAGUAUCUUAAAGAGUUGUGCACCUUGCCUCUCUCAGGUGCGCGUUUGCUUUUUCAAACACCGAUAGAAAUCAUGUAGAUAUGAUGUGUAGUGUAGAUGUCUAGCCAUGAAUACUAUUAUUGAAAAUCCGUCUUGUUUAUCCCACAUUCGAUAAAUGCGAUUUUUUCGUACUCCUUAAUUUUCUCUUGGAUCGCACCUUGUGCGAGUGCGGAACCCAUUAUUCCUAAUGUCGGAAUUCCAUUUUACAAUGUAAACGGCAUUGAGAAUCAUACUUAUUUUGCUUCAGUUGAUAUUGAUAUAUAGAUUCCGAAGGGAUAAACAUUGGCCACAUGAUAGAGAGUGAUGAGAUGGUGGGGGCAAGUAAGAAUGGCAUGGGAACGUCAUCUCCCCACGUAGAGAUACUCAUACCGCCAUGGUGGGCAGAGGCGGCAGAGGCUAUUGCUCGCGCCGCUUCUCAGCCACCGGUUGCCUUCAUCUGCGGCCCUAAGAAUAGCGGGAAGUCUACAUUCUCUCGAUACCUUCUCAACAUUCUCUUGGAAAGGUUCUUGUCUCCUUCUCCUCACUGUUCCUAUUUAAUAGUCGUAUUUAUUCUCGGUUCUUUCGUUCUUGUGGAUCAGUAAAGAUUUGGGAUUGUGUGUAGGUAUAAGAGAGUAGGCUAUUUGGAUACCGAUGUGGGGCAGCCAGAGUUCUCUCCUCCUGGUUGCCUCUCCCUUCAUAUUAUUGGUGAAAAUAUACUAGGUACAUUUGUUUCCUGUUCUCUUAGUUUUUGGUUCUUUAUUGACUUACUGAGAAUUUGUGGAACCCGUGCUAUACUUUCUUUUAAUUCUCAUUUAUUGAUUCUCUUUUAGAUUUGAUGAACACAAGUCUAAAAACACCUGAGAGGUAAGCUUUUGUUCAUUCCUCUUGUUUUCUGUGUUUCUUCAAAAUAGAAGAUUUUCUUAGAUCAACCAAAAAAAUCAAAUUGGAACUCUUCUAUUAAUUUCAUUGGACUAAGUUGGAAGUUCAGUUCUAUUCAUUUGGGGAGCCAAAAUAAUUUGGUUUUUGGUGUCCAAUUCUUUAGAUAGACAUCUAAAGAAUUAGAUAGACAUCUAAAGAAUAUGUUGCAAGUUACAGUUUAGAUGCCAAUUUAACGAUUGUAGACUUGUAGUGCUUAAACACUAUAAUGAUUAUUGUACAUCUCUUGGUUAAAAUUCCGAUAGAUUUUAGGUUCAAAAGUCACCCUAAGGAAUGGGCUCAAGCCAAUUUGAUAGCUGACUUGAGAUUACUCCUUAUGUUAAACUGGUUUCCAUGGUUUGUUUGUUCCUUCAAUUUCAAAAUGACAAACCAUUACUUCAAUUGAAGGCCAUUUUCCUUACAAGAUCAACGAAACUUACCAAUACAUAUCCCCUUGUUAUUCUUUUACCUGUAUUUCUGCAAUUAUACAGCAAUAUAAUUUCUAUGUAUGAUGCAUGAUUAGUAUACUUCUUUUUAGCACUUCAGCUAAAGAUUUAAAGGUUAUAGUAAUUGCGUAAUUAAGCUGAUCGAAAUCUUGAUUUAUGUCCUUUGUUUCUAAAGUGUUCCGUUGGGUUUGUUCAUGGUCCCUAUGCUGGUUUAGUUUUGAUGCUUAAAUGAUCAAGUUUGAUGUUAGAUUGAGUCAUCUAGAGUUAUCCAUUGAGGCAAUAUAGUUCUUGCUUGUGUAGUGACAAAUACUAUACAAUUUGCUGCUGAUAUUAUGCAUUCUUUGUGAAUAUUACUUCCGGUUUGCAUGUGUGGUGGCAACCAAAGCGGCUCGUUUUCUCUUGCAGGGCAGUAUUCUAAAACAACUGCAAAUAUUAUUUUAAGUUCAGCGACUUCAGCCCAGCUUCUUAUAUCAGGAAUUAGCUACUUCUAUCAUUCACGUUCCAUAUAAUUGCUUCGGUAAAUCUAUAGGCCUAUAGCUUAGAGUAGAGAUAAGAGAAAUGAAUGUUUUAACAGAUGAUACUCUGCUAGGUAGAACAUAGAUCAAUUUCAAGACUAGAUUUUACUCCUCUAUAGGUGUCAUUGUGUUGAUGAAUUGAUAAUUUAUUGAGAUAAUGCUCUUCGUCAUAUAUUCAUUAGGAGAUUCAUAUCACUGUCUUGACACAUUCUGCAAAUAUUUUACUUUUUCUACUCAAAAUGGCAAGAUCGUCGCCAAGCAGCUAGGGUUGGGAGUGUGCUAGGGACUUAAAGAUUCUUGGUAAUGAGGAACAUUAUUUCUUGUGAAAGUUGCAUUACCAUCUGGUAUGGGAUUGUCAAAAUUCCUCCUAUCUCAUGGUAAUGUAAGAUUCCUGUGAAUGUGGAAUUGAGGAUAGUUUCACCUCUUCCUAGCAAGCCCUUUUACUCCUCCUGACAUAAUUUCACAGUUGCAAUCUGGCUAUUUUGACUAGAAAGUAGAGCAUUACUGUUGCAACGCCUCUUUGAUCUAGUAAUUAGAGAGGACUAGGAUAUAUGUGAUAUAUUUCUGAGCUUAGAGAUUCCUAUUUCUACAUUGGCAUUAAGGGCUUUAUGGAGGACUUGAAAAAAUUUCAAAUCUCGAAAGGCGAAAGGGAAAACAGGGAAAAAAAUGUUGAGUAUGACAAAUAAAUGUAAUUUAUUCACUAUUUAGUGCAUUUGUGUUUCUUUUAUUUAAUACUGGAGAAAUCAUCACCUAUGAAGUAUGAAACAUGGUACCAUUAUAGCACUCUUCCAGUUCCCUUUCUCCCCUUCCCACCUUUAUGGGUCCAGUAGUGAUUAGUGAAAGGAAAAAAAAGAGAGUUGAAUUCGCAAAAACCCAUUGACCUUUUCCUAGUUGCCUUAUGACCCAUUAACUUUAAUUUGGUGCAAAAAAAAGAAAAGCAAAGAAAAAGCUAUAGUUCCAUUGUAAUUUGGCUCAUAAAGCUUUAUUUAUCGCUAAAAAAUACCCAUCAUCUUAUGUUGUUAAGUUUGAUUUGAUGCGAAUAGCAACAUUUUGUCUACUAAGGUUUAUUUGUUAUAAAAAUCCUGGCCAGUGCAUUACUUUAUGUAGUGACAUCAGAUAAAAGUGAAGCUUCUCUUGGCAAAUCAUGCUUUAAGUCUCAAAUUGAAAUGGUAUAUAAGGUGUUAGGUUUUCUCGCACCAAAUUAAACUUAGCGGGAUGAAGUGUAAUUAGGGGAAAUUUGAUUUUUAUGAUCUAAAUCCCGAAAAAAAGAGGAAAAAGGAAAAUCAAUAAGAUAGAAAUUUAAAUAAACAUAAAAAUUCUAGAACCCUCGAUCAUUAGAAGGUGUUUGAUGUGUGGAUGAUCUUUCAGUGCCCAUUUGGUUUGGCUUUUGAAACAAUUUCUCUAGUCCGAGUAAUAGUAGUCACACAUUCAGCAAGCAAAAAGGUUGGAGCUUUUGAUACAAUGAGAAGCUAAAAUGUGCUUAUGAGCACUGAAACAGAAACUUUAGUUUCAUGUUUGUGUAUCUAUUUGAGGAACUGUUUUCUAGGAGCUUUGAUGAAAUAGCUGUUAGUGCUUUUGUUUGCUUCGCUGCUCAAUGCUGGGCAAAGAUCUCGAUCGCAACACUCGCUGCAUCAACUUCAGCCACCUCCACCAGGGAAGAAGAAGGCGUUCGCUCUGUCUCCGAAGGGCAGAGAGAAGCUGUCUUCGAAGGGCAAGGAGAAGGAAUUCGCUCUGGAGUACACUUUGCCUUCGAAGGGCAAGGAGAAGCUGAGCAUCGGACAAACAAAGGGCAAGGAGAAAGUUAGCAUCGAACAAAAGCCGGCAGGGACAACGUAUUCCCUCCGACCAGGCGCUCCUUCAAGCUUUCUAACAGGCCCGGAAAAACUAUAUUCAUCAUAUGAAUCUGAAUUGAGAUACUCAAGUAUGCUCUUCUGUCAAUGUUUGGUAAAAUAUAUGCAUACAAAUUGGGCUUAGGUCAAAUAAAACACCGAGCUGGACUUUGGAAAUAUGCCAAUCGGGCUUUAGGUUACAAGAUUCUUGGCUACAUAUAUACAUUAUUAGUUCUGAAGUUUGUCAAAGGUUUGCAAAGCUUGGUGGUUAGCGUUUUAUGUUUAUUCUUUGUUCCAAAGUUCAAAGCCCCAGGUAUUAAAAGAAAAACGUAGUUUCCCCCCCCUUUGCCAUUUACUGUAGUCCCACAUUGGCCGCACUCAGGCAUAGAGAGUGUUUUCCAAUAUAUUUAAAGGAUCUAUGCUUGAGCUGCUAUCAAUCAAGUCUAUGAGUAGUUAGCAACUCUUGAGAAUUACAGAUUAUAGAUAAUUGAAACUCUAUAUAUCAAAUUUUGAGUAACUCUUGAGAAUUACAGAUUAUAGAUAAUUGAAACUCUGUAUAUCAAAUUUUGUGUAAUUUGGAUCUGUAUCCAGUUUUGAAAAUACUAAUAACUCAUUGAUCAAAUUUGAGUUUGAAUCAAAUUAUGGAGUAGCUAAUUUAUCAGCUGAAAUGGGCUCUGACUUGAUAUCGAUCCAAGUGAGGUCCGAUAUUAUCUAAUCCUUUAGCCCCCCGGAAAUCUUAUUAAAUGCCAAUAGGUGUUUGAUGUGUGAAUUAGUAAGGCAGUCAUGUCUUAUAACAUGUAGAAAAUCUUAUGAAAUGCCAAUAGAAAAGUAUUACCACCUUAUUUUAUUUAAACCAAAAAGUAGUUGGGAAAAUGAACAGCUGUGUCUUGUUCUAAAGUUGUCUUACUCUCCACUUGGGAUUGUGGGAAGAGUGCUGUGUGUGUGGUGAGAAAGUAUGAUAGGAAAAUAGUUUGUAUAUUUGUGUAAAUAAUAUUACAUUGGGCAUAUUGCAAGAGUUGGUUAAGAUAUAAUUUAUGGGGUCCGAUAGGAAGAUGGAGAAGCAUAUCUCUAUAUGCUUUCGAGCAGUGUUAUGCAGCCCUCAAUACCAAAUUGACCCUAAGAAAUUGAGACAAUAAGAGAUGAAUGAAGGAAACAAAGUAGGAAAGCCAAAAUCCAAAGAAAAAGAGGCCCAUUACAGGCUCAUAACAGGGCCUUCAAAUGACAAGUGUUGCACAUUAUUGAAGGUGCCAGAGGCUGCUUCACAAUCUUAAGCAAUUUGGAGUGAAGGGAAUCGUAUUAAAGCGGUGUGUUAUAAACCUUUUCGUGCUGAUAUUGCUUAUUUUUCAUUUUAUGUGCCACCAAUUUCACUGUAUGUAAGGUUAAAACUGAGCCUGGGGCAAUAGCAGAGUAGAUGGGCAGUGCUGGUCUAGCUAGAAUAAGUGCCUAGGUCAACUGCCUAGGUGCCUAGAUUGCACCUUUUACAACACAGGUUGGUCUCUUGAUGUAACUUGCCAUCGUCUUCUGCAAUGGAAUGUAGAAAAUUCAGAUCUUGAUUUGUGUGUGUGAAUGUUGGCGCUGGUUGAUAAAUCUAUUCAGCUCUCAUAAUGUUCGCAUAUUUGAGGAAACAUAAGCAGUUACAUCAGUAAUUAUUCGAUCUUUCUUUUCUAUACCAAGUGAUCCUCUAACUUAGGAGCCAUUAGAUGUAAUAUCUCUUAGAAAAGCAUACCUCAACCUAGAACACAAAAAUCUCUAGUCUGUCACUGUCAGAUGUACAUUCUCUUGAGUAGAAGUCACGUGGAAACCCAUUUUAUUGAACGCCUUUUUUUUUUUUUUUUUUUUCCUGGAUCUAUCUUAAAUGUUUGAUGAAAUUUCUAUUUUGGAUUUGCCAUACUCCUAAGUUGUUACUGCAAAUGUCAUCCAGUAUUCUUUGGCCAGCUUCUUGUUUUUGCCUAUUGCUUUGUGAUUCUCCAGUGUGGGAAAUAAUAGUUUGUCAUCUUCUUAAUUUCUUUCAGGUGUUUCUUCUAUGGUGAUAUUUCAUCAAAGAGAGACCCAGAAGCGUAUUUAAAUUAUGUUUUCAACUUAUAUGAUUACUUUCUCAAGGAGUACUGUUCCUAUAAUGAAACCGAAAAUACUGGAAAUUCAAUGCCACCUUUAAUUAUCAACACUCCUGGAUGGAUGAAAGGUACUAUUACAUUGCUUGGCAUGGUAAUGUCAAAAAAAGAAAGUUUACAACUUUACAUAGCAUAAAUAUAAUACAUGCUUUUAAACUGAAGAGUCGAACUCUUCUGUCUGUUGCAUCUGUUCUUCAUCAUCUUUCUAUUUGAUCAUGUUUGAUACCUACUAAAUAUCAUAUUGCUGUGAACUUUUUCUUAUGGCUUUCCUUUCCUAUUCAGGUACUGGUUUUGAUCUUUUGGUAGAGAUGUUGAGAUAUAUCUCUCCCACUAUGGUGGUUAAAUUAUGUAUCUCAACUAGGAGUAAAAAUCUUCCUAAUGGAAUGUUUUGGUUUGAUGGUGAACAAAAGGGACAAACUGUUGUUAUUGAUGUUUUUUCCGCACAACAAGACUCCUUAAAUAGAUCGUAAGUAUGAAAUGUAGACCUUUCUCUAGUAAAAAGUAGAUUCUUGAGUACAUAUAAAACCAAAGUAUAUGUUAUAUUAUUCAGUUUUAAAUUUGAUGUUUUCUUGUUAAUUUUCUGGCUGGAUGUUUUCAAAGGUGAUAAUAAAUAGCAAGUAUUCAUAAAUAGUUAACUAUAUCAUGUUAAUGAUGUUAGUCAGAUGUUACUUUCUGAUUCCUCUUUUCACUUGUGAGAUUUACAUUCUUAAGUAAAAAAAAAAAUGAUAUGCUUUUAGUGGAUGCUGGGGAGAGAAUUUUUGCGUUUUCUCACCAAAAGAUGAAUGGUUCCUCAUGGAACAACACUACCGUUGUGUUUCUAUAUGCUUAGGAACCUUCUCAAACUCUUGUGGAAGGUAUUGAAAUUUAGGUCUGCCAACUAAAGAUUUGGUUAAUAUGGAAAUUUCACUACUAACUUAUAGCUUGAAGGUGUAGUUUGAAUUGUUUCUGGAACGGUUAAUGGUAAAUAGAAACUAUGCAAGGUCAUGUUCUAAUAGAAUGAUGAUACUUCCUGUUCUGUUUCUCCUCUUUAUUAUAAAAUGCAUUACUAUAUUGUGGUUUUGCAUGAUGUUAUAUACCAACACUUCAGUAAUUUUUAGGUGAGAACAUGGGUUAUUUCACAUGAAGAUCUGCAAUAUAUUUAACUUUUAUCUAGUUUUCUUUUCUUCUGUAGGGUUUUGAUUCAGAAGGAUGUACGUGGUUUACGUGACCGUCGUCUUUUUGAAUAUUUCAAGCAAUGUUUUCCAACUGAUACGAAUAUUUCAACAAAUAAGGAACUUGCCUAUGCCCUGGCUUCUCUCCCUCCUUAUAUACUGCCAUUUUCGAAAGUUAAAGUUAUGCAUCUUCACUGUCAGGUCAGUCAAAAUAGUUGUGGUUUACAUUUUUCAGAUUUUGAAACAUUGGUUUACAAUUAAUUAUUAGAACAGGAUUCUCUCCUGUCAUUGAUGUUAUUGCUUACUUCUUGGCUGUUGUAUACUUUGUGUCCAUUGCGCAAUGUUGAAUCCUUCAUUCCUCCAUUGCAAUCUUCCAUCAAUCACGUCAUCAGUUCAUGACUAUGAAUUUUUUAGCGACUGUCUUUCAUCUUUAUCCUUUGAAAGGAAAACCUAACUAAUUCUUGCAAUGAUUUGAAAGUACUGAAUGGCUAGAAACUUGAUUGUUACCCACUAGAUUUUUUUUAAUGAUGUCAAAACAGUAUUAUUUUUUAGGAAAAACUUUAAAUAUCACUCCCGUGGUUUCGCACUUUUUCACUUUAGUACCCUAUGGUUUAAAGUGUACCCUAUGGUUUUAUUUUUCUCUUUUUGUUAUCCCCUCCACUAAUUUUUUUGUUAAAUAAGUGACAAAGUUAAAACUAAAGGAUAUUAAAGUGAAUAUUCAAUAAACUAAAAGUGGGGUAUCUGAAGUUUUUUAUAUAUGAUUUAACGAGUUAACGGAGGGGUUGACAAAAAGAGAAAUAAAACCACAGGAUGCUAAAUUGAUACACUUUAAACCACAGGGUACUAAAGUCAGAAAGUGUGAAACCACAAGGGUGGUAUUUGAAGUUUACCCUAUUUUUUAAGUUGGACCAAAAGUUGUACUCAAUUUAUUAUUUUUCUUGUGAUAAUUAUCAAACUUGCUGGAUUGUCAAUUUUUUUUUUUUGGAAACUAGGAUUCUCUUGAGCAAUCUAGUGCCUGUGUGUUCACCUGUUUCUAUAUUUGAACUUUAAAAGAACUUUUUUGGUUUACCAUUUUGCUUAUGAAGCUUUUGGUGUUUGUUAGGUCCCAAGUAAUGAAAUAUGGCACAGCCUGAAUGCUACUAUUGUGGGCUUGGCAGUUAGUACUGAUGGAACUGUAAUGAGUCGAUCCACACCUUGGUGUGUUGGGCUUGGUACUCUCUCUCUCUCUCUCUCUCUCUCUCUCUCUCUCUCUCUCACCUUGGUGUGUGUGCAUGUGUGCUCACGUGAUAUUUGUAUAUCAGUAUUGUUUUGUUAAGACAAUGUUUGUCCCUACUAAUUUUUCAGUGGGACAGAAGUCAGGAAACGGUAUUAAUUUGUAGAAGAAUCCAAAUUGGUUGAAAUUUUGUUGGAAAAUUCAAUUUGAUAUCUAGAUGAACAUAAACAAUCCUGAUCUUGAAUUCAAGAGUCUUAUCAUUGAUUUUCUAGGUUGUUUGAUUUGAUUGCACCUUUUGCAGCUAAUUAAUGCACUCGAAACUAUUAAUUUUCUUAAAUCAUAAAACUUUUUUUCUAGAUACUUCAAAAACUCUACAAAACAAACAAGGACAAAGGCUUCCAUCCUCUUAGUAGUAGUUGGAUUUGGUUAUGUCCAUGCCAUCGGCAUGGAAGAUUUGAACCAUUUCUGUACCUUGUGGGCACCGUACGUGCCAUCUCAAGUCACACGGUUGACAUGUCAAUCCAUGCUAUCAGUCACAGGAAUGCCUUUUCCCGUCAGCUUUCUCUUUGAUAACAUCCUCCCAUAGAAAGGCAAUCACCUUUUCUUCCGUUUCUAGCAACUUUUGGAUCUUCCUCUCCUACUUGUAGUACUUGCCAUUUAAGUUGAAAAUUUGAAACAAAUAAAGCUAUAUUGGGCAGUAAAUCUGGAAGCACAAUGAAGAAGAACAAAUCACUCUUUGCCAGUUAAAGGUGGGAAGGCAAACCAGUCAAAUUGCAGAUUGCCGGUUUCUUUCUCUACGUUUAAUAGACUUCAUUCAUGCCUAUACAUCUGAAAUGAAAUCUAGGUUUCUUCCCUUCUAAUCUAGUCUACAACUUGAUUGGAACUUGAUUAGUGCAAAAGUAUAUACUGCUCACUGAAAUACAUAUAAUUCAGGUAUCGUCAGAGGUGUAGAUGUCACUGAAGGUCUAUUAUAUGUGAUUACUCCUGUUCCUCUUCACUAUCUUCGAAGUGUGGAUCUUCUACUACAAGGCUUUGUUGAAGUACCGACUAGUCUUUUGCAGGUAAUUAAUUGAAGUACCGACUAGCGUUUCCUCUCUUUGUUAUGUAGCACAUUUGCAGCUUGUGGUCUAAUGAAUUAGUUGUGUUUAUUCUAUAUGGUUAUGCAAGCACGCCAAGCAACAUACUUUUUCUUGUCGAUGCUUUGUGAACUAGAUCUUUCUUGCAGUUCGUUCGAACUAAUCCUUCUUACAAUUUUAUGGAGGAAACUCUGUUUUUAACGACAAACUUUACAUUAUGUACCAUAAUUCUCUUCUACUAACAAUAGACCUUUCUUUCCAGGUGCGCGGAUGUGUUUCCCCUUACAUGUCUACUAAUGUGCUGCAUAGGAUAUCAGAUAAGGAUUUAUAGGAUAUCAAGAUGGGGCUGUAAAAACAGCAGCAAAUGCAACACUCAGAGCAGUUGAAAGGGGGGGGGUGGGGUGCAAAUUUUGAGAGCACUGUUAGAGGGUUGCGUCUCACUNUUUUUUUUUUUUUUUUUUAAUUAUUAUUAUUAUUAUUAUUAUUAUUAUUAUUACCCGGUUCUUAUGGAGUGCUGCCUCUAAGUUAAUUGGUAAAUGUUGAGACUUCUCUGAUCAGGAUUUUGCUGUUUGAUGUAAAUUAACAGUCCCAAUAUAUGCUUUAUGUACAAGGAGGGUUAUUUUGGGAAAGUUCAAAAUAAUUUCAGUUAGUGUUUCCGUGUACAAUGUUAGGAUGCAGUUUUCAACGAGUAAUUUGAUUCCGAUGUGGGUUUGUGUGUGGAAUGGCAGGUAGCAUUCUGUUUUCUCUUCAAUUUUUCUUUUUCAAUUUUUUUUUUUCUUUUGAAAAAUUUCUCUUACUUGUAGACACAGACACCCACCGCAGUCCACAAGAAUAUUAUUGAAUGUUCUCUGGAGGUGAACUUCUGUUUGAGCGUUUUUUUUUUCCGUCCUUAAGAUUGAGAACAUUCCUGUAAGCAGUAUUUUCUGUUUUCUUAUUUUCUUCGACUGUAAAGAGGUUAUUAUUUUACGCAAACCUGCGCCGGAGAAGGCUGUAUAUGUGUGAAGUAUAUGUGUGAAAGCUUGCUCGACUAAGAUUCGGAGGCUUGGCAAAAAGAUGGAAGUUCAAAACACGGUUUCUGCGUUGCUUAUGAAUAUCAUAUUUCCUAUAUUUUCUUAAAUAAGAUCGGUAUCACAAUUUAUGUUCGCUCAUGUUAAUGGUGGGUGGUUCCUGAAGGUGCUUCAUCCCUUUCAUUAUUUUGGUUCCAGUUCAGAAAAAUCUGGCGAAAUUUGUGUUCCUAAUUUUAUUUUAUUUUUUAACUAGGGACUGAUUAUAGUCGCCCAGGUGGAAGAUUAUUGAAUUAAAGUAUGCCACUGUUAAAAUUGUAUUUGGUUGGGGAAUAAGCUGUUGGUUGUUCUUGGAAAAGCAACAGUAUCGGUGCGUCCUAUAAUGGGUAUAUAUCCUACACUUUAUCGAUUCAAUAGGUGGGGUAUUUUAUUAGUCACUUCUUUAUCCAUCCAAUAGGUGAGGUUUUUUAUUAGUCACCUCACGUGACUAGUGAAUUUGUUCAUCUCUUGGAUGGAUUGGGGCCGCAGUGUUAGACAGUAUUUCUCAUCUUGAAAUAGGUGGAACUUCUAAAAUAAGUAAAGAGCCAAAUCAAUUUUGUAUUUGCAUGAGAAUUGGUUUAUUUCUAGAAAUUAAAAGAAGUGCUUGGGUGAAGUUCAGUACUGAUGUUCUCAACUUCAAUAUCACUACUUGGGUGAAAUUUCACAAGUCCUGAGAGUUCUUCAAGCCAACUCAUAGUUGAAUACCAAUACUCUAAUUUCAGUAUCAAUAGUAACAGCAGAACUAUAGUUUUGCACAUUUUGCCUUCUUUUUCAAACACAAUCAGGAUCAUCAAAAUAGUAUUAUUACUAGUUUACUUGAGCUUCGCUAUUUACAAAAGUUUAGUGCAUUACAGAGCAUCCGGAAAGAAAUAUGCACUCGAUGCAAGAGAAUUGAACAAUUUCGAGCACCCGAGGGAUUUGCCAAAUGUCUAAAAGUCUAGAUUUCACUCAUUGCGUAUCCAAACUCUUCCAAACCUGUAGUACACUGAACUUGGGCAAAUUGCGAAGUUCAAGUAUGGGAAUGGUAAUUGAAAUCAUUCUACAUCUUUUGAAGGGUUGUCGUGGGGUUUUCGGCGAGUUAGUGGAGCGAUCAAAUGCUCGGAAGUGCAAAAGUGCAUUGCAAACUGCAAUUUCUGCACUCUGCAUUGAGUACCGGUACGAGUGUGAUGGGGUACCGGUACCUAGCAGCAGCAACUGCGUGGUAGCAAGGCUAAUUUGGUCUUUUCACUGCCAAAGCUUAUCCCUAAAAGCCCAGCACAAUCUCUGCAGCUGGUUAGAAGGUGCUGGAGCAUAGAAGAUCAGGUUUAAACCCUUCUCUUUCUCUCUCUCUAUGUUUUCUCUCACCUAGAGUAGGAAACAAGUGAUUUGAGCCUAUUUCUCUCCCUCUUUUGUUACUAGCUGAAUUGGAGAGCUUGGAGCAGCUGUGGAGGAGAGGAAAAGUAGUCUUGAGAGUGGUUUUUCGCCACCCUAACUCAGUAGGAAGCUGGAUUAAAGCUUGGUAAGAUAAGCUAUUCAACUUCUUUGUAGUGAAUGCCAUAGAAGUGAAGUUGAUGUUGGUUCUUUGCUUUUUGUCGCAGCCGGUUUUGGAAGGUGCUUAGUAGUAGUAUAGAAGAGGUGUUUUGCUGAGUUUCAGCUACCCUGAACCAGAGAAGAAGCUGAAGUGAAGGUUGGAAGGUGAUUAGCUACCUACUUUCCUUGUUUUGAUGCUAUACUAGGUGUAUAGAUGAAAGUAAUGAGGCAGUUUUUUGGAUAUGUUCACAGCAGGUUUAUUAACCACUUUGAGCUGAGUUUAGUGACUCUUGUGAGCUGAUUUCAGUGUGCUUCAACCUGAUUUGAGGUGGAGUUCAAGUUGGAAUCCUAAACUAGGUAUGAUUCUACCUAGAUUAGAUGCUUAGGAGAAAUUGUUUAGUAAAGGUUGAAGUCAAGCUUCCAAUUUAAUUAGUAUGUUUACUAGGGUGCCUGGAGGCUGCGGAUUACUUUCGCUAGCAGGAUCGACGAGAGUCGACGUGCUUUUGGUGGGUUUGACCUCACCGAAAUGGAUGAAUUCCCCCUAUGUUCUUAUCUUUUGGCAUAGAACUAGAAUUAUGCUUAUGUGUCGCUAUUGGCGUCAUAAGCGAGUUGUUGGAUGUAAUAGUUGUAUUUACAUCAUAUCGCUGGUUAUACUCUAUUUGGUAGAGAGCUAUAAAGGUUAAAUUCCUUGCAUGAUAACACAUAUCAUUGUGUAGACAAGUCGUGAGUGAAUGUACUAUGCUUGAAUUAGCAAGAAUGACAUGUGGUUUUAUAUCCUAAUGGUUGUUAUAUAUGUAUAGAACAUAUGAAACAUGUAUUAGAAUAUGAUCAAUAUACUUGGGUAGACAAGUUAAACUUGACAUCCUAUUGACGAAACUACCAUGUACUUCAUGUUACUAGCUAUGCUUUAGUUGAUAACUAGCAUUUGUUAUCAUAUUUAAAUUCCGACCUAUAGGUCGGUAGAGGACAUUCUGUGUUGAGACAUGACGAUUGAGGAACUUGUAUUAUGGAUCAUGCUUGCUUGCCAUUGUGCUCAUUCGCACAUGCUUGUGAGGGUCGCUCCCCACAAGCUGGCACUCCGGAGUUGGCCUACGCGAUAGAUUGCUCGCCCCUGCAGGAUUGGGUGCCGAAGUGGAUUGCCGCGGGGAGUGUAAACUACCACGGGGCCAUUAGGCGCGGCGCAAGCUGGACUACCUUGUGUAGCUCAUGAAUUGAAUCAAAAUCCUAAAUUGUGUUGAGAUAAUGGUCACCACUAGAUAAUGUGUAUUUACAAGACGAAAUGACAUGUUUACUUAUGUAAAGUAGUUACUUUGCUUACUGCAUAAAAGUGAUUACAUUGGAAAUAUAGUUGUAAGAUCAUUGCUUAUUAUCUUUGUCAUUUCUAUCAUGUAGCAGUUAUACUUACUUUUCUUUAUGCAUCAUGAACCUAGUGGUAUAAUUCGCUGAGGUCGGCGGCUUACCAACUGGGAACUAUUGUUUAAUAGUUCUCACGCUCUCUUUGUUGUUAUUGUGUUACAGAGCUAUCCAUUACGGGAGAGGCUAGGGAUCGCGGCAAGGGAGUCGCGUCUAGCUAGACAUAGCUUGGAGCCCCGCUAGGUAAUCCCCUCGCUGCUUCGAUUUUGUCGACGAGGGUGGUGUGUACCCUGUAUAGAGAGACUACCACUUGUAUUUUGGGCUGUUUAGUGAUUUUGGGUUAUACAUAUGUUGUUAGAGCGUUGUACUAUAUAGUCUUGUGUUUUUACUUUCUGUUGAUCUUAGUGGAGUUUUAUACUACUUAUUCUCUAGCUGCUAGAACUUUCUGUAUAUUCUAUGCUCUGAUAUCAUGUUAGAUUAUUCUACCGAUUAUCUCUUUUCUGACAUGAUUUUAGUAGACGCCUUGUAUGCUGUAGGUAUAUGGCGGGUCUGUACAUGUAUCGGAUAUGCUUCCGCUGAUUCCCAGGCGUGACAAAACCCUUGUUCAUGCUAGUUUUGAUCCGAAUCAAAUCCAAAGCAUCUCAUGCUCAUCCAAAAGCUUUUAAAUAGUAUCAAUAGUAAUUUAUACCGGAACUUCACUAAUUUGCAAAAGUUCAUUAUGCUAUACUUUGGCCCAAAUCUUAGGUUCUGACCAAUUUAUUUUCAUGACAUUUUAGUAAUCUGUAGACUUUGGCUCCUGACAUUUAAGUAAUCUGUAGACUUUGGCUGAAAUCUCAGGUCCUUUAGAUUCCUUUCAAGUCGAGAGUCCAUCGAACCUGUCUGCUCAAGUUCGGCCAGAGCUAGGUGGCCGAUUACAUCUCUCCGACAUUUCAGUCGUCUGCUGACUUUGACUGAAAUCUUUGAUCCCUAUAGUUCCUUUCAACCAAAAGUGAACUAGAUCCAGUCCAUCCAAGUUUGGCCUGAGGUAAACAGCCGAAUAUAGCGUGCUUUCAUAGAGGUCAAGUCACAACCAAGAACCCAAGCCGAAAGCUUCCAUUUUCUUCCAUUGUAUUCAUUUUCUUUGAAUCAAUAAUAACAUUUUUUUCGGCUUCUCUUUGGCAAACAUGCUUAUUUAAUUUAUGUAAAAUUUUUGAGUAUUUGAUGGUAACUCUUUAACCCAACAACCUCCAAUUAACCUAAAGUGUUCGGAUUUAAGUAUUUUCAUUAGUGAUUUAGACUAAGGACACACUUGUUACAGGUUUAAAGUAGGUAAAAUAUUAAUCCUAUAAAAUUUUUACUCUAUAUUAAACUGUGUUUGGUUCGUUGGCGUUAACUUUUAAGAGAGAUAAAAAUUUCACCUUCCUUUAAUCUUCAACAAUCAAAAUUUGUUUUUUUUUGUUUGAGAGAUUAGGUAGCACGCUACCCGCUUUGUUUAUUUCAUUUAAAAAUAAACUUAGCUAGAAAUAUAAAUCAAUUAGGGUUCGAACUUGGGACCUCCGGUACCAACCACCAAGCCCUUUUCCACUUGCUCCAGGGGCGGUCGGUAACAAUUCAAAUUUGUUAAUGUGCAUGGACUAGGGUAAAAGAAGGUAAAUGAUAUAAUAUAUGAAAAAGUGAUAAAAUUUUGAUCCUCCUUAUAUCAUUUUCUUCACUUUCUAUUUUCACUUCCUCUCUUAAUUUCUCUCAGCUUACUUUUCUCUUUUUAUUUUCUCUCUUUAUUUUCUCUCUCCUUAAUUUGUGGCUCUUUAUUUUCUCUCUCUAAAUUCUCUCUCUUCACUCUCUCCUUAAUUUCUCUCUCUUAAUUUCUCUCAUCACUUUCUCUCUCUUUACUUUUCUCUUUACUUUCUCUCUCCUUUAUUUCUCUCUCUUCAAUUUCUCUCUUUCAUUUUCUCUUUCUUUAUUUCUCUCUCUUUACUUACUCUUUUAUCUUCUCUCUAUACUUUCUCUCUUAUUUUCUCUCACUUAUUUUCUCUCUUCUCACCUUCUCUCUCCUCAUCCCUUCUCUCUUAUCACUUUCUUUCUCAUUAUUUUUUCUUGCUUUACUUUCUCUCUCAUUUUUCUCAUUAUUUUAUCUCUCUUCAGUUUCUCUCUUUUCAUUAAUUAGUUGCUCAUUUUUUUUCUCUUCUCACUUCCUUUUCUUUACUUUUUAUGUCCCUAUUUUCCCUCCCUCACUCUAUCUCUCUUUACCUUCUUUCUCACCUUUCUAUCUUUUAUUUCUAUCCCCUCUUUUGUUUAUUCUCACUUUCUCUCUUUCUUCACUUUCAUUCAUGAAAGACUCAAAUGUCGUUACAGAAAAAAAAAAGAAAUAACCGAAUGGGGCAGUAAACGGGUAGGUGGAGCUCCUGCACCGAUCCGCCCUGAAUGGGGCAGCAAACGAGAAGAAAUAAAGGAAUUUGGGACAAAAAGCGACAGAUUUAGGGCAAGAAACAAAAAAUUUUUGACCCACUCCAAAUUCGCCCCGAAUCCGCUCCACCAUGAUCCGCCCCGAAUCCGCCCCACAUUGAUCCGCUCCGAAUCCGCCCAAAAAAUUAUUUAUAUUUUAAGAAAAUAUUCCUAAAAUAUAAUAUAUUUAUAAAAAAGUCCAAAAUACAAAUAAAUUGGUGCUCUCAUUCCUCAUGUAUUUGAAAUUUUUGAGUUUUGCUUCGAAUUGUGAUUGAUAUUUUUUAUUUUUAUAAUUGAUAUUGUUAAGUUUAUAUAUAACUUAAUAAUAUUAGUUAUUAAUAUUAAAAAAUUAUUAAUUUAUAUUUUACAAAAUAUUAAUAAUAUUAUAAUUUUUUAAAAAAAUAUUAAUUGGCAGGACGGACUUGGGGCAUCGUCAGGAGAUGGGUUAUGAGGAGGAAUGGAUUAUGGGAUAUAUUUUUUUAACCCGUCACGGAUUCAGUGCAAGAAGCGAGGCGGAAUUUUGGUAGUUGGUGCGGGAGAUGGGGCGGGGCUCCCGCCCCCAUAUUCGCUCCGUUUGUGUCCUUAAUUUGUCACACCCCGGGGUCCCUUUACAGUUUGCAGAUCAGCAGAAAAUGCCCAAAAUAUAUUUUUUUUUUAACUUUGACCGAAGGGUGACAGACCCGUCACAAAUGCAAGGAAUCCACUGUUCACACGGACAGAGUCUUCCCUAUAUUUGCACGGCGUCGCAUAUAGUAUAAGUUAUAACCAUAUCCAUUCACAGCACAUAUUUACAAAUACUUAGACACAGGAUCGUAAUCAUAAAUCAUUCACAUCUAUUAGUUGAAAGUGUUUUCUAUCUGGAAACUCACUUUGAAAUACUAAAAUCACGAAAACUGUAAAACCUUUUUGAAAAUCGUUUUCCAUAUGAAAAUCCUUAUCUUUUAAAAGCGAGUUACCACGAGGGGUAGAAAACUAUUUUUAUAAAUCCCCACGAUGUUCAGAAAACAGCUUUAUUUAAUAUUCUAAAACAUGCCAUAAGCAAAGCAAAACCAAAAUAAAACCAAGAAAAGUUAAACUAAACCACAUAAAGUCUAAAUUAUUUAUUAAUGGAAAAAUAGGUGGAAUCUAGAACCGCAUGCCACCAAGUCGAGAUCUCUAACGCUCGCUAGAUACGCACCUCACGCCUUGUUCCGACUCGGUCCACCAAGCUCACUUGAAAUUGGGAAGGUGAGAAACCAAACAAGGGUCUCCCGGUGGGUACCGUAAGCCGACGAGGGCGAGUGUACUCACUGGUAACAAGAAAUGUAACAGCGAAAGGUAAUACAAUAGCAAUGCCAAUAGUAAACAAGAUAUAUACAUAUACAGCUACCGCUACUGUAAAUAACAUGCGUCAACCGAGCGAUCAGUCCAAAAUAUCCAAUUUAGAAUCCGUCGUAUCGGUCUAAGGACCUCAGGCAAGUGCCACGCUGCUCUAAAUGGCAUAUAACCCUAGCAUAAGCUCCUGGGCUCAUGGGUCAAAAUUCCGACCACUUUUUCAAAAAAGAACACCGUUGUGGUGGCCAAACCACUAGUGUACGUGAAAUACAUACGAGUAGUGGUGAUCAAUGCAAAUAUGAUUAAUACCGGUGGCAAGUAGCCAACAAUCAACCCCUCAGGGUGUGCCAACCGAAUAGGUCAUUGUCACGCCCCGGGACCGGCGUAGGCCCGCCCGGUGCGUGCCCAGACCCGCCAUAUGCCUACACAUAUAAGGCGUCUACAACAAAGCGGAAGAAUAAGAUAAGAGAUGAACUACAUCUAGAGAUAUCAGAGCAAGUAUACAUCUAGAAUCUAUAGUAGAUAAAACAUAACUAAACAAUAAAAGUAAAGCAUAACGUUAUACAGUAUCCAUCUCAAAAGUACAAAAAGGGGUGGUCUCUACAAAUAGUACAAAUCUCUCAACCUCUCCAAAAAGAAACAAAAGAGAGGUGGACCACCUAUCCAAUAAUCCCUCGCUAGCUAGCACGAGGCGAUUCCUUUCCCGCGAUCCUGAGCCUCUCCCAAAAUAAAAUAAUAUAAUAAUUUAACGUUCAAAAAAAUAAAUUCAAACUCAAAUUUUGAGUUUUUGCAACCAAACAGAAACAAUAUGCUACAUAAACACAGAUAUUUUUGGCAUCAACUAAAAUACGCUGUUUUUAGCCUGGUUGUGAAACCCACUACCAUUCAACAUUAAUUAUCUUGAAAGAGACUUAAGAAGCAGCUCGAAUUUGAAAUGUUUUAGCUCCACUGAUUUUAAUUUGUACGUAAGUUCAUGUAAAAACAAGAACAUUUUGCAACAUAUGCAACUACAUUGAAACAUAUAUAUCUAUUGAUUGUGAAAUUAGUAAGUGGAUAACAAUAUAGUGGCACAAUAACAUAUUUUCUCAAGUUCACUAACUUUGCUCAAAGAACACAUUGUGAAAAUUAAUGUAUGGAUAAAAUAUAUUGAUGUGUGUUUCUUCUCAUAUUACUUUUACCACCCAAUCUGCUCUCCCUCCCCUCACUCUAAAUUAAGUAGAAAAACUGUAUAGCCUACACCCAGUUAUGGAUCUUAUGCAUUUAAUAAUAUGCAUGUCUUUUUAUUAACGCCCUGAAUGCAUAUCUUAAAGUUUUAAUAUACCUUAUCAUCUCACAAACUACAUAUCUUUUUCUUAUUUAGAUAUUAAACAACGAAACUUUGGGGAAGAGAACAGAAUAUUAUAAAAUAAGGAAAAAAGCUAGUCAGAGCAUCGAUCACUCAGAAGUUUUAAGAACAUAGAAUGGAAACCUUAGCUGGAAAUUUGAGACUGGUUAAUCUAAUGGCACAAUACAUUAAUCCUCUACGGUCCAUGUAUGGAAGAUUGUAAUAUCUGAUAUGUAAGGACUUUGAUUCGGUUUUAUGCUCAUACAAUAAUUAUUCAAGCUAAAGGCUAAUGGUCUGUAUCUAAGAUCCCAAGUUCGAAACUAAUUACUUCACAUUUCUAUUUUGAGUCUCAUUUUUUUUAAAAAAAUGCGACGAGCAGUAGUUUGCCACCGUUUCUAUUCAAAAAUUUAAACAAAAAAAAAGAAAAACCAAGGCACUAUACAAAAUUUUAUGGAAGAAUUAAACAUGUGCUAAACUUUAUAUUUUUGCAAUAAAAGCCCUCCCAAAAAACUUUAUCCAGUAGUUAAUAGGCUCCUCUUGUUAAUUGGAGUUUUCUUUCUUAAUGAAACGCUCAUUUUAGUUAUUUUCUUAAAAAAAAUUUUAUUCUUUUGUUUUAUAUUAUUUUUUUUAAUCCGAAUUAAGGCUAGGACUUUUGUCCUUAAUCAGUAAUUCUACUUAGGAUGAUUAUGCACUAGAAUAUUCGGUUUUAACUAUAAUUGGAUUAGAGAUUUGAGAAGUCAUAUAAGGUCAUGAGGAUCAUAUAAUCGCAGAUUUUUAGAGUUUUUAAUUUUUUCUCUCUCAGAAGAGAAUUAUUUACACACUAUUCCUCGUCAUCCUUUUGCCUUAAUUUCCAUCUUAAUCAUACUUUAUGUUGUGUCACUUGUUUAAGAUUAGUUAUGUUUUUCUAUUUAGUAAUUUGUAUUGUUAAUUUGUUCUAAUUAAUCAGUUUCGUUUACUAUAUAUUUUCAACUGCAUUUAAUAAUAUAUUUAAAGGUAGAAUCUUUGGCUCAAAUCAAAAAGGCGUUGACUUGAUUGGAUAAAGGGCAAAGUGGAAAUUCUGAGAAAUUUAAAAAAGAAUUAUCAUCAAUGUUUGAUUAACUCUGAUAAUUUCUUUAAAUUAGAUGGAUUGUUUGGGUAAUCCACAAUUUUUAGAGGGUUCUUAAUAUAAAUUAAAAGGAUAUCUUCGUGAACCCAAAAUAUUUCUCCAACUCUCGGCAUCCAAUAGAUAUUGCACAUGAGUAUAAAGAAGCAUAUUUUAUUUAAACGAUACAUAUGUUAUGUUAAAUAAAUUGCUAAAAAAAAAAAAUGAGAAGACGAGAGCAGAGAGAGAAGAGAUAGAGAGAGAGAGAGAGGGAAGUUGGAUCGCCUGUACCCGAUCAUAGACGACAAGCGAAUUCGCAGAUUACGGACAGGAGACGGCCGGCCAAGACACAGGCACGAACGGCAGACAACAGGCAUGACGGUGCUAGGGGACGAACGGCGGGCUCCCUGUCCGCAUGCACUAGGGAACGUCAAUUUCAUUCUGGAACUGAGUAUAGACUUGGAGGCGGAUGUUUUCGAGGAGCUUAAACAUCAUCUGGGAUAUGGAGUUUUCGAACGCACCGUCACACCCUCAAGCUCCAUUCGCAUGUAGAUGAAUCGUCCUUAAGCGCUAAGAAAAGUGACUGUCGGAACUCCGCUGACUGGACCUGCUCCAAGUUACCCUUCUUUCAGUCACAGGACGAACUCCCUACUNNNNNNNNNNNNNNNNNNNNNNNNNNNNNNNNNNNNNNNNNNNNNNNNNNNNNNNNNNNNNNNNNNNNNNNNNNNNNNNNNNNNNNNNNNNNNNNNNNNNNNNNNNNNNNNNNNNNNNNNNNNNNNNNNNNNNNNNNNNNNNNNNNNNNNNNNNNNNNNNNNNNNNNNNNNNNNNNNNNNNNNNNNNNNNNNNNNNNNNNNNNNNNNNNNNNNNNNNNNNNNNNNNNNNNNNNNNNNNNNNNNNNNNNNNNNNNNNNNNNNNNNNNNNNNNNNNNNNNNNNNNNNNNNNNNNNNNNNNNNNNNNNNNNNNNNNNNNNNNNNNNNNNNNNNNNNNNNNNNNNNNNNNNNNNNNNNNNNNNNNNNNNNNNNNNNNNNNNNNNNNNNNNNNNNNNNNNNNNNNNNNNNNNNNNNNNNNNNNNNNNNNNNNNNNNNNNNNNNNNNNNNNNNNNNNNNNNNNNNNNNNNNNNNNNNNNNNNNNNNNNNNNNNNNNNNNNNNNNNNNNNNNNNNNNNNNNNNNNNNNNNNNNNNNNNNNNNNNNNNNNNNNNNNNNNNNNNNNNNNNNNNNNNNNNNNNNNNNNNNNNNNNNNNNNNNNNNNNNNNNNNNNNNNNNNNNNNNNNNNNNNNNNNNNNNNNNNNNNNNNNNNNNNNNNNNNNNNNNNNNNNNNNNNNNNNNNNNNNNNNNNNNNNNNNNNNNNNNNNNNNNNNNNNNNNNNNNNNNNNNNNNNNNNNNNNNNNNNNNNNNNNNNNNNNNNNNNNNNNNNNNNNNNNNNNNNNNNNNNNNNNNNNNNNNNNNNNNNNNNNNNNNNNNNNNNNNNNNNNNNNNNNNNNNNNNNNNNNNNNNNNNNNNNNNNNNNNNNNNNNNNNNNNNNNNNNNNNNNNNNNNNNNNNNNNNNNNNNNNNNNNNNNNNNNNNNNNNNNNNNNNNNNNNNNNNNNNNNNNNNNNNNNNNNNNNNNNNNNNNNNNNNNNNNNNNNNNNNNNNNNNNNNNNNNNNNNNNNNNNNNNNNNNNNNNNNNNNNNNNNNNNNNNNNNNNNNNNNNNNNNNNNNNNNNNNNNNNNNNNNNNNNNNNNNNNNNNNNNNNNNNNNNNNNNNNNNNNNNNNNNNNNNNNNNNNNNNNNNNNNNNNNNNNNNNNNNNNNNNNNNNNNNNNNNNNNNNNNNNNNNNNNNNNNNNNNNNNNNNNNNNNNNNNNNNNNNNNNNNNNNNNNNNNNNNNNNNNNNNNNNNNNNNNNNNNNNNNNNNNNNNNNNNNNNNNNNNNNNNNNNNNNNNNNNNNNNNNNNNNNNNNNNNNNNNNNNNNNNNNNNNNNNNNNNNNNNNNNNNNNNNNNNNNNNNNNNNNNNNNNNNNNNNNNNNNNNNNNNNNNNNNNNNNNNNNNNNNNNNNNNNNNNNNNNNNNNNNNNNNNNNNNNNNNNNNNNNNNNNNNNNNNNNNNNNNNNNNNNNNNNNNNNNNNNNNNNNNNNNNNNNNNNNNNNNNNNNNNNNNNNNNNNNNNNNNNNNNNNNNNNNNNNNNNNNNNNNNNNNNNNNNNNNNNNNNNNNNNNNNNNNNNNNNNNNNNNNNNNNNNNNNNNNNNNNNNNNNNNNNNNNNNNNNNNNNNNNNNNNNNNNNNNNNNNNNNNNNNNNNNNNNNNNNNNNNNNNNNNNNNNNNNNNNNNNNNNNNNNNNNNNNNNNNNNNNNNNNNNNNNNNNNNNNNNNNNNNNNNNNNNNNNNNNNNNNNNNNNNNNNNNNNNNNNNNNNNNNNNNNNNNNNNNNNNNNNNNNNNNNNNNNNNNNNNNNNNNNNNNNNNNNNNNNNNNNNNNNNNNNNNNNNNNNNNNNNNNNNNNNNNNNNNNNNNNNNNNNNNNNNNNNNNNNNNNNNNNNNNNNNNNNNNNNNNNNNNNNNNNNNNNNNNNNNNNNNNNNNNNNNNNNNNNNNNNNNNNNNNNNNNNNNNNNNNNNNNNNNNNNNNNNNNNNNNNNNNNNNNNNNNNNNNNNNNNNNNNNNNNNNNNNNNNNNNNNNNNNNNNNNNNNNNNNNNNNNNNNNNNNNNNNNNNNNNNNNNNNNNNNNNNNNNNNNNNNNNNNNNNNNNNNNNNNNNNNNNNNNNNNNNNNNNNNNNNNNNNNNNNNNNNNNNNNNNNNNNNNNNNNNNNNNNNNNNNNNNNNNNNNNNNNNNNNNNNNNNNNNNNNNNNNNNNNNNNNNNNNNNNNNNNNNNNNNNNNNNNNNNNNNNNNNNNNNNNNNNNNNNNNNNNNNNNNNNNNNNNNNNNNNNNNNNNNNNNNNNNNNNNNNNNNNNNNNNNNNNNNNNNNNNNNNNNNNNNNNNNNNNNNNNNNNNNNNNNNNNNNNNNNNNNNNNNNNNNNNNNNNNNNNNNNNNNNNNNNNNNNNNNNNNNNNNNNNNNNNNNNNNNNNNNNNNNNNNNNNNNNNNNNNNNNNNNNNNNNNNNNNNNNNNNNNNNNNNNNNNNNNNNNNNNNNNNNNNNNNNNNNNNNNNNNNNNNNNNNNNNNNNNNNNNNNNNNNNNNNNNNNNNNNNNNNNNNNNNNNNNNNNNNNNNNNNNNNNNNNNNNNNNNNNNNNNNNNNNNNNNNNNNNNNNNNNNNNNNNNNNNNNNNNNNNNNNNNNNNNNNNNNNNNNNNNNNNNNNNNNNNNNNNNNNNNNNNNNNNNNNNNNNNNNNNNNNNNNNNNNNNNNNNNNNNNNNNNNNNNNNNNNNNNNNNNNNNNNNNNNNNNNNNNNNNNNNNNNNNNNNNNNNNNNNNNNNNNNNNNNNNNNNNNNNNNNNNNNNNNNNNNNNNNNNNNNNNNNNNNNNNNNNNNNNNNNNNNNNNNNNNNNNNNNNNNNNNNNNNNNNNNNNNNNNNNNNNNNNNNNNNNNNNNNNNNNNNNNNNNNNNNNNNNNNNNNNNNNNNNNNNNNNNNNNNNNNNNNNNNNNNNNNNNNNNNNNNNNNNNNNNNNNNNNNNNNNNNNNNNNNNNNNNNNNNNNNNNNNNNNNNNNNNNNNNNNNNNNNNNNNNNNNNNNNNNNNNNNNNNNNNNNNNNNNNNNNNNNNNNNNNNNNNNNNNNNNNNNNNNNNNNNNNNNNNNNNNNNNNNNNNNNNNNNNNNNNNNNNNNNNNNNNNNNNNNNNNNNNNNNNNNNNNNNNNNNNNNNNNNNNNNNNNNNNNNNNNNNNNNNNNNNNNNNNNNNNNNNNNNNNNNNNNNNNNNNNNNNNNNNNNNNNNNNNNNNNNNNNNNNNNNNNNNNNNNNNNNNNNNNNNNNNNNNNNNNNNNNNNNNNNNNNNNNNNNNNNNNNNNNNNNNNNNNNNNNNNNNNNNNNNNNNNNNNNNNNNNNNNNNNNNNNNNNNNNNNNNNNNNNNNNNNNNNNNNNNNNNNNNNNNNNNNNNNNNNNNNNNNNNNNNNNNNNNNNNNNNNNNNNNNNNNNNNNNNNNNNNNNNNNNNNNNNNNNNNNNNNNNNNNNNNNNNNNNNNNNNNNNNNNNNNNNNNNNNNNNNNNNNNNNNNNNNNNNNNNNNNNNNNNNNNNNNNNNNNNNNNNNNNNNNNNNNNNNNNNNNNNNNNNNNNNNNNNNNNNNNNNNNNNNNNNNNNNNNNNNNNNNNNNNNNNNNNNNNNNNNNNNNNNNNNNNNNNNNNNNNNNNNNNNNNNNNNNNNNNNNNNNNNNNNNNNNNNNNNNNNNNNNNNNNNNNNNNNNNNNNNNNNNNNNNNNNNNNNNNNNNNNNNNNNNNNNNNNNNNNNNNNNNNNNNNNNNNNNNNNNNNNNNNNNNNNNNNNNNNNNNNNNNNNNNNNNNNNNNNNNNNNNNNNNNNNNNNNNNNNNNNNNNNNNNNNNNNNNNNNNNNNNNNNNNNNNNNNNNNNNNNNNNNNNNNNNNNNNNNNNNNNNNNNNNNNNNNNNNNNNNNNNNNNNNNNNNNNNNNNNNNNNNNNNNNNNNNNNNNNNNNNNNNNNNNNNNNNNNNNNNNNNNNNNNNNNNNNNNNNNNNNNNNNNNNNNNNNNNNNNNNNNNNNNNNNNNNNNNNNNNNNNNNNNNNNNNNNNNNNNNNNNNNNNNNNNNNNNNNNNNNNNNNNNNNNNNNNNNNNNNNNNNNNNNNNNNNNNNNNNNNNNNNNNNNNNNNNNNNNNNNNNNNNNNNNNNNNNNNNNNNNNNNNNNNNNNNNNNNNNNNNNNNNNNNNNNNNNNNNNNNNNNNNNNNNNNNNNNNNNNNNNNNNNNNNNNNNNNNNNNNNNNNNNNNNNNNNNNNNNNNNNNNNNNNNNNNNNNNNNNNNNNNNNNNNNNNNNNNNNNNNNNNNNNNNNNNNNNNNNNNNNNNNNNNNNNNNNNNNNNNNNNNNNNNNNNNNNNNNNNNNNNNNNNNNNNNNNNNNNNNNNNNNNNNNNNNNNNNNNNNNNNNNNNNNNNNNNNNNNNNNNNNNNNNNNNNNNNNNNNNNNNNNNNNNNNNNNNNNNNNNNNNNNNNNNNNNNNNNNNNNNNNNNNNNNNNNNNNNNNNNNNNNNNNNNNNNNNNNNNNNNNNNNNNNNNNNNNNNNNNNNNNNNNNNNNNNNNNNNNNNNNNNNNNNNNNNNNNNNNNNNNNNNNNNNNNNNNNNNNNNNNNNNNNNNNNNNNNNNNNNNNNNNNNNNNNNNNNNNNNNNNNNNNNNNNNNNNNNNNNNNNNNNNNNNNNNNNNNNNNNNNNNNNNNNNNNNNNNNNNNNNNNNNNNNNNNNNNNNNNNNNNNNNNNNNNNNNNNNNNNNNNNNNNNNNNNNNNNNNNNNNNNNNNNNNNNNNNNNNNNNNNNNNNNNNNNNNNNNNNNNNNNNNNNNNNNNNNNNNNNNNNNNNNNNNNNNNNNNNNNNNNNNNNNNNNNNNNNNNNNNNNNNNNNNNNNNNNNNNNNNNNNNNNNNNNNNNNNNNNNNNNNNNNNNNNNNNNNNNNNNNNNNNNNNNNNNNNNNNNNNNNNNNNNNNNNNNNNNNNNNNNNNNNNNNNNNNNNNNNNNNNNNNNNNNNNNNNNNNNNNNNNNNNNNNNNNNNNNNNNNNNNNNNNNNNNNNNNNNNNNNNNNNNNNNNNNNNNNNNNNNNNNNNNNNNNNNNNNNNNNNNNNNNNNNNNNNNNNNNNNNNNNNNNNNNNNNNNNNNNNNNNNNNNNNNNNNNNNNNNNNNNNNNNNNNNNNNNNNNNNNNNNNNNNNNNNNNNNNNNNNNNNNNNNNNNNNNNNNNNNNNNNNNNNNNNNNNNNNNNNNNNNNNNNNNNNNNNNNNNNNNNNNNNNNNNNNNNNNNNNNNNNNNNNNNNNNNNNNNNNNNNNNNNNNNNNNNNNNNNNNNNNNNNNNNNNNNNNNNNNNNNNNNNNNNNNNNNNNNNNNNNNNNNNNNNNNNNNNNNNNNNNNNNNNNNNNNNNNNNNNNNNNNNNNNNNNNNNNNNNNNNNNNNNNNNNNNNNNNNNNNNNNNNNNNNNNNNNNNNNNNNNNNNNNNNNNNNNNNNNNNNNNNNNNNNNNNNNNNNNNNNNNNNNNNNNNNNNNNNNNNNNNNNNNNNNNNNNNNNNNNNNNNNNNNNNNNNNNNNNNNNNNNNNNNNNNNNNNNNNNNNNNNNNNNNNNNNNNNNNNNNNNNNNNNNNNNNNNNNNNNNNNNNNNNNNNNNNNNNNNNNNNNNNNNNNNNNNNNNNNNNNNNNNNNNNNNNNNNNNNNNNNNNNNNNNNNNNNNNNNNNNNNNNNNNNNNNNNNNNNNNNNNNNNNNNNNNNNNNNNNNNNNNNNNNNNNNNNNNNNNNNNNNNNNNNNNNNNNNNNNNNNNNNNNNNNNNNNNNNNNNNNNNNNNNNNNNNNNNNNNNNNNNNNNNNNNNNNNNNNNNNNNNNNNNNNNNNNNNNNNNNNNNNNNNNNNNNNNNNNNNNNNNNNNNNNNNNNNNNNNNNNNNNNNNNNNNNNNNNNNNNNNNNNNNNNNNNNNNNNNNNNNNNNNNNNNNNNNNNNNNNNNNNNNNNNNNNNNNNNNNNNNNNNNNNNNNNNNNNNNNNNNNNNNNNNNNNNNNNNNNNNNNNNNNNNNNNNNNNNNNNNNNNNNNNNNNNNNNNNNNNNNNNNNNNNNNNNNNNNNNNNNNNNNNNNNNNNNNNNNNNNNNNNNNNNNNNNNNNNNNNNNNNNNNNNNNNNNNNNNNNNNNNNNNNNNNNNNNNNNNNNNNNNNNNNNNNNNNNNNNNNNNNNNNNNNNNNNNNNNNNNNNNNNNNNNNNNNNNNNNNNNNNNNNNNNNNNNNNNNNNNNNNNNNNNNNNNNNNNNNNNNNNNNNNNNNNNNNNNNNNNNNNNNNNNNNNNNNNNNNNNNNNNNNNNNNNNNNNNNNNNNNNNNNNNNNNNNNNNNNNNNNNNNNNNNNNNNNNNNNNNNNNNNNNNNNNNNNNNNNNNNNNNNNNNNNNNNNNNNNNNNNNNNNNNNNNNNNNNNNNNNNNNNNNNNNNNNNNNNNNNNNNNNNNNNNNNNNNNNNNNNNNNNNNNNNNNNNNNNNNNNNNNNNNNNNNNNNNNNNNNNNNNNNNNNNNNNNNNNNNNNNNNNNNNNNNNNNNNNNNNNNNNNNNNNNNNNNNNNNNNNNNNNNNNNNNNNNNNNNNNNNNNNNNNNNNNNNNNNNNNNNNNNNNNNNNNNNNNNNNNNNNNNNNNNNNNNNNNNNNNNNNNNNNNNNNNNNNNNNNNNNNNNNNNNNNNNNNNNNNNNNNNNNNNNNNNNNNNNNNNNNNNNNNNNNNNNNNNNNNNNNNNNNNNNNNNNNNNNNNNNNNNNNNNNNNNNNNNNNNNNNNNNNNNNNNNNNNNNNNNNNNNNNNNNNNNNNNNNNNNNNNNNNNNNNNNNNNNNNNNNNNNNNNNNNNNNNNNNNNNNNNNNNNNNNNNNNNNNNNNNNNNNNNNNNNNNNNNNNNNNNNNNNNNNNNNNNNNNNNNNNNNNNNNNNNNNNNNNNNNNNNNNNNNNNNNNNNNNNNNNNNNNNNNNNNNNNNNNNNNNNNNNNNNNNNNNNNNNNNNNNNNNNNNNNNNNNNNNNNNNNNNNNNNNNNNNNNNNNNNNNNNNNNNNNNNNNNNNNNNNNNNNNNNNNNNNNNNNNNNNNNNNNNNNNNNNNNNNNNNNNNNNNNNNNNNNNNNNNNNNNNNNNNNNNNNNNNNNNNNNNNNNNNNNNNNNNNNNNNNNNNNNNNNNNNNNNNNNNNNNNNNNNNNNNNNNNNNNNNNNNNNNNNNNNNNNNNNNNNNNNNNNNNNNNNNNNNNNNNNNNNNNNNNNNNNNNNNNNNNNNNNNNNNNNNNNNNNNNNNNNNNNNNNNNNNNNNNNNAUUCUAUUUAUUUACUACUUUAUUUAUUUUAUUUUAUUUAAUUAUUUUAUUAUCUUUCUUAAUGAGAAAGAAACUAACGGAAUAUUUUCCGUUCCGUUUCUUUCGCAUUACGUUGGGCGGAUUCCGCUUCUCUCUCGUAAGAGAAAAAGCGUUAAAUUCCCUUUCUCUUUUCCUCCUCUGAUAUAAAACAGAGCAGAUAGAAAAGAUUUUUGAUCAUUGGUUAAUCUCUAUCCUUUUAUUCUUUUAUUUCUCAUUUUUGAACAUUCCCCUUAUCCUUAUCCACUGGGUGUUGAGAAUCUCCGUCAACCUCCUUCACGAUCGUGCUCGCAGAAUGAGGAAUUCCGGUCGUACCUUGGGGUGUUAUUUCCGGUUAAUCCCGCACGUAAGGACGGGAAUACGCCUUAGGGCAGUGCCUCGCACGCUUCCGGAUUAAUAUGUUGAUAUUCUUUUUCCACAAUUUUGGGAUUUAGCGAUUAUCUGUGAGUUGAUUUAUUUGCGUUUAUCUGUAUGUUUGUUUGUUUUUAUUUUUAUCACAAAGUUAGUUAGAUUUUAAUUGCAAUCGGAUUCCUAUGCGAUAUUUGUUCCAACAAUCUAAGGCGUAUUUCCCUAUCUGAUUGUGAUUAAAUCUGACGGUGCUAAUUCAUUAAAAUAUAUACAUAUAUAUUUUGCAUAUAAUUCUGUUUGACAACUUGCUUGUAUGUAUAUCAUUCAAAUUUAAAUAAAUUGGGAUUAACAUUUUUAAAUUCUAAUUGGAUAUUGUUUAUCUGCAAAUUAUUAUCUUUUUUAUUAUUAUUAUUAAAUUUUUUUUACCGUACGGAUCCAAUAGGGUGGAUUUCUUUUUUGCUACAGUAAAUAAAAUUUUAUUUAUGUACUGUUUGAGUUUUGCUAUUGUAAAACCCUUAAAAAAAAAAAAAAGUUUUACUGUUUUGUUAUAAAUUUUUUUUAAAAAAAAAAAACCCACUUGUACGGAUUAAAAAUGUUUGCUACUGUAAUUGUUUUUUAAGUGUGCGGUUUUUUAAGGUUUAAGUUUAAUUUAUUUAUAUAAAUAUACUAUUUUUUGAGAAAAAAAAAAUAUAUAUAUAUAUAUANAAUUGCUCAGCACACAGCUCGAACACUCGAACCUCGCAAUUCGCAAAGGUUCAGUGUGUUACAACGGAGGUGGUGGAGGAUCAGAGGAAAAAAAAAAAAAAAAGUCACGGCGCGGCCUUGGCGAGGUCGGAGGCGAGGAGGGCGAGGGGUGCGCGGGCGAGGACGAGGGAGUGAGGGGCAGAGGCGAGGCAUGCCGUUUCCCUUUCUGCCUCUGCCUCUACCUCCGCCUCCACCGCCUUCUUUAGAAUGAUAAAAAAGAAACGAGAUAAAAAAAAGAGAAAAGAGAAAAAAUAAUAAAGCCGUUUUGAUCAGUUUACUAAAAAUUUGAACCGAAUCUGUAAAAUCGAAAAAAACUACCUAAUUUUACAAAAGUUGAAAACUAGUAAGUUUUUUAUACAAAAAAACGUAAAAAAUUAAUAUAAUAAAUAAAAUAUUAAUAACUCUUGAAUCCAAUAGAUACAAUGUGCACUUCACGUUGAAGUGUACUGAUAUCAUUAUUUUUUUUUUCAUACAAAUAAAUAGGGGUGGAAAUGAGCCGAGCUCGAGCGAGCUUAUGUCAGCUCAAAUUUAGCUUGAAAUUAAUUUUGAGCCUAAAUCUAGGCUCAAGCUCGGCUUGAAAUUAAUUCGAGCCGAGCUCGAGCGAGCCUAAUUUCGAGUCGAGCCGAGCUCGAGCUCUAAACGAGCCGAUUGAAAUUCUCGACAUUAUAUAAUCAAUAGUUUAAUUAUUAUAGAACAUUACCUACAAUUUGAUGCAACAUGUCCAAUAGUUCAAAAUACAAAAUAAUUGCAAGAAAUGUGAGCUAGGGUGACUGCCUGACUGGGUGAGGGUCUGAGCGAGAGAGAAGAGAGAGAGAGAGAGAGAGAGGGGGAAAAAAUUAGUGAUUUGGGAAUUUGAAUGUUAUCAUGUUUUAGGGUUAUGUGCAACAGUGAAAGUUUGAAAGGGAGAGUGUGUUAUGUAAAUUUAGAGUUGGGCUCAACUGCACGGUUAUACUUGUUGGGUUUAUUUUAUGGGCCAACAAUAAUGGUCCAAAUUAAAUUAAAACCUAUAUAUAAUUAAAAUACAUUAUAUAUAUAUAUAUAAUAUAUAUAAAUAUAUAUAUAGUAUAUAAAUAUAUAUAACGUAGCUGAAUACUUUACAUAUACCAAUGAUACUUGUGUGUUUUUAGCCAUUGAUUUACUUUUUGGAUUACUAAUAGCCUUUGGAUCAAACACAUUCCACUACCACCACCUACCGACCAUUCAUCUCAACCCAACAUCUUCCAUCCAAGGGCUAAAAACAAACAAGUAUCACUUGGUGAUACUUACAAGUAUUCUAGCUCUAGCUAUAUAGUAUAAUAUAUAUAUAUAAUAUAUAGUAUAUUAUAAUUAUAUAAUAUAUAUAGUAAUAUAGUGAGCUACUAUGGCUAUCGAAGCACGGAGCCUUCUCGUGCUUUCCAGCGUCGUUCGAUGUUUGCGACUUCGAAUUGUCGAUCGCUCCGUUAAACUUGAUCUAGAGUAUUUGAAGUACUAGAAAAUAAAUUUUAUGAUUUUACGAUAUCUUUGCCUAGCUGAACAAGGCUCAAAAAAUCUACGCUCGAACAAUAAAAUCUUAACAAAUAUAAUAAUAUUAAUAUGAAUUUUAAAUCAAAGAUAUUGAUCUUGUUUUAUAUAGUAUAAAGAAUUUUCUAUCAAAAUUUCACGUGAUUUGGAUAUUUCUACACCGUUAAACUUGCAAACGGCUCACUACGGCCAUGAAAUUUGUUGAUUUUGAGCCCAUUCAAUCACUAGGCAAACGAUAUCGAAAAAUAAUAAAAUUUAUUUUCUAGGUACUCCAAAUACUCUAGAUCAAGUUUAACGGAGCCGAUCGACGAUUCGAAAGUCGCAACAUCGAAAACGAGCUGGAAGCACGGAAGGCUCCGUACUUCCGAUAACAUAGUAGCCUCACUAUAUAUAUAUAUUCUCGAGCUUUUCGAAUCUAAUUCGAACGAGCCGAGUAAUACUCAAGCUCGGCUUGAAAUAAAUUUCGAGUCUUUUAUUUUGUUUAAGCUCGACUUAUUUAAUUUCGAGUCGAACUCGAGCGAGCCGAAUAUCGAGCCGAACAUGAGUCAAACACGAGCCGGCUCGGUCGUUUGCCAGCCCUACAAAUAAUGUUAGUCGUGUUCUCGCAGCUACUAACGGCACCGGGUGGUAUCAGAUUCCACCAAUAAUUACCGGUCGUGGUGGAGCACCCGCAAGGCCCAUUACUUCCCUACCAGCAGGAUAAGUGUUUUAAAAAAAAAUACCUUUCCAACCAAUCAGCUUCCUCUCUCUGACACUCUCUUUCUCAGUCCGUAUAACUUGUCAAAUCCACGUUGCAACAAGAACAGUAAACUUAAUCUGCACCGUCCAUCACCCAUCACAGGCAAUCCCUUUCUCGAGAACUCCUUCGUGGUAAAUGUGAAGGUUUAAUAUCGAUAGACUUCCUCUGACAUGCCUGACUCGGAGAGAGAAAGAAUUGCCACAAAAAAAACGAAAAAAAACAAGCCCGAGUAGAAUUAAAAUAAUAAAUAUUAAAUAAAUAAAAAAGAGGAAGUACCAGCCAAACUUAACGGUACGAAAACACGAAAAAACUCCUCCCCAUUUAAUUCAUUCAUUUCCUCGUGGGUUUGCUUGUGGCUGCAACUCCAAAACAAAGAAACCUCCCUCUUCCUCCUCUUUUCCUCAUGGGUGCUCUGGAGGACGUAUGUAGCAAUCCGAUCGAUCGCAUGCUUAUUCCUAAUUAGAUUCGAUUUUUUUUUUUGUUCUCUAAGCUUAAUAAUUAUAUUUUCGCACAGGUUACUGAAAGCAGAGCGGCGGAGACGGGAGAAGAUAGGAAAGAAGAGAAAACAGAAGAAGAGAAAAUAGAAGAAAAGGAAGAAGAGAAGAAGAGGACGGAAGGAGGAGGAGAUGCUGAUGAGGUGGUGGUGGUGGUGGAUUCGUCAGAUCAUCAAAAUCAUCAGAGAAGGGAGUUGACAGCAGCGGCGACGGCGACGGCGACGGCGGCGACGGCGGCGACCGCGACGGUGUCCAGGCUGCACGCCCAGCAUCCGGUUCCUCCCAUCCAAGUCGUCUCCUCCGCCGCCUCGGCCUCCGCCUACCCGCCCAUCACACCAACCCCACCUCAAGUAAUUUUUUAUUGCUUAUUUAUUGAACUACCGAAUAUUCGUCAGUUCCUUUAUUUAAUUUCUUUUAGCUGACGAUGUGGGAAAAAAAAAAAAAGAGUUUUAGAUAUUUUUUAAUUAUUGGGUAAUCAGUGUAAUAUAUUUGUUUUAUAUAUAUAUAUAUAUAUAUAUAUAUAUAUAUAUAUAUAUAUAUAUAUAUAUAUAUAUAUAUAUAUAUAUAUAUUCGGUAUUUAAGGCUAUUCAGGGCGUUCUGGACCCGGACUCUCCGAAGGCGCGGCGCGAGAAGCGCGUCCUCCGGUUCUGGCUGCCCCCUAUCGAGGGCGCCGCAGCCGUCAGCAUCAUCCUCGCGUUCGCCUGGCAGAAGGCCGUCCGGACAUGGCCUUCCUUCAUGGUGACGUUCAUCCUCUGGUCGAGUUUUGCUUUCACCAUGGCCGCCGGCGUUCUGCUGCUCUGCUUCUCCCUCCCCGCCACCGCCGGCAUCGGCGUCGCCCUCAUCCUCUUCUCCAUCGGCACCGGCCUCUACGCCUGCUGGGUUACCCGCCGCAUCCCCUUCACCGCCAGGGUCUUCUCCCGCGCGCUCCUCCCCGCCGCCAAGUUCGAGGACCUCAACGGCCCGGCGUACCUCAUGGUCGGAUUGGGCUUCCUCUGGAUCUCGGUCUGGUGCCUGGGCGUGAUCGGCGCGCUGAAUUUCUACUACCCGGCGCUGACGAUCAUCGCGCUCGUUCUGAGCCUGAUGUGGACUGCGGAGGUGAUGCGGAACGUGACGAACCUGACGGUGAGCCGGGUGGUGGCGCUCUACUACCUGCGGGGGAUGCAGUCCAGCACGCAGUUCAGCUUCCAGCGGGCCGUGUCGCGGAACCUCGGCAGCGCCUGCCUCGGGUCGCUCUUCGUGCCGACCAUCGAGGCGCUCCGCAUCCUGGCCCGGGGGCUCAACCUGCUGGAGGGGGAGGACGAAUUCAUGUUCUCCUGCGCCCACUGCUGCCUCCACGUUAUGGAGUCCGUCUUUCGCUACGGCAACAGCUGGGCCUUCGUCCAUGUAAGUGUCAGGGCUAUUUCCGAGCCAGCUCUAUUAGUAAAUCUCAAUUCCAGGGGAACCUUAUUCGAUUCCUCACAUCAAUCGCAUAAAUCCCAAGCUCAGAGUGUCGUCUGGACGGUAGGAACUAAAUGACAUAACGAGUGUGAUCUAGAAGGUAGGAAGUAAUCAUCAAUCGAUUUCAACAACUACUUGAUUGUUCUGUGGCCCAUGCAGCACACCGCCGUCGGAACGAACCAGUCAAAUAUUCUCGAAUCAAUCGCUUUAAGUCUACUGUCCACACAUUCGUUCCUACGACUGAGCAUUCUACGCUAUCUCUCUCUUCUGUUAUUUCUGCCUGUUGAUUUUCUUGAAAUCUACUGCUGUUACUUCUCUCGGUUGAUCUGCUUGAUAUUUACUGUAUUUAUUAAUAAAAGAUAUUAAGACCGGAACGGUACUUAGUCGUCUUCUACUAACUCAAAUCUCACAAUAAAACAGUAAAAGAAAACGAUUCAUCAUUCAUCUUUUAUUCAAUCUGUGUACGUCCAAAUACUGAUGAUGCUGAAUGGGUUGGGUGUAUGGUUAAAAAGAUCGCGGCGUAUGGGAGGGGUUUCGUGGCGGCAUCGCAGAGCACGUGGGGGCUGUUCGAGAGGCAGGGGAUGGAGGAGCUGGUGGACUCGGACAUCACCAGCUCCGUCUGCUUCCUCACCGGUGUCUGCAGCGGCGCCAUCUGCACCAUCUUCGCUGCCUCCUGGACCUUCGCCACGCACAAGCACUACACCGCCACCGCCUCCCUCCUCGCCUUCUUCGUGGGCUAUCUCAUGGUACGAAAUUUCGCUACGUCUCCCCCUUUCUUUCUUCCUUUCUUCCGCCUUCGUCCAUAAAUAUUACGAGCUGAGCUGAUUUUGAUACUGCUGGACACAUUAAUUGAAUCUUAUCACUAUCUCCUAUGACUGAAUUGAAUCAAAUUCAUCAUCUUUCUUAGUAUAACCUCCCUUCAUAAUUAGUUCGGAGGUUAAUUUGAUGUUGUUUUUAUUGAGUAUGUUGUAGGAUUUCUCUUGUAGGUUGCUGAUAGAAUUGAGCUAGAAUAUUUUUAGAAGCACCAACCUCUUAAUACUUUUAAGUUUCUAGCCCUUAAAUCUAUUUCUUGAUUACUACUAGUCUUUGAAUCAAAUACUAUUUCACUUACCACCAUCUAUCACCAUCAUCACAACCCUACAUCUCUCCAUCCAAGAAUUAAAAAUUCACAAGUACUAUAAUUUUGGGAGUAUUCCAGCUCAACUCGUUCUAGCUCAACUCGUUGCUGAUAUGUCCUUAAGUACUAUAAUUUUUUAAUAUAUUUAUAUAUGCAGUUUGAAAAUGCUAUACAUAUCUGCUGAUACAUUAAAAUGGCAACUCCCUAGCAAAGAAACAUAUUUGCUCUAUUAGACUCGUUUUAAAGUGUUGCAUUUUUCUGGACGGUGGAUUUCUUAUAUUCACUUUCAUUCAAGGAUUUUGAUUAGCAACAAAAAAUUCAAAAUGUUAACUGAUCAAUACAAUAAAUUUCAGUUGUUCAACCGUUAUGUUUUUAAAAAAUGAUGAAUUUACCAACUUCUCUUUCAUCAUUGAUGCUCAUUGUUACCCAAAGGUAGGCUAUAUAUUAUCCUCGUUGAAUUAUUUUAAAAAUGCGAAGACGAAUAAAAAUAAUGCUGCAUGCACAGACGAGGAUAGGGAUGGCGCUGCCGCAGGCGUGCGUGGCGUGCUACUAUGUGUGCUUCGCGGAGAACCCAAGCCCUCGGCUGUUCGAUUCCACCAUCCCCGACCGCCUCGUCACUAUCCGCACCGGCCGGGAGGCCAUGGUGACCACCCCUCGCUUCCCUCGCCGCAUUUCUACCGCCUAAGAUUUUUCUAUAUCAUCGUACGCUGUUUGAUCUCGGCUGCAAAGAAGGAAAGAAAGAAAGAAGAAACCAAGAAAGAGGACUGCUUCGCGGUGUGUCCGCCGCUGCAGCCAUCGACCAUCUAAGGUCUGCAGACUGAUCUUCUCAAUUUCAAAUAAUUUUUAACCUUCAAAUUUUGUUUAUUAUUUUUUCUAAGGGUUAAUUUAAUAAAAUUUUCUGUAAAUAUAUCAAAUAAUAAAUAUAUUUUUACAUAAGCUCAAUGAUAUUUAUAUUUGUUCUUCUGGUUUACCGUUAGAGCCCGGCUUAUUUUUUGAGUAGAAAAGUAAAAUUUUUAUUUUUAUCGUUACAAAUAUGUUUCUUCAAAAAUUUUAAUUAUUAAAAUUAUACAGUAAUAUUCGUUUAAAAAUUUUCAACUGGUAUUUUUAUUUUUUCUACCAUCACAAAUAAUAUAAAAAAAAAUUAAAAAAAUUGUCAAAUCUAUCUCAUUCAUAAAGUUUUUGAUUAAGUAUUUUAUUUAUAAUUAAUUAUAUUUUUUAAUAGAUUCUAGCAAUAUCGGUGUAUUUGAAAAUAUAAAAUUUUUAUAAAAAUAAUAUAAAAAAUUAAAUUUUGUAAAAAUAUAUUUAUAAUUUUAUAAAUUUACCAACAACUGUAUGCAAUUAUAUUUUUUUGAGUUAAGGUUGUAAACAUUUUAUGGGAUUGUAGCUUUACUGUUGGACUUUACGGAAAUCUAGUUUUCCGGCCGAAAAACUAUGCUGAGGAAAGAAAGAAAAUGACCCUUUCUGCAGCUGACGUGACGGAGCCGGUCCGCACAAUAAUGUAUCCUGGGAACGGGAGGUUCCAGACUGCCCCGCACGCAACUUCCUGGGCUCGGACGGUCUGACCGGGAAUUGACCGUCAAAGACGAGCGGCAGCGGAUUUCUAUCGCAUCGGUGAAAAGUCUUCUCCUGCCUGUCGCUGUUUUUUUUGUUUACAAUGAAAAGGUUCGAGUUUUGUGACAUUGUGAUGUUAAGGCGCGUGUAUUAGCCGUUGUUGUAAAGAUGUAAAGAAAUGGUUUAGAUUUUGGCAGUUCAUUCCGCCACUGUAACAUAUUUUAUUUUAAUAAAUGAUAAAAUUUAUGCGUACAAGGCUGUUUCAAGUAUAAUAGAAAAAGAUAAACUUCAAAUAUCAUUUCAGUAGUUUCAUAGUUUUUUACUUUUUACUUUAGUAUCAUGUCAUAUGAUUUAAAGUGUAUCAAAUUAGUAUCAUGUGGUUUUUUUUUUUUAUUUCUUCGCCAGCUUCUCCGUUAAUAUUUCGUUAAAUUAUAUAUAAAAAACUUUAAAUAUUCCAUCUAGAUUUAUCGAAUAUUCACUUUAGUACUUUAUAGUUUUAACUUUAUCACUGAUUUAACGAAAAAAAUUAGUAGAAUCGAUAAUAAAAAAAUAAAAAUAAAACCACUGAGCACAAAUUAAUAAACAUUAAAUCACAAAAUGUUAAAGUGAGAAAGUGCGAAACUACAGAGAUGGUAUUUAAAAUUUUUUCUAAUAAAAAAAGAUGAGCACGGUAGACUUAAUUAGGUCAAUAAAGUUUGACUUGACUGAUUUUUUAUUUUAAAAAAUUUGAUUUGAUCUAAAAUUUUAUUUUUCUUAAUAAAUUAAAUAAGCCAAAAUAUUUUUUAGGUUGAAAACUAAACUAUAUAUUAUCUAAAAAUAUUUUAAAAAGAAAAAUGAAUCUUUUGUAUUUAGUCUAAUAAAUUUUUACCGUUAUUUUCUUUUAAUUUUUUAAUAUAAAUUAAAUUUGAAUAUAAAACGUUUUAAUUCUUCAAACUUGCAAAUCUAAAUUGUUGGUUUAUUAUAAUCCUGAAGGCACGCAACUUAAAAUUAUGCAAACUGACCAAAUCGAACUGAACUGAACCAAAAUAUUUUGGUUCAGAUGAUUGUCAACUUGAAGUAAAUAGUUUGAUCGUUUGGUUCGGAAAAUUAUUAAAUCAAAAAAUUAGUUUCGUUCAGUAAUUCACUAAAAAUUGACCGAAUUAUCUCUCCUAUUCUAUAAUUCUACCAUUUUCCACAUCCUUUGGAUGAUUGGAGACAUGUAUCACGUGUUCAGUGGUUUAAUGGUCCCUCAGUUUUUUAUUAUUACUUAAAAAAAAAAAGAGAAAAGAAAAGAAAAGGAUUUGGUGACUUGCUUUUCCAAGUGGAGCACUUCUUUUAAACUAGUAAAAUCGUAGCACUACACGGCAAAUCUUUAUUUUUUAACAAUAAAAUAAACAAAUUGUGUCUUUUUAUAUUAAGCUUUCAUUGGAUUUUUAUAUUUACUUUUUAUUACAACACUAUCUAUUUCCCUUAUUAUCCAAUCCAUACCGAUUGUCCCUAGCGUAAAUGGCAAAGGACUUUGUGGUUAAUACCUAAGGUCUCAAGUUCGAAUUCUAAUUGAUUUACAUUUCUAGUUAAGUUUAUUUUUAAAAUAAAUAAACGAAAUGAGUAACAUGUUACCUUUCUCUCAAAAAAAUUAUUAUAUACAUUGAAUAUAGACAAUACUAAAUUUAAAAACUCUAUUUAAAAGUAAUAUUUUAAUUUAAUUUGUUAAAUUUGCCUAUAUAUAAUUUUGUAAAAAAGACUAAUAAAUUAUUAAUUAUGUGCAUGGCUUAAUCCAAAUCUAAAUUUAUUAAGGCUUAGUUUGGUAUUGAGGUCCAUCUGACGCUAUUAGAUAAAAUGGAGUAGGGGUAAAAGCUUUAUAUGGUUCUACAUUCUCUGGUUGUACCGUAGAAAAUAUAUCGUAACCGACUCAUCGAGAUAUGCGAAACGUAAUAUUACGUACGAAAACAAACCGGAUAUUUUCCCAUCGUACUUUCUCACAGCAAGUAACACAAUCUCCCCGCAAUCUCAAACUAAGCCUAAAAUAAAUUAUUAAAAGAUAAAAUGUAAAUCUAACUAACUUAUAAUGGUGUGCAAAACUGGAUACACCGGGUCACGGCAAAUGAGCGGAGAGUAACUCGGCUGUAGUAUUUGUCCCAUCUAGUCAUUUUGGAUGAUCAAAACUCUAAUCGGCACCGUUAAAAUUGUGAGACCCCAAAUAGUCCUAUGUAUAAGAUAUAAUAGGGCUAAAAUUCUUAACGGGGUUGUAAUAUUUUGAGUGGUGGCUAGGCCCAAAAAAUUAAGAAAGUUAAGCGAGACAGGAUUAAAGUAGUCCUAAGAUUGGUGACCCCCUGGGAAUUAACUAGGCUGUAGUAUUUUGGGCGGUGAUUAGUUCCAAGAAAUUAAGAGAGUUAAGCAUACUAGCACUAGAGUAAUCCUAAGGUGGGUGACCCCCUAGAAGCAAGGCGUCAUAGUUGGUAUCAGAACCAAUCACCAGUUUGAAAUAUGAGAUGUGUCUCGGCUAAGUCAGGAUUACACAGCAGACAAAGUGCGGCUCCCCCGGCUGUUGACUGUUGCGGAUAGAGCGCGGCUCCCCCAGCUGUUAACCGUUGUGGUGGAGUGUGGCUCUCCCACAAGAUCGGUUAAGACUAGCGAUACGAGUCUCACAUCACUUGAUACUUAUGAGUCUGAGCCUGAUAAGAACGUCAGGGCUUAAAGGAGAGAAGAAUAUAAAACCCGAGAUAGUCCUAUAUAUAAGAUAUAAUAGAACUAAAACUCUUAAUUCGGCUGUAACAUUUUGGACGGUGGCUAGUUCCAAGAGAUUAAUAGAGUUAAAUAUUCUAGGGCUAGAGUAGUCCUAGGAUGGGUGACCCCCGGAAAAGUGGGGUGUCACAGAAAUUGAUCUACACUAUUAAAAAUACUUAGAAACUGAAUUUUGUAAUUUCUAAAAAUUAUUAUUAAAUUGAUCAAAGAGUCAAAAAAUGAAUGGUCAAAAAUGAUUAACCUUCUGAAAAUAGAGUUUAGACUUUCCCAAUUCAUGAUUGGAGUUAUUAAACGUUAUCUAAAUAGUAUAAAAAUUUUCUAUCAAAAAUUCCAACAGUUUGAACUGCUUUGUACCGUUAAACAAGCAAACAGCUCAUAUAGGCUAUAAAAAAUUAUCAAUUUUGUGAUCCUUUGAUCACUACAUAAAUAAUUUUUAAAAUUAUGAAAUUUAGUCAAGUACUCUGGAUCAAUUUUCACGAUUCCGAUCAUCAAUGUCGAAUCUCUAUCAUCUAAAAUGACUUGAUAGGACGUAGGUCUUCGUCUUCCUAAAAUGAUAGCUAUAUAUAUAUAGAGUGCGUCUAGUAUGCUUCUGGAAGCAUGGAGCGCUCCGUGCUACCAAGAUGUUUUCGAUGUUCAGACUUUCGAAUCGACGAUCGACUCCGUUAUACUUGAUCUAGAGUAUUUGAGUAUCUAGAAAAUAAAUUUUGCGAUUUUUCGAUAUCAUUUGCCUAAUGAUCGAAGUGGCUCAAAAUCAACGACUGAAAAUAAAAAUCUUACAAAAUAUGAUGAUAUGAUAUUAAAAUUUUAGAUCAAAGUUAUUGAUCUUGUUUUAUAUGGUAUAAAGAAUUUUCUAUCAAAAUUUUAUGUGAUUUGAAUAUUUCUACACCGUUAAACUUGCAAACGGCUCACCACGGCCAUUAAAAUUAUUGAUUUUGAGCCCCUUCGAUCACUAGGCAAAUGAUAUCGAAAAAUCACAAAAUUUAUUUUCUAGAUACUUCAAAUACUCUAGAUCAACUAUAACGGAGCCGAUCGUCGAUUCGAAUAUCCGAACAUCGAAAACAACUUGGAAGCACGGAUGGCUCCGUGCUACCAGAAGCAUACCAGCCCACUCUAUAUAUAUAUAUAUAUAUAUAUAUAUAUAUAUAUAUAUAUAUAUAUAGAAUUAGGCUGGAAUACUAUUACUAGUAAAACGCUUUUUUUGCUAUCAAGUUGUUAACCCUUGGAUGAAAAAUUAUAGGGUCAGGAUGAUAUUAGUCGGUUAGAGUUGAAUGGUCCCCCUAGGGUUGAGUGGUCCCUACUGGGUUAUAGUAUUUAAUCCAAUGGUUAGAAAUAAUAAAAAGAGUUGAUCCAAAGACUAAAAAACUGGUAGCAACAAUGAGAUUUUGCUACUAAUAGUAGCCCAGUCCAACUCUCUCUCUCUCUCUCUCUCUCUCUCUCUCUAUAUAUAUAUAUAUAUAUAUAUAUAUAUAUAUAUAUAUAUAUAUAUAGAUAUAGUUGAGCUAGAAUACUCCCAAAAGCACCAAAGGGAGUGGUGCUUUUGAGUUUUAGCCAUUGGAUGAAGAGAUGUAGGGUUGAGAUGAUGAUGGUAGGUGGUGGUAGGUGGAAUAGUGUUUGAUCUAAAGGCUAUUAGUAAUCAAGGAGUAGAUCCAAGGGCUAGAAACCUAAAAGCACCAAGAGCUUAGUGCUUCUAAAAGUAUUCUAGCUCAAUUAUAUAUAUAUAUAUAUAUAUAUAUAUAUAGAGAGAGAGAGAGAGAGAGAGAGAGAGAGAGAGAACUAGGCUGGAAUACUAUUAAUAGCACCAAUGACUUGGUGCUAUUAUGUUUUCUGCCCUUGGAUUAAAAGAUCUGUGGUUAGGGUGAUGUGGGCCCCCUAGGGUUGAGUAGGUGGUCGGUUGAAUAGUAUAAUCGAACGGAUGAAAAUGAUAAAAGAGGUAAAUCUAACGGCAGAAUAUAUAUAUAUAUAUAUAUAUAUAUAUAUAUAUAAUAUAUAAUUAUAUUAUAUUAUAUAUUAUAUAUAUAUAUAUAUAUAUAUAUAUAUAGAGUGAGGCUACUAUGCUAUCGGAAGCACGGUGCCUUCCGUGCUUCCAGCCGUUUUCGAUAUUGCGACUUUCGAAUCGUCGAUCGGCUCCGUUAAACUUGACUAUGAGUAUUUUGGAGUACCUAGAAAAUAAAUUUUUAUUAUUUUUCGAUAUCAUUUGCCUAGUGAUCGAAUAGGCUCAAAAUCAACAAAUUUCAAUGGCCGUAGUGAGCCUGUUUGCAAGUUUAACGGUAUAGAAAUAUCCAAAUCACGUAAAUUUUGAUAGAAAAUUCUUUAUACUAUAUAAAACAAGUAUCAAUAUCUUUGAUUUAAAAUUUUUAAUGUCAUAUUAUUAUAUUUGUAAGAGUUUUAUUUUUUAGCCAGUUGAUUUUGAGCCCCUUCGCUUCACUAGGCAAAUGAUAUAUCGUAAAAUCAUAAAUUUAUUUUCUAGGUACUUCAAAUACUCUAGAUCAAGUUUAACGGAGCCGAUCGACAAUUUGAAAGUCGCAACAUCGAAAACGAGCUGGAAGCCACGCGAAGGCUCCGUGCUUCCGAUACCAUAGUAGCCUCACUCUAAUAUAUAUAUAUAUUAUAUAUAUAUAAUAUAUAAUAUAUAUAUAUUAUAUAAUAUAUAUAUAAUAUAUAUAUAUAUAUAUAAUGAGUCUAGCUACUAUACUAUCGAUAAUAUUAAGUGCUUGAUGCUAUCGAGUUUUUCGUCGUUAGAUCUACCCCUUUGACCAUUCCAUCCAUAGAUCACACUGUUAACCAACCACUCACUCAACUCUAAGGGACACUAUCAUCUUAACUAUACAUCCCUUCAUCCAAUGGCCAAUGGCCAAAAACUUAAUAGCACCAAUGACUUGGCGCUAUCAAAGUAUUAGUAGCCUAAUUAUAUAUAUAUAGUAUAUAAUAUUAUAUAUAUAUUAUAUAUAGUGCAGUUACUACUCUUAUGAGUAUAGUAGAUGUUGUGCUCAUAAAUUUAUAACCAUGGAUAUGUUUCAAGAUCUAUGCCAAACUAAUAGCUAAAGGCGUGACGAGGGGAAACGGAGGAAAGAAACCUGUCCCACUCUCGAGGCUUUUUCCUUUCUCGGAAAACACUCUCUGACCCCUACCUUCUUCAUCCUCUCAGAUGAUCAAUCUUUUCCUUCCUCUAGCACCACCACCGUUCUCUCCCAAUAAGGCCAGCAUGACCCCAACACAACCACCCAGCAUACCCAUUCCACGCAUGCCGUGCCUGCUCCAUAACGCGAGCUGCGCGACGCUACCGCAACCCUCCCAACCUUAAACCUUUUCUAAAAAAAAGAUUAAUUACUUUUCCAGCAAAUUGAAAGUAGAUUACCUUUUCCAUCAAAAUUGAACACUUUUUCUAAUUCCUAGUAAGCACUUCAAGUAUAAUUUAUUAUAAUUUAUUAUUUAAACUUCGACAAAAAGCUGUAAUUGCAUCUAGUCAAAGGGAUAGUUAGUCAUUUAAAAAUACAAUGAGUUAAGGGUCAAAAAAAAAUAUAGAGGAUGUUCUUAACUCAAGAAGAAGAUAUGUUAUUAUCAGUUUCGUAGAUUGAAAGGAUGACUAGUGUAACCUAGAUCUAUUCUUGAAAAAAUAAACUAAUUAGAUAUGCAACAAUCAAGUAAUACUAAAAUUAAAGGGAAAGAAAAAAAAAACUAAAGUUCUAGACAUGCUUCUCUCUAUCCAUAAAUUUCAUAUUCAUAUGUCAAAAGGAGUUUGAUUCAUAGUAUGUAAGGCUCUCUUUUUUGCUAUGUUAGGUGUGUUUCGACUUUUUUUGUCCGAGACAAUUAAGCAUGCGUAUUUCUUAAACCUCCAGAUCUACAGCAUCCAUUGGACUAAGAAGUUUUGUAACAUACUGAACUUAGCAAAUUGCAAGAUUCUGAGUGUUUGAUUAGUUUCAUUUGAGCCUUUUGCGGUUUUCUGUAUGAUCGUUGACUAUGUUCCGACCAUGACUCGAGGGUGAAACUUAGGCGCCAAAACUCUAAAAUGAAGAAUUUGGGCUGCUCUCGGGUUUUGACUUGCAGAGCAGAAUACGGUACUGCAUCGGUAGAGUACCGUACUGACUGUGUACCGGUACUAACAUCACGAUGGUACCGGUACCAGUGAUUUUCUCGCAGACCUGAGGCUCGAGUUCGCGCGUGCUGCUCCGCCUAGUACAGUACCCAUCCCGUGCUCACCAGUACAUAGUGCAGUUCGCAGACUACUGAUUUCUUUAGGGUUCUCUCUGUAAUUGUUGCAACACUUUAUAUACCACUACACCCUUUGGCUGGGGCUUCUUGUGCUGCGAACCAGAAGGGAGAAGACGUAGGGUUCCUCUUCCUUUUUCUUGAAUUUUUUUCCUCUCUUUUGCUUUGGAUUUGAGGUUUAUCUCUCCACUUGCUUCCUCUUUGCAUUUGUGACCCUUUCACCAUUGGAGAAGCUUUGGGCUUGGAUUAGAGCCUUUUGGAGGAAGAUUUCUAACCCUAACUCACUCCUAGCUUGGUUUGCAACUUCAAGAGAGGUUAGUAGCUUUAAUUUUUCCUUGAUUCACCUUUUAGUCGAUUUCUUGUGAUGAAACUCUAGUUUUGUAGAUAAAUAGGGUUUGUUUGCGGGCUUUUAUUUGGAAGCUUUUGGGUUGGAAUUGAUGAGUGUAGAACACUCUUGUAAGUUGGAUUUGAAACUUGGGAAGCUUCGAUUUUGAGCUUUGGACAAGUGUAGCUUGAUCAAAGGUUGUAAGGACUGAGAUUUUGGCAGUGUGUAGCUAAACCCUACUUGUGACGAUGCUUUUUGUAAUUAUCUGGUCUCACGCGAUUCGAUACAUAAAUAUAAUGACUUUUUGCAAAUUUCGAAUUCCACCUUCGACCUCUUAGCGAUAACUUUGCAAUUACUGGAGAUCCAUCCGUCGGCAUUUUCAAUCCGACAGUGCCAUCGCCGUUCAGCAUGACGAAGGCAUCAAAACUACAAUUCGUUUCAUUCGAAUUGGUCGCGAUUGCGACAAAACCCAUCCUUAUUACAUACCACCAUAUAACACACAUAUAUAACCAUAUAUAUUAAAAUCCAAAAAAACCCUUUUUCUCAAAAACCGCUGCGAUUAGAUAUGAAAUCGUCGGUGCCAUUGGUUCCAGAAUAGCUGAACCGUUCAAAACGAGCUAUUGGAUCGCUAUGAAUGGAGUCUGAUACGCCCGCCAGAAGCCAACUCUACUCAUCAGCCUUCCGGAAAAAUCGGAGUUACUAUUCACUUAAAGUGAAUAGUAUUGUAUGCGUAACUCUCGGUCUAACCGUUUUCUCCUGAGACUUGACGAGUGCUUUUGUAAUUAAAAUACACACAAAAACAUCGUCAACAGAGGGUUUAGCUACACUGCCAAAAUCUCAGUCCUUAAACAAAGGUAGUUUUUCACCUUAUUGUGUGUAUGUUUUUCGAAAAUGUUCAAAUAGUCCUUUUGGGUGUUCAACCCUUUAGAAUUUUUCUUAGGUGGUUAGAAGUUCGGUGGACAAUUCGUUCGAAAGAGACGAAAGGGUUCAAGUGCUUCCGGUGCGGUUUAACCUACCGAAAUGGAUGAACUCUCCCUAGUCUUUCUGGUUGUAAGACAUAAUUAAAGUGCUUUUUCAUACUCAAUAUGACAUGCCUAGAAUUUAGAGAACGAUAAAUGGACAUGUUAUAUUAGUGAUGAAAUUUUCAUGCGUUAUUUAGUAGAGGCAUAUAUGUGGACUUGAGCAUAAAAGACACUUUAUAAUGAACUCUCUUUUAUGCAACCUUAGAAGUAUGUUAGAGUAUGGAAUGAUGGUAUAACCCUAGGUAGGGACCUAGUGAAUGGGUUAGUUAAAAGUUAUCUUACAUGAUGACAACAUUAUACUUGUUAUAGACAAGGCGAAUGAACUUAGCAUUUCUUGCAUUAUAUUUGUUAUUAGACAAGGUAGUUGUGAUUGGUGAGAUAGAACAUGAUAAAGUCAUCAUGAGUUAUACUUAGGCUAUUCAACCUUAGUUGGACAACUAGAUCUUAACAUAUGACACGGUUUAGCUGAUGCAUUUUAAGGUAGUGAAUAAGUAGGGUUGACAUUGUGAUAUUAUAUGCGGUCUAGGGAUCGAUAGUUGCAUUCAUGUAUUGGACAUGAGGAUAGUGUUUGGAGGAUGCCUUGGGCGAAAGACAAGAUGGAUAAUUGCAUUGUAGCAUUAAUUGUAUGAAAUCACUGCAUGAUAGUUAUAUCCAUGUAGUGGAGGCAUUUGUGGAAAAGUAAUAUGCAUGACAUCUAUCAUGGACAUUGACAUAUCUUAUAGACCUAUGAAUAUAGCAUGAGAAAGUAAUUUCCUUAGCUAUAGUGGAAUGGUCUAAGUGCAAACUCUCAUUGAAACUUGAACAAUAGUGAUGUCACGGCCCGGGACCAGCGGAAGCCCGCCCGGUACGCUGCCCAGACCCGCCAUAUGCCUACAACAUAUAAGGCGUCUACAACAAAGCGAUAAUUAAAACAAAAAUACACAACAUCUAGUGAUAUCAGAGCAUGAUUUAAUAGGUUCUGAAGCAAGUGAAGAGAUAAAAGCACUAAUCAACUAACAUAAUCCAUAGAGAUUAAAAGCAGCAAGUCCAACAAGCGGCUAGAUAAACAAAAAUAGUGGUCUCUACAUCAGGUACAAAAACUCUCAUCCUCUCCAAAUAAAAACAAAAGAAAGUAACCAACCUAAAUAGCGAAGCUCCUCACAACUAGCUCGACGCAAUACCCUUGCCGUGAUCCUGAGCCUCCCAGCGCUGGAAGGUUCUGAAAUAAACAACAAAGAGAUGGCGUGAGAACUAUUAAUCAAUAGUUCCAGUGGGCAAACCGCCGACCUUAGGCGAAGACACCACGAGGCUAAAGAAGCGAAGUUAGAAUAUUCUAGCAUUUAAUUGAAAGACCAUAUGAUAUAAUAACAUGAAAUGAACUGUGCUAGCUACUAUGCCUUUACAUAGCAUGAAGUUUUACAAAUAAAAUAGCUAGUCUAGUAUGAAUGAGUAUAACAUAUUGAGAUAUUAGUACUGCCCAAACAUGUUCCAAUAAGUAUAUACUAUGCGUCAAGUGAGUCUUGUGAGAUAUGGAUCCCGAGGAUUCUAAAAGGUAAGUAACACCUAGAGGGGGGUGAAUAGGUGUAAAAACGGCAAAACUCAAAAACUCUCGAUGCGAAUAAAACAAAAUAACGGAAAAGAAAAAGCACAGCCGAGAAUUUAACGUGGGAAAACUCCAAAACGGAGUGAAAAACCCACGGACCAAUCACGCAAAGAAAUCCACUAAGAAACAUGAGUACAAGUGAUAUGACAAUCACGACUCAAUUUACCGAUUUGCCCGUAGAUGACGAUCUUUGCCGGUCCUCGAUCGAUAAGAAUCCUCCAAUCGACCUUGCCGCAACUCCCGCAGCGGCGUCACGCUCAUCCUCGAAGCGUGUCCACCGAAAUCCUCGGCCUUCACGCCAAGAUCCACGCGUCGAACCUCUUCCGGAGCUUGUAGAAUCGAAGAUUCUGUGAUGAUUUAACCUUUUAAUAACAUAAGCUAUGAGGGUUCACCUUUAAUCAAACAUCUACUUUGAUUCUCGUAUGGUUAUCGAGUAAAAACGAGAAUCCAAGCCGAUGUUGAUUGUUGAAACGUCGGUGUGAAUCAAAGCAUUGAGAACGAAGAAAAGUAAUUUCUAGGGUUUAGAAUCAGUAAAAAUUUAAAGCCUUAACUUUUUGAUGACCCCAUAGCUUAUUUAUAAUGUUUAGAAGAUUAGAAGUGACUAGGACUGCAAAACUCUUUUUUAAAAAACCGUGUGCGUCCUCAGAGACCGGGUCUCUCGAUGAGACCGGUCUGUGUGAGACCGGUCUCUCAAGUGAGGAACCGGCCCCCUCGCUCCUGCGGUGGGACCAAAAUCACAACGUUCCGGAACCGGUCUCUCAAGCUUGAGACCGGUCCCUUGCUUGCGUGACAGAAUAUCAUCAAACGUUCGCGGAACCGGUCUCUCAUCACAGGGACCGGUUGCCCAAUCGAACUCACGCAGUGAUGACCUAAGGGAACCGUGUCUUUCCAUUUCAGGGACCGGUCCCAGAACACAUGAAAGUUCAGAAAAUUGUUUUAAAGCAUCUAACCUUCUGAACUUAUUCUAAUUAGGUAUCUUCACCACAAAAUGAUCUUUUUCUUCAUACCUUAGGUGUCGAGCUUUCCCGAAAUGAGUUUUUGUUCUUCAAUUUGAAUCUUUUCUUCAAAACUUCUGCGAUCAAUUCUUCAAGACUCCAACCAACUUUACGAAAUUCGCCAACCUAUAAAAUCCGUAAUAAUCUCCCCCUUUGGCGAUUUCGUGACAAAAUAUACUAUAAAUUCGUACAUAACGUAGUAACAAUAAAAAGAAGAUCAUCGCAAUCACCAAACGAUAAUCUCCUGCAUGAUCGAUCCAAUAAACGAAAAUUACAAUUUUCAUAAUCUUAAUACAAACUCUAUGACUUAGACAUGGAGUCUUGAAGUCUUGAAUUAUUCCUGCAAAAACAUUCUCAAAACAUAAUCAAGAUUCAAGUAUCAAGAUCAAACAAAGUAUCAAGUCAUAGUUCAUAAUCAAACACCUAAAGCACUAACUAAACAGAGUUCAUCUAAAGUUCAUUUAAACAAAAUGCAUCAAACAUCAUCAUGAAGCUAAGCUAAAAUGCAUCAUCAACAUCAAGAGCCACCAUCUCCAUCUCCCCCUUUUUGUCAGAAAGCGCCAAAACGACAAAAGAAGGAACCCGGUAACUCCUAAGCGGAAGCAUCCCCUGGAGGUAAAUCUGCUCGGCAACAGCCUAACUUGUCAAAAAUCAUAUUCAAUAAGCGCUUCAUCUUGCUUACAUCCUUCCGAAUCGCAGCUUGCUCCGCAGACAAUUUCUGAAGCUCCUCAGAUAGACGUUGUUGCUCACGAUACACAGAGGAAACAGAGAUAUCUUUCUCAGAAACGUCCAUAGAAGGACGUGAAGAAGUAGCAGUAGCAGGAGGUGGAGCAGCAGGAGGAGAAGAAGCACGUUGAGAUGGGGUACGUAACUGCACCGAGGACUUCACAAAUGUCCUUUCAUUGAGCCGACCCAAACUGUGCUCGUAUGAUGUACAACGAACAUCCACUUCACGAAGUCGCAGAAUCCUCAUGAUUAUCAAAGGAAAUGGUAACCUCUCAUUUUGCCCAGAAGUCUUGAUGUCCUUUGCCAUUCUCCGCCAAAUCAGAAACGGAAUAUUCAUGUUAAUAUUUUUAGCACUUACAAUAUCCGGCCUACCCAAGAGAUACAUGUACAGAAUGCGAUCCCAUCUCAAAAUUUUCGUGUUCGCGAGAGGCAUGAUGUUGUAGCAAACCACGAAGUUCAGAAACCUGUACUCCAUUUUGAAAUCUUUGGACAUAACCAUAAUGCCGUUUGAUUCAGUACCCGGCAUGCAAAUAGUGUUCACGACACGGUUCCAAUCGCGAAGUGAGUCAAACCCGGCCUGCAGAUACUCCACUCCGUCAGUCCUUGCUUCCAUCUCUAGCACAAAUGCUAUAGUAUCAUGAGUGAUUGAUAACUCAACACCACGUACGGAAGUAGUAAAAGCGUACGGGCCGCCGUCGGAAUCACUCAAGUGGCCUGCUCUCAUAUAAAAUUCACGAAUCAGCUCUAAAUAGAAACCAGUUUGUUCCGGGAAAUCACAAAUCUGAUGAAGAUUUCCUUUUUCAAAUAAAUCCUAAAAUCCCGGCACACAGCUAAUAAUACUGGCAACGCCGACAUCGCGCUCACCAAUACAAUGCUUCGACGAAUACAUGGACCGUCGAGCAGAUGGAACAUCCUGUAGACUGUGACGCGGAGGCUCAGAACCAGGUUCUCGAAUUUCAACACCACCAGACUUGCGACGACCGGUGAAUUCAGACGCCUUUCCUUUUCCUUUGUCCUGAGCUUUGCCUUUUCCUUUCUCAACCACUUUGCCUUUGCCUUUUCUUGUAUCCUUUUCCUUAGACAACACCUCUGGAGAAAAAGCCUCCCAGUCCGGCUCGUCCUCCUCAGAUUCAUCACCCGGGGCAUAUUCACUCCCUUCAUCUUCCGGUUGUUGCUCAACCGGCCUCUUAGCCGAGGAGCGCUGUCGCUUGCUACCGCGACCACCCCCAGCCAUAAGGACAACAAGCACAAGAAUCCACGAGUAUAUUAUUUUAAAAUCACCUGUUAAACAUAAUAAAAUUUACAUAAAAAAAAAUUUUUAAUUCCAAAAAUUUUCAGCAAAUUGGUAUAUAAAUAUUAGAUAAUCCUAGGGGCCACAUGAUCAUGAGUAACAUGAACAAAUCAUGCAACAAAACCAGCAAAAACAAAUUUUUUACGAAAACUUUGAAAUCCUAGGUUUUGAUGAUGAAAAAACCUACAGAAAAUGACCAAAAAGAUAAAGAAAUUCUAGAAAAGAUGAAAACAACCGGUCUAAUAACAAGAUCGAAGCUUAAACAUGCAUUUUUAGCAAGAUCUCUAAAACAAUCAUCAAAAAAUCUGAACCGAGACACAUUUUUGAGGUACAUGACAUAAAAGCAAUAAAAUCCGAAAAUCAUACCUAAAAUCAGUGCAAAUUGAUGAAGAUCGGAAGUAAAACCACUAUGGAGACAAGAGAGGAACACGGUAGAACGCAGGGGAAGAGAAAAUAAACUUUUGAAAAAAACAGUACACAGACGCAUCGAGCGAAAACCCCUUUAUCGGGUCUGGCGGAGGGACCGGUCUCUCUUGCCUGGGACCGGUCCCAGAGCCUGAAAAAUUUAAAAAAUUCUAAAUGUAGCUCGAAAAUGCAAAAAAAAUAUGUGAGGAUAUUCCAAAAUGCUUAAUCAUCACAAAUAUCCUAUUUCCAUCCACAAAAACUUUAAAUAAAAUUUCAUAAAGAAAUUUUGAAAAAUCAAUUUCAGGGAUAUUCAAAAUUUCAAAAUUUUUACCCGAAAAUCAAUGAGAAUUCUCGAUACAUAUAAAAUAAAAUCCCACACAUCAUGCAAGAUCUAGGAAUAAAUUGUAUCAUUUUACCAUCAUAUUUUGUUUAAAGAAAAUGAAUAAAUAGUUCUCAUAAUCGUGAAAUUAACAUAACAUGAUCGAAUUGAGUUAUGCACAUCAUUCAAGACAGAAGUGGCUCUUUGAGCAUCUUUUAGUAACAUUCCACCUUAUAUCACCUACAAGAUGUAUAGCUCUUUGAGCAUAUUAUUCUUACUUUUUCUCUUUCUGAGAGGUACUUUUCUUUUGUCUCACAUAGAUACUUUAAUCAACAUGUGGUAGCUGCACACACUAACCGGACGACCGGGGUGGUAGCUCUUUCCUCCAUGUGGUGGUAGUUUUCAUACUCCCAGCAGGGAUGUAACUCUUUCCACAUCUUGAAUAUCAGAAAUUUUCAUAGCUAAAAUAGGAAAGACUCCCCCUAAAUUAGUGCAACCCUCAAGUCAAAAAUAUUAUAGCUAUUUCAAAAACAGAGAAAGAUCUAUUCACCUCAAAACUAAUAAUCAAACAAACAAUUCCAACAUUCAAAUUUCAAAGCAUGGGUGCUGAAUUUGAUUCAAUAUGCUAAACAGAAUUUCAAUGAUUUGAUCGUUCAAAAAUAUGUCAAUAGAGAAUAACCCUGACAUUGAUCAAUCAAAAAUUAAAUAUGAAAUACUUAAAUUCACAGAUCAACUCAUCUUCCAAAACAGCAACAUUAUGCAAGAAAUUCAACCAACCCUCAAACACCGAAAAUUAUGCAAGAAAAGAAAUAAAAUAUGCAACAUGCACAUGAUCUAUGACCCACUAGUAUAUAUAUCUAGAUUGAAGGGUUCAUACCAAUUGCCUUUCUUAAAUGCAGAAAACGUUUUUGAUCCAAAGGUUUGAUUAAAAUAUCUGCAAGUUGAUUUUCAUUUGAAAUAUAUUCAAGUUGUAAGAUGUGUGAUUCAACCAGUUCUCUUAAAAAAUGAUAUCUUAGUUCAAUAUGUUUUGUUCGAGAAUGUAAAACAGGGUUUUUAGAAAUAUUAAUUGCACUCGUGUUGUCACACAGAAUAGUAAGAGUGGUAGAAGGAAUCCGAUAGUCGCUCAGUAAACUUUUCAUCCAAAUUAAUUGAGUAGAGCAACUCCCAGCCGCAAUGUAUUCAGCUUCUGCAGUGGAAAGAGUAAUACAAUUUUGUUUCUUACUAUGCCAAGCAACCAAACAAUGUCCAAUGUAAAAACAAGCUCCACUAGUACUUUUCCGAUCAUCUGCGGAGCCUGCCCAGUCAGCAUCCGAGUAGCCGAUUAAGUCAAGAGAGGUUCCCAUAGGAUACCAGAGGCCAUACUCGGUUGUUUUUAACAUACCGAAUGAUCCUUUUAACUGCUUUCAGAUGUACUUCCUUAGGGUUAGCCUGAUAACGAGCACAAAUUACAACACUAAACGCAAUAUCUGGCCUGCUCGCAGUCAAGUACAAUAAGCUACCAAUCAUGCUUCUAUAUUGUUUCUCAUCCACACUCUGACAUUCUGAAUUCAAUCCCAGUCCUUUGUUGCUUGUACCCAUUGGAGUGUCAAAAUCCUUUGCACUGUCCAAUCCAAAUUUCUUAACCAGUUCCUUUGCAUACUUUGUCUGUGACAGAUGAAUUCCAUCUUUUGAUUGUUUAACUUGAAGUCCAAGGAAAUAAUUAAGCUCCCCCAUCAUCGACAUCUCAAACUCGCUGGUCAUUAAAUUUGCAAAAUCAGCGGCAUCCUUGUCUUUAGUAGCCCCAAAAACUAUGUCAUCCACAUAUAUUUGUGCCACUAUGAAAUUAUCCUUCAGAUGUUUUACAAAGAGAGUUCUAUCCGCUCCCCCUCGAUUAUAACCCUUUUCCAAAAGAUAUUUUGUCAACCGUUCGUACCAUGCUCGCGGAGCUUGUUUUAGUCCAUAAAGUGCCUUUUUCAAUCGAAAAACAUGAUUUGGAAAUUUUGAGUCAAUAAAACCUUUCGGUUGUUCAAUAUAAACUUCCUCUUUUAAAAAUUCAUUUAGAAACACACUUUUGACAUCCAUUUGAAAGAGCGUGAUUUUAAAAUGGCAAGCAAUCGCGAACAAGAUACGAAUAGAUUCAAGACGGGCGACCGGAGCAAAGGUUUCAUCAAAGUCUAUUCCCUCAAUUUGUGAGUACCCCUGAGCCACAAGUCUUGCUUUGUUCCGCACAAUAGUACCAUCCUCAUUUUUCUUAUUUUUAAAGAUCCAUUUGGUACCAAUAAUGUGUUGUUGCUCAGGACGAGGCACCAAUUCCCAUACAUCAUUGCGAACAAAUUGACUAAGUUCUUCUUGCAUGGCAUUUAUCCAAUAUUCAUCACAAAGAGCUUCGUCGACAUUCUUUGGCUCAAUCAAAGAAACAUAACAUGCAAAUUCACAUUGUAACUGACUUCUUGUUCGCACACCAACAUUAGGAUCCCCAAUCACAUUUGACAAAGGAUGAUCUCUUGACUCUGUCAGGGGGGUAGUCUCUGUACUAGGGAUUUCAGACGUGAUGUUUUGUGACUCAGAUGAAUCAUUUGAUGCAAUAUUUUCAGAAGAUGCAAUGGAAUUAUCAGGUGUAGAAACAUCAUCAUUCACAGGCAUUACAAACGGAGAAUCAUUAUCAUCAUCAUUCAUCAAAGAGUUAGAAGUACCAUUCACAGAUGAACUUACAGACGAAGCUUCAUCUACUUUUAUAUUGAUAGACUCUAUCACCGUCUUAGAUCGUAAAUUGUACGCACGAUAAGCACGACUUGUAGUAGAAUAACCAAGAAAUAUGCCUUCGUCACUGCGAGAGUCAAAUUUUCCAAGAUUUUCACGAUCCUGAAGGAUAAAACAUUUACUCCCGAAGACACGAAAGUAUUUAAUGUUAGGUUUCCUACCAAGCCAAAGUUCAUAAAGCGUAUUCAAAGUGCCCGGACGCACAUAAAUCCGAUUGAUAACAUAGACAGCUGUGUUAAACUGCUUCAGCCCAAAAAUGUAAUGCAAUUUUCUUACUAUGAAGCAUAACACGAGCCAUCUCCUGUACAACCUGAUUCUUGCGUUCAACCACUCCGUUUUGUUGGGGUGUAUAAGGAGCCGAGAAUUCAUGUUUAAUACCAUUUGAAACACAAAAAUCAACAAAUUUUGAAUUUAUGAAUUCUCCCCCUUCAUCACUUCGAAUGCGUACAAUUUUAUCAUUUCGUUCAGUCAUAAGACGAAGACAGAUUUCAGAAAAAGAAUUAAAAGUAUCAGCUUUUUCUCGUAAGAAGGCACUCCAUACAAAGCGAGUAAAAUCAUCAACAAUAAGCAAGAUAUAACGUUUUCUACCCAAACUUUGAAUCCUAGAUGGUCCCAUCAAGUCCAUGUGAAGUAACUCCAAAGGCUUAGUUGUCCCUAAGUGGUUCAAGUUCUUAUGUGUGGAUCUAGUUUGUUUCCCCAAUUGGCAACCCCCACACACAGUGUUCUCUUUAAAAUCAAUCUUAGGUACACCUCUAACUACCUCCUUCUUGGUUAUCUUUGAUAGCUCCUUAAAGUUUAUGUGACCUAGUCGUUCAUGCCAUAAAGUUUCAGUUUCUAAUGACGCUAGGUUACAAUGUUCAGUGGACGAAUUAGGAACUACAUAACAAUUAUUCUGAGAUCUAAUGCCCUUUAAGAACAGAUUUUCAUCACGAGUCACAUGGCAUUUUUUAUCAGAAAAGUUCACAGAAUACCCAUCAUCACAUAGUUGGCUUAUGCUUACGAGAUUAGAUUUGAUCCCCUCAACAUAAAAAACAUCAUUCAACGUAGGGCCAUCUGAAAUAGUCACUGUUCCUUUUCCAACAAUUUUUGACGAUCGGCCGUUCCCAAAAACAACAAGUCCUCCGGAGAUUUUGGUCAAAGAAGUAAACCAAUUUUUAUCUCCGGUCAUGUGACGGGAACAGCCACUAUCCAGAUAUCAUGAUGAGUUAUCGUAAGCAUGAAGCGAAGUGUGAAUGACUAGGCAUGGGAAGAGUUCACCUUUGCGCACCGAAACCUUACGUGUUUUGGGCUGUGUCAGUUCGCUUGCUUUUGUUGAUCGUGGCUUGUCGACGAUUUGAAUUGACUUUUUCUUCAUAUCCUCCUUCUUUGGUUUCCACGCCUGUUUUGCCUUUGAUUCCGGAGCAUUUGGUGUCCAUGUUCGUUUCUUCUUAUAAUCAACCUUCUUUGGAGUCCAAGUUGACUUCCCUCUUGAUUUAAGAUCAUUCUUCAUAAGUGAUGUUCUUUGAUUCAAGGGUGUUGAUGAGCUCUUUCCCUUUUGUUUGCAGAACUUCUUUACAUGUCCUAAAACACCACAAAUAUGACAAGCUUUGUUAGUCAGAUUAUUUUGAGGAGGGACGAACUUACCAUAGAGCUUAGGAACAGCAGUUGAUGACUGUCCGCCAUCUUUCUUUGUUGCUUGGUCAACAUAGGUCCGUUCGUACCCAAGUCCAAGUUUGUUUGUUUGACCAAGUCCAAGCAUCUUGUCGAGUUUACUUGAUCCAGAAGAAAAUUGGUUCAAAUCUGACUUUAGUUGAAUAAUCGUCUUGGUGAAUUCCAUAUUUGCUUCUCUAGCUUCUGAGUAUUGCUUGGUGGGAAAAGUGAUAUUCUCCACUUGUGUCUCUUUUUCCUUUUCAAGUAAUGAGCACUUCUCGAUCAAGGAAUUAUGGGCCUUCGUCAAGCCAUCUCUCUCUUGUUCUAAAUCCUUUGUUAGAGAGACCAAUUUUGAAUUUUCUUGUUCCAACUCAUGUAGGCUUCGCCGCAGUCUCUUGUUAUGUUUAGCCAUCUUCUGUGAUUCAACAACCAAUUGUUGAUAUGCUGCGACCAUGUCAUCUUCGUCCGAUUCUUCAUCCGAUGAGUUCUCCGAAGAUGACUUCUCUUGUAUAGAGGUUAUGGAAAACGAGUCAGCAGAUGCUAAACACAUAAGAGUUGAAUCCUGUGCAAUUAGUGCCGUGGCAUUUACAUCCUCUUCACUCGAAGUGGAAUCGUCAGAUGAGGAGUCGUCCCAAGUCAUAGCUUGCAUAGCUUUCUUCUUCAACGACUUUUUAUUAGGACAGUCAGAUGCUAUAUGGCCAAAGCCCCUACACUUGUAGCAUUGAAUUUGACCUUCACCGCUUUUCUUCUCUUUUGUGGAGUCCUUUUGAGAGUUAUCAGAUUUUCUGUAUUUUGAUGAGGAAGAAGAAGACGAACCCCCUUUAGAUUUGUUUGUCUUGGAAGAAGUAGACUUGGGAGGAAACUUCUUUCUAAAGUUCCGACGAAACUUCUUUGUUAGAAGUGCUAGUUGCUUUUCAAAGUCCUCCAGGCUUUGCUCCGACUCUGAAUCUGAUGAGGUUGAAGUGACAUCUCCUUUUGUUGAUUUUAGAGCCAUCCCUGAAGCUUUAGUAAAAGACUUGGAAGAAGACGAAUUAGAAGGAAAAGUCAUUUCAUAAGUUUGAAGAGCACCUACUAAUUCUUCUACUUUGAGUUCAUCAGGAUGUUUGACCGUUUCAAUAGCCGCAACCUUAGGACGGAAUCGUUCGGGAAGGGUUCUCAAAAUUUUUCGAACAAUUUUGGAAUCGGGAAUUUUCUCGCCCAAGUUAGCACACGUGUUUACAAUGUCUUGCAAACGAGUAUAGUACUCGGUAAAAGAUUCAUGUUCUUCCAUACGAAUGGAAUCAAAUCUACUAGUAAGCAUUUGCAAUUUUUGAAUCUUAACCAAGCUUGUACCCUCGUGUGUAACUCGCAAAGUGUCCCAAAUCUCUUUGGCGGUUUCGCACGCCGAGACGCGAGAAAAUUCAGUUUGGUUUAAAGCAUUGAAUAAAGCAUUGAUACCUUUCCCGUUGAACGAAGAUAGUUCAUUUUCCUCUUUCGUCCAUUUAUUCCUAGGUUUCGGCACGGUAACAUUCUCGACAACUUCGGUAGGAUUUUUCCAUCCGAAUUCAAUGGCUUGCCAAACCCGCUCGUCGAUAGCAAUAAGAAACGCCCUCAUACGGACUUUCCAAUAAGCAUAGUUAGUGCCAUCGAAGAGCGGGGGUCGAUUGAUGUUACCGCCCUCAGCCAUGAAUUACAACCUAUACCCGCUCUGAUACCACUUGUAAGAUAUGGAUCCCGAGGAUCUAAAAGGUAAGUAACACCUAGAGGGGGGUGAAUAGGUGUAACAACGGCAAACUCAAAAAUCUCGAUGCGAAUAAAACAAAAUAGCGGAAAAGAAAACAGCACACCGAGAAUUUAACGUGGGAAAACUCCAAAUCGGAGUGAAAAACCCACGGGACCAAUCACGCAAAGAAAAUCCACUAAGAAAACAUGAGUACAAGUGAUAUUGACCAAAACUCACGACUCAAUUUACCAAUUUCCCGUAGAUGACGAUCUUUGCCGGUCCUCGAUCGAUAGGAAUCCUCCAAUCGACCUUGCCGCAACUCCUCGCAGCGUCAACGCCUCAAUUCCUCGAAGCGUCCACCGAAUCCUCGGCUUCACGCAAGAUCCACGCGUCGAACCUCCUUCCGGAGCUUGUAGAAUCGAAGAUUUGUGAUGAUUUAACCUUUUAAUACCAUAAGCUAUGAGGGUUCACCUUUAAUCAAACAUCUACUUGAUU
rnacentral:lncRNA from 1 species